rnacentral:lncRNA from 1 species
UCCAAAUACAAAAAUGGUGAAAUUUUUCAAGAAACAUUUCCUGGAUCAACAUUGAACACAACCUGAAUGAAAAUGUAUACUAUGUUGGAAAGAAGCACAAGAAUUUGCCAUUCUUAUGCCUCUACAGUGGAAAUGGUACAACCUUAUGAGUACAAGGGGUACUCAAUAGACUAAUGAGAACUUAUCACUAGAAAAUUAAUAUAUAACUCAUGACAUUGAAUGAUUCGAACCAAUGAUAGAUGUUGAAAGAGAAUAUAUUUCAUUGAUUAAAAAAAAUAGUUAAAAUAAAGACGUGUUACAACUGGUAUAUAUAGAGAAAAUAGUGAAUCUCAGAAAUCUCAUAGAAACUAAUUUAAGAACAUAAUCAGUAUCAAGACUAAUCUACUCUUCUAUAGUAAAGAUGCUAAAUACUAAUUUCAACAAUAGGAAACCCCAUAAAUUUUCAGAACCCCCCUUUACUAAAAUCAUGAGUGACUCAUUAGGCAAUGGCACAUGCAGAAUGGCCUUCUGGUUUGAAAUGCCAUCCGAUGAGACAACAAAUGAACAUGCCCUUAUGCUAAAUUUGAGCUUUCAAAGAGUGUUUACACAUUCUUAUUAUGAGACAAAUAGAAUAUUUAAAAUGCCGUUUAGUCUUUAUUUAACGACAGCCCAUGCAUGGCUAGGUAGCUACAAAAUUCAAUAACUGUGUUCUUAAUUUGAAAUAAGUAUCACAUAACGCAGCUCAUAAUUCAAUACACGAUGCAAAAUGCCUGAAAACCCCAAAAUCCAUGCAUAACAUGUAAAGUGUGAUACAUGUACUUCAAGGAGAACCAAAAUGCAGAGAGGUGAAACAUGGCACUUGCAGUCAGUGGUGGAGCUAGGAAUGUGCUCUAGGAGGGGCACAAAUAGAACAAUUAUUUCAAGGGGGGACAAUAAAUGGAGAGAGUGGUAUUUAGUGUAAUGGAAAGCAUACUUUUCCCAUAAGCAUGAGGUCAAGGGGUCAAAGCCCUUUGUAGACCCCCAUUUUGGGAGUCAUUCUGCAGCUUGCUUUUAGCCAGGUGUCACCAUCUGGGGAAAGCCACGUGUCACAUUUUGACUAGCUGCUAAGGAAUCAAAUAGUGGACUUGGAGGAGCAAUCAGGGGUUGACACCUGUAAAGGUGAUUCUGAGAAAAUCGGCUGGCCGUUAGUGCAAGCUGGGAGGAGCGUAUGAGAGAGGGCUGCAGAGUGUAGUGGUGCUGUGUGUGGCUGCAGAGAUGGUUGGAGGGGCAAAUCCGGGAGAGAAAAGAGAUAUGGGCAGAGAGGUUGUUUUAGGGAGGCGUCAGAGAAAUCUUUAGGGGGCAGAGCUUUUGGUUUGGUUGAUUUUGGGAGGCUGCUGGCUGCAUAGGGGGGCUUAGGGACAGUAUUCUUUCUGGAGGGGGAGGAAGGAUUCUAGGGAGGAGAUUUCUGGAGAGACUGGGAGGAUUUCUUUGAGGGGAGCUGAAAAGAAACGGGGGAGAUUUUUUUUAGAGGCACUUUUGUUUGGUUUUUUUUGGAGAGGGAGAGGGGAGCUUCAAGAGAGGUGCUCUGAGUUAGAGGAAGGGAGCUUGGUCGGAGGCAGGAUAACUUGGAGUCCUGUUGGUCUUUGCUGGAGAAAAACUCCCUCAGGUAUGAUUACUACAGGCAUAUUGAUGUUUUUGGCUGUUUAUCUCUCUUCCAUAUCUCUUUUUUUGAUGAUUGAAUAUUUGUUGGUUUGUUUGGGGUGGAUAUUGGAGGCCACCGGCUGGUUUGUUGAGAGAUAAUCCUGCAUUUGUGUAUGUCAUUAUUGAUUUUAACUUGUUUUGCUCCCAUUGUGAUUAUGGAAUGCUCAAGAAUCAUGCAUGUGGUUGCUUUUAAUGUAAUCUACUCACCUGAAAGGAAGAUUCACUGAUGACCCCAGGAAGUGAAUUUCCUAAAGCUUUCUGUAUUUAUUCGUUUUCCUCCAUGCUCUGUUUCUCCACCUUCCUCCGCCUUCUAGUAUUUGUCCAUAGCAUGCGUCAAAUCCCCCAUCCCUACUUGUAGAGGUGAGGCAUUACAAGACAUAAGUUCUCAGCUUCUGAGCAUGAAAAGCUGCAGUGAAUCAUCCCGUUGGGUCUGGCUACUUUGACUGAAAUAUUCUUUUGAGAAGUGAAAUGAAGAAGAUGUCUCUUUAUCACUCCUUCUCUGGUUGUCUUGAUGGCGCUUGAUCAUGUUGAUUUGGUUUCUAUGCCUCCCUGCACCGAGACGAGUCAGAUUUCAAGAGGAAGAGGCCAUAAAAAUGGGAUGAAUCAUGAAUGAGGGUGGUGUGGUAUGUGUUGACGCUCGUGGUUUUGGAUCUAAUGAUAGUAGACGUGACUAAGGAGGUGGCAGGAACUUCCCACUACAAUAUGCAGUUUCAAAUCCCCAGUUUGGGAUUGAUCUCAAUGGUUGAAGGACCAAGAGCGUUGAUCCCGAGGAAGUCUCCACAGUUCCAAGGAAAGGCACCUCAAGUUUUCAUGCAGUGCCUUGCCGCCGGCGGCGAAACGCCUCCGCCAUGCUCCUCCGCCACUGCAUCAUUUCACUCUCCACGCAAUCAGCGGAGCAAGUUCAUGUCAGGUGUCGGAACUGUAAAGCUGCUGCCCAAACGACGCCAUUUCUGGCUUGCGACUCUUGUCGCAAUGUUCAACCCGUUGAUCCCUCUGUGGAUUACUUCCGGAUAUUUGGACUGCCAGAUGGUGGUGUCCCCCCCACAAGCCAUGGGCCAGGCUGCUGACCCACCACAAUCCUACUACAGCCUACAAGUCAGGCUGCUCAGAUGCCAAUCUCCACACAGCCUUUUGAUCUCAGUGCGCUUGAGGAACAAAGGUCUCAUAGUGGCUCUAGUUCUAACAGUGAUGACCCCUCAUCCAGUGAUUCAGGCAGUCCUUCUGAGAAUAUUUCUAAUGCAGACAGUGUUCAUUCACUUUGUGUGGAGUCUAAGGACUCAUCAGUGAUUUAAAAUGAUUGAUUGUUAGUGUGGAUAAGUUUUAGCUUCGGAGUGAAGAGACUGGAUGUAUGAUUGAGACUUAGAAGCUGCUGGACACGGACAAGGAAAAUGCUAGUAACAGGGAUGAAACUGAGGUGAGCUGAAGGGAUUGGUGGGGUCGGCCUAGCAAAUAUAUACAAGGUCCAUGAGGCUGAAGUCAAUGCAUUGGUUUUGGUUCUACUGUUUUUGGGAACUAAAGGCUAUGUUGAAGCUAUGAAAGGAAUUAAAACUGGCAAGGGGCCCUUUGAAGUUGCUGUAUGAGUCUCAACCCCAAAUGAUUUGACCCAAGUUGUUAACAUUUCAAACUUACCCACCCUCGUGCAUGGAGAUCAUGCAAGCCAGAUCACCUUUUCCUAUACCCAUUUUCUCAUUAAACCUCUCUACUCAUUCCAUCAAUCCAUUACCUGUUUCCGCCCAUGCAUGGCUGUUCGAAACUCCUCAGAUUCAUCCACCCACGCUCAUGAGAACAUGCAAAUCUGGUCAUCUCUCUCGUACCCAUAUCCCUGCACCUUCAUAUUUUUCCCGCCACCUCACCUUCUCUCUCUACACCGUACCCCUUCUCAUGCACUGUCCUCCCACUAAUUCACACCCCGCCAUAUCCGUGUCUAUGCCCGACGCGUUUAUCGAGCACAUUCCCUUCGCUAUAACCCACUGCCCGUCCACCAGUUCACGUCCUUCAUUCUAUUACACCCAUCACAAGGCCCAUUUUCCUACCCUGUAGUCCUUCAUACCCAUAUUUCCCCACCACCUGCUUCUCAAGAGAAAUUCAUUGAAGCUUCAGCUGCUGGUGCCGAUGUGAGAAUGAUGAGACAGUGACGUGAGAUUGACUUGCUUAGUGACAACCAAAGCAAUUCCAUCAGUUCCAGAUGGGGGUGUUUAUGGGUUUCUAGCUGAUAAUGAGCCUUCAUCAACGCUUGUUGUGUUCAGGAAAAGAAAUACGGCACCCUUAUGUUUGAUGAGAGAGGUCUUGAGGUGCUACAGGUUGAAAAACUGGAAAUGAAUGCAAGGCAAAGACGGGGUUUCAGCAAGGACACCUAGUGUUUCUGUUUCACCACAAAGUGAUAACAAUUUCACCAGUAGGGAUUUUGGUGCAAAAUCAUAUGAUUUGCCACGCUGUGACAUCCGUGGUAAUUUUGUUCCUCCUAUCAGACCAAAUGGAAGAAAUGCUAGUAAUGUGAUUUCAUAAAUUGCAGGAAAUGAAUGCUUUAAGUCCGAGUGUGAUUCAUGAACAUCCAUGUGGUGUAAAGUUCGGCUAUUCCAUGUAUACCUCCCAUAGAAGCUUUUACAAAUCAUGAAGCCUUCUAAUGUGGUUCUCGAACAGAAGGCACAGCUGGCACGUGGAUGGAAGGGUUCCAUGCUAUCUGGUGUACGACCAUAUGAUCAACUCAUUCAGCAGUAUCAACAGCUUCAGAGUCAGUCUCAACUUCGCAUGGGGUAAACGUCGGCAGCUGGGCCACAUGGAGACAAGGACCUGAAGCCACCAUCAUCAGAACCUGUCAUUGAUGAGUUUGGUUUACGUGGUUUGUUAAAAGUCAUAAGGAUGAAUAAUCCAGACUUGACCUCCUUUGCUUUGGGAAUGGAUCUUACAACAUGGGGUUUGAACUUGAAUGCUUCAGACGAUCUUCACAAAAGCAUGCCGAGAGAAGAGGCACUGCUAUAUGCAGCACAUGAACUGCAUGCUAGAGGAUGGUACCACCACAAGGAGCAGCGGCUGUGCCUAACUAUGAAUGCUAGCAUGAGGCCCCUUGUCCAAUCUUAGCACUCAUUCCAAUAUACGGGUGUUUCUUGCUCACCUUCAGUUUGGGCACUUGGAGACCCUGCUGGUGCACCCUACAGAAACCCAAAUAUUCCACUUACAUGCAUGAAUUUAUAGUCUCACACUUCCCGCUAAUGGAGCGCAUCAAACGCGAGUUCUGCAUGAAGCCAUUGACGUUGCUGGGCAGAUUAUUCCCUGGAAUUUCCUACUUCUCACAUGUCAUCCUUAUCAUGAAGUCCAUGGAAGAUCUGCUACUCAGAGAGUUCGCUAUGGUAUUCUGAGUUUUUGUUACGAAACGGAGGUGGCAGUAUUUGGGGCGCAGCCAUGGUUCAUUCAUCUGUGAGGAGAAUCUCGAAGCCUGAAAUGAUGAUCAUCGUUUUCACAUCCUCAUCCUUGAUUUUCUCUCUGUUUCACGCUUUCACUACUGGCUUUCUUUGCUUCUGCUCAUAUUCUUACUGAUCCAGAGGGCAAGAAUUGUGAUUUGCUUCCUGAAGUUCUAUGGGAAAAAGCAGUGGCAAUGCUCUAUGAACCUGGAAAGGUAAGCGAUGUUGAGGGCUAUCUUAAGCGGAUCGUUUUGAGUCCAGCGUCUGUAAGGGCAGGAAAUCUUAUUCGAGAAUGGAUGGAAGAUUCCGGUUUGAGAGCGUGGAUGAACCGAAUGGGUCAUGUAUAUGGUCAAGUUGAAGGAAUGAACCCAGGUUUUGACUAUCACUGCCAAGUUACGGAAGUUGAGGCUUCCAAUUGAGGUGAUUGCAUUUGGUGAUAUGAUGGAUAGGGACUUUCGGUACAAUUAUGAGGAGCCAAGUGAGCUUGAGGUUGUUUGCUUUGAAGUGAGGAAGCUUAUAGCUGAUAGAAGGUACAAGGCAGAUACAUUGAGAAGACGGAUUCAUGAACUCGAUGCCAAGUGCGUGAUAGCUUCCAUGGAUCAUACUAAGUAGCUGAAGAAUGCCAUCCUCGAACUGGAGGCUCAUGAGAUGAAAGCAGUAGAGUUACUUGGGAACCUUGGGGCUUGGAUAUGUUCAAAUGUGGACUGGUGGUUAAUCUGUACUUACCCACAGGCUCAAUUCACUAUGUACAUCAAGCUGGCAAGAUAGGUCAACUUGGCAGAAAGAGGGCAAGCCUGUCGCAGCCAUGGAUGAGGAAUAAGCACUGCAUGGUGGCAAAACUUGGAAUCAUCAGAGAUAUAUAUAUACUGGUGGUGCAUGGUAUAUGGAGGGGAACCUACGCAUGUAAGCCACGUGCCCCAUCCCAAAAUUCUUUCCUUUGGAUUUCAAAAAUAAUUCCCUAACCCCGUUUUCAAAUGAUUUUCUAACUUCGGGUUUUCUUUAAACGAUUUCAAAUCAUCAAAUUUUCCAUCCUAGGAGUUUUUAGGAUCACCCAAGAAUACCAUUUUUACUAAAAUUUGGUUGUCAUCUUUCCUUCUGGCAAACAAUUUUAACAUCUCUUUUGUUUUAAAAUGUUUUAAAAUAAGUAUGAAUUAAAUUUCGUAAUUCCGAAUAAUGGAAUUUAUGGAAUUAAUUCAUGCAAAAAUAAACGGGCUUUGGUGGGGACCCAACAUCAAAUAAAUUUUCAUCAAAAUAAAACUGAAUUUGAAUGAAAUGCCAUGUGUGCUGUUGAUGGUUCUUUAUCUGUUUAGUGACUCGCGGGCUAUAUUUUAUAUUCAUUACUAUGCACUAAUCCCAUUUUGUGAUAGCGCGUUGCCGUUUGCUAAUCAGGUACGCAUCCACUUUCUCUUCGGUUAUCCUCCAUUGCAUAUUUUGUUUCUCAUAUGUGCAUGAUUUAUUCGAGUAUUCAUUGAUUUUCUCAUUGAUUGCCACAUCAGCUUCACUUUAUUAGUAGAGACCCGACUUUAGGGACUUAGAGGGGUGCUACGGUUUUUACCGUACCUUCCCGAUAAGUAACCUGACCCCCGAACCUGAUCCGGUUUUUCACAGAUCGCCUUUUCCAAAAUAAGGAGUCACACUUAGGGUUUUUCUUUCUUAUUUUGUUUACCCUUUAAAAAUAAAACAAAAAUAAGUGGCGACUCCAAGUCAUUUCUUUGAAUAAAUAAAAUCAAAAUUUUCAAAUAAAAAUCGAGUUUCGCCAUCGAGUGGGAAACGCAUCGAGCAAUCGAAAUGCGGGGUCCACACCCAUGCUAUGGUUUCUUUUUUUUUUUGGCCUCCUGGACUUUAGCUAGCUCUGCCAGUGCUUGCAGCCAUCUCUUUCUCUCUGAGAUGCAUCAAAAUUUUAACCAACUUCUGUCCUUCUGGUCCAACUUCGUUCUCAUUAAAUUUUAGCAAGAUAGGAUUUCAUUUUGAUUUCAAACAUGAAAGGAAUCAUCUGUGAUACCUGGCUAGUACCUCAUUUUCCAGCAAUCAGAAUGCAAAUGCUCUCUUAUAAAUGAAUGAAAGAAGUAUCUCAAUUCCAGAAUGGAUAGCCAAGCUCAAAAAAAUAGAUACAAUAAACAGAAAUAAAGUGGCUGUUCAAGUUUUGUAGUUACUUGGUCAAGUCAUCAGUACUAAAUGGCAUUAAACUAGUUCUAGCUUACCAAAUUCUACUUGGACCUUAACAAACUGUGAUGACAUAAUUCAAAUCAAAUCAUGAUGAGUUGUGAAAUCAAAUUGGUAAUACCCCUCAAACAUUGUCAAAAACUGCAAAUAAAAGCCUUAUAAAAGCAAAGUAAAAGAAUAAAGGAGAUAAAUAAAACAUAUAACAGAACAAAAACAUCAAAUACUUGGUGAACAUCACAUACCAGCAGCAUGUAGGAGCAAAAUUAGGGACUUCAAAAUGAACGUGAAGCUUUUAUCUGUGCAUGAACAAAUGAUGUCUCACAAAACCUUCAGCAGUCUAUCAAUUGAAGAAAUUUACAAUAAGAGAAGAUAAGCAGGAAUUAAGAAAUAAAAAAACUCACAUUCUAGAUCAUAAUUUCAACAGGAAUAACAUAGUCAGCUUUAUCUGCAGUCCAGUGGGCAUUGUAGUCCUUACAAAACACCAUGAUAUUGACAUGUUUAGAGAGCAGCACUGGCUCAACAACUGAAGGGAGAGUCCUCUUAUAAUUCCUCAACAAUCAAGCAGACAGAGAAAUUUGAAUGAAUGCAUUACCGCCUAGUUUGGUGGGGCCAUAUGAUGACUGUGAGAGACCUUGGAAUUCAAAAAAGUAAUUAGGAUAUUUUUCCCAUGAAGAAAUUGGAGAGAAAUGUUAGGAAUUAAAGACAAGUUCAGGUGAUGAUGCUGAGGGGAACUUCAUGUUCUUCGGAAGGAGAUAAUGAUAAGAGAGACAGUUGGACAGUCGAUUUUGGAUUCAAAAUAGUAGGCUUGAGGCUAGAGCAUAGAAGUGUAUCUUAUUUGAGGUUGGGGUUGUGAGAACUGGGAGACAAAGUUUGACCUUGAAUAAUAAAGGGCCUAAAUUGAAACACAUUGACAAGGUAGGGCAAUUAUACAUUGAUCCUCUCUUGGAUAAUGUUAAGUGACCCUUUCUUGAUUGUGACAACAACCUUGCACAUAAAACUCUGUGUCCUUUCCCUUCUGUGAAAGAAAAACAAAGUCAAUGAAUGUAACUUCAUAGUACUGGGAAUCAAAAGCAAUAUAUAUUUCACCAGCCAAGGAGAAUCAUGAGCUUCCAUGAUAAUAACUUUGGUGAAUUUUUAAAGAAUGUGUUUUUUUUUUUUUCUCCAGCAUUCAGAUGAAUAUGUCCAGUGCGCUCUUUUUCUCCACAUCAAAAAUCCAUGAGAAGCAUACAGCAGGUCACAUGAACUCCACAUCUUCUUCCUGUUGUUCUAUGAUAAUGGUGGCAAGAGCAAGUCUAUAUGCUGUAGAUCUAAGAUUCCUAACCAGGACAUAUAUCUCCUUUCUCCUUUCCUUCAUGGGCAUCUCAUUCCACUGCUCCUCUCUAAGACGAGCAAGUAAGAUUGCUUCACAAAGAGCCUCUGCCUUAAGCUUCUUGCCGCACAUGAAUGGAUACCAAAUAUAAAAUAAUAUGAUAUGAAAUACUACUGACAAGAAAUGGAAGUCGGGCAACAAUGAUAAAGCAGAAGACAUGACAUGUAUACCAACCUUCCUCAUACAAAACCAGUUGUGACAAGUCCAAUCGGCCAACGAUUAGAUUCCCUAGUAACAGUAUCCUCUGGUAUUUGGAGUUCCCACUUACCAGAAGAUUGCUCUUUAAAGUAUGAUCUCACAGAGGACUGAGGUAUUUGAAGUCCUGCCUCUGUACUUUUGGACCUGCGUCAUUUACAUGUUGCAAGAGCAAACAUUGCUGAGUUUCAAAAUAGCCUUUGAUAAUUAGACAUGAAAUUUUAGCAGGCCCAAUAAAAUAAAUAUCGUGAAUCAAUAACCUUUUAAAAUGUUAGUUGAAAUGUAACAUACCGAAUCUCUAGUUUCAAUAAAACUCAGUAGUUCCAUAAUACAACUCAUACUUUUUCACAAAUAGUAUAAAUUUGCAUGCUCCUAUACAAGGUUAUUGAGCCCCCCCCCCCCCCCCNNNNNNNNNNNNNNNNNNNNNNNNNNNNNNNNNNNNNNNNNNNNNNNNNNNNNNNNNNNNNNNNNNNNNNNNNNNNNNNNNNNNNNNNNNNNNNNNNNNNCCCCACCCGGGUCCAAAAAAAAAAAAAAGAAAAGAAAAACAGAAAAGAUGGGAUGUGAACAUAAAAAACAUCAUUGUCCUGAAACUCAAACAGUAAAUCAAUUUUAUAUAUUAGUUAAAAGAACACUACAAGGAGAAGAACUAAGAGAAUCACAAAGCAUAGAUUUACAAUUCAAUAAAAAAGUAAUUAACUAGAGAAAAGAAGAUUGGAGAAAAAAUUACCUGGAAGUCCGCAUUGAUAUAUCAGAAAGAUGCAGUGCACACACAACUGCUCCCUUUUUAAAGGAACCUUCUUUAUAAGCAUGGAGAAGAACUCUGAGGAAACAUAACUUUCGUUCAUAAUUCAUUUGGUUAGGCCCAUUAAGGUUCUGGCUAAGCUUGGCUUCAUCUGUCAUGAGUUCAGAAAAACUCUUCUUAUCAGGUAACUUAGGAAAUAGAAGCAAAUGGUCACCAUGGAUUUCAUUCAAGUAGUAACUCAGCAUAUGAGAUGUCCUUGAUACAAAUCCUUCAAAUGAGAUAUUAGGAUCAUUCAGUGAUAUAUCACAACUUCCAUUGUUUGAGUUUGUUAAUGAAUCACCAUUUGCCACAUCUCUGGUACAUGUUUCCACACAAGGACGGGUAUCUCCCAGACUAGAGGAUACUUUAUCAAAACCCAACCGGACACUAACCCAUGGAGGUGGAAUGGGAACUCCUAAAGCUCGCAUGGAAGGAGGACGAAGUUUUUCCUUUUCAUCAGAUGUUGCUUCAGUUGCCAUAAAAGAUGAGUAUGCGUCAGUAUCAGGGAAAUCUGAAGGAAAAUACGGCAAUUCAACCUGCAAAAGAAUGAAAGUUUAGAAAGAAAAUCUUGAGAACAGAAUUCCAUAACAAAAUUAUGAUAACCUUGGACUCAAAGUACAGAAUUGAGGUGCACAUACUUCACAUGCAAUCCAGUGCUCUCUCAAGCCUAUGGCAUGAGCACCAUUGUUGACAAGAGGAAUCCAAAAGGCCUUGACCCAACUUAAUGGAAGUAUAAUGGACCAUCUGAAAGAUAAUUAAUUAAACAUUGUUAUCAGGGGCUUUCAAAAAAAUUCUGGGAAUUUUAUUCCAUGUGUCAAGAAAGUGCAUCUCUCAAAAUUGUAUACAAAACAGAAUAUAGACAAAAAUUAAGGAAACAAAGCCAAUCUCAUAUACUUGUUGUGGGUUAAAGCAAACAAGAAAAGGGGAAGAAUUGUUCUCAACAGAAAAUUGCAUUACAGAGAUCCCACAUUAAGUUUGAAGCCUGUACUAAAAUUCAGGUUCUUCUGACCUUAUGGUUUGAUCACAAACAAGAUGCACAACAGAUCAAUGAAUUGGGUUGAUGAUUGGUAAUGAGCUCCACCAUGAGGUAAGUAACACUUGAUCAUUCACUGGUUUUUAACUAUAGUAAGAUAAUAUCAUUAUAAACAACUGCCAUGAUCAAUAGGCUUCCUUCAUGCCAGACAAGAUAGCUCAAAAUUUUGGCCAAAAUUCCCAAUAAAUGGUGUUAUUAUUUUCCAUGAUAUAUGCCUUUUUAAGAUUUGAAGGUUAUUUGAAACUUAAAAAAAUAUAUCAAUAAAAUUAAAUAAAAACAACACCACUGCAAUAAAAGAAUAGCCAUUUUUUUUUAUCAGUCAAUGAGAUUCGUAUUAAAAAGCGCCAAAAAGGGCACACCAAAGUAUACACGAUGUAUACAAUGGCAGGCAAGAAGUGCCAAAAAAAGAAAGAGAAAACAAAAAGCUACUCCCUCCCUCAAAUCGACCCCAACUAAUCAAUGAAAUCUACUAUGGACAUCAAUCUUUCACCUAUAAACAGUUUGAUCCAAGUUAACAAGUUACGCAAAAACAAGUAUUUCAACCUUUGGAUUGAGAGUUCCACAUUCUCAAAAGAUCUUUUAUUUCUCUCUUUCCAAAUAGUUUAGAAGAGGUAUAAAGGUGCCACCCUCCAAACUUUUUUCCGCUAUCUCCCAACAAAGGAACCAUGUCAACCUAGCAAAGCUCUUUAACUGUGGACUGCAUCACCCAAUAAACUCUAAAGAGAGAGAAUAAUAGCUCCCAUAACACCCUUGCCUUGUCACAAUGCAAAAGGAUGUGGUCAAUUGACUCCUCAUGAAACAAACAUAGGAAACAACGAUUGGCCAAAGACCACCCUCUCCUUUGAAGCUGGUCAAGAGUUAAAGCUUUUUCCCAAGUCACCUCCCAUGCAAAAAAGCUCACCUUAGGAGGAACCCACGCAUUCCACACAACACUAGAAGGGAAUUGCACUACCCUUCCUGUCUCGAGGCUAGCAUAAAGUGAUUAACAGAGAAAGUCCCACUCUUCGUUUCAACCCAACACACUUUAUCCUCUUUACCCUCUUCUACCACUUUAUCUUGAAAUCUUGCCAAAAAGCGUUCCACAAAAACAAUCUCCCAAUCAUUUAGAGGCCUUGAGAAGUUAGGAUUACAACCACCCCUCUCAUUAGAAUGUUGCCACAACUCCGCCACCCAAGCUUUAGAGUUAGAAAGGGAAAAUAAAGAGGGAAAAGAAACAUUUAAUGGCUCAUCAACGCACCAUUUAUCUUUCCAAAACUUUAUCCUUUUUCCCAUUGCCCACCGAAAAGGAUAAUUUACAACUAACUAAAUCCCACAACUUCCUUAUGUUCUUCCAUAACCCAACACCAUAGCCACCUCUCACUUCCUUAGAGCACCAACCUCCUUCCAAAUCCCCAUAUUUACCACAAAUGCUUAGUCUCCAAAAGGCCUUUCUUUCUGAAGCAAAGCGCCAAUUCCACUUACAAAGGAGGCCUUGUUAAGCGAGUGAAGACCCCUAACACCUAGUGCCCCCCUCCUUUUGUCAUAGCAAACGGUAUCCCACUUCACCAGAUAAGGCUUACUAUCUAAGGUCCUACCUCCCCAAAGGAAGUCCCUUUGAAUUUUUUCCAACCUUAACUGCACAAUCCCCGACAUCCGGAAAAGAGACAAAAAGUAGAUUGACAAAUUAGAAAAUGUACUUCUAAUCAACGUUAGUCUUCCCCCUUUGGAAAUAUAUUGUCUUUUCCAUAAUGCCAAUCUUUUGCGGAAUCUUUCUUCCACCCCAUCCCAAGCCACCAAUGAAUUAUAAGGGGCGCCUAGUGGGAGCCCCAAAUAAGUGGUCGGGAGCAUUCCCACUUUACAACCUAAUACAAGGGCCAACUCUUCUAGGUUCUCCACUCUCCCCAUCAGAAGAAUAACCAUAAUGCACUUAGAUGAAUUCUUCUAUACUUGUUAGAGAUCACACUGCCUGGUGCACAAGAAGACCAACUGCAAAAGAGAAGAUCUAGCAUUUGGAGAAAAACAUCAUAGCCAUGAAAUCUUAAGUGACCUUGUACACAAGGAAAAUGAGAACCAAGUAUUAGAAGCAUGAAAUUCAACAAUUAAUUUGAUCCUCGUUAAUUACAAGUGGAGAAAAAGAUAAGAAAUAAAUAAAUAACUACUUACCCAAUCAUGCCCUUUUGAUUAUUAUUUUUUAAAAGCAGAAUUGGGCAUGAUCCAUGCUGCACAUCACUAGAAGUAUUCAAUAUCCCAGACUGUGACUCACUGAGACAGAAGAAUCCCAGAUGCUGGUGAUGCUUUUCCAUGCAAAGCACAUCCUCUUCCACUGGAGGACUGAGCCCAUUACUAGCAUCCCACAAAUCCAUGUCCUGAUUUCCUACUAAAGAAGUGGUUUCCAUAGCUUCAUUCUCUGAUGCAUCACCAAGUACUCUGUUAGAUGCCACUUCUGGAACAACUGUAGUCUUUUUCUCAGGCAAAUUGUGUGGAUCAUCAACUGUAAGAGAUAGAAUUGCACAAGAAGGAAUCUGCUCUUCAUGCUCAAGGCUAGAGCACGUAGUCAGUUGGAGGAUUUCAAAAUUUUACUGACAACCAAACAACACAUUUAGAUAUGUUCAUUGCUUUGUUUAAAAUGAACAGGUUCUACUUUUGGUUUUGGAGGACUUACCAAGUGAUAGGAUGCAGUAUCUUUUGAAGAAGUCCAAAUGCCUUUGAUCCCAUUACUUCCAAUUUAGCAAGUUGGCCUCAAGUGAAAAACAAUUAAUCAAGAUGCCAGUUUCAUCCAUCUGAAAGAUAAAAAGAGAUAGAGACAAAGUAAAUAACACAGGGCAAGCAUAUGAUCUCUAUCCUGCUAGGUCUUAUCUUUGUUGACAUAAUGCUUUACAAAUUGAAAUUUUAUUCCAAGGAAACAUAUAAACCCAACGUUAUAUAAGACAAGGAUAUAUAUUUAUGAGCAUUACAUAUGCAUGCUAAACAGUACAGGGGGAUAAUAUUGAUAAGUAUUCACUUUUUCGAGCUAUCACAUAGGAACAGUUUGCUCACAAGCUACUCUUCAUAACAAAUAAGCACAUUAGAGUCUCCAAAAGGGGAAAAAAUAGAUCAAAGAUAGAUAAUCUCUAUGGUUUACCAGUUCUUGACAAGCAAAUUUCAGAGCAUCAUAUCCUUCAUUGAAAGCUGAGGCAUGCAUCCACACCCAUAGCUGGCGGAAGGAAGAACAACACUCAUUUGUCCGUGUGCUGUUAACAGAAUCAACAUUAUGGUGUUCUGCUCCAAUACCUAUAUCCUUUUUUUGUAAGGGUCUCCACAUAUAGGUUACAGGGGCAAUUGAUUUAGAACCAGGUGCUCCAACAUGAUGAAGCUGCAAAACAAAACAAGGAGAGUCUAUCCCUAUGUUUGUUUCAUCAUUCUUGAAUUGGAGAAGGUGCAAUGAAAUAACUUACCAUAGCACGUCCAUAGACAGCACCAGAAAGAACAGAACGGGGAAUAUCCUCAGAGUGAGCAGAUGGAGAAGGAACCAAUACCAUGCUUAGAAUUGAAAGUAAUGAAUCCUGGAAGCAUAUAACAUGAUAAACUAAAUUUCCUUAUGCAAAUGAAACAAAAAAACCAAAAGCAUUGAGAUACCACUUCCAGGUCUAUAGCGCCUAAAAUAAAAAUUCUUCUGAAGUAAUGAAUUAAGAGAAAAAUCCACAAUUGAAAUGGUCUGCGAUUACAAAGAAAUGAAAUGCAUACCUCCGGACCCUCCAAUUGCAGGGCAAUGUGGUAACAAGCAUCAUGUACAAGAGCUCCAUGUCUGAACUACUUCAAAAGAGCCCUUGAACCCCUUCCUCUACAUCAUUUUAGAGAAAAAUUGCCCAAAUUAAUUCUUUCUCAUACACUCAAAUAACAUAUAGAAGUUGAAAUAAAAAUACGGAAAGGGUAACCCAAAUUGGUUCUUUAUCUAAGAGACUUCUCCAUGAAAAAGAGCUCCCAAUGGAUGUUUGGAAAGUAAUUCCACUGCAAACCCAAAUCUAAACGUAUUAAUGCUCCAUUUCAAACUUGAAGUUUGAGGUAAAGUACCCUUUGAACCACAGAAACAAAAAGGAGAAAAUCAAGAAAAAUGAAAAAAGUUUAAACUAAAUAAAAAUUUUCAUGUAUAUUAUUAAUGUAUCAAAUUUUACAUAGUUUUCGAAGUUGGAAUUUCUUCCUAAAUUUUUUUCCCUUUUCAGUACCAAAUGGCCUAAGAAGAAUCUCCAAUAAAAAAAACCUAGAAUGAAUUACCUGCCUUGCAAGCCCAGAGGUAGGUAGAAACCCCAAAGCUUCGUCAUUGUGAAGCGCUUUGCAUGCCAAACAUGGGUUCUCAGCCUCUUGGUACCGUCCCCUGAAGUAGAGUAACCAUGUUCAGGGUUUCUUCUCAGUUCAACUCGCCGACGAAUACGACGAGGAACUUUCUUCUCAUCUUUCUCCAAAGCCCCAACAUUGCCUUUAUCAACCACCCCUAUUCUCUCCCUCUUUCUAAAUCUCUUGUUUGCAUCUCUGUUAUCAUACCCCGUGGUCCUUCUUCUCUUGUUUCUCUGAGACCGGAAAUUGUUGUUCACCCGAUUUGCUACAAUUGAGUGAAGAGCCUCAAGUUCAAAAGCUCGGGAUUCUGCAAAUUUCUCAACGUUGAGACUUCGAGGAGGUGGGGCUAUCGAUGAUCGUUUGAAACCAUCAGUAACCAUUACUGGGAAUAACACCCAAACUGAAGAUCAGGAAUGGCGACGGCGGUAUGGCCGGAACGGUGAUUGCCGCCGGUGUUAUUGGAUGGAGAUGCGUUUGUGUUGAUGGGGCUGAGUGAAGGUGGCGGCGAUUAGGAUGACGGCUGAGCAGCACCGUCCAGUGUUCUACAACCCUGGGUUUUUGGCGGCAGGCCUGUCGAGCAGGAAACCAUUCUUUGUUCUAUUCUAACUAAACUCCGGAAUAAGGAGAGAAUUGUUACAGAGAUUAAACUCUCCUGCAUCCACUUAGUAAAAUACUACUUUUUUUUUUUAAAUAUUACAAAGUUAAAUAAAAAAAAAUUAGAAUAUCAAAGAUCAAAUAAAAAAAAUUAGAAUAUCAUGUUUGCAUUUGAACAUAAUAAAUGAAUUUUCAACCUUUUAAUAUUUUCUUAUUUCAAUUAAUUAAUUAAUAAUAAAUUUAUAUUCAUGUAAUUUAAAUAAUUUUUCUAUAAAUAUUAAAAGUUUUAAAAAAUAUAGGUUGUAUUUUUUAAAUUUAUGAUACUUUACAUAUUAAUAAUAUUUAUCAUCUUAGGUAAUGUUAGGUACAUAGAAAUGUGGAGUGAGAAUGCGAAUGCGAAAUCUUAAUUUUCUCCUUCAUUCUUAUGUUUGUAUAACUCAAGUAAAAAUAGAAAUGAAAUCAAUAAUGAUUCUAAAGAAAAGGAAAUUCCACUUAUUAAUCAAAUUUCAAUUUAUCCCAUAAUAGGAGGUAUUUUGAUACCUAAUAUAACUUAUUUUUAAAAACACUUUUAAAAUUUGAAAAAUCAAUUUUUUUAUGAAUAAAUUAUUUUUUAUUUAGAUUUUGUAAAAAAAUAAAAUAAAAUUGUCAAUUCCAUUUUGCUAGAAAAAUUGGGCUAAUUAAACCUAUGGUAAUCAUCCUAGAAGGAGGGUGAAAAGGGUGAUGGUCUUUUUUUUCCAAAUUCAAACUAUGUGAAAGAAACAAUUAUAUGCAAGUAUAUAAUAAAACAAUAUAAAGACAAUUGCAUAUUAAGUAAAAUAAUAGGGAAGAGAGAAUGCAAAUACAAGAUUUUAUAGUGGUUCGGUGCAACCCGGCCUACAUCCACUCUCCUCUAGCUUCAAUCCCAAGCUUGAGGUUUCACUAAUUCAAGGCUUCUAAAUCAAGCCUUCAAGCAAUACAAUUGGAUUAUGGUUCCAAUCCACCCUCUUGGACUUUUGGUUCAAAGCAUCCUUUACAAGCCUCAAGAGAUACCUCACUCUUGAAUAACUCCUCAAACGAUACCCCACACUUGAGAAUCCCUAAGUGAUACCUUACACUUAGAUUCUUCCUUUCGAAGAUUUACAAAUAAAUGAUCUCACAAAAUCCUAAUACAAAAACUUUAAACUCAAACGAUACAAGAAAACUAGGAUUGAAAGGUGCAUUAAUGAUAUCCAAGUUUUAGAACAAUGGUGCACUAAAAAAUACUCUUCCAAGGCUCAAAUAUAUUCAAGAAAGGUUUGGGAAGGUUAAGUUCAUGAAACAAUGAAGAUUGAAGCCUUUUUAUAGAAGAAAAUGACCAAACUAGCCAUUGGGGGUUCGACCGGUCAAGCUAGGGUUGAUCGGUUGACUAACUAUUAGCAUUUAAUACUUAGCAGGUGAUCGUUGGACCUCGACCGCCCCUUGAUCGGACCUUAACCGGUUGAGGUAGGGGUUGACCGGUUGAGGUUCAACCUUGACCAGUUGAACAACCGUUCUGGAAGAGAGAGAAGGUUUUUUACACCCCUCGAUCGAUUGAGGUGGGGGUCGACCUGCUCCUAGACCAAUUCAACUGGUUGAGCCGUUUUUUGUUCAAUAACCAACUUUUUCAACUUAAAACCUUUUAAACAAGUUUAGAAAACAUUUAACACAAGGUUUUAGUUGAAAACAUAAAAUCAUCUAAUUUUAAAAAUAUUUAAAACAAAAUAACUCUUAGAUAAUUUUGAUGCAUAAGUAAAAAAUAUAAUACAUGAAAAUCUUAAUGUACCAACAACCUUACAAAGAGAUCUUAUGAAACUUGGGUCUUGAAAAACACUUCUCUUUGAGGUUUUCUUCUUUUUCAUGAUUUCUCUUUGACUUGAUUUUUCUUUGUGAUUGCCACUUUGGAAAUCUUCUUGCCUAAUCACACUUGAAAUAUAAUCAUUAGUUUUAAACCUUAUUUUGUUAUCUUCAAAACCGAUACUAACCAAACAUUGGCUUCACACAUUUUAUAUAAUAUAAACUAACUUUAAUUCAAGCCUUAUUAAAAAUAAAAAUAGUCUUGUAAUUAUAAAUAAAUUAAAAAAUAAAUAGUUUUUAAUAAAAUAUGAAUAUUAAUAUUAUAAUAAAAUCUUAAAUUAUAUUUUUAUAAAUAUUAUAAAAAUAUGGAUAUUAAUAUCUUAUUAAAGCAUAAUUGAUUUAUUUUGUUAAAAAUAAAUAAUAAUAAUUUAAAAUUAAUAAUGGUUAAUACUAUUUUAUUUUAAAUGAAUUUAAAAACAAACAAAGUUAGCCCAAAUUUUUAUUACAUGCAUACCUUAUACUCAAUUAAGAAUAUGAUAUUCUAAUUUUUUUUAAUUUCUUCAAAUUUUUUUAUUUAAUUAAUGGAUUUUUGAAUUUUAAAAGAUUCAUUAGAAUUUAAAGCAUUAAUUAUGUCUAUUAAUUUUUAUAGUCAUUAUAUAUAUAUAUAUAUAUAUAUAUAUAUACUUAGUUUCAAAUUAUUUUUAAAAAUUAUUGAACUUCUUACUUUGUUUUUAAAAUUGUUUCCCAAGAAUAACAAUUAAACAAUGGUAUAAAUUUUUAAAACAAAUUUGUUUUUAAAUCACACACCAAAAUAACUUUUUUGAAAACUACAUAAGUGUGAAUUUUUUUUUUAAAAUGAAAAUAAAUAUUUUAAUAUUGAAAUAAAAAUAAAUAGUGAUACAUUCAAACCUAAUAAUUAGAAUCACCAAACUAAAUUGAAUUAAAAUCAUGAAUGCAUUCAGAUUAUAAAAUAAAUUAAAAUCAAACUAAAUUGAAAUUAAAUUCUACUUGAUAAAAUUAUUGGAAUUUUAAAAACUCAAACUUUAUUUGAUACAAUCAUUUAAACUAAAGAAUUAAGAUCCACGAAUGCCUUUGAGUUAAAAACGAAUUAAAAUUAAAGUAAUUGGAAUUAAAAAUACAAACUUUAUUUAGCGUGAUUAUUUAAACUAAAAACGAAUUAAAAUCAAACUAAUUAGGAUCAUUAACACAUUCAAAUUAAAUCAUAAACUAAAACUAAGUUAAUCCGAAAUUAAAAAAGUAAACUUUAUCUCACAAAUUAUUUAAACUAAGGAAUUCAAAUCAUUAACACAUUCAAAUUAAAUUAUAAACUAAAACUAAAUUAAUCCGAAAAAAAAUAAACUUUAUCUCUUAAAUUAUUUAAACUAAGGAAUUAAAAUCACUAACUCGUUUAAAUUAAAUUAUAAACUAAGGUGGUCUUUGUUUUUUUACUUAAUUCUAAAUAGAACCUUAAUGCUUAAUAGUGUUAAAUAUUAGGUUGUUUAUUUUUAUAGUAUUUUAUUUCUAUUAAGUAUUAAAAAGUAAAAAAAAUCAAUAUGUUAUUUUUUCUAUUUAGAAAAAGCUACAUAUUUUGGCUUUUUCUAUUUAGUACAAAGUUAAUAAUAAGUUAUGAAAAAGUAGAAAAACAAACAACCUAAAUUCUAAAACUAAAUUGCUUUCAGCAAAAAGCCAAAAAAACAAACACCACCUAAAACUAAAUUAAUCCGGAAUUAAAAAAAUAAACUUUAUCUCAUAGAUUACUUAAACUAAGGAAUUAAAAUCACUAACUCAUUUAGACUAAAAGAUAGAUUAAAACUAGACUAAUUGAGAAUUAAAAUACGAACUUUAUCUAACAUGUUUAAUUAAACUAAACAUAGAAGAUAGAUUAAAAUUGAACUAAAUUGAAAUUAAAAAUAAGAGUUUUUCUAAUAUGAACAAUUAAACUAACGAAUUAAAACAACAAACACUAAACAUAAACGGUAGAUUAAAAGUGAACUAAAUCAAAAUUAAAAACAAAAACUUUUCUAAUAAAAAUAAUUAAACUAACGAAUUAAUAUUACAAACACAUCUAAACAUAAAAGAUAUAUUAAAAUUGAACUCAAUCAAAAUUAAAAAUAAGGACUUUCAUAAUAGAAACAAUUAAAUUAAAGAAAACUACAAACACAUCUAAACAUAAAAGAUAAAUUAAAACUAAAUCGAAUUGGAAUUAAAAAAAAAGGGAACUUUAUCUAAUGGGAUAAAUUAAACUAAAAAAAUUAAAACUACAAACACAUCCAAACUAAAAAAGAAAAAAAUAAAUUAAAACUAAAUCGAAAUUAAAACAAGAAAUUUAUUAUAUAGGAUUAAUUAAAUCAAAGAACUAAAAUCAUUAAAACACUUAAAACUAAAAUGAUGAAUCAAAACGAAAUAAAAAAUAAAUUUGAAAACAUACUAUGGACCCCGCAUUUCAUGCUCAUGCGUUUCCUACUCGAAUGGCGAGCUCGAUUUUUAUUUUAUUUGAAAAAUUGAUUUUUAUUCAUUAAAAAAAAUGACUUGGAGUCGCCACUUAUUUUUGUUUUAUUUUUAAAAGGGUAAACAAAAUAAGAAAGAAAAACCCUAAGUGUGACUCCUUACUUUGGAAAAGGUGGUCUGUGAAAAACCGGAUCGGGUUCGGGGUUCAGGUUACUUAUCAGGAAGGUACGGUAAAAACCGUAGCACCCUUCUAAGUCCUUAAAAACAGGUCUCUACUAAUAAAAUGAAGCAAUCAUGGCAGUGGACUAGUAGAUCAAUGAGUGCCCAGAAUAAAUCAUGCACACGUGAGAAUCAAAAUAUGCUUGGACAAUUACCAGAGUGAAAGUAGGUGCGUACCUGGGCGACGAGCCACCAUGCGCUAUCAAGAGAGAGGUUAGUGCACAAUUAAGAAAUAAUAGCAUGCAUGUCGGAGAGCAGGAUAAAUAAAUCAUGUAUGAUAACCAAGUCAAUCAAUCAAAUCAAUCAAUAGAUCAUAAGAUCAAGUAUGUGAGGCCCCCACCAAAGCCCGAUUAAUCUUGCAUGAAUUAAUUUCACAAAUUCCAUUAUUCGGAAUUAUGAAAAUUGCAUUCACACCUAUUAAAAUCAAGAGGAGCAGAAGAUUGUUUGAAAACCAGAGUGGAAUUAAAACUAUUUGAGAGAAAAUUGGAUUUUUGAAAUUCAUUUGAAAAAAUUGGAGCUUUGGGAAUUAAAUUUGAAAAUUGAAAUUUUGGGAAUUAAAUUUAAGAAUUGGAAUUUUGGGAAUUAAAUUUGAAAGAAAUUAGAAUUUUGGAAAUUGGAAAUUAAGUUCGAAAAUUGGAAUUUUGAAGAAUUGUUUAAAGAUGAAAAUUUAAAAAUAAACAAAUAAAUAAAUGAAUAAAGUGAUGAUGAUUAAAUAAAUUGAUAUAAAAAUUGGAAUUUCGGAAAUCGGAAUUAAAUUUAAAAAUCGGAAUUUGUUUGAAAGAUUUAUUUUAAGAUGGUAUUUUAGAAGUUAAAUUUGGAUAUUAGAAUUUUUGAAAAAUUAAUUUAAAGAUUAAAGUGAUUGAAAAUCUGAAAUUUUGAAAAUUGUCUUAAAAACGUGUUCGCCAAAAAAACAAAAAAAGAAAAAGAAAAUGGACAUAAAUAUUCAAGCCCACCAAAAAGUCUUCACUGCGCAUGUAAUGAUUCUGGAAGAAAGAAAUAAUAAUAAAAUAAAAAAUGGCUUUGAGAGCCUUCACUUUGAGAAAUAGGUGCAUGAUGGCAUUGGAAAAUGAAUGGCAGACGGAAUUGCAGGCCCUUAAUUUCUUCCCAGAUCUUGAAGAAAAAAGGUUAUUAUUAUUAUUAUUAUUUUUCAUUUUAAAUGGAAUUUUUAACCAUAGGUUCAAUCUCACUAAUAAGUAAAUAAAUAGAUGAGUUUCAAAGCAUUAAAUUAAUAGUAAAUAAAAUAAAUGAACAACUAAUAAUUAAAUGAAUCACAACUAAACUAAAUAAAUAUCAAACUAUAUUAUUAUUAUUAUUAUAUAUAUAUUUUUCAAAGUAGAAUUACGUGAAUUUGCAUUUUAUGGAUUUAAUAUGAUAUAUUAAAACUAAACCAAAACACAGUUCUCAUUCUACCAUAUUGAGACAAGCAGAAAAAGUAUGCUGGAGUUGGUAUAUAAACUCAAGCCACUUACCCUAUUAUAAUAAUAAUUUUACUUGGAAAAAUGGUCCAAGUCUUCACUGAUGCUGAAACUCCACGUAUAUAUAUGUAAAAAGAAAAUAGUUGACUUACCUAAUGGCAGUGAAGGUGGCAGAGGAGGGGAUGUGCAGCUGGUGUGGCGAAGGAUGAAUGAAAAAAUUAAAAAAACCAGUUGUGAUGUGGGGUUGCUGCUAUGAUGGAUGAGCAGCCCGGUGAUGAAGAAAAAUCAGCAGCCCGGUGAUGAAAAAGAAUGACAGUCCAAUGAUGAAAAAGAAUGGCAAUCCGGUGAUGAAAAGAAAAUCAGCAGCCCAGUGAUUCAAAAAAAUGACACCAUUCCCUCUGAAAAACUCCUUGCAUAGAUCCCUAACGGCAGCCUCAAAACGCCCUAAAAAAUAAUGUUCCUCUCCUCUUCUCCCGCUUCCUCCUUUUCUUUUCCUUUCUUCUUCCCUUCUGCCGUAGCCCUUCUCCUCUUUUCUGCAGCUACACCCACUCCCCUAUUCCCCUCGUCAGCAAGCAUGGGCAGCCUCGCCUAAUGCCAGUUGCAUGCGCGUCUCCAGGCCAUGCGUGGGAAGGUCCCUCCCCCUCUCUUCUUCGCCACAUGUCAUGCAAAAGGAGAAGGAGAAGAAACCCGCUUCCCCGGGCCCUCCCUUACUUCUAAAAAGGGUCUAAAAAUAUGCCCCUCUUCGGUAGAGCUCAUGAGUGUAAGGAAUAUGAACACUGAAGCGAGAAGUAAGUGUGAAUAGUGAGUGGAACGAAGUGAACUCUACCGAAGAACAAAGGAGACCCCCACAAGGACACUAGCAAAACAUGAACUCACUCAGGCUGAUAGACAAACACAAAUGCUCUAAUCCUAAGAGAAAAUGGUGUCUCAAAAUGCCUCUGAAGCCACACUAAGGAUCCGGGCUCCCUCUAAGACGUCUCCAAAAGUGACUCGAAGAUCGAUGUCAAAGAUGAGUAACGGUCGAACCACCCUGGAGUACAAAAAAGAAUGUGCCCGAAGGAGACUGCCCUACGCGAACUAUAUGAGAAUGCCAAGUGUAAGGUGCCCAACAGCAUGAUCGAAAUAUGCGUCACGGACUCAAAGAACUAUGUCAUGUGUAGUGGAAGGGGGAAGUCUAGAAGAGCAAUGAUGAAUAGGCGAUAAUCAUCAAGUAACCAGGUGAAGAGAAUGACUCUGAACGCCCAAAAUGGAAAUGUGACCCUGAAUGACAUACUGAAGCAAAGACCUGGACGCCGAACUGACCUGAUAGGAAGAAUGAAUGACCAAUCUAUAUGGGUGCGGUCCCGACUCAAACUAAACACAAACUGAUAGGAAAAUGGCUGAUUGAUAUGGGUGCGGCCCCGACUCAAACUGACAAGAAAAUGACCGAUCGAUAUAGGCGCGGUCCCUGAAACUGAACUGACAUGACAAGGAGAUGGCCGAUCGAUAUAGGUGCGGCCCCGACUCAGACUGACACGAUAAUGACCGAUCGAUAUAGGUGCGGUCCCAGAAACUGACUGUCAUGAUAAGGAGAUGGCCGAUUGAUAUAGGUGCGGCCCCGACUCAAACACAAACUGAUAGGAUGAUGACCGAUCGAUAUAGGUGCGGUCCCGACUCGAAAAUUGACAUGACAGGGAGAUGGCCGAUCGAUAUAGGUGCGGCCCCGACUCAAUCACAAACUGAUAGGAUGAUGACCGAUCGAUAUAGGUGCGGUCCCAACUCGAAAACUGACAUGACAGAGAGAUGAUGAACAUGGCCGAUUGAUAUAGGUGCGGCCUCGAACUCGAACUGACACGAAAAUGACCGAUCGAUAUAGGUGCGGUCCUAGAAACUGACUGUCAUGAUAAGGAGAUGGUCGAUCGAUAUAGGUGCGGCCCCGACUCAAAUUGACACGAUAAUGACCGAUCGAUAUAGGUGCGGUCCCAGAAACUGACUGACAUGACAAGGAGAUGGUUGAUCGAUAUAGGUGCGGCCCCGACUCAAACUGACACGAUAAUGACCGAUCGAUAUAGGUGCGGUCCCAGAAACUGACUGACAUGACAAGGAGAUGGCCGAUCGAUAUAGGUGCGGCCCCGACUCAAACUGACACGAUAAUGACUGAUCGAUAUAGGUACGGUCCUAGAAACUGAACUGUCAUGACAGGGAGAUGGCUGAUCGAUAUAGGUGCGGCCCCGACUCAAACUAACACGAUAAUGACCGAUCGAUAUAGGUGCGGUCCCAGAAACUGACUGACAUGACAAGGAGAUGACCGAUCGAUAUAGGUGCGGCCCCGACUCAAACUAACACGAUAAUGACCGAUCGAUAUAGGUGCGGUCCCAGAAACUGACUGACAAGACAAGGAGAUGGUCGAUCGAUAUAGGUGCGGCCCCGACUCAAACUGACACGAUAAUGACUGAUCGAUAUAGGUGCGGUCCCAGAAACUGAACUGUCAUGACAGGGAGAUGGCCGAUCGAUAUAGGUGCGGCCCCGACUCAAACUAACACGAUAAUGACCGAUCGAUAUAGGUGCGGUCCCAGAAACUGACUGACAUGACAAGGAGAUGGCGGAUCGAUAUAUGUGCGGCCCCGACUCAAACUGACACGAUAAUGACCGAUUGAUAUAGGUGCGGUCCCAGAAACUGAUUGACAUGACAAGGAGAUGGCCGAUCGAUAUAGGUGCGACCCUGAAAACUGAACUAACAUGAUGAUGACCGAUCGAUAUAGGUGCGGUCCCGACUCAAACUGAACUGAUAGGAUGAUGAUGAGAAGAUGAUCGAGUGACUCAAAGCCAGAUGAUACAAAGAUGACGAUGCAAGCAAACUUGGCAGGAGGGGACAUGCCCCAGUAUGACAACUCAUGAGGAUCAACGACUAGGUCAAAAGAUAACGAAGCCCAUAAGAGGUCUGAUGAUCCCAGGGAAGGAGGGUAUGCCCCAGUAUGUAACUCUCGGGGGUCAAAAACUAGAUCGAAAAGUGAAUGAAACCCAUGGAAGGUCCGAUGCUCUCGGAGAGGGGGUAUGCCCCAGUAUGCAAUGAUGAACAGAUAGAGAUGCAAAAUGCCUCAAAACUAUUGUACUCUUAAAUAUGCUCAUCCAUCAUGUAAUGAAAAUGUCCAACCUCAGAUCGGUAAUGCCAAACAAGACCAUGUAUCGUGACACCAUGCUGACAAAACAAAAAUGACUGACGAAUAAAAACAAUGAUGACCAAUGCUCGAAAUGCAAAGAGCAAAUAAAAAACAACACUCAUCGUGCCAACUGUCAAAAUGAAAGCAUCGUCACUAAUAAACCAACAAUCUGUCAGGCCCUGCCAUCAUGGAAAAUGUUGAACCUAAAGUCCAAAAGAUAUAUGAAAACACAACCAAAGUGAUCGAGGACUGAUCCACGUCUCCUCCUAAUCGAGAGAGAGGUGAGGUCAUGUGUAAUGGUAAGAUGUGUAGGAUAAAAGAAGGUGAUGGUCAGGCUCCGGUAUGAUAGAAGGUAUGAAAGUAUCCAUGGUGAAACGUUUGAGUAUGAAAUGAGAGGUAUGUAAGUAUCUGAGAUCAUCUAGGUAUGCCGAGGAGGCUAGACCCGAGGUGUCAAUAGCUCCACAAUCCAUCAGAAGUAAUAACCAUGAACGGAAAGUCAGAUCUCGAUAUCAAAACAUCCGACUAGGUGGCUAUGCCCCAGUAUGCAAUGAGGACAACAUGAAAUAAUCCAAUGAUCUCCGUAUCACUCGUCGGGUGCUCCUAUGUCAAGAACCAAUCUGAUCUCCCUCCAAAAGAUGGAUAUGCCCCAGUGUAAAGCAAUACAUCCGAGUCGACAACUGCUGAAGAAGAUCAUGCCUAGUAUACGUCAACAAAUCAAUCAAUCUCAAGUCCCGCUGCCAAAAAUGAUAAUAUCUCAACAUGAUCCAUACGAAUCAAAAUCCCUGGGCUCUAUGAAUACGAACGAACUAGCUAUGCCCCAGUAUAAACCAUCUAAAGUGACUAUGCUCCAAGGUAAAUCAAAGUCCAUCACCGAUGAGAAGGCUAUGCCUCAAAAUAAAUUGUCAUCUCAAAAAUCAACCAUCAAUGAGUAGAGUGUGUCCCAAUGCAGAGUGUCGAGUAGAGUGACUGUAUCUCCAAUAAAAACUCUCUCCAAAAUGGCUAUACCCCAGUAUAGGGUCAUCCCACAACUCCUAAUCCAUCGUAAUCCAAGUGAAGAAGCGAAUUGACUAUGCCUCAGUGCAAGGCACCAUCCCGAAAGAAAACGUCAUCGAUGAGCGGGGUAUGCCCCAGUGUAGAUAAUGUCGCCUCUGAAAGUCCAUCACCGAUAAGAGGGGUAUGCCCUAGUGUAAAUCAUCAUCUCAACUCCACAUCCAUCAUGCUCCGAGAGAUAAUCAUCGACCAAGCUCGAGUAUUGCCCAUGUGUGAGCCGUCAAACACAACGUGAAGUAAUGGCCUCAGGGUGGUCUUCAGACUUGGGACGUAACGUAGGCUAAGGUAAUAGGGUGAAAGAAAUGAAGGGAAACUAGGCUCAAAGAUCCCAAUGAUAUAAUCCCCAUACCCCUCGUGCAUGAUAUGCAAUGCGUAGAAAACGUCAUGAGUCCCGGACCUAGGGGUCCCCACACCAAAAGUGAUGAUAAAGGGAUGAACAUAUCGGAUAAGCAAGAAUAAAGUGUAGAUGCUGAACUCAAGUCAAACAUUAAGGAGGAUGAGAAAAGAAAGAAAUUAGAUGAGGUAAGGUGGAGUGAAACGGAGGAAUAAAAUAAAGACAGAAGAAGACGAAGACGAAGAGAUAGAAAAGUGAGUGAUGGUCAACUCGCAUCAAAGCAUGGAAAAUAGUCACAUUUGAAAUAAACGGAAUGAUGGAUAGAGCAAGGAUCCAGAGAUACUAAAGGAAAGUCGCUCGUCUCUCUCACAAAAAUCGAAUGGAUGACUCAUACUCUCACCCAAAAUAUACAUCAAGAUGAAACUUAGAAAGAAGCUCUCAUACGAACUCUCUCUAACACAUGAACUCAAUGAAGCAACCCGACACGUCCAUACACAUGCCCAAUGAAGAACGAUAAAAUGAACAAUGCGCUAUAUAUAUAUAUAUUUUCUAUAUAUAUAUAUAUAUUUGCGCAUACUCUGAUAAAAAAUGAAUGAACUCCCAUGAAAAUACAUACCCAAGUGAUCAAACCCUCUCCACAUACGAAUGUAACAUGAAUCCUCACCAACAAGACAACCUCUCAAAAUAACAUCUCUGAACCACUGCCCAUGGGGUGAAUGAUAGGAAAGAAUGUGACAAUCCUCCAUGCAGUGACGUGUGAAAAACCAUCACUCAAGGUGAAACAAGGAUAAUGUCGAGUAAUCAAUGAGGAAAGGAAAAGACAGAGAACAAAUAUCACAAGUGGUGGUAUGUGAUAUCGGAAAAUAGUGAUGGAAUGAUGUCCAAGCGGGAAAUAUCACAAUGAAGAGUGAGGAAUGAGGCCUGAAUAAGUAUGUCAGGUCUAGAACUCAUGACGUAUCCAAUCAUAGCAUGCAAGCACUACAGGGUCCCUAACCCGGUGUAAUAGGUAAAUGAGGUGAUGAAAGAAAAGACUAUGUGCUCGUGUGAGGCUCAAAGGGCUAGCAAUGGGUAACUCUAUAUGUGAGGGUGAUACAAUAAAUAGGCUCAAUGAAAUGAUGGCCACCCAUCCUUUGACCAAAACCUCGAACAUCGUGCUUUCGAGAUCUCACAUGGCCAAUACUAAAGACUGGCGUCCAUCCAACAUAGUCAUGGCGACUCCUCUGAAAUCGUGCGAAAGCUCCCACUGAUGCUCUAUGACAACCAUCAAUGUACUCUGGCAAUCAACUCACUCUAUCAUCAUACGUCACUCACCAACGUCUCAUAAAAUCACCAUGUCUAAUCAUCUCGGCUCCCUGAAGUCGUGUGUAAUAACUCAAAUCCGGAUGCUUCCUAACGUCUCCUCUACCUCAACAACAUCGUCAAGCAAUCAAGCCACUCUCUCAUCAUGAUCCAUCUAUCAUCGUGUAAAGCCCACCUCGGGUCUAACCAUCUCGGACUCUACCUAAUCAGAUCAAGGAAAUGAUGGGAAGGAAAGACAAUGGUACUGUAGCAUGAUAAGGCGAAUAAGGGUAGUAAAGUCGUGUAAUGGUGCCAAGGGGUGGUGUCAUGUCAGGCUCAAAAAGGGUAGGUCAACAAGUCCAUAGAGUCAAGGUAUGGAUGUGGUGCUGCUCUAAUCAGAGGAUGAAACGAGUCAUAGUCUCAAACUCUCUAGGUCGAUCUCAUGAUCCCAAGUCAAUAGGCUCAAUAUCCUCCAUGAUAGGUCAGGCCCAAGUGAUCAAUGAUGCCAAAGUGAAAAUGUCUCAUAUCGAAAGCAUAGCACACAUCAACACAAAAUAUGUAAAACGUACUCAUGAGAAAAGAGAAUAACACAUACUCAAAAUAAAAGAUCAUGUCACUGAAUGAACCAAAUGAGUACAUCAUGUGUGAAGCGAUAAAGGACUACAAACGACUAGAAAAACAACGACUCUGAACCAAACUGGACUCAACAAAGCCACUCUAAUGAACUAAAAACUAGACUCGACAGAACGGGAACGACUCUGAUGACGACCAUAAUCAAAAUGAAAGGUGCUCUGAGCUAGAUCGCUGCAAAAUGAUGUACCCAUGUCGACAGAACCAAGUCCUCAGCCCGGAAUGUCCCAAAAUACCAUGCCAUCAGUACCCUCAAUAUCCAAAUCAACCUACUAAAGACUAGGAGGAGGAGGAACUGCAUGUGUGGAAUGCGCAGGCAGAGGAUUGGUGGUCACACUUGGCCCAGCCAAGUCAACCACCCCUGAAUCGAUCAAAUCCUGUAUCGCAUGAUGGAGUGCUGAACAACGCUCAGUAUCGUGCCCCGGAAUCUGAUGAUACAAGCAGUGCUCAUGUGAACGGAAAUGAGGAGGAAUAGGAUGGGGCAAAGGCCUCGGCGCCAAAGGAACAAUCACUUCAGCGUCUCUGAGCUUCUCAAAAGCUCUAGUCAAAGUCAUGCCCAAGGGAGUGAACUGUCUCGGGGGCUUCUGUGCAUAUGGUCUAGGUGGUGGGCGAGUAGCGGCUCUCGGAUGUGGUGGUCGCGGCUGCAUGCUAGUCUGAGCAAUGUAAGGCUCCUGAGCAUAAUCCAACUGAUACUGAUACUGUGGAAGAGAGAAAGGAGCUCUGACUGUAGGAGGCUUAUAAGCUGAGUGAUGCGCAGGCCUCUGGUGCUGAUAGCUAAUAGCACCAACCUCUCCAGAUCUGGUCAAUGGUCCAAUCGGCCUCUUCUCUUUACUGUCAGGGGAAGUAGCAGUAUCUGUCCAUAAUCCUCGAGCCAUAGCCUCCUCUACACUGAAAGCAGCAUGAACCAAACUCCUAAGAUCCUAAAAUGGGAUGCCCACCAGACGCCUAGCGAACCUCGGUUGUAGGUUCCGAAGAACCAUAUCAAUCUGAUCCUGCUCCUUAGGCCGGUCUACCAUACCAGCCACCUUUGCCCUCCAACGAGUGAAAAAGGAAGAAAUAGACUCCUUCGGCCUCUGUCUAGUGGCUUCCAACUCUCGUCUGGAUACAUCAAUAUCGGCACUGAAAGCGAACUGAGUCAGGAACUCACGAGCCACGUCCUCCCAAGUGCGAAGUCUCGAAGGCUCAACUGAAGCAAACCACCUCUGAGCUGCCCCGCUAAGCGACAUAGGGAAGAGGGCCACCAACUGCGCAUCAUCUAUCCCAUGUGCUCUCAUGACUGUGCUGUAUAGCCUCAAAUGGAUCUUGGGACAACCAAUCCCACUGUAGCGCUCAAUGUUUGGCAUGCGAAACUUGGCGGGCAAGCUAGCCGCCGGUAUGCCAUCUCUGUCAUCCCAAGUCAAACCUCCGUCCUGCAAUCUGAUCUGUCUCAUCAUGGACUCGAGCCUCUCAACCUUGGCCUCCUGCUCGGCCAAUCGAGUAUCCCCAAUAGUAGGAACCAUGGGAGGCGACACUGUGACAGUAGGUGGUGGAAUGGUCUCAUAAUGAUCUACCAGAUGGAAUGGAGUACCAAGUGAAACCCCAGGUGGACGAGUCUGUGCUGUCUGAGAUGCAUGAGGAAUCGUCUCGUCAGUGACCGCGCUAGCCAGAUGAGGAUCCUGGCGAGAACUCUCUAACUGAUCCAAACGUCUACUGACCCCGGCCAUGAACUCCUGGAUGGAAGCAAGUGUGGAAGCUAACUCGUCCGACAUCUCAACUGAACUAUCCGAACUCGGAUAUGAAUCUGAUCUGAUCAAUCGACCUCCAACUCUCCUCCAGGAAUGUGACUCCAGACUCAACCGACUCCUAAACUGACUCCCUACAAUGCAAACAAAACGGAUGAAGGACACGCAAUAAAACUCUAAAAGACGACAAUACAACAUACAAGCACAUGAUCCUGAGGUGGCAAUCAGAAAUUUGGAUACAUGACGAAAACUCUAGAGUCACAAAGAUAUCCACUGCGAGAUGGCUACAAAUGUGACCAAAGAAUCUCCAUCAAUAAUCCGGGAUAAAAGAGGUGCGAAAAACACACUAUCACGAGGUCGGUACUCCAUCAAUAAACAUAUAUCUUUAACUCAAAUUUCGACUCAAGCUCCAUGAGAGAAAAAAUGGUAAGGUGAUCAAGACAACUCUCGAAAAAGUAUGGAUGUGAAAAUGUGUCUUUCACCUUUCCGUAAUGAAAAUAUGAGCAUCGAGUCGAAAAUUGAACCAAGGAUCAAACAAAUGAUGAGGUACUGAGCCCGUGAUAAGCGUACAGUGUAAAAAAGAUGAUCGAUGAACAUAUCCCAAAGUAUCGAGCGAGUGAAAACAAAGUGAAGGGGUGUCAAGCCAAGAAAUGAGAAUGAAAUCCCUAGGGAGAAAACAUGCUAAAAUCAUCGAGUAAAAAGCAUAAUCUAGAGCGACAAGACGAAAGGUGACCCAACCGUUACUCAAACUCAUACCGAUCUCCGAGCACUCUCAACUGGAGACUAAAAAGAGGGAAUACUGGAUCCGAACUGUAACUAAAGAGGCUCUGAAGGCCCUCAGAUGCACCCACGUGUAGGGAGGGAGUCCUAAUCGAAGGAUCUACGGCUCAUCCUACGAGGUCAAGGUGGCUCCAAAUGGAUAUUGGUGGACUUUAAAGAUCCCUAACAAAAGCGAUCAUACCCUCCCGCGGUACGCAACCUUCUGCACACCUCCGAAGAGACAGGGUGCUUCCAUGCAAGGUGGUCAUCACCUCCACACAUGCACUACCUCGACAUCCCAGGGGGUUUCCUAUGGUAAAACCUCUCAAACUCUCAACGCUCAAUGGUCAACUAAAGUGCACAGUGAAUGGUGUAGGUGCAUCCGAAAACCCUAAGAAUCUAUAGCAGAAAAGGAAACACACUGGUCACACGACUAUCCAUGAAACCUAGCUCGGGGCUAUACAGGUCUUCAAUGUUCGGACUCCAAUCAGCAUCAAUAUGUCGACCACCUCCAAAAUGCUCCCAAACAUAGAUAUAGCCCAUCGCUAGACCCUACUCCUAAUCACUAUCUCGGUCGAAGAACAAACAAAGCAAACAAGCCUAGUAUCAAAUAUGAGACCAAGGAAAACGAUGUCGACCGAGACUAGGGAUUUGGAGAUAAGGGGAUAGGUGUGUGUCCCACAUAGACAUGCAACUCACGCAAUCACAUCAGAAUGAGAGGUGUCAUGCAACAUACAGUCAUACAAAACAGGUAUAUAUCAUCCAAAUCUACACACAAGCUAAUCAAGAAGAAUAUCUGGUAACGAUAGCAUGCUCCAUGAAAAUCAAGAUAAUAUAUAACCGAGAGAAUCAAUCAUGUCAAAUCAAAUGAUAUACAAUGGUGAGUCUAUACAUGUGAGAUGAUCAGAACAAACAUGGCAAAAUUAGAGUCACUAUGCUAAGCAAGGUAAGAUGAUAAAUCAACAUAUCAACGUCCCAAACAAAUAUAUCAAUGAAGCACGGGAAAAAUCGCCACAAUCGGAAUCCCCAAUCAAGAUAAACAAGCAUCAUAAUCAACAUGUCAAUGUCCCCAGUAAAAACAAACACCCAAGCAUGCAUCCCAUAGUAUCGGGAACUCUCAAUGUGCGAUCAAGAAAUAGGUGUCCACUGAUUGACUUAUCAAUCGCCACGUUUGCUUCAUCUUAAGUUCAAGCUUGACCCUCUAAAAAAUCCCCAGUGGAGUCACCAUUUUGUGGACCCCGUAUUUCGUGCUCAUGCGUUUCCUACUCGAAUGGCGAGCUCGAUUUUUAUUUUAUUUGAAAAAUUGAUUUUUAUUCAUUAAAAAAAAUGACUUGGAGUCGCCACUUAUUUUUGUUUUAUUUUUAAAAGGGUAAACAAAAUAAGAAAGAAAAACCCUAAGUGUGACUCCUUACUUUGGAAAAGGUGGUCUGUGAAAAACCGGAUCGGGUUCGGGGUUCAGGUUACUUAUCAGGAAGGUACGGUAAAAACCGUAGCACCCUUCUAAGUCCUUAAAAACAGGUCUCUACUAAUAAAAUGAAGCAAUCAUGGUAGUGGACUAGUAGAUCAAUGAGUGCCCAGAAUAAAUCAUGCACACGUGAGAAUCAAAAUAUGCUUGGACAAUUACCAGAGUGAAAGUAGGUGCGUACCUGGGCGACGAGCCACCAUGCGCUAUCAAGAGAGAGGUUAGUGCACAAUUAAGAAAUAAUAGCAUGCAUGUCGGAGAGCAGGAUAAAUAAAUCAUGUAUGAUAANNNNNNNNNNNNNNNNNNNNNNNNNNNNNNNNNNNNNNNNNNNNNNNNNNNNNNNNNNNNNNNNNNNNNNNNNNNNNNNNNNNNNNNNNNNNNNNNNNNNNNNNNNNNNNNNNNNNNNNNNNNNNNNNNNNNNNNNNNNNNNNNNNNNNNNNNNNNNNNNNNNNNNNNNNNNNNNNNNNNNNNNNNNNNNNNNNNNNNNNNNNNNNNNNNNNNNNNNNNNNNNNNNNNNNNNNNNNNNNNNNNNNNNNNNNNNNNNNNNNNNNNNNNNNNNNNNNNNNNNNNNNNNNNNNNNNNNNNNNNNNNNNNNNNNNNNNNNNNNNNNNNNNNNNNNNNNNNNNNNNUUAUUAUUAUUAUUUUUCAUUUUAAAUGGAAUUUUUAACCAUAGGUUCAAUCUCACUAAUAAGUAAAUAAAUAGAUGAGUUUCAAAGCAUUAAAUUAAUAGUAAAUAAAAUAAAUGAACAACUAAUAAUUAAAUGAAUCACAACUAAACUAAAUAAAUAUCAAACUAUAUUAUUAUUAUUAUUAUAUAUAUAUUUUUCAAAGUAGAAUUACGUGAAUUUGCAUUUUAUGGAUUUAAUAUGAUAUAUUAAAACUAAACCAAAACACAGUUCUCAUUCUACCAUAUUGAGACAAGCAGAAAAAGUAUGCUGGAGUUGGUAUAUAAACUCAAGCCACUUACCCUAUUAUAAUAAUAAUUUUACUUGGAAAAAUGGUCCAAGUCUUCACUGAUGCUGAAACUCCACGUAUAUAUAUGUAAAAAGAAAAUAGUUGACUUACCUAAUGGCAGUGAAGGUGGCAGAGGAGGGGAUGUGCAGCUGGUGUGGCGAAGGAUGAAUGAAAAAAUAAAAAAAACCAGUUGUGAUGUGGGGUUGCUGCUAUGAUGGAUGAGCAGCCCGGUGAUGAAGAAAAAUCAGCAGCCCGGUGAUGAAAAAGAAUGACAGUCCAAUGAUGAAAAAGAAUGGCAAUCCGGUGAUGAAAAGAAAAUCAGCAGCCCAGUGAUUCAAAAAAAUGACACCAUUCCCUCUGAAAAACUCCUUGCAUAGAUCCCUAACGGCAGCCUCAAAACGCCCUAAAAAAUAAUGUUCCCCUCCUCUUCUCCCGCUUCCUCCUUUUCUUUUCCUUUCUUCUUCCCUUCUGCCGCAGCCCUUCUCCUCUUUUCUGUAGCUACACCCACUCCCCUAUUCCCCUCGUCAGCAAGCAUGGGCAGCCUCGCCUAAUGCCAGUUGCAUGCGUGUCUCCAGGCCAUGCGUGGGAAGGUCCCUCCCCUUCUCUUCUUCGCCACAUGUCAUGCAAAAGGAGAAGGAGAAGAAACCCGCUUCCCCGGGCCCUCCCUUACUUCUAAAAAGGGUCUACACAUACACUUACCUAUAAACCGUUGUUUGUGGAGAUUUUGUGGGCUGCUCCCCCAUUUUUAUGGUUAUGUGUCGGCUCCUCAAAGUUCUUCGCGCGUCCUAUCAAAAGAAUUGCUCUCGUGUCCUCUCUGCCUCUUUAAAAAAUCCUCGUGCCUGUUAUUUAUCUGGCAGCCCAUUCCCAUGGAAUCUUUUAUUUCCUUUCUUAAUGCACGUGGAUAUAGGAAAGUGCACGCCUGUGGCUCACAUUGGGGACUUCCCUAAGAUGCAGCCCGCGUCUCAUUUGGUAAGUGAUCAGAUCCUCAACGGUCCCAAAGUGGUAAGUUCCUUCAGAUCCCAUGUUGCUAUUCUGCAUCUCUUUGUGUUUUGGCAUCAUCCCUCUUAAUUAAUUCACCAUCUGGCUUCUCAAAUUCCUCGGGUCCUUCCUUUGUUCUUGUGGAAACAUUGGGAUCUCCAGUACUUGGCCAUCUCAAAUCCAUUCUUGCUAUAGUGAUAGUCCUCAAUAGUUUGUUCAAUUUCUUUUUGUUCAUGACAAAAGGCCCAUACUGGACCACAGGUUCGUUCGGAGGCUACCCUCCAAUGAGCACAAAUCUCAGCGGUUUGGAUGACUUGUUCCACGUGCUCAGGCCGUCACUAGGGCCUAAAACCAAGACAUGGUGAGUGUAGGGACCCCUCCCCCUAAUGACACGUGGCACGCACUUCUAUCCGGAUCAGCUUCAUCCGGAUUUCCUCCAAAGGAGACACGUGGCGCGCUUCUCCUAUUCGGACUUCCUCAGGGAGAAGCACACAACACUCGCAAACAUCACAUCCGGACGACCGACAUAUCCUAUCCGGAUAUGUUUGUCCGGAUCAUUGACUGAAGUAAGCAAGUCUUGCACGUCAUCAUAACAGCCUGCCAUGGCCCACGUUCCGCCACCUGUAGAGUGAAAGGACAGGAAUGAAGUGACGACAAGUCACUUCCCACGAUCUCUAUCAGUCACCCGUAGGGUGAUGAUGACCCUGCCACCACCUAGUGGCAUCAUGACAAGCCAAAAUAUCUCCCUACCAUUAAAGAGGGAAACAAAGCUUCUGGUACUAUAUAUAUGAACCUUCACAUAAAGAGGAAGGUAAGCUUGCUAUACCUAGUUGUAGACCCUCAAUUUUGUUUCUUUAGCACAUGUCUUUAAAUUCAUUUUUAAUGCUCCAUAGUAACUCCUUGGUGGCCCAUUACUACUCGUACAACUUACCUUUUUCUGAGUCACCUCGGAGACUUCGGUCGAGGGAUUAUCUGACCCUUUAUUGUGACCCUUGGCAACCCUAAUUUAGACUUAGGCUUUUGUUAUUCUUUUUAGGAUAACUUUUAGAUACACCUGACCCAUUAGACACCACCCUAUGCCCACCUAGAUUCACCUUGACUCGCACCGAGACACCUCCUCAUUUACACACAUGUCACUUAGGUCACUUAGACACCUUUUUCAGAACAGGUCCAUUUAGACAUUUCAUUGAGGCUCAACAUUUCUUUUUUUCUUUAUUUAUUUUAUUUUAUUUAUUUAUUUUUUAAUAUUAUUAUUAUUAUGGCAUGCAUUUAGUAAUUACAUUUAUUUUGUCUAUUCAUUUUUACUUUUACUUUUUAUUAUUUACUUAUUCAUGUAUUUAAUUGUCUUUAUAUAUUUCAUUUUAUUUAUUUUUAUUUACUUAUUUACUUACUUAAUGAAAAAUUGUUUGAAUUGUUAGAUUUAAAAUACGCAUAUAGCCCCUUUAUCAAAUGACAGAAUUGUACAAUCUAAUAUUUGAUUUUCUCUUUCAUUCUCUUUUAAUCAUAUUUCAUUUUAUUACCAAUUUCAUGACUUUCAUUAAUUUCUCGUCUUUUCCUUUAAUUUUAAUUUUAUCUUAUUUUGUUUUGCAUGAGGAGCACCAUUUUGGGCAGGAACAAGAGGAUCGUGGGACGAAUUAUCCACAUACAUUAGACCCUAUUCCUUGGAAGCUUCAAGAUCUUCAUACCCAGGGAUGGGAUCACCACGGAUUCUCCACGAAAAAGCAAGGGAAUUAACCGCCAUCUCGACAGGAAGAACCAGUACGCAUGUGUGGGCAUUUUUUUGGUCGUUUGGAACGCAUCAUGAGUUGAAGACAACCAGUCCACGCGCAAGCAUCCCCCACGCCUGUAACUUUUGAGGGGUCCACAUCCCAAUUUCUAUAAGAUCUCCACGGUAUCUUGAAGAGAACCAUGCAUGCCACUCAUUCAAAGUGAGUGGGCUGCAUCUUCCAAAUGUAAGGAGAGACAAGGCAGUACGCAUGGAUGAAGGCUUCAUUCUGCUGCCAGUCCAUAACCUACACGGGCUGCAAUUCAAUGGACGUACAGUCCACUUUGGGAUUGAUCACCCACCAUGGAGAGUGACCACGGAAUUCUCCAACACUUUGCCCGCAUAUGGAGAAUACCACUCAUGGACCUUAGGUUGAAACAUCAACGCACACCAGAUUGAUAAAGACGCGGUUCGGGAACUGAGUGGUGAACAUCAUAUUUUUUUUUUAUGGAGCAUGGUGUGGACAAUUGGAUAAAAAGAAACAAAAAUCUGAACCCACUUUAAGAGAAACACAUAGGCCGCACCAUUCUCCAACAAGACAUGGGCUGCAUCCUUGAAGAAAUUGCUAGGUAAGUCACGCAUACAUCACUUCCCAUAUCCACAUGCAUUCAAAAAAGGAAAUAGAAUAUUCAAUGAUGGAGAGGCUGCCAUAAAAAAAAUCCCCACUUCCCAUAAGAAGAGGAUCGCUACAUGCUGGCUAUACGAAGGGGAAUUUUGGAGAUUCUCACGCAGCCAUAUAAAGAGGGGCUGCCAUAUAAAUAAGUGGGAUUUUUUUUAUUUUCGGGGGGUAGAGAGAUCCACAGCAGGGGGGAUUUUUCUGGAGCAAAAGAGGGGAUUUUUGGCUUGAGAAGGAGAAAGGCGAGAAGAUUUUUUUCGAGGAGCAGAAAGAUCCACACGAAGAGGGGAGCCACCUUAACGCAUCAAAGGCAAAAUUUUUUGUUAAUACAGGUGAGUUUUUGAAAUAGUUUUGAUUAUUUUUGUUCGUAAUUCAUAAGUCCAUGCUAAUUUUGUUUUAAUCCAUGUGAUAGUUAAAAUGUGUUUGUGAGUUUAAUUUAAUUAGUUUUGUCUUAAUUCACUCCUUAGUUUAGUUUUGUUAUUGAUUCUGAUUUCUUAGUUUAAUUAAUUAAUUUUUUUUUAGGUACAAUUUAGGUUUCGAUUUGGUUUAUUAAUUUAUUUUAUUCAUAAUUCUAAUUCAUUGAUAAAAUUGAUUCUAUGUUUGAAAGUUUGCGUUUUUAGGACGUUUUAAUUUAAUUUGAUUCAUUAUAUUUAGUUUAGAUAUUUGUUAUAGUUUUAAUUCAUUGAUAAAAUUGAUUCUAUGUUUGAAAGUUUGCGUUUUUAGGAUGUUUUAAUUUAAUUUGAUUCAUUAUAUUUAGUUUAGAUAUUUGUUAUAGUUUAGUUCAUUAAUGAAAUUGAUCCCAUGUUUGAAAGUUUCAGUUUUUAGUUCGCUUUGAUUUAAUAAUUUAUAUUCAUUAUUUUUAGGUGUUUUUUUUUUUUUAUAGUUUUAAUUCAUUAGUAAAAUUGAUCCCAUGUUUGAAAGUUCAUAUUUUUAGUAUUCUUUGAUUCAAUUUCGUUCAUUUUAAUUAGUUUAUGUGUUUUUAUAGUUUUAUUAGUUUAUUGAUAAAAUUGAUUCUUUAUUUAAACGUUCAUGUUUUUAGUGUACUUUGAUUUAAUUUAAUCCAUCUAUUUAGUUUAGACACUUUUAUAAUUUUUGGUUCAUCAAUAAAAUUAAUUCUAUGCUUGAAAGUACAUAUUUUUAGUUUGCUUUGGUUCAUUAGUAAAAUUAAUUCUAUGUUUGAAAGUUCAUGUUUUUAGUUUAAUUUAGUCAAACUCGUUAUAAUUAGUUUAGGUACUUCUAUAAUUUUAGUUCCUUACCCGAAUUGAUCCCUUUUUAGUUUUUAUUUCAAAAUCAUUAAUGUUAGUUCUUGAUCAUCCUUAUCUUAACUUAUAUGCUUUUAAGAUCCUAGCGGUUAGUUCAUGAAUUGAUACUUUGUUAGUUUGUCUAAUUUAGAAUGUCUUGCUUGUUAGUGAUCCUUCAUUUAAUCUGAUUUUCUUUCUGAGGCCAUUGGAAAAUCAUGAAGAUUGGCCUCUACCAUCACCAUUAUCAUUUUUGUCAAUUACUAAAAAAUUUUACUUUGAGGUUUCAUUUUUGUUUUGUUUGGUAUUUUAUUUCUUAUAUUUUGAUUUUUCCCAAAUUAAUUCCUUUUAUUUUAAAAUAAAAUACUUUUCUCAAAAAAAUCAUUUUAAAAAUCUAUUUCAAAAACUCAUUAGAGUCCUCAGGAUCAAAAUCUCCUUAUUUAUUUAUUUAAAAAUAAUAUGCAACCAUAUCUUGUUCGGUUUGCAUCCUUCUCGGUUUUUCAACAAAAAGUUUGGUUUUGAACAAAAACACGAAUCAAAGCUUGUGGUCCCAAAUAAAUGGGAUAAUUCUAGGCCAAAUUCGUGUAUAUUAAUUUGGAGAAUUGGUGAAACCCCUACAUAAGAAAAUCUUUUCAAAAAUUAUUUUUGUUGCCACUUUUGUCACUUGUUGAAAUUAUGUCUAUCUUUUUUUAGAAAUUGUAUACAAGAUGAGUGUGAUAAUUAUUGUUUUCAUAUACUGUGAUCACUUUUGCUAUGCUAAUUAGAUAAUGAGCAUGUUAGGAUUUCUAUAUUUUAUUAUUUAUUAUCUAACUCCUUACAACUUGAGGAAGCACGUUACAAAUUAUCUAUGCUAUCCAGGUAUGUCCUCUAUCAUCUACUUUCUGAAUUUUGUGAAUAUGCUGGUCAUUGUGAAAUAAUGCUUAUGUCUAAUAAUGCUUGAGCGUUCUGUUAUACAUGUUUCAUUGUUUGAUUAUUCCUAAUAAAAUACAUGUUGGAUGAUAUAUUGUUUAAAUUAACCAUUUAUGUUUUAUGAUAGCGCUUGAAGAGUGGUCCAGGUAUGCACCCUAACUCUCUUAUUUGGAAAUUUGAUCCUAUUUGGCAUGUUAUUUUUUGAAAUCACCUUAGUCUGUCUAGGUAUCCCCAAUUAAUCAAUUAAUUGUCAUUUUUCCCCCAAUUUAGUUAGUAGAGACCUCUUUAGGGCUUAGAGGGGUGCUACCUCCUAGAAGUACCUUCCCAAUAAGUAACCUGAUCCCCAGACUUAGACUCAGGUUUUUCAAAGACACGCUUUUCCAAAAAUUAUGGAGUCAUUUUUUAGGGUUUUAUUUCUUGUUUUAUUUUCCCUUUAAAAAUAAAAAUAAAAUAAGUGGCGACUCCAACUUUUUUUUCAAAAAUCAAUUUUUCACAAAUAAAAAGCGAGUCUCGCCGAUCGAGUGGGGACGCACGUGAAAAAUGCGGGUCCACACUAGUAAAAGGCCAACUGGUUUAUCUCUCUUUCCAUGGCUGACAAAACCAUCGGAGGGUGUGUCCGGACACCCUGUCCGGACGCCUUUUGCAGAAACUACUGAACCAGGAAUCUAUAUUGGUUGAGAUCGUGCGUCCAUCCAUUUGGCAACUACGUGGAUCACCAGGGACGCGAGGCCUCAAUAGUGAGCAGUCACUGGAGAUGAGUUCACUACCCCGAAUACUCCUUCCCCUUCAACUUUGUACACAAAGAAGUUCCAUGAUUCUGGAAUGCUUUAAUGCAUUUGGGCCCUUGGUUUUAGAGUAAAAUCAAGGUAUAUUGUUGGAGUUCUGGUGUAAACUGGGGACCAGAGUCCCAUUGAUUCUCUUGCUAUGACCCGGACUUCAACACCAUCUUUCUCUGCUCUUUUGAUGUCCUCACUCGGCUAUUCUUGGUAAUUUGGUUCAAUCAUUUUGUCUUUAGAUGCUAGAUUGAUCCAAAGUUGCAAUCCCUUUUGGGUUCCUUCACCUGCGGGCAUUAAUUCAGAGUGGAUUAUGCCUCUGCCUGCAGUCAUCCACUGCACAUCCUUGUUCGGAUUGUGCCCUUAUGCCCUGCAAAAUCUUGAUGAGUGAAAGCUCCCUGCAGCAUGUAUGUAACAAUCUCAAAGCCUCUGUAUGGAUGAUCUGGAAAACUAGCAGGCGGUGCAACUGUGAACUCAUCCAACAUGAGAAAAGGAUCCAGGUUUUUCAAUUCACUCAUUCCAAUGCUCCUCCUAACAACAACACCCUCACCCUCACGUUGAGGCUUGGCCAAGACCUUCUUGACCACCAACCUUGGCUGAUCAAAACCAGAGGAAUGAUCUGAUCCAGACAUGAUUUUUCUCACGAAACAAGAAACUCUGCUUGGUUGGUAUUGAUUCAAUAGCAGUAACCCAUAGUUACAGCUCUCAUACAAGUGUAUUUCUUGUGUUUCUUUUUUGUAGAUGGCUUUCUCAGAUCCUCCUUGCUGCAUGUACGUCUUUGCCUUGCUCAUAAUCUUCCUGAAGAAAUCCCAUGCAAUUUUUCUCCUCAUGCAAAAACAGAAUAAAAUAAAAUUAAUAAAGGUAAAAGAAAAGAGAAGAAACUAAUGAAAAAUUAUGAGAUUGGUAAUAAAACGAAAUACAAUUUUAAAAGAAAAGAAAGAGAAAAGAAAGAGAAACCAGGUUAUAUAAUUCCACCAUUCAAUCAAGGGUUAUUUUCACAUUUUGGAGUCUAAACAAUUCGAGCAAUUUCCUAUUAGAUGAGUGAAUAAACAAAAUAAAAAUAAAAAUAAAAAUAGUAAUAGUAAUAAUAAUAAUAAUGACAAUGAUAAUGAUAAACAAAUAAAGAGUAAAAAAAUGAAAAUGAAUAAACAAAAUAAAUAUAAUUAUCGAAUGCAUGCAAUAAUAAUAAUAAUACUAAUAAAAGUUAUAUCUAUAUGUAUAUAUAAAAGUUAAGCUCGAUGAAGUGUUUAAACGGGCCUAAGUGGGUGCCUAAUGAGCUAAGUGUCCUAAAGUGAUCGUGAUAUUAUCUACGUGACCUAAACAUGCCUUAGAACUAUCCUAAAAAGGAAUGAAAAUCUUAAAUCUAAAUCAAAACUGCCAAGGGUCACAAUAUGGGGUUAGGCAAUUCCUCAACCAGAGUCUCCGAGGUGGCUCAAGAAAGGUAAGUGGUGUGAAUAGCUAUGGGCCACCAAGGAACUGUUGUAAAGUAUCUAAUAGGACAUGUGCUAGGAGGACAAAAUUGAGGGUCUACACUCUCCUUGCUUAUUCUAGUCUCAUGAGGCAACUAAGACCCAUUCAUCCCUCUUGAUGGUCCUAUAAAUUUGAAGAAUCCAACUUGGAUCUCUCUAGAAGUGUAUGGAGCCUAUAGAGUCUAUCUGGAAGGGCAACAAGUGUUCAGUCUUGAGGUGCUUGAUUUGAUAGAGGAAGGUCUCAUGAAGAUGUUUGUUGUUGGGGUCUCCCAAUUUACCCCGCUCUCAUUGGCUAUCUUAUACCCAACCCCAAUAUUCACAUUCUAGGCUCACUUGCAUGAUUUUGGUUUGCAUGGCCACCUCUCUAGGCCCAUUUUCACAGCCCAUACCUGAAUGCAUGUCUCCAAAAUCGAUUUUUGAAAAAUCCAAUUUUCACAUGAUUUAAUUCACAACUCUUCAUACAUCUCUAGAGUUUUUAGGAUCACCCAAAAUUCCCAAUUUAAUAAAAUUUGUUGCCAUCUUUCUUUCUGGCAAGCAAUUUUCACAUCUCCUUUGAUUUUUAAAAAUGUUUUAAAAUAAAUGUGAAUUAAAUUUCGUAAUUCCAAGUGAUGGGAUUUAUGGAAUUGAUUGAUGCAAAAAUAAAAUGGGCUUUGGUGGGGGCCCAACAUCAAUGAAUGUUUACUUUGAAAAUGAAAUUGAGUGAAGUGCGAUAUCUGAUGAUUUAUUAUCUUGUUUAGCGAUGCAUGUGACAUAUUUUAUGCUCAUUAUUGUGCACUAAUCCCAUUUCUUGAUAGUGUAUUAUGGUUCGUUGCUAAGGUAUGCAUUCACUCUGACUUUGAUCUUUUUCCAUGCAUGUUUUGGCUUUCAGUGUGUGAUCAUGUUGAUAUCCAUUGAUUUCCACACCAAUUGCCAUGAUUGCUUCACCUUAUUAGUAGAGACCUGUUUUUAGGGACUUAGAGGGGUGCUACUAUCUUUACCGUACCUUCUCGAUAAGUAAUCUGACCCCCGAACCUCGAUUUGGUUUUUUGUAGACCAUCUUUUCUGAAUAAGGAGUCACACUUAGGGUUUUCUUUUUUAUUUUGUUUGCCCUUUAAAAAUAAAACAAAAAUAAGUGGUGAUUCCAAGUCAUUUUAAAAAAAAUAAAAUAUUUUUCAAAUAAAAAACGAGCUCGCCAUCGAGUGGAAGCGCAUGAGCCGAAAUACGGGGUCCAUAGUAUGUAUUCUAUAUAUAUUAUUUUUAUCAUUAUAAAAUUAUUUACAAAAACAUUAAAUCAAAUAAAUUUAAAUUGACUCACUAAUUACCUUUCCAAACAUUAUAUAUCUCCAUCCAUUAUUUUUAUAUAUCAACAAUCACUUGCCUAUGUACACCUUCACACAUGGUUUUAAAAACCGGACCUGACCGGCCGGUCACGGUUUCGGUCCAAUCCGAUCAAGUAGCCCGGAAAAAGGUUGAACCGAAAUUGAACCGGUUGAACCAGUGGUUCGACCAGCGAAUUGGACGAACCAAUCGGUUCAAUCCCUCCUCCCCCCUCUAGCAACCUCUUUGGGAGCUGGCCACUGUCAUCGGCACAGAGCUACCACUAUCGUCGGCACGAAGCUUCCCCGUCGGCAUGAAGCUCCCCCGUCGGCAUGAAGUUGCCAUUGAAAUGCCCCCCACCCCAUCCUCUUGCAAUGUUGUGAAGCCCUCCACUGGCGGCCGUCUUUCCAAAAACCUCUCUAGGAGUUGGCCACUGUCGGCGACACGGAGUUACCACUGUUGUUGGCAUGGAGCUCCCUCGUCGGCACAAAGGUGCCACUAAAAUGCCCCUACCCCACCCUCUUGCAGUGCUGUGAAGCCCUCCCCCAGCAGCACCCGCUGUAAACCCCACCCCCCCGGUUGACACCAACUAUAAAUCCCUCUCUCCCUCACCCCGCGUGUUAAAAGUUAAAACCCCCCCUCCUCCUACUAUAGCUUGCAACACCCACCCCCACCCCCACCCCUAGCCCCCCAUCCCCUGUGCUCAAUGUGUUGGGAUUUAUUUCAAAAAAUAAUUUAUAUAUAUAUAUAAAUUACAUAAUUUUUUUUUCAUUUUUAAUAUGUCUUUAUUCUUAAAUAGUUAAAUACAAUUUCUUUUAUCAUUUUCAUAUUUAAAUAUUAUAUAUAUUUUGUUUAAUAAUAUCAUAAAUAUUAUUAAUUUUUAAUUAUAUAUAUUUUAAAUAUUUUAAAUUAUAUAUUUAUGACAUCACCGGUUUGACCAGUGAACCAUGAAUCGAUAACUUUUUCGAUUUAAUGUCCGAUCCAAUUUUAAAACAUUGUCUUCACAUUUUUCACGUGCGUCCCCACUCGAUCGGCGAGACUCGCUUUUUAUUUGUGAAAAAUUGAUUUUUGAAAAAAAAAGUUGGAGUCGCCACUUAUUUUAUUUUUAUUUUAAAGGGAAAAUAAAACAAGAAAGAAAAAACCCUAAAAUGUGACUUCAUAAUUUUUGGAAAGAGCAUGUCUUUGAAAAACCCGAGUCUAAGUCCGGGGAUCAGGUUACUUAUCGGGAAGGUACCUCUGGGAGGUAGCACCCCUCUAAGCCCUAAUUAAUUUUGCAUGAGUUGGUUCUAUGGAUUCCAUUGUUUGGAAUCAUGAAGUUUAUCCAUGCUUGUUGAAAAUCGAGAAAACCAUGGAAAAUAAAAGAAAAUAGUGAAAAUGCAUGCCUGAAGGAAAGUGGCAGCAAAAGAUCAUUGAAAUCUAAAUUUUAUGCCUAGAAAUCUCUAAGGAUGGCAUUUGAAGAAAAUUGAAAUUGUUUUAAUGAAAAAAAGAUUUUGAAAUCCAAAUUUAAAAUGUAUAAGAUCACAAAAAGAAGAAAAAGAAACAUUGGGAGUAUGAUGUGUGGCAAGGUGGCCGAGAGGGAGUGGAGCCUCAGAAUUCGAGAUAGAAGGACCCAAUUCGUCGUCAGGAUAUUCAGUGGUCAGAAGCAUUUCCAUGUAUAAGGUAACUUGGUCCGUAAGCUCAAAUGGAUUCUCCCCAACAUUGAUCAAACACUGAACAUAAAAUUCGAAAUCCCCAAUUUUUUUUGUAUUGACAGAUUUCCUGCAUUUUGUGUUAAUUUCCCAUUAUCAAGGCUUGAUUCUGCAGCUCUGUUAGAAUACAUACCCUUGCUGUUGCCAUGAACCAAUCAGAUUUCACAUUAUUCAAUUUACCUGUAGUAUGAUUUAUCAGCUCAUGAACUCCUUUUACUGAAGCAAAAUUCCAUUGCCCUUUUUAAAAAAUGACUGAUACCUAUUCUGUCUCUUCAAAUGUAGAAAGAAAAAUAGGGAGCCUCUGCAAUUUUCUGAGCUGCAACUAUCUUUGCAUCACCAUCUUGAGUCUAGAUUGUUCUUAGCUUUUCUCCGUUUGUGAUCAAAUGUCGUGUCUUCGGUCAUGAUUCGGGAUGUACUCUCCAUUCGUUCAGGAAGAUCAGCUCUGUCGUCCAUGAAGUUCGCGACAGCUACUAGUUACAGAUUGGUAUUUUGUAGUUGAAUUUUUGCAGGGUCCGUCUUGGAAUUUUUCUACCCUCGGCCUCUUCCAGAACCUCUGUGACAUGGAAUUCAAGCUGCUGUUCAUGAGUGCGCCUUCUUGUGAGAGUCAACGCCUCUGAUGAUGGAGAAACAAAAGCAUUGGAUAUGGUGAAUUCUGAAGCCCAGAUUACCAUACUUUCUCGUUUACUGAACAGAAAUAUUCUUUUUUUUUUCCCUUUUUCUGUGUGAGCUGACGCCGUCACCCCCUCCUUUUUUUUCCUCCCCCUUUACAAGGACUCCCUCUCCCCCAACCCCCACAUCUUUUCUUUUUCAUUUUGCUCGCCCCCCAUCCCAGCUGCUCCCUCUCCCCCCGACUCUUUUUGGACCUCGAUUUCAGUAUAUAAUUAUUUUAUUUUUCAUUAAUUAUUUUUUUUAAUUAAAAAUUUUCAUUUUUUUUAAUAAGGAAACUUGAAAUACAGUCAUAUUCCUAUUAAUUUAAUGUUUUUUUCAUUUACUUAACGUGACAUUACAUUUAAUUCGUUAUAAUCUAAAUUAGUUCUCAUUUUAAAAACCUUCAAACAGUUGAAGUAACAAUAUUAUUUGACCUUAUUACAAUAAAAUGUAAUCUUCAAAAAAUAUAAGGUUUUUUUUUUUUUAAAAAAAAAAACUUAGAACAACUCAAUUCCCAAUUUUCCAAUCAAAAUCCCAAUGGAUUUGACAGCUAAAAUUCAUUCCAAAUUCAAUUUCCAGAAUUUUCCUUGUUUUCCUUUAAUCUAAUCUCCACUUUGUAAUUAAUUAAACUCCAACUUAAUACCAUUCCCAACCUUAUUCAAUAAUUAAUCAACUGUGUAAAAUUAAUCGCCCCUAUCAUGCCUCAUUUCUCCUAUUUUGAACUUUCCUCGUCUUCUCUUGGUCUUUUAAUAGUUCCGGUCACCAUGUUGAGCAUACUGCUGCAGUUGACCAAUAUUAAAAAUUGGUAAGAACAGUAGGCAGAUCCAAUUUCCUGGUAGUGGUAGUCACCAAUCUUCCAAUAUUAGUCUCCUUCCUUCUUUUCCUAUACUUGAUCUUUCAAUACCCACAAAGAAUCUCUGAACAUUAUUUUUCUCCCUUUUGCAUCAGAAUUGUUGUGAAACAAUAUGGGUAACGUGUGUUCCAUCUCAAUCUCCAUCGACAAUAUGAUCUCUGGCUGCUGGGCGGCUACAGGUGGUCAAGCAACUUAUGUUUGUGAAUUCGAAGAAAAGUUUGAUGCUGUGAAGCUGGCAUUAGAAGAUUUAAAAGAUUUCAGAAAUGACAUGAAGAGAAAGAUUGACACGUUUGAGGAACAACGAUUGGAACAACUUGACCAAGUGCGGAGGUGGUUUUCGAGGGUGGAAGAUGUGGAAACUGAAGCCAGUCAACUGAUAAAAGAUGGUACUACUGAAAUUCAGAAGCUUUGUCUGGGAGGUUAUUGCUCCAGAAAUUGCAUAUCUAGUUACAGAUUGGGGAAGAAACUAGCCAAGAAGGUUGAAGACUUAAACAAUCUAAGAAGCACAAGGCUUUUUGACAUGGUAGCAGACAGAUUACCUCCAGCUUCAGUGGAUGAAAGACCCAGUGAGCCAACCGUGGGCAUGAUGUCCAUCUUCAAUAAGGUUUGGAGUUGCCUUGGAGAAGAGCAAGUGGGAAUCAUUGGUUUAUAUGGGUUGGGUGGCGUUGGGAAGACAACCCUUUUGACCCAAAUCAACAAUGAGUUCCUCAAAACAACUCAUGAUUUUGAUGUUGUGAUCUGGGCUGUGGUGUCACGAGAUCCAGACUUUCCCAAGGUUCAAGAUGAAAUUGGGAAAAAGGUUGGGUUUUGUGAUGGUAUAUGGAGAAAUAAAAGCAAGGAUGAAAAAGCCAUAGACGUCUUUAGAGCCUUGCGCAAAAAGAGGUUUGUGUUGUUGUUAGAUGACAUAUGGGAGCCGGUAAAUCUAUCAGUCUUGGGAGUUCCAGUUCCAAAUGAAGAAAAUAAGUCCAAGCUAGUAUUCACAACCCGAUCCGAGGAUGUAUGCCGACAAAUGGAAGCUGAAAAGAAUAUCAAAGUGGAGUGCUUGGCAUGGCAGGAAUCCUGGGAUUUGUUUCAGAAGAAGGUUGGACAAGACACUCUUGACUCCCAUGCAGAAAUCCCCAUGCUAGCUGAAAUAGUUGCCAAAGAAUGUUGCGGAUUGCCACUGGCACUGGCACUGGUUAUCAUAGGCCGGGCCAUGGCUUGCAAGAAGACAACCGAGGAAUGGAAUUAUGCAAUUAAAGUGUUACAAGGAGCGGCUUCAAUUUUUCCAGGUAUGGGGGACAGGGUGUUUCCUAUUCUAAAAUUCAGUUUCGAUAGUUUACCAAGCGAUGCAAUUAAAUCUUGCUUCUUAUAUUGUUCCUUAUUCCCUGAAGACUUCAACAUUUUAAAAGAAAAUUUGAUAGAUUAUUGGAUUGGCGAGGGAUUUCUACAUGAAUUUGAUGACAUAGAUGAAGCUAGAAACCAGGGGCACAACAUUAUUGGUAUUCUUCUUAAUGCAUGUUUAUUGGAGAAGAGCUCCAGAGAUAUUAUAAGAAUGCAUGACGUGGUCCGUGACAUGGCAUUGUGGAUAGCUUGUGAGCAUGGGAAGGUGAAAGAUGAGUUUUUUGUGAGAACACGUGUUGGGUUAAUAGAAGCACCUGAGUUUACCAGAUGGGUUAGUGCCAAAAGGAUAUCAUAGAUGGAAAACCGAUUGAGAAGUUGACCAGAGCUCCUCCAUGCCCGAAUCUCUUGACUUUGUUUCUGGAUCGUAAUAAUUUGAGAAGGAUAACCAACGGUUUUUUCCAAUUUAUGCCUGAUCUAAGAGUUUUAAGCUUGUCAAGAAACAGAAGGUUGACUGAGAUACCAUUGGCAAUUUGCAAUUUGGUUUCAUUACAGUAUCUUGAUUUAUCACAUACAAACAUAAGGCUUCUACCAAUUGAGCUUAAGAACCUGCAGAAUUUGAAGUGCUUGAACUUGAAUUUUACGCAAAUACUUAAUGUAAUCCCAAGACAUCUAAUAUCAAGUUUUUCCUUGUUGCGAGUGCUGAGAAUGUACAGCUGCGAUUUUUCUGAUGAAUUAACAAAUUGUAGUGUUCUCUCUGGUGGUAAUGAAGACUUGUUAGAGGAGUUGGAGAGUCUAAAGCAGUUGCAUGAUUUAAGUAUCACACUAGAAAGUGCAACUGCUCUCUUGCGAAUCUGUGACUCCAAGUUACAAAGCUGCCUGCUCUCUUGCGAAUCUGUGACUCCAAGUUACAAAGCUGCACUCGAGAUGUAUACCUCAAGAUUUUGUAUGGAGUGACAUCUCUCAACAUAUCAUCUCUAGAGAAUAUGAAGCGCCUUGAAAAGCUUUGCAUCAGUAAUUGCAGUACUUUGGAAAGUUUGGAGAUUGAUUAUGUUGGAGAAGAAAAAAAGUUAUUAGCAUCUUACAAUCUCCACAACUCAAUGGUGAGAAGCCACAAAUGUUUUAACAGCCUUAAGCAUGUUCGAAUAGAUUCCUGCCCGAUUUUGAAGGACCUAACAUGGCUUAUUUUUGCUCCAAACCUUAUUCAUCUUGGGGUUGUGUUCUGCCCCAAAAUGGAAAAAGUACUAAUGCCUUUAGGGGAAGGGGAAAAUGGGAGCCCAUUUGCAAAACUUGAAUUGCUAAUUUUAAUUGAUCUGCCAGAGCUGAAGAGUAUCUACUGGAAAGCUUUGAGGGUCCCUCACCUGAAGGAAAUCCGUGUACGUUCAAUCCCACAGUUGAAGAAGCUGCCACUCAAUUCAAAUAGUACCGCUGGAUGUGGCACUGUGAUUUAUGGAGAAAAAUAUUGGGCAAAUGAGUUAGAAUGGGAGGAUGAAGGAUCACGACAUGCCUUUCUUCCUUGUUUCAUAUCUUGGUGAUAGGUGGGAGUAAUGUAAUGGAAUAGGCUUGGAUAUGAUCAUCACAGAUGAGGCUAGCUAUCAUUUCAUCCCCAUCAGCAAGGUAACAUUUACUUCUCAUGGUUUCGAGACUUUUUCGAGAACAAUGAUAUCAAAUUUAGUACUAAGUUUGUCUAUUUUUUUUCCCUAUUAUUUUUGUAGCACUUAAGAAGUAAAGUCUUGCCAAUGCAUCCAUGUAUACAGGGAGAUAAAUUAAGCCGGUGACUUUAUACCUGCCUACUUCCAUCCUUCUAAUAACAGAGACAUAUACACUAAAGGAGAAUUCCUUGCUUGUACCAUCAUUUAUGUCUGAGAUGGAUAAUAAAAACAUCAAAUUUACUAAAAGAAAAAAUUUGGAUGCAUGUUGUCCAUAACGAACGAGAUUACAAAUAAACAAAAUUACAUGAAUAUUAUGUGCCCACAUAUACAGAUUUCAGAUUCAUUCUUUUUCUUUUUUCUUUUUCCUUUUUUUAUUCUUAUUUUUAUUUAUUUAUUUAUCUGUGCUUUUCUUCUGGUUUUUUUCAGGGUCCUAAGACAAACAGAUUGAUUACAUUGUCCCUUCCCCCCAUCCCACCUUUGGCAAGAGUGACAAUGUCAGGUAGAUUUUCUCAAUCUGCAGCCCUAAAGUUCUAGAUAUGAUCCACCAAGCUUUCUAACCAACCGUGGCUUUCUAACCAACCGUGGUGCCACUGGACCCUGACCUAUUACCCAGCAAGCCUGGACGUGGAAGUGUAAACUAUGUCAAGGCUAGGGAACAGUGUCAAAUAAGCAGGCAAAAGGGAGUCAAGCCCAGGCUGUUCAUUACUUGGACUGCUCAUUUUCCAAUUCUUGGCAGUUGCAUUAAGUGUUUUUAUCCUACCCCUCAAAGAAAAAGAUAGAUUUAUCUGUCAUUAGGUGCAAUUGAACUUGGUCUAAACUCUUCUUUUUUUUUUUUCCCGUAGAAACCUCUUAUUGAGACCCAUAACCCAUAACCCAUAGCCCAAGUGGCCAAACCCCUCAAGACUGUUGCAGCAUCUUUGUUUAAUAUUUCCAAGUUGCAUGUGAUUUGGUAAUGAUUUUAGCAUUGGAAUUGGGAAAUUUUGAUCAACAAAAUUGAUGCUUAAUUUAAGUCUUGUAAGUCAGCCCCUAUACAAACAUCAUAUAGUUCCCUCAAAACUCACUAUGUUUUGCCUGCAAUGAAUGUGUUUGAAGCUUUGUGAUAGAUGAAGCACUCUUCAUUCUAAUUAUCUAUCCUUUUCAUUAGCAUCACCUGCACAUUGCUCCUCGACAGUAGGCUCUUUAUGCUUGGGAGCUCACCACUUGACCCAUCAAAUAUUUGUGUUUCAGAUUGCCUGCUAAAAUAAAAGAUGUAUGCAUGUGAGGAUAGUUCUGGAUGACAAGAGCUUUUGGUAAUGAAACAUUCCUUAUGGAUUGUUAUGUGAUGCUUCUAAUGGAGUUCAAAUGCCAACCAUGCAAGCUUUUUGGGACAUAAACCCAGCAAAAAGAAAAUAAAAGUAAAACAGAGUGAAGGAAACCAAUGCAUCUCAUUAAGGGUAGAAAAAACAGCAAUUGCAGUCAUUUCAGACUGAUUUGGAAUAGCCAGGGAGUUCUAGUAAUCAACAGGCCAAGUACUAAUAGUUGAAUGACAAAUAAGAUCACAAUGAGAACUCAAGGUGUUAUCCAGGACUAGUUAAGUUACGAAUAUUCAAAGAAUUUAAUGGAAGAAACCAUUACAUACCCAUCCAGAAAGUGCAUUCACUUGAGGUAGUGUGGAGAAGAGCCUUGACUCGGAACAAGAAGCAUUCCAUAGAUCUCUUUGUACUGGGAAUUUUGCUGGUAAUAAUCAUUUGUUUCAAGCCCUUCUUGAAAAUAUAAAAAUAAUGGCACUCUCUGAUUGCAUCUGAAGUUGCAUCCCUCAAAUUUCCAUUGAUAGAUUUAACCUACAUGUAUGAACAAGAAAAGAUUAAUUAAGAGAAUAUUGGAUCUCUUCUUAAUUAAAAGUAAAACAUUUAAUUGCUAGAUGAAAAAAUAAAUAAAAGCACAAAUAUUUCUAGUUAUAAAAUGUAUUUCACAAUGUUCUUUUCUCUUUAGCAUACCAGAAUUCCUAGGUGUAAGGAUAGCCUCAGUUGUCCUUGCUCAUUUAUAAGCUUAGUUCUUAGUGAGGCGGUGAGGAUUUCAAAUUGUGAUUCAUUGUUGUCAUGAUUCGUGCCUCUUUGCUUCUCUAUGGAAACUCCCAGUGAUGGGGAACCAACUCCACUGAGACAAUCUUCAAAAGGCUUCAUAUUCAAACAAUUUAUGAGACAGACUAAUAUGUUUUUUCCUUUAAGACGUUAAACUAAAAGGUUUAGCAGAGUAGCUUACAAAUCCUGCUGGACCUUGAUGAUGAGCUCUGUUUGAUAGUGAGGGUUCUGGUGGCUACGGUGGGGAGUUCCCUCCUACACAUAGCAUAGAAUGUAUUGCUUUAUCUAUAUCCUAUGCAAAACAGAUAGUCUCAAAAAACAGUGACUAAUUAACUCUCACCAGAGGGCUAAUCAUGGGGGAGUUGGAUACUUCUCAUCCAUAGCUCUAGAAGAGGUGCUGGAUAUUGAAUUUCUCUAGUUCCACCCGUUAAUAUUCCAUCAAUAAUUGUUGAAGAUGAAUUAAAAUAUCAUGAUAUAUAGCCGAUAUAUCCAUGGUAUAUCCAAUAUUCAUCAACCGAUAUUUUUUGAUGUUUUAACGAUAUUUUACUGAUUUUUCCAUUUUUUCGUGUUUCAACCAAUAUAAUAAAUAUAAAUAUUAAAAAAAUUAUAAAUAUUUUAUUAUUUAUUUGAUAUCAUUGAAUAUAUUUAAAUUAAAAUGGAUCAUAAUUUUAAUAUUAAAUAUAUUUUAAAAUUAGACAUAUUAUCAGAAUAAUAUUUUUAUCAAAUAUGAAAAAUUAUAUAUAUAUAUAUAUAUUAAAAAAUAACUUUAAAAUAUCUAUUUUUACUUCUUAUAUAAUUUUUUAGAAUUUUUUUAAAAAUAUUUUUAGAAUUUUUAUUAAUUUUUAAAUCACCGAUAUUUUGUAUCAAAAUAUCCACCUUUAAAAUAUAUGAUAUAUCCAUAAAAUCAAAGUACAAAUAUAUCCAUGAUUACUCAUAUUUUUAUUAUUGAAUAACAACUAAAUAAAGUUGACUAUCUUUACUUUAUGCAUAAAGUUCUGUAGAAUGUAUUAAAAAAUAAUAACUAAUUAUUUUCUUAAACACAUAAAUAUCGAUCAUACUUUUCUUACAAUUUUGAAACUUUUCCAUGGUUCGAAGUAAUAUCCAGAUAUUAAAAAACUUGCACAAUAAUUAACAUAUAGAAUGGGAUAAACUGAAACAUCCCAUAGUUAUAAAAUGUAUUCCACAAUGUUCCAUAUGUUGGAGAGAAAUAAUUAAGAUGUUAGUGACUCAAACCCUGGUGGAACAUCAAGAUUCUCUUCCUUAACACAAGAUCUAAUCAGUUUUGUCCCCAUCAAUGUUGUGAAACAAGGAUAGUGAUGAUGUCAUCACAAAUUUUCUUCAAAUACAAGAACAGACAAUCUCAUUUAAAGGUUCAAUAAGAAAAUGAACUAAUUUAGGGUUUACCAAUCUAUAUAAAAACUAAAUGGAAUUAUAGAGGCAAAUAAAAAAAAUUAAAACAGACCCAUUUCACAAAUUCAAGAAAAAAAAAAAAAAAAUUUCCCCCAUGCACAUCGUGAUUACGAGGAAAAUGUUUUUUUGCAUCUUUCGAAUCAUUCUAUGUUCAUAAAAUGGGAACUACGUUCUUGUGGAGACCCAUAAGUUAUACUCUGCUAAAUUGUUGUAAAUUAUUGAUUUGUAGUAUUUGAUUCUUUUUUCAAAGUUUCUAUAAAGAUAAAUUAUGAAAUUUUGAUAUGAUCACUUAAACCUUUAAAUUUGUAACUUAAAGUUUCUUGAUUGAUUGAAUUUAUAUUAACUAUAAACUAAAAAAAAAUAUUAAAAUAUUAUUUUAAAAUAAAAUAAAAUAAAUUAUCUCCUUAAACAAUAAGCAUGAAAAAAAAUCCUCAUUUAUUUAUUUAUUUUUUAAUAAUUCAUGACCAAAUACAUAAUAAUAAUAAUAAUAAUAAUAAUAAUAAUAAUAAUAAUAAUAAUAAUAAUAAUAAUAAUAAUAUAAUAAUAAUAAUAAUAAAAAUAAAUAAAUAAAUAUAUAUAUAUAUAUAUAUAUAUAUAUAUAUAUAUAUAUAUAUAUAUAUAUAUAUAUAUAUAGUAAUAUUAAAAUUGAAUUUUGUUACUACUAUCUAAUUCAUAUUUUAAAAUAUAAGUUAAAAUUAUUCUAUAAUUAAUAGUGAAGCCUUUUUUCCAACUCAUGCACCAGUCAUCUGCUAUAGCCCCAUCAAUGUGUCGCCACAGCCCAAUUUUGGGUGCCCAACACCACCACAAGACACAUCCAUAAAUUGUGCUAGCCACACUCACUUUUCUAGCUGUCACAAGCCAUACUCACUUUUCUAGCUGUCCAAGGCAUCUCAACUUAGCCCUUAUUAGCCAUCCAAUCUCCCAGGCCAUCACCCAACAGUUCCGUGCCCAAAGUCACACCAACCUACCCGCUAGCUCAUCUAUCUCCACAAACCAUACCUUACAAUCUGCAAACCAUCUCCUCAGCUGUCCCUAAUAGCCCUCUGCCAACGCAUAACUUAAGCAAUAAAACAGCUCAUCCUAAGUUGCCAUAACCUAUACCCUAUAACCUAAUACACGACUCUCACAAUCGGCCUUUGGAAAAUGGGAGAAUUGUGUUUUGGGCCCAGUUGGGCCCAAAAAUUAACAUUUGGUCCUCCAACCACCCAUAUUUAAGUCCAAGGAUAUGAGAUAGUAAUUGACAAAAAUACCCGUUUGACUCAUUUUUGUCUUUAUUCUACUACUUGCCACUCUUCUUUCUUAUUUAAUCAUUUUUGGAAUUUUCAUUUUUUUAAAACUCUUUUAUAAAUAAUUGAAAAAUUACAUUAUUUUUUAUUUUUAAAUUAUAAAUAAACAAAAAUUAUAUUAAUGAUUCAAAGACUAUUUUAGAAAAUACUUUUUAAAAAAUAUUAAUUUAAAUAAAUAAAAAUUAUCUUUUAUAUUUAUUUUUAUCGUUUACAUUUUAGAAGUAAAUAAUUUAAUGAUUAAAAUAUCAUUUAAAAUAAAUAUAUUUACUAUUUUUAUUUUUAUUUUUAUACUAAAAAGUAUUUUAAAGUUUUUUUUUACUAUUAUAAAAUAAAAAGUUCAAUUUUUUUUUUUAAUCUUCUUCCUUCCUUAUUUUAGCAACUUUUUGAACAUGACUUUUAGUAAUAAGUUAUAUGAAAUGCUACAAAUUUGUUUAUUAAGGAUUUUUUUUAAUGAUUUGAAUUAAUUGAAAAUUUAUUAAAAUAAGAAAAAGAAAAAUAAAGAAAGGGGAUGUAUUGAGAGUUUUUAUUUUAAGUACUCGAUUAAAAUAAGGAUGGAUGAAGAGUUUUUAUUUUAAGUACUCAAUUAAAAUGUUUUCAUAUGACCUAAUUUUAGAAGUGGAUUAUAUCAAUACAUAGUAGAGAUUGAUUUUUUUUUUAUAUAUAAAAGGGUUGAAAGGUAUAUUUACUUGUUUUAGAUGAAAACAAGUAACUAAAAAUUAUAUAGAUUAUAUUUGAGUUUGGUUUUAAAAUAUUUUUCUAGUUUUUAUUUUUAUUUUCUAUAUUGCCUCUUUUUGAAAAUACGUUUAAGUUAUGACAAAUAUGAAAUUUAUGUCAUUGUACAAUGAUAUUAUACUAAUUGUACAAGGGAAAUGUGCUAAGUGUACAAGGGUGUACAAGACUCUUAAUAGGUUUUGUACGAUUUUUAAACAACUUAAAUUUGAUAUUAAGACGAUUAUUGAUAGUUUUUUUUUCCCUUUUUUUAUCAAACUAUUUCAUUAAGACAUUCCCUACAAAAAUUAACACAUAAGAAAUAAAAUUUUGAGUUAUUUGAAUUAUUGUACAAGGUAUUAUACUAACUAUACAAGACAAAUUUACUAAUUGUACAAGGGUGUACAAGACUACUUUUUGUUAAGGAUUUCAAGUGAUUUUGAAAAAUUUUCCUAUUUUUUUCCACUCAAAGAUUUUUCCCCCACUCAAAUUCUCUCACUCAAGAAUUGUUUCGAAUUUUAUUUUUAAAUUUCAUCAUCAAAAAUUUGUAAUUGGAUAUUUUGUUUUUGUAGUUUUAGCAAUGUUAUUUCUUUUCACUAUAUAUAUAUAUAUAUAUAUAUAUUUUUGUGAAAUUUAUCCAAAUGAAUCUAUAUUCAAAAUUAUAAUCAUAUUUAUCAAAAUUUUUACUAAGAUUAUCUUUAAUUCUUUUAAUAUAUUUAUACUCAUUUAUUUAAAAAAUGAAAAACUAAUUUUUUUUUUUUUGUAAACAUGUUCUAUUACCUUUCAAGUAAAAAAUUAGAUAAGUUUCAAAGUCAAUAAAUAAAAAAAAUUAAAUACCACUUUCAAUAAUUUUUAGAUAAAAUUUUAUAUAAUAUAUUUUAUUUGAAACUUAAUUUUUAAAGUUUAACUAAAAAAUUGUAUUGACAAUUUUUUUGUUGUGGGUCAAAAUACUUUGCAUUAAUCUAUCUAGAUAAGAAAAAUUAUUAAUAUAAUAUUAGAACUUCAUAUCUUAGUUAUUUUUUUUCAACAAAUUUAUCUUUUUAAAAAUUUUAAAAUAAAAACAUUAAAAAUUAAAAAGCUAAAAAGAUAUAUAUAUAAUAAAGUGAAGUGAUAGUUAAUUUUAAAAUUUUUUGAAAUAUGGUUAAUGUAGAAAAUAUAAAAAAUAAUUAAAAAUAAGAGAAAAAGAUAGAUGAAAGGGUAAUAUAAAUUUAAAAUAAAAAAUGAAAAUUAAACUAAAAGAUAAAUACAAAAAGAUAAAAAAUAUUUGGAUGAAAAAUCCCAAAAUUUUUAUCAUUGCUUUUAAUAAGAGCAAAAAGAUUCAAUAUCUUUAAAAAUGAAAAAUAAAAAAAUAUUAUUGUUUUUUAUUUGAUAUAAAAUAGAAAUAUAUAUUGGAAUAAAAAGGAAAAAAAAGUUAGAAAUAAGUAAUAUUUAAUAGGGAAUAGAAAAGGAAAAAAAACACAAAAAAAAUUAAAAUUCACACUCACUUGUAGGCAUAUAAGGGAUAAGGGUAUUUUAGGAAUUAAUGAAAGACAAUAUCCUUCAUCUUAAUUUUCAUACUUUGUUUGAGUCUUGGGCUUAAAUAUGGGUGGUUGGAGGACCAAAUGUUAAUUUUUGGGCCUAAUUGGGCCCAAAACACAAUUCUCCCUUGGAAAAUACACACCGAAGCCAUUUUUUUAUUUAUCUCCGUACAGUUUCAUCCGACCACCAAGUGUCUCAAUCCCAUCUCAAAGCCCUUGCUGCAGCUGAACCCAUCCUUGCAAACCCCUUUCCCGGAAACCUCUUCACCGACAACACCGACAGUAUGGGGUUUCUACAGUGGCCAUUGAUCAUCAUCGAAACAAACAUCAUGGCCAUUUCUCUCGUCGGCUUCGCCAGGACUUGUCACCUGAGCAUUUCCUCGUAUGGUUUUCUCUUUGGGCUACGUUUUUCAACAAUGCUGCUAUAAGCAGCUUCGCGAUCUUCACUUAUGCUGUUACGAACAAAGGGUCAGGUGACGCCAAACCAAGUUUAUCUGGGUCAUUAUCUAUUGGACCAUUUUGGUGGUCGGAGCUGAACUUCUUGGUUUUCGAUGAUUUCUUUGCCGUUCUCUGGUCGUGGUGUCCAGGCCUGUUGUCACGCCCCAAGACCCACUCCUUGGGGCGGCAUACGACACUCUCAAAUAUCAUACCCGGGUGAUGCUCUAUCCUACCCGGGCCUAUUAUCCGGAUCAUUAACUGUAGCAAACAAGCCUUGCUGAGUCAUCCCCGAUAGCUUGCCACAACCCACGUUUCGCCGCCUGCAGAGCGAAAGGACAGGAGCGAUGACAAGUCACCUCCCACGAUCUCUAACAGCCGCCUGCAGGGUGAUGAUGGCCCUGCUACCACAUUGAGGACAUUAUGACAAGCCAAAAAGUCUUCCCACUAUUAAAGAGGGAGGUAGAGCUUUUGACACUAUAUAAAAGGACCUUCACACAAGGAAGAAGGUAAGCUUGCUAUCUCAGAAAAAAGGCCAACAACUUAAUCUCUAGAGCCAUGGCUAACAAAACCAUCGGAGGGUGUGUCCGGACACCCUGUCUGGACAUCUUUUGCAGGGUCAAUUGAGCCAGAACUCAAUCUUGGUUGAAAGCGCGCGUCCACUUGGUAGCUACGUGGACCCUUGGGACGCGAGGCAUCAACAUUGGCGCCGUCUGUGGGAAACAUCUUUUCUUCUCAGUAAAUCCUAUACCUUCCAACUGUAAAGAUGGCUUUCACCCUCAAGGAGUCUUUCUCCCGCCAGAGGUGACGAAGGUUACUUCGAAUGGCGAAACAACAUGGAAAGACGACAGCUAGAAAACGAACGAUAGAUGCAAAUUCUGCUCCAAGAAACAAGGAAACUCAGGGAAGAAGACAAUGUAUUGAGGAUCCCAAUCUCUUCCCAACCUCAGCACUAUCAACGGAUGCAGGACUCCUGUCACAACCAGGGAGCUCCAUUUCCCCGAGAAGCGAGUCCAACCCUUGAGGCGCAGGAAGCAUGGCCUAGCGAAACCCCAGUGCACGCUCACCAUGUCCGACGAAACGAGAGUUCAGGCUCUACUCGAGUCUCUUCCAAGCGAAAAUGUGAAAAAAAAGCCCCAAAUAUCUGACGCAACGCGCGCGCGUUUGGGACCCCAAACACUUUGCAAAAACAGGCCUCAGACCACCAUAUCACUGGGGGCACACUCCGAGCCUUCAAGCUCGCCUACUCUACAGGGACAUGUCGCUCGCCCCCCUGUGACGCGGGUUGGUAAAGAUCCCUCGCACACAGCCCUUUCGGGCUCUAUCAGCAGGCGCCUGGACGACAUGCUCUCCACGCCUUUCAGCUCUCGUAUCAUUAAAUAUGAAUCCCCACGAGGGUUCAUCGUCCCGAAAUUCUCCACUAGCCCAGAUGGUACCAGGAGGGCAACAACAAGGGGUAAGAGCCUUGUCGCCACCAUGAGUUUGAAUCCUGGGGAGGUCACUCUGGGUCGCUUUGGCACCAGAGCCAAAAAUCGGGUUGCUUUGGCACCGAUACAAAUGAUGGCAAGACAUCACUCUAGGUCGCUUUGGCAUCAGAGCCAAAAAUCGGGUCGCUUUGGCACCUGAGCCAAAAUUACUCCGGUCCAAUCCCGGAUAGCCACUUUGGUCCUGGCCCAUUCCGGCUGUGAUGCCCCCGUCUAGCACAGUUCGGUGGUACGGUUGGCCAGAGCCAAAAAUACCAGGAGGGCAAUGUCCUAAGCCUUAAGGCCUGUAGGACCCAAGUUCGAAUCCUGGGGAGGUCACUCUGGUCCUGGCCCAUUCCGGUUGUGAUGCCCCCGUCUGGCAUAGUUCGAUGGUACGGCUGGCCAGAGCUAAAUAUACUCCGUGGUCCAACCCCGGAUAAAACAAACGACGUCCCAACACAGUGGACAAAGAUCCCCCGGCAGCAGACCCACUGGAAGCUGUACAAAUAUUAGAGGGAGGUGAAUGUUUCACGUACGUCAGUGCUCUCCUCCCGCUAGCCGAAAGGUUCGAGCUUCAAAAGGUGCUCCAACAAAAUCGCGAUAUCUUCGCUUGGGCCCACUCGGACAUGCCUGGAAUACUUCCGAGCAUCGCCUCUCAUUGACUCAAUAUAUUAGCCACCUUCAAGCCCGUUCGACAAAAAAUUCGACGAUUCCACCCAAACAAAGAAUCGACUCCAGAUGAUUGGUGGUCUCUGCAUGUUGAUAGGGCCUCCCACUCGUCCGGAUCAGGAGUCGGACUCCUCCUCAAAGCACCAACCGGAGAACGGCUGGAGCAAUCCAUCCGUCUGGAUUUUCCUGCCUCAAACAAUGAAGCUGAAUAUGAGGCCAUCCUAUCCGGAUUGGGCCUUGCAAUCACCCUGAAUGCCUCAAAAGUCAAAAUCCACAACGACUCCCAACUCGUCGUGGGGCAAAUACGAAAAGAAUACAAGGCCAAGGAGACGAGCGCAUGACCAAAUACUUACUGAAAGUACAAAAGUCACUCAGCCGACUAUGAGAGUGGGUCAUUGAGAAAAUCCCAAGGGGAGAUAAUGUGCAGACCGAUGCUUUGGCGGGACUAGCCGCAUCAUUUCCCGUGAAAGAGUCAACAAUGUUAUCUGUAUUCGUUCAAGCCACUCCCACCAUCGCUGAAUCACACGUUUGCAAUGAGAGCCCAAAAGAAUACGACUGGGCGGUUGACAUCAGAGCCUAUUUACAAGCGGGGGCACUGCCUGAAGAUCCCAAGCACGCGCACAAAGUUCGGGUACAAGCAUCUCGCUUUACCCUAAUCGGGGAUGAUCUCUAUAAGCGUUCCUUCGGAGGUCUGUACCUCAGAUGCUUGAUACAGCCGGAAAUCCAAUAUGUUCUAUCCGAACUUCAUGAAGGCGUUUGCGGCAACCACUCAGGGGGUAGAACCCUGGCGCACCGGGCGCAUUCCCAAGGAUAUUAUUGGCCUACAAUGAGGCAGGACGUAGAGAUCUAUGUCAGGAAAUGCGACAAAUGCCAAAAACACACGCCAAUCCCGCAUAUGCCCGUUGAGACAUUAAACUCAAUGACAAGCCCCUGGCCUUUCGCGCAAUGGGGGAUGGAUAUUGUGGGACCCUUACCCACUGCAGCUGCUCAGAAGAAGUUUCUACUUGUUGCCACCGAUUAUUUCAACAAGUGGGUGAAGGCUGAAGCCUAUGCAAGCAUCAAGGACAAGGACGUCAAAAGGUUCGUCUGGAAAAAUAUAGUAUGUCGAUUUGGUAUCCCUCGGCCGAUCAUAGCUAACAACGACCCUCAGUUUGAUGGUUUUGCCUUUAAAGAUUUCUAUGCAGAACUUCACAUCAAAAAACCUGUAUUCCACGCCGCGAUAUCCUUAGAGCAACGGUCAAGCAGAAGCGACCAAUAAAACCUUACUAAGUGCGUUGAAGAAACGGUUGGAAAAAGCCAAAGGAAAGUGGGUAGAAGAGCUACUUGGAAGGACGACAGGGAACACCUCGUUUGCCCUCGCAUACGGAACAGAUGCCGUCAUCCCAAUUGAAGUGGGUAUGCCCACACCCCGGACUGCCGUCUAAGGUCAAAGAAAUGAAGAUGAUGAGCUUGCAAGGCACUUGGAUUGGGCGGAUGAGGCUAGAGAGGCAGCAUCCAUCCGGAUGGCCGUAUAUCAACAAAAGGACACGCGGACGUCCCCCUUGCAAUGCGGGGCAUCGCUCAUUCCACCCGGAUGGGAAUCAUAGCUCAUCCCACCACAUCCGGAUCCGACCGACGUUCUGCCUUCUCCGGGUAUCUCACAUCCGGAUCCUGCCGCCUGAUAACAUCUGGAGAGGAGAACGAUUCAACUUCCCCGGGCAGACAUGUUCGGAUCCUCUGUAGCGCCUACCCGGAGAACAUCUGUGGCCAACAAUUCAGAUUCCCCGGAUAGCUUGGCUCGUCAGAUACCCGCGAUUCGUCGGAUCCAUUUCUGCCCACAAUAAAAAAACAAACUCCGACAAUGCUGACGACCAAGUCUCCUGAACUGUCACUCAUCUUUAAUGCAAGAUGUGCUCGACAAGACAUUCCCAAGUCAUAUUUUCGCCUCCGCGCACCACGUGGCCCAAUGAGCGCAAAAAGUAAACCUAAGUUUCAAAAACAAUCAUUUUUAACCCGCCCAUUCUGCUCGGGCAAAAUCGACAGGUUAAAAGGGGGGCAUUGUAGGGACCCCUCCCCCUGAUAACACAUGGUGCGCACCACUAUUCGGAGCAACUCCAUCUAGACUCCCCUAAGAGGACACGUGGUGCGCCCCUUAUCCGAACUCCCCAAGAGGAUACGUGGUGAGUGCCCUUAUCCGGAUUCCCUUAGGGGAGGCACACGACACUCUCAAAUAUCAUACCCGGGCGAUGCUCUAUCCUACUCGGGACUAUUAUCCGGAUCAUUGACUGUAGCAAGCAAGCCUUGCUGAGUCAUCCCCGAAAGCCUGCCACAGCCCACGUUCCGCCGCUUGUAGAGCGAAAGGAUAGGAGCGAUGGCAAGUCACCUCCCACGAUCUCUGAUAGCCGCCUGCAGGGUGAUGAUGGCCCUGCCACCACCUUGAGGACAUCAUGACAAGCCAAAAAGUCUUCCCACCAUUGGAGCGAUGACAAGUCACCUCCCACGAUCUCUGACAGCCGCCUGCAGGGUGAUGAUGGCCCUGCCACCACCUUGAGGACAUCUUGACAAGCCAAAAAGUCUUCCCACCAUUAAAGAGGGAGGCAAAGCUUCUGACACUAUAUAAAAGGAGCUUCACACAAGGAAGAAGGUAAGCUUGCUAUCUCAGAAAAAAGGCCAACAGCUUAAUCUCUAGAGCCAUGGCUAACAAAACCAUCAGAGGGUGUGUCCGGACACCUUGUCCGGACAUCUUUUGCAGGGUCAAUUAGCCAGAACUCAAUCUUGGUUGAAGGCGCGCGUCCACUUGGCGGCUACGUGGAUCCCUGGGACGCGAGGCAUCAACAACGAUCAUUUUACACCUCAAAUCCGAAGGCUUAAAGUAUAACCUGACCCAAACAAUCAUAUUGUAAUUGAAAGUAACCAAUUACCAAAAACCUGUUCAGAGUAGCAGAACAAAAUUCUAAAAUCUCCAAACAUAACUUAGAACUAAGCAUUUAUCAACCAAAAUCCAUUAUCCAAAUAGAUUGCAACUCAACAAAUCAAGUACUAACGAAUUUUUGUAAUCUCCAAAUCUCAACUUCAAUCUAUCAUAAAAAAAAAUAUAUUUAAAAGCUCAAUAUCUAAAUCGCUUCCAAAAACUAAAUAAACCAAAUGAACAUAAACUUAUAAGCUAACAAUGUUAAAAAAUAACAUCCUAAGAAAAAUCCUAAUGAUGACCAACUUUCCCGCCUAGUCAUCACUCCUCGCCUGAACUAAAGGUACCUGAAAAAUUUUCAACAAUUGGGAAUGAGCUCACAGCCCAAUAAGGAAUAUUAAUGCAGUUCAUGGAUCAAAUAUUUUCAUUUCAAAUAGAAGAUAUCAUUUUUUUUCCAUCAAAUAUUAGAGUUUCAAAAAUACCAAUAUAUUUAAAUUUCAAUCAACCAUUUUCAUAUCAAAUUCAAAACACUUUCACAUAAGAUUCAAUCAAAUCCAUUCAAUUUUCAUUACUCUGGUUAUCAAAUAUCAAAUGCCCAGUUAGGUGGGACUUUUCAAAUGGGUGGCUAGCCUCAAAUUGUUCCUGGUGGACGGAACCAAACACUACUAGUACUAGUAACCUCUAACCAAACCCCUAGAGGCUGGGGUCCAAAUCAAUUACAUUCCCACCAUGAAAUGUAAAUGUCAACUAUUAUAUCCCGUUGACAAGGGCCAAAUAAACCAGAGUGAUGUUUUUGUUCAAGUAUUCAAAUUUACACAACAUAAUAUCUCCAUAUUUUGUGUCAUAAAUAAAACAAAAUAUUCCAACAUAAUAUUUAGUGCAAAACAGUUUGAUCCAUGCAUGGUAACAAAAUAUCAUUUUCUUUUCCACAAUUCAAAAUAACAUAUAAAAUAAUUUAAUUUUAUAAAUAUUGCAUUAACUUCCCUUACCUCAAAUUAUGCAAAGACCUUGAAAGCUUGGGAGAAAAAUAAUUCUGGAAAUCUACUCUUCUCCUAAUAUAACAUAAGAGAAAUAAUUAUUACUAUUUAUCUAUAAUUUAACUAAUCUAUUCCUUAUUUAAAUAAAAUUAAUAAAUUCUCAAUUUGUUUCUAAUAACACAUUACUAAUUUAAUUAAAUUACAAUUUUAUUUCAUUAUAAAAAUUCUAUAUAUAUAUAUAUAUAUAUAUAUAUAUAUAUAUNNNNNNNNNNNNNNNNNNNNNNNNNNNNNNNNNNNNNNNNNNNNNNNNNNNNNNNNNNNNNNNNNNNNNNNNNNNNNNNNNNNNNNNNNNNNNNNNNNNNAAAAAAAAUAAAUUCUCAAUUUGUUUCUAUAAACACACCACUAAUUUAAUUAAAUUACAAUUUUUUUUCUUUAUAAAAAUCUAUAUAUAUAUAUAUAUAUAUAUAUAUAUAUAUAUAUUGCUAAAUCUCAUUCUAUUUAUUACAAAAAGACCAUUAUUUUUAUUUUUUUUUUUUUUAAUAUAAAAAAAAAUAUCAUUAUUUUUUUAAUUAUCCAAUUCAAUAGCCACUCACCCAUUUCUCAUCUCGGGUACACACCAAAAAACAAGUUUUUUUUUUUUUUUGCCUAAAGAUGAUUCAUUAUAUAUAUAUAUAUAUAUAUAUAUAUAUAUAUAUAUAUAUAUAUAUAUAUAUAUAUAUAUAUAUAUAUAUAAAAGCCUCCAUAGCACUGUCACGCCCCACCUGUUUUUUUUUUUUCCUUCCUUCUAGUGUGCACACGCGUUUCUUGUUUUUUUUUUUCUAUUCUUUGUUCCAGUACUGUGCACACACAUUCUCUUCUUUUCUUAUUUAUUUAUUUUUUUUCUUUUUAUUAACUUUUUCUAAUCCCUUCCACCACAAAUAACAAUAUAUUUAUUUAUUUAUUUUUUAAUAAAAUUAACCCUAAUAUAAAAUCGAAACCUUCCAAGGAACCCUUUUUUUUUUUUUUUUUUCAUCUAAUAAAACUUAAGAUCUCCCAAAUACCAACAAUAAAUCAAAAUCUUAAAUUUUUAUUUUAUUUUUUUAUUUAUUUAUUUUUACUAUUGAUAUUAAAACGAAUUAAAAAAAUAAAAUAAACUAACCUAAUCUAGAUUUGGGUUUUCCAAAAGAUAUCUAAUGUGUUUGAAAUUAAUCAAUGAAUCUAAAAUAUUAAACUAGGGGUUAGAAUCUUACCUAUAGAGAUCUGUUCUUCAACCCUGAAAUCUGACUCCAACCUACGUUCUUUGAAAUUCUGCGAACAGGAACUCUAUUCAGAAAAGAAUAGGAAGAAAUAGAAUUUCUAAUUUAUACCUAGGGUAUUUAUUCGUAAAAUUACACUUUUGUAUUAGUAAUUUCCUAAAUUACCCUUAAAAAAAAUACUUGGGCGUUACAUCCUCCCCUCCUUAACAAAAGUUUAGUCCUCUAAACUUGACAUACCUGAGUCUUGAAAUAAUUGAGGAUGUUUCUCUCUCAUCUCUUCUUCUAACUCCCAAGUGACCUCUCGGAUACUAUGAUUGCUCCAUUGGACCUUUACCAACUUGACAACAACAUGUUGCAGUACCUUAUCCAUCACAUCCACAAUUUGAACGGGUACCUCUUCAUAGGUCAAGUCCUCAGAAAUUUGAAUAGGCUCCAACUCCACAACAUGAGAGGGAUCAUAAAUAUACUUCCUCAAGGUUGAAACAUUGAAAACAUUAUGCCAAUUACCUUGCAGGUCCAAAAUACAAGCUCUCAACAAGUCUUCCAAAACCUAAAUUACCCUUUCUGAUUGGCCAUCAGUUUGAGGAUGGAAAGCAGUACUAAAACUCAACUUAGUGCCCAAAGCUUUUUGUAGACUAUGCUAGAAUCUAGAAGUGAAACGAGAAUCUCUGUCAGACACUAUAGAAACUGGUACUCCAUGCAUUCUCACAAUCUCCUUCACAUAAAGAGAAGCUAAACGAUCUAAAGAAAAGUUGACUUUCAUAGGCAAAAAGUGAGCAGACUUUGUCAACCGAUCAACAAUCACCCAAAUAGCAUUAUUACCCCCUAAGGUUCUUGGCAAUCCUAUCACAAAAUCCAUGGUAAUAUGCUCCCACUUCCACUCAGGAAUAGCAAGUGGCUACAAAGACCCUGUUGGUUGCUGAUGUUCAGCCUUCACCUGUUGACACACUAAACACUGAGCCACAAAUUGUGCAAUAUCACACUUCAUACCUGACCACCAAUAGUUUUGCCUCAAAUCCUUGUACAUCUUUGUCCUCCUAGGUGGAUUGCAAACUUGGAACAAUGAGCUUCCUCUAAAAGCUCCCUCCUUAAGUCUUCAUCAUUUGGGACACAAAGUCUAGUCCCAAAUCUCAAGAUCUCAUCAUCUGACAAAACAAAAUCAGGCUUACUGCCCCUCUUAACUUCCUCCAUAACUUGCACUAAUUGGGAAUCAUUCUUUUGUAGGGUCUUAAUUCUCCCAACUAAGUCUGGUUGUACUCUAAAAUUUGCUACAAGUGCUCCUAAGCCCAUAACUCGAAAGUGGACUUGUAAACUCCUCAACUCUUCAAGUAACUGUCUUUGACAGCCUCUAAUAGCUGCUAGAGAACCAACUAACUUCCUAUUCAAGGCAUCAACUACAACAUUCGUCUUCCCAGGAUGAUACUGAAUAAUACAAUCAUAGUCCUUAAGUAGUUCUAUCCAUCUUCUCUGUCUCAUGGUCAACUUCUUUUGGGAAAAUAUAUACUUCAAACUCUUAUGAUCUGUGAAUAUCUCACAAGUUUCACCAAAAAGAAAAUGUCUCCAAAUCUUAAGUACAAAAACCACACCAGCUAACUCCAAAUCAUGAAUAGGGUAGUUCCUUUCAUAAGGCUUCAACUGCCUAGAAACAUAAGCUACAACUCUCCCAUGCUGCAUAAGAACACAACCUAAACCCUGAUGAGAGGCAUCACUAUACACCACAAAUCCUCUUAAACCUGAAGGGAUAGUCAAAAUAGGAGCUGCCACUAAUCUAUUCUUCAACUCUUGGAAGCUACAUUCACAAUCAUCAGACCACUCAAACUUAACUCCCUUCUGUGUCAACUUAGUUAAAGGUAGGGCAAUCUUAGAGAACCCUUCUAUAAACCGCCUAUAGUAACCAGCAAGUCCCAAGAAACUUCGAAUCUCAGUCACAGUACUAGGUCUUCUCCAAUUAGCUACAACAUCUACCUUUCCAGGGUCAACUGAGAUGCCAUCAUUGCUUACCACAUGCCCAAGGAAAGAAAUUCGGUCUAACCAAAACUCACACUUCUUCAGUUUAGCAUACAACUGCUUAUCUCUGAGGGUCUGUAAUACAAUACUCAAAUGGCCCUCAUGCUCCUCUCUACUUCUUGAGUAUACCAAGAUGUCAUCUAAAAAAACCACCACAAACUGAUCUAAAUAGGGUUUGAAUACCCUAUUCAUCAAGUCCAUAAAAGCAGUAGGUGCAUUAGUCAAACCAAAAGGCAUAACAAGAAACUCAUAAUGCCCAUACCUAGUUCGAAAAGCAAUCUUGGGUACAUCUUCCCCUCUAACCCUCAACUGGUGAUAACCCGAUCGAAGAUCUAUCUUAGAGAACACACAAGCACCUUGUAGCUGAUCAAACAAUUCAUCAAUCUGAGGAAGGGGAUACUUGUUCCUCACUGUCAUCUUAUUCAACUCCCUAUAGUCAAUGCAAAGUCUCAUUGAGCCAUCCUUCUUUUUUACAAAUAGAAUAGGAGCUCCCCAAGGUGAAACACUAGGCCUGAUAAAACCCUUGUCUAAUAACUCCUGAAGCUGAACUUUCAACUCCUUAAGCUCCACAGGUGCCAUCUUGUAUGAGGCCUUAGACAUAGGACCUGUUCCUGGUACCAGAUCGAUGGUGAACUCCACCUCUCUCUCUGGUGGCAAGCCAGGCAAAUCCUCUGGAAAGACAUCAGGAUACUCCCUUACUAUGGGUAUGUCUUCCAACUUCAAAUCACUUUCAUUACUCAUCACACUAGCCAAAAAUCCUUGGCAACCCUUCUUGAGCAAGCUACUAGCUCGCAAGGCUGAGAUCAUAUGCAGUGAUCUGUCCACAUGCUUCCCUUCAAAGCUAAACUUAGGCUGACCAGGAAUACUAAACGUCACCCUUUUCUCAAAACAGUCAACAGAGGCAUGGUAGGAAGCUAACCAAUCCAUCCCCAAAAUCACAUCAAAAUCCUGAAGGUCAAGGAGUACUAAGUCAACUGGCAUUUCCCUAUAACCAAUCAUCACAAUACAAUUUCUAAGCAUUCUACUGGCCACAAUAGAAUCUCCCAUAGGAGUAGCAACAAUCAAAUCAAAGUCUAUGCUAGCAACAGGCAAACCCAACAAACCAGCAAAAGAUAUUGAAACAAAAGAGUGUGUUGAUCCAGGAUCAAUCAAGACUCUAGCAAAUAAGGUGUGGAUUUGGAGAGUACUUGUCACCACAUCAAAAGUGGCCUGAGCAUCUCGAUGAGUCAUAGCAAACACCUGUCCUUGGGCUUUGGGUUUCUGUUUAUCCUCCUUAUUUUCCUCUUUAGGCUUCCCAGUGAUGAACUUCCUAUUCUCUGGACAAUCUCUGAUCAAAUGUCCUUGCUUCCCACAACCAAAGCAAGCUCCAAUCUCUCUAUAGCAUGACCUACCCCCAUGCUUCUUACCACAAGUAGGACAAGCCCCAUCUAAAUUCUGCGCUGCCUUCCCUUUAUUCUGAUUUCUUCCUGAUGUAGACCUUCGCUGUGCUUGAUUACCAUGAGCACCAUCACUCUUAUUUCGCUUCCUUUGCUGUUCCCUAUACUGAUGAAGCUCCUCAUUAUCUUUCUCCGCUAUAAGGGCUCUGUCAACAACCUCUGAAUAGACACCAAGCUUCAGAAUAGAUAUCUUGUUCUUCAAAUAAGGCUUCAAUCCAUCCUGAAACUUUAAUGCCUUUUCCUCCUCUGUAGCAAUCAACUGUGGGGAAAAACGUGAUAACUCUAUAAAUUUGGCCUCAUAUUGAGCCACAGUCAUAUCCUCCUGUUCCAAACGAAUAAACUCUCCCACCUUCUGCCGCCUAACACUGUUAGGGAAAUAUUUCUUGUAGAAAGCCUCCCUAAAUUGUCUCCAUGUUAUGGGUCCCUGAUCCUCCAAAAGUCUCCUAGUCAUACGCCACCAAUGAUCUGCCUCUUUAUCUAACAUAAAAGCUGCAUAAGAGGCUUUUUGCUCCUCAGAGCAAUCUAUGACACCAAAGAAUUUCUCCAUCUUAAGGAUCCAAGCCUCUGCCUCUGUGGGAUCUAUAGCACCAGAAGUAAGGAGGACCCAAUUUCUUGAAGUCAUCAAAAGAGCUACCCCUAGAAGAUGAAGACUGUCCCUGAACAUUAGUCCCAACAACUCGAGCUUGGCGUUCAACUAAACCAACUAGUGUCCCAAGAUACCUAUAGAUCCCUUCUGCACUCACGGGAGGUAAACCCUUAACUGGAGGUACAUCAUCAUUAGCCUAACUGUUUUGUGAAGAAGCCACUCUUCUUGGUGGCAUGAUGUCCUAAAAUAAUAAGGCAUAACUAAAUUAGUCACUAAAGAACCAAUUAGAAAAUUUACAAAUAAAGAAAGAAUUGGAAUUUAUACUAAAUGAAACUAAAACUUAAACAAAUGCGUCACUCAUCUAUCCCCAAUCUAAACCAAUUCAAAUUCCCAUCAAGAUCAAAACCUAGUGCUCUGAUACCACUCUGUCACGCCCCAAGACCCAAUCCAAGGGCGUGAUGAUCAUUUUACACCUCAAACCCAAAGGCUUAAAGUAUAACCUGACCCAAACAAUCAUAUUGUAAUUGGAAGUAACCAAUUACCAAAAACCUGUUCAGAGUAGCAAAACAAAAUUCUAAAAUCUCCAAACUUAACUUUAGAACUAAGUAUCCAUCAACCAAAAUCCAUUAUCCAAAUAGACUGCAACUCAACAAAUCAAGUACUAACGAAUUUUUAUAAUCUCCAAAUCUCAACUUCAAUCUAUCAUAAAAAAAAUAUAUUUAAAAGCUCAAUAUCUAAAUCGCUUCCAAAAACUAAAUAAACCAAAUCAACAUAAACUUAUAAGCUAACAAUGUUAAAAAAUAACAUCCUAAGAAAAAUCAUAAUGAUGAUCAACUUUCCCGCCUAGUCAUCACUCCUCGCCUGAACUAAAGGUACCUAAAAAAUUUUCAACAAUUGGGAAUGAGCUCGCAACCCAAUAAGGAAUAUUAUUUAUUUAUUUUUUUUUCUUUUUAUUAACUUUUUCUAAUUCCUUCCACCACAAAUAACAAUAUAUUUAUUUACUUUUUUUUUUAAUAAAAUUAACCCUAAUAUAAAAUCGAAACCUUCCAAGGAACCCUUUUUUUUUUUCAUCUAAUAAAACUUAAGAUCUCCCAAAUACCAACAAUAAAUCAAAAUCUUAAAUUUUUAUUUUAUUAUUAUUAUUAUUAUUAUUUUUUACUAUUGAUAUUAAAACGAAUUAAAAAAAUAAAAUAAACUAACCCUAAUCUAGAUUUGGGUUUUCCAAAAGAUAUCUAAUGUGUUUGAAAUUAAUCAAUGAAUCUAAAAUAUUAAACUAGGGGUUAGAAUCUUACCUAUAGAGAUAUGUUCUUCAACCCUGAAAUCUUACUCCAACCUACGUUCUCUUAAAUUCUGCGAACAGGAACUCUAUUCAGAAAAGAAUAGGAAGAAAUAGAAUUUCUAAUCUAUACCUAGGCUAUUUAUUCGUAAAAUUACACUUUUACCCCUCUUCCACUUUAUUAAAUUAAUUAAUUAACUAAUUUAAUUAUUAUUAGUAAUUUCCUAAAUUACCCUUAAAAAAAAUACUUGGGCGUUACACCUGUUGCUGAUCUUCACACACUAUUGAGAUGUUCUCGUUGAUCUUGCAGGCCAUGCAUGUUGUGCUCAUGGUACAUUUUCCUUUUUUUUUUUUUUUACUUAUUUGAUUUUGCAUUAUUAUCAUUAUUUUUGAGUUUUAUUCUUUGUAUUUUUUGAUUUGGUAUUCUAAAUUUUUAGACAUGAAAGGAGUGGGAAAAUUAGUUUUCAACCAAGGUCUAUUUGGUUGGGAAAAGAAGGAACGAUUUUGAAGUUCAGGAUGUUUGUAUUAGGGAGAGAGGGUUAGGUCAUGUGAGAAGAGAGAGGGUUUUAGAGUCUCUGGGAGAUGAUAUAAAAUUCGGGAAACGUCUUUUGUUGGGGAGUGAACGAUCUUUGGCCAUUCGGGGGAUCUUUGUUGACAGAAGGUUAGAGAGGGAGAGAGAUUUUUCGAUAAGAGAACUCUGGAUCUAAGUUAAGAGAGAGUUAAAGAGAUAAGGAAGAGAGAUUUUUUCUUGGUUGUGAUUUUUGAUCUUUGUUGAUAGUGAGUUAGAGAGUUUGAGAAGAAUGAGAGAAAGAGUGCUGAGGAAGAUUAUCGGGAAGGGUUUCUAACGGGAGUCAGAGAGUAAAUAUAUUUUUUGGUUGUUUGAUUUGGUGCAUCUUGUCAUUUAGGUUCUACUUCUUUAAUUAUUUUGUAUAUUUGUGAAUAUCCAAAUUAUAAUCAUUUGAUUUUAUAUUUCAUUUGGUUUGAAUCAAGUUAUUUUAGAAUUGAUGAUUAAAUCUUGUUUUCUUGUUGAUUUGAUUAUUUCAAAAUUAUUUGAAUAGAUUUUCAUGAUCUCUACAUUUUACAUAGUUUCUGUAUCGUUUUUGUUAUAGUUUGUUUGUAAUAGCUCGAGAAAUUUCACUUCUAAGACUUCUCCUCUGUAAAUGUUUAAAAUAUUUGGAUUAUGAUAAAAAAAAUUGAUGUUUCAUGAGAAUUUUUAUUUAAUUAACACUAAAUAAGUUGUUGCAUGAUUAGAGGUUGUGAUCGAUUUUGAAAUAUUAGAUUUAGCCUUUUCCUCUAUUUUUCUAUGAAUAUUGGAAUAGAUUUAUUAAAAUAUGAAUUAAUGUCAUUUUUAGAUCUCUGUUUAGUGAAUUCAUAAUAGGUAAUCAUGAGAUUAAAGAUCAUUUUAUGUGUCAAUUAUUAUGAAUCUAAGUAAUUUUUUAGAUAUAGAUUUUUCAUUUAGAAAUUGCCAACGUAAUAUCAAUUUUAUCAUUUCUAGUAUUUGAUUAGUGAUUUAUUUAAAAUUUUCAUACAUCUUAUUUAAUUCAAUGUAUCAACAUUUUUUAUUCCAUGACUUUGAAUGAACUUAGUUGAUCUAAAUCUUUACUUUAAUAAUUUUCUUCAAAUUCUUAUAAACUAUGAUAUUAAAAUAUUCUUCCAGAAUUUAAAAUCAUUAUUUUGUCUUAAUUUUAUUUUAAUGACAUAUUUGAUUGAUUUAAUAUAAAUGAGAUUGCAUCCUUCCCUUUCAAUUUUAAAUGUCAUAAAUUGACCUUAGUAUUUUAGAGAAUUCAAAAUUUGGAUUCCUUUGUUUCAUUAUAUUAAGAUAAUCUAAUUAUUACAUGCAUUUGAUUAAUGACUCACUUGAAAUUUCCAUGUUAAUAUAAAACAUUAGAUUUUGGAUCUAUAGGAUUAAAAGAUAUUGGUCCACAUGCUUGAAAUCUAGAUUAGAGAAUAUAUGUUGUUCACAAAUGCAUAAUCUAGUGAUUAAAUUUUAAAUAAAAUAAAUGUUCAUAAUUAGCCAUGAGUGAAAUGAUGUCAUGCUCGAUUUUUUUUUAUUUUUUUUAUUUUUUUAAUAGAGACAUUGAUACAUCCAACUACUUGUAGAAAUGAUUUUAUUGAUCUUUAAAAUGGAGGAUAAGACAUUGAUUGGUGCCUUGUUGAAAUGUAAUAUAAUAACUUUUAUUUAUUUAUUUAUUAUUUUUAAAUAUGAUUAGUGUUGAUGUUUUAGUUUGAAGUGAAAUAUUCAAUUCCCUAACUCUAAUUUUUAUUAUCAAUAUUUUCUUCUAUUCACUUCUUAUCAUUUUGAUGAUUCUUAGAUAUGUAUUAGUUUAGGUUGGGUGUGGACCAUGAGUGUUGUUAGAAUUGACACCUAGGAAGUUGUAUAAUUGAAUGUUGAUUGCGUGAUAAAUUAUGAUUGGGAUUGAAUUAAUUUUUUUCUUCAAUUUAUUUUAUUUUAUUUUUCAUCUAAAUAAGCUAUUGGAUAAUUACAUGAUAACUGACUUUGAAUGAAUUCUUUUGAUUUUGAUUCAUGAAAACUUGAUUUAUCCUCUUUUUUUUUCUAAGUGAUUCACACAUGCACUCUUACAUUUUUUUGUGAUCCAAGUUUAAAAAUUAGUAUGAAUUGAUAUUUUUAGAAAAUUGUUUUUAUAUUUCUUUGAUAACAAAAUCAAUCCUUAAACUUAUAUUUAAAAUUCAUCUUAGUCCCUUUAAGUAUGAAACUUCAAUUUUCCAAAAUGAUAAUGCUGCCUAUUUUGUUUUGUAUGCAACUUUGAAAAGAUUUCAAAAUGAAUUUUGGUUUUAAAUACAUAUGAAUUAAAAUUCAUAGCUCCAAUCAAUGGAGUCUUUAUGGAUGAAUUCAUGGAAAUUAAAAUGGGAUUUAAUAGAUCCUUACAUACAAAAGUUUCUAAAACAUGGAUCUCUAUUGACAUUUUUGACAACUGAUUGUACUUUUGAAUUGGUAAAUGGGAAUAUGACUAUUUAUAAACUCUUUAAAUUUUUUCUAAUUAUUCCAUGGUGUUGUAAACUUCUUGAAUUUGAUUUUAGAAUUUUGUUUGAGUCAAAAAUAAUUUCCUAAUUAGAAGAUAUAAAUCAAUAUUUGAGAAGGUUCAAUUUUCACUCUGUUUUUGACAUUUAGUUUUGUUUUGAAAAAUUAAAUUACUAAACGAUUUCUUUAAUUUCUUUGAACAUUUUUUUCUUAAUCUAUACUUUCUAUAUGUAAUUUUUGACACAUUAAAUAUUAAGAAAUGAUUUAUGAAAUGAGAGAUAUGAUUUUUGGUUUUUUUUACACCCACUACACAAGUAUUCUUCUAGAGUUGAUAGAUGUUUGUUUAUUUUUAAAUAUGUUAUAAAUGUGAUAUUGCUAUGUUAUUUUUAUUUAUUUAUUUAAAAUAGACAUAUUAAGAUAGUUGUGUGAAUUUUUGUAUGAUUUUAGGAUAUCUCUAAAUUAAUUAAAAAAAUUAAUUGUUGAAUACCUUAAAAAGAUGCCUAUUGUGGACCUAUUAUCAUCAUUAUGAAAUCUGGUACUAAUUGAGAACUAGUUAAUUAAUUUGAUCAGUUGGAUGAUAAACUAGACAUAUAGAAAAUGCUUAUUUAUUUAUUUACUUUAUAUUUUUAAUUAUCAUGAUAAAAGUUAACUUCUAGAUAUUUGUUUUAGAUUUAUUUUGUAGAGUCCUCUGUUUUGAUCAUUUGCUGAUUUUUCUUUGAAGUAACCCACUUGUGAAUAAAUUUGGCAUUAGUUGGAAUAUAAUUAAUUAAUUUGACCUAUUGGAUAUUAAUUUGGACAAGUUAAAGAUGUUACCUAAUUUUUAUUUUGAUGAGAUAACAGUUCUUCAUAUUUAUUUAGAGUUUGCUUUAUUAGCUAAUAUUAUACACUGUUAAUGAUAAUUCCUUUACUCUUAAUAAUUUGGUUACUUUUGAACAUGCUUGUGAACCUUCCUUGAUUUGAGACAUGCUAUGUAUAUAUAUAUAUAGACUUAGUUUUUUAUUCCUCGUUAAAUCCAUUAUUAUUAUUUGUGAAUUAACCUCAUUUUUAUGAAAGCGCUUUUAAAUGCUAUCAAGGUACACAAACCUUUUUCUCAUCUUUCAUUUAAAUUAAAGCUUAUAAUUGAACAUUGUCUACUAUUGUUUGAUCAUUGUGUUGAAAUUGUAUGACAUUAAAUUUGACUUGUUAUGAAAUGUGUGAUGCUUAUAAUGCAAUGUGAUGCUAUUACUUGUCAUUUAACUUUUAUGUUUUCUGGAAAUGCUUAGAAUGCAAAUUAGGUACACUUUUCUUUAUUAAAUUAAUGAAUUGUGUUAAUUUAUUUAUUUAGUUCAUAGUAUCCUUGAAUUAAUCAGUUAAUUCUCACAAUUAUCUCAACUUACUUAGUAGAGACUUAACUUUUAGGGCUUAGAGGGGUGUUAUGGUUUUUCGUCGUACCUUCCAAUAAGUAAUCUAACUCUCGAACCCAUAAAAUGAGAACACAUGUGAAAAUGUGGGAUCACAAAGUGGCGACUCCGAGGAUAUGAUAAUAAAGUUGAACUGAUCCAUUGAAAACCUAGAUAAAAGCAUACCUUAUUAGAGUAACUCCAUAAAAAAUAGUGAGGAUAUCAAAAAGUGUAAGUCUAACCUAAUGACUCGAGAUGCAACUCCAUUGAUUAUGCACAUUUAUCAACUUUCUACAAGGCAUCAAUCAUAAAAAAAGUCAUUAUAUUACAUAUCAACAAGGCACCAAUUAAUGGUUGCAUUAAUUUCAUCCUCUAUUUUAAAGAUCAAUAAAAAUCCUUUCUAUAAGUAGUUGGAUGUAUCAAUGUCUCAAUAAAAAACUUUCGAGCAUGACAUCAUUUACCCAUGGCUAAUUAUGCACAUUAUUUUUAUUUAAAAUUUAAUCACUAUAUUAUGCAUUUGUGAGCGACAUCAUAUAUUCUCUAAUCUAGAUUUCAAGCAUGUGACCAAUUUCUUUUAAUCCUAUAAAACCAAAAUCUAAUGUUUUAAAUUAGCAUGGAAAUUUCAAGUGAGUCAUUAAUUAAAUGCAUGUAAUAAUUAGAUUAUCUUAAUAUAAUGAAACAGAGAAAUCCAAAUUUUGAAUUCUUUAAAAUACCAAGAUCAAUUUAUGACAAUUAAAAUUGAAUGAGAAGAAAGCAAUCUUAUUUAUAUUAAAUCAAUAAAAAUGUUAUUAAACAAAAUUAAGACAAUAAUAAUUUUAAAUUCCGGAAGAAUCCUUUAAUAUCAUAGUUUAUAAGAAUUUUAAGAAAAUUAUUAAACUAAAAAUUUAGAUUAACUAAGUUCCUUCAAAGUCAUGGAAUAAAAAUUUUUGGUACAUUGAAUUAAAUAAGAUUUAAGGAAGUUUUAAAUAAAUCACUAAUCAAAUACAAGAAAUGAUAAAAAUGAUAUUAAGUCGAUAAUUUCUAAAAGAAAAAUCUAGAUAUGAAAAUUACUUAGAUUCAUGAUAAUUGACGCAUAAAAUGAUCUCUAAUCUCAUGAUUACUUAUUAUGAAUUCACUAAAUAGAGAGCUAAAAAAUGACAUUAAUUCAUGAUUUCAAUAAAUCUAAUCCAAUAUUCACAGAAAAAUAGAGGAAAAGUCUAAAUCUAAUAUUUUAAAAACAAUCACAUCAAUUCUUGAUAAUCAACACCUAACUUCUAAUCAUGCAACAUCAUAUUUAAAGUUAAUUAAACAAAAAUUCUCAUGAAACACCAAUUUCGGAUCAUAAUCUACAUAGUUUAAACAUCUAUAGAGGAGUCUUAGAACUGAAAUUUCUCAAGCUAUUACAAACAAAUUAUAACAAAAACGAUACUAAAACUAUGUAAGAAGAGAUCACAAAAAUCUAUUCUUAUAAUUUUGAAAUAAUCAAAUACAAACCAAAUCAACAAGAAAACAAGAUAUAAUCAUCAAUCCCAAAAAGAACUUGAUCCAAACCAAAUGAAAUGCAAAAUCAAAUGAUUGUAAUAUGGAUAUUCACAAAUAUACGAAAUAAUUAAAGAAGUGGAACUUGAAAGAUGAGAUGCACCAAGUCAAACAACUAGAAAAUAUAUUUGCUCCCUGAUUUCUGUCGAAAACUUUUCUUGAUGAUCUUCUUUAACAGUCUUUCUCUUCAUCUUCUCAAACUCUCUAACUCUUUCUCAGCAAAGACCAAAAAUCACAACCAGAGAAAAAAAAAAAAAAAAAAACUCUCCUCCUUAUCUCUUUAACUUUCUCUUAACUUAGAUCCAAAAUUCUCCCAUUGCAAAAUCUCUCUUUCUAACCUUUUGUCAAUAGAGAUCCCUCGAAUGGCCAAAGAACGCUAACCUCCCAAUAGAAGACAUUUCCCAGAUUUUAUACAAUCUCUCGAAGACUCUAGGACCCUCUCUCUUCUCACGUGACCGAACCCUUUCACCGAAACGCAAACAUCUUGUACUUAAAAAACCGUUCCCUCUUUUCUUGGCCAAACAAGCCUUAGUUGAAAACUAAUUUUCCCCGUCCCUUUUAUGUCUUAAAAUUUAAAAUACAAGCUUAAUUAUUAAGAGGAUAAAACCAAAAUCAUAAUAAUAAUAAUAAUACAAUCCAAACCAAUAAAAUAAUAAAAUGAAUGAAAUAAAUACAGUAAGCAUAGUGUGCACGGCCAUACAUGGCUUGCAACGUUAAAGAACAACUGAAUGGUGCAGGGAAAAUCAUUAAAAAAUAAAAAAUAAAAUUGCCAUGUCCAAAUUUCUCAGCACACAUCAUUGACAUCUGAAGAGUCCAGCUUCGGCCACCGAAACUUGCGUUUGGACCACCAACGGAGAGGGGCAUGGAGAAUCCAUCUCUGGCCACCUAAAAAAGCGAGAAUAGGUGAGUGAGAUUGAGUUGCGUUUUAGGAAGAAGGGUAGGUUCCUAUGAUUUUUUGGGUGUGGUGUUCGGUUUGGAGAGAGAAGAAGCUUUGGUAGAGCAACUGAUGGUACAUAGAUUGGAAAAGAAAAAAGCUUUGGUGGAGCAGUUGUGUUGCACAAGUUGGAGAACGAUGAAAAUGGAGUUUCGGUGGAGUUGAGGGUUGUGUUUUGUUUGGAAAAGAAACAGAAGCUUGAGUGGAGAAGUUGGUGGUGCGGGUUCUAUUAUAAAAGGAAGAUUGGGUUUUGAUGACCAUCGACAAUGAGGAUGGCUAGUGCACGGUUCUUGACAAAGGCUGGUUGUAAGAGUAAUGUAUCAAGCUAUAAGGCAUGGGUUAUGGCAACUAUGGGAUGAGCUAUCUUAUGACUAGGUUAUGAGUUGGUAGAGGACUCUUUAGGGACGACUAGGGACAACUACCAAAGACUAAGGUUAUGACAUGAUGUGAGGGGCUGCCAAGGACACCUUGUAUAGCUGUGGUGAAGUGGUCUUUGGGCAACUAAAAGGUGGGUUGCAGUAGGGGGAUUGGGGGGUUGGUGAAGGCAGUAGCAAAGAUGUUAGGUUAUGGUUAAUAAUAAAAAUAAAAAAGAAAAGUUAAGGAUAGUUGGUGCAUGAGUUAGUCAAGGUAGAAACGUAUCAUUAUAUUUUUUAAAUAAUCGAAAAGAUAGGCUUUUGAUAUAUCAAAGUGGCCUAAAUGUUAAGUAUAGAAUAAUUUAUGGAAAGAUAUAAGUAUUGAGUUUGUUAAAAAAAUAAUUUAUUUUCAUAUUUUAAAGUGUGAAUUUUGCUAGCUAUUAUGGACUUAAAUGUCUAUUUUUAUGUAAGGUUCAUGAUAUAUUUGUUUAUUCUAAAAAAUGUUUAUUUUUAUUUUAUAUUUGAAAAUAUGAAUUAGAUAGUCGUAACAAAAUCGAAUUUUAACAUUGCUAUAUUUUUAUUUUUAUUUUUAUUUAUUAUUAUUAUUGUAUUUUUUAUUUUAUUAUUAUUACUUUUUAUUUGGUCAUGAAUUAUUAAAGAAAAUAAAUAAAUAAAUAAAUGAGUAUUUUGGUAUGUUUAUUAAUUAAGGAGACAACUUAUUUGAAUUUAUUUUAAACAAUGAUUUAAUAUUUUUGUUUUAGUUUAUGGUUAAUGAUAAGUUCAAACAAUCAAAAGAUCUUAAGCUACAAAUUCAAAGGUUUAUGUGAUUACAUUAAAGUUUCAUAGUUUAUCCUCCAAGAAGCUCUCGAAGAAGAAUUAGAGACUUCUCUUCGAUAGAGAUCACAAGUAUAAUGAAUGAAUCAUGGAUACAUGAGAAAUAAAUGAAGCAAAGUGAGGUAUGUCGAAGAAUAGAAAAGAUACUGAAAUUUGCCCUAACACAUAAUGAAAGGAACAUAGGAGUUUGUCGCUAGGUAUUUGACCAAUUAUGAUUGUCUAGUUCCUAUAGAACCUAUUACUAAAAUACCCCUAGAGGGGGAUAGGGCUAAGCGGAGCGAAAAGGGUUUUCCAUGAGAUGGGAAAUGAAAACUAUUAGCCCCACAUGAGGUUUGUGAAUAAGUGAUUGUCUGAUAAUGAGCAAGGAAUAUUCGGCUUUCUGCUAAACAAGAUGUAUUAAACUCAUAAUUCAUUAGAUACUUUUUAUGAAUGUCAACUAAGUAUCGUAAGUAAAUUGCUUCUAGUUGUUCAAUCAUUUGACAUGGUAAAUUGAUAAGCAAAAUCAAAGAGUAAGAAUGUGGAGACUAGGUAUGAGAUAAUGCUGAAUCUAAAACAUUGGAAAAAAGAUACUAAAUGAAUUUAAAAGACACAAACAAGAGACAAAAGUCAUAGGCAAUGAGAUCAUGUAAGUAGUCUAAGACGCUGAAUACUAAGAGGAUGAGUGACUUUGAAGACUAAAACAAAAAUACAAAGAUUCUAAACGUCAAACUAAAAACAUAGCUCUAUCCAUUAAAAGAUAACUUUGGUAGUUGAGUGACUCUAAAUGCUAAACUGAUAAAUGUGGCUCUAAAAGCUAAUCUGGAAAACAUUUUUGAAUAAUGACACUGAAUGUCUUUGCUCUAAAAGCUGAUGAAUCAGCCGUAAAGGAGAGUGUAAUACACAAACCCCUGAUCAAUCAUAAGCUUUGAAAGUCCAUACUCUAAAUGAUGACACUGAAUGCCUCUGCUCUGAAAGAUGAUAAAUCGAUCAUGAAGGAGAAUGUGAUACAUAAACCCCUGAUCAAUCACGUGAUCUGUACUUUGAUGAUGACACUAAAUGCCUUUACUCUGAAAGCUGAUAAAUCGGCCAUGAAGAAGAAUGUGAUACAUAAACCCUUGAUCAAUCACAUUAUCUAUACUCCGAAUGAUGACACUGAAUACCUUUGCUUUGAAAGCUAAUAAAUCGGCCCUAAAGGAGAAUAUGAUACAAUAACGCAUGAUUAAUCACAUGAUUUGUACUUUAAAUGAUGUCAUUGAAUGUCUCUGCUUUGAAAGUUGAUAAAUCGGCCAUGAAGGAGAAUGUGAUACAUAAACCCCUAAUCAAUCACAUGAUUUGUACCUUAAAUGAUGACAUUGAAUGCCUUUGCUUUGAAAGCUGAUAAAUCAGUCAUGAAGAAGAAUGUGAUACACAAACCCGUAAUCAAUCAUAUGAUUUGUACUUCGAAUGAUGACAUUGAAUGCCUCUUGAUUCGUGCCCAAUUGGUGUCUCAGCUGAUUUGUGUUCAGCUGGUGCUCCUUGAUUGAGGGAGUAAUCAACAAAAUUUAUUACCUAUAACAUCAUACACUAGGGUAGCAAAGAAAAAGCUACUAUAGUAUAGUGGCUCUAGGGUCGUUCACUGGGAAUGAUUAACAAGCAAUCAAUGAUACCAAUUCCAAGUGAAUUGGCCUUGUUUCAUUUCAUGGUUAGCUUAAGAAGUAAAACACAAACUUUGAUUGGUAAAGGUUGAGACUUAAACUAACUAACAUAACAGAAGUUUGGAAUAAUUUAGGAAGAAAACAUUCCUUGGAGAGUUAGGUUCACUGGGGUGGUUCCUCAUGCAAAAGACACGGCUCUGGUCAGAUGGUUCAUUUCCUCGUGUUAGAGAUUCAACAUAUAGUCAAUUCUCUAACCGGUGUUGUACAGAGACUCCUUCAAUUAGAUUUCACUUUAAUUCUCUCACUGAUGCACUUUGCAAUGGUUUAAGCCUCUCACUAAGCCUUAACCAUUCAAGGUGAUCUUUAACCUUGGAUUACCCGUCAAAAGCUCGCAAGAGAUAACCAAUGGAUGCCUCCUAAGAGUCCAAAAGCUUACCAAGUGUUGGCUAUUCUAGAAAAUCCUACCCCGAAGUCACCUCCCAGAGGCUCGCAAGGGGUAAACUAGUGCAUUUCCAUGGUUGGAAAUCACUUGCCUUACCAAGUGUUGGCCCGGGUGACUCUAAGGUGUUUUAAGUUAACUAAAAACAUAGAAAUCACUAAAGGAUUUCACUUCCUCUUCAUUAAUAGCUAAAACCAUAGAGCUUUGCAUUCUUGCACUUGGAACCUUCCCCGACAACCUUAGCUCCAAGGAAUUAGAGGUUUAGUUACUCAUUCUCUGGGGAAAACUCCUCGGAGAAUUCAUAACUUAGAAAUAAAAUGAAAAUACAAAGUGAGAAGGUAAGGCAGUAGAAGGAAAAUAGACUUUACUUGCUUACCCAAACGUUUUCAGAAGGAACUCCUCUCUGAGAACAGGCUCUCGAGAGGUAUAUAUAUAUACAUAAUAUAAAACUAAUUAUUACAUAGAUAUUUAGUCUUUUUACUAACUUAAAAACUAAGGAAUCAUGUAAUUGGUGGUUUACAAGGAGUAUUUUGGGAUUUAGACAACAAAAAUCUAAUGGAAAAUAUCUCCCAAUUUCGGUAGCAAAUAUCGGGAGGCUUCAGGAACCAUUUCGCAGGAGAAAAUGGUGUCUGCGAGAUUUCGCAGACACUCAAGAGGGCUGCGAAAUAUUUUCGCAACACCAAGUUAUCUUCACAGGGCUGCAAAGUUGGCUUCCACCUUGAGGUUCCCAGCUCCCUUCUCGGACAUGGUUCGUGCAUCGUCAGAAGGAGAAACACCUUACUGUACAAAAAUGCUGCGAAAUCACUUCGCAACAAAAGGGUGAUUUCGCAACACUUUGCAAAAUGCUUCCUUCAGCUCGGAGUGAUUGGCUUGUAAUGGCUGCAACUUCUUCGUUUCAACUCCGAAUUGCACACCGUUUGAAGCAUUGGAUUUUUGACUUCCUGAGCUUUGAAAUGGUAUAUAGCAUGCAUCAUUUGGACUUCAGAAAGUGCUCCAAAAGUGGCUGCUACGACUGUCAUCAAGAAUAGGCUUCAUAGCAGAUUCUCUUUGCUUUUUCUCCUUGCAAUCCGGAUUCACUCUUGGCAAAUGACUUCUAAGCUUUGCCCAAGAUUCCUCAUAGCUCUCCUCAGUCUUGACUUGCUUUGGUGAUCAAAAUACUAACAAAAACACCAAAACUUACACAAAGUGAUCAAAAUUGCUUUAAAGGAUCCUUAACAUGCCAAUUGAGUUAAAAGGCCUAAACUACUACUCAAAAGUGUUUAAAAGGAUUAAUUAUAGGCUAUCAAAUAGCACUUUUUGAGUAGUAAUCACUCCCCCCAACCGACAUAUUGCUAGUCCCUUAGCAAUAUAGGAGAGAAAAAUGAAAAUAAAUAACAACCUAAUCUAAAAUUUACAACAUCAUGCUAAAGGAAAAUAAUUCUCAAGUGGCAUGAUGAUCUAAUUCUCACAUGAAGCAUUAAAGAAAUACAAACCCAAAUCUCAACAAGAGUCAUAACAAACUAUGCUAAACACUGUUAAUCAAGGGAGUGCAUUAUGCAAACUGAAGUUUUAAAAUCAUUUCCACUUUCUAAGAACCAAACUUUAAUCUUCCACAAAAAUCUAUGUGUAUUGGUUCCUUAGCUUCCGAGAAUAAUAUGCUAAACUAGUCUCACCCCCAACUUAUCUUUUUUCAACACUUUAGCAAACUGACCAAAAUCAAUAAGAAAAGAACACACCUUUUUUUUUUUUUUUUUUUCAAGGUAGCUUUAUGGGGUACUCUUUCUAACUUGUCCAUGUAAUGGGGGUCCAUCGAUGACUCCCAACCAAUUAAGGUUUAGGGCACCAAGCUUUAAGGAUCUUUCAACCACUAACUUCUCGGAUUUUUCCCCGGACUUUUAAGAAUGAAUUUCUAAUACCCAAGCAUCUACCAUAUGCUAACUCUACCUAUUCACCCUUGUAACGAGCAUUGAGGUCGGUGACUCCCAACCAAUUAAGGCUUAGGGCACCAGGCUUAAAAGAUUUUCACCAUAUACCCCUUAGACCUUGCUCGGGUUUCAAGGCAAGCAAAGAACUUUCUUUAUUUCAAAGGCUCAUUGGCCUUUUGCAGGGUGUUUCAAUUUUUAUCAAAUGAGGUCAAAUAUACCAAGUCCCAAAAUUAUCUUAAGUCAAGAGGGAAAUAGCUUUUCAUCUUAUAAUCGGAAUCUAAUGUGCACAGUGUGUGGAUAGCUUAAAGUGGAAGAACUCAAUUCNNNNNNNNNNNNNNNNNNNNNNNNNNNNNNNNNNNNNNNNNNNNNNNNNNNNNNNNNNNNNNNNNNNNNNNNNNNNNNNNNNNNNNNNNNNNNNNNNNNNUUUUUUUUUUUUUCAAGGUAGCUUUAUGGGGUACUCUUCUUAACUUGUCCAUGUAAUGGGGGUCCAUCGAUGACUCCCAACCAAUUAAGGUUUAGGGCACCAAGCUUUAAGGAUCUUUCAACCACUAACUUCUCGGAUUUUUCCCCGGACUUUUAAGAAUGAAUUUCUAAUACCCAAGCAUCUACCAUAUGCUAACUCUACCUAUUCACCCUUGUAACGAGCAUUGAGGUCGGUGACUCCCAACCAAUUAAGGCUUAGGGCACCAGGCUUAAAAGAUUUUCACCAUAUACCCCUUAGACCUUGCUCGGGUUUCAAGGCAAGCAAAGAACUUUCUUUAUUUCAAAGGCUCAUUGGCCUUUUGCAGGGUGUUUCAAUUUUUAUCAAAUGAGGUCAAAUAUACCAAGUCCCAAAAUUAUCUUAAGUCAAGAGGGAAAUAGCUUUUCAUCUUAUAAUCGGAAUCUAAUGUGCACAGUGUGUGGAUAGCUUAAAGUGGAAGAACUCAAUUCAAUUUCAGUAGAAGUUUCAACAAUUGAACCACUUUAGUAAGCAUAAUCCAUAUUCUAAGUCAAGUGAAAAACAACAGUUCAAUUUCUCUUGGUUUAAUUUGAAAAUUUUUCCUCAAAAUUCAUGGAGAAUAGAGUAACAAGAGUAAAAAGUAAAAUCUACAACUAAUUAACCAAUAUAAUUUCAAUACCAAAAAGAUUUAAACUACUUCCUUCCUCAUACCCCCAAAUCGAACUGAGCAUUGUCCUCAAUGUGAUUUGAGUGACUGUAAUAAAAAGGAGGAAGUGAUACCUCCUUGCUGAUAUCAAAUUCGAAUAUUGAUUGGGGAAAACCACAUGUUUCAAAAAGAAUAGAAUAUGUGAGAAAAGGAAAUAAGAAUAACUUAAUGCUAACUUUUAACAAGAACUAUUCAACUUGUAUUAUUUUCAAUUCAUUUGAUUACAAUGCUAAAGACAAGUAACACAAGGAAUCCCAUAUAUAGUACCAAAAUACUGGGAUUUCUUUUCAACUAAAAAAACAAAAAUGCAUAAAAACAUAAACAGAAAAUAUAUAUAAUGUCUGAUGAGUGGGGUGAUGGUGCUAGGCAGAAGGAUCUGCCUCCUCAGUAGGUGGAUCAACUGGGGCUUCGGGCUCUGGAGGAUGAGACUCUGUAGGCUGAAAGUGUGGCUCUGGAGGAGUAGAAAUGGAGGGCUCUACAGCUUGUGGCAGAUCGAAAUGGACUUGAAGCUGCCUUAAGAUGGCAGCUUGUUGAGCCUGAGAGGCUAACAUCUGCUCUUGGCAUGCUUUGAUGGCUGCCAUCUCCUGAGCAAGAUUGCUCUGAGAAGCUGUAAGAGUCUCCAAUGCACGGCACAACUCUCGAUAUUCAGAUAUAGGAAUGGCCAUCCUCGGCUCAGCUGAUGUGGAUGGCUGAGAUGAAGCAGGUGCAGCUGAUGGAGCUCUAGGAAUGGCAGGAGCAGCAACUGUUAUACCUUCAGGUAUAUGUCUUGGGGAGGCUCUCCUUGCAGCUGGCUGAGGCUGCCCAGGCUGAUCAACUUUGUAGGCCGUCAUAUUGUUCCAUUUAUCAAGAGUGAAUGGCUCACGGCAUAUUCGCUUUCUCUCCAGCUGAGGCUCAGAGGGGUAUCCCAGAUGCUCCAAAAUUUGGCAUAGCAACCUUGGGAAGAGGAGGGGAAUACAAUUUGCUCUCUGAAGCUUCUUCUUGUGAACCUUAUCUUCAAAAUAUAGAAGAGCUGCCAUGAUCAGAUGAUGAGGCCCAAAGAAAAAUCCUUCUGACAUCUUGUAAAGAGCUUCCAGGAGAACUCCCCUUCUUUGGGUCCAAUGCUGCAAUGGAUAGAUAUUAUGGCGCAAAAAGGCAUCAAUCAAAAACAUAACUGGAGGAAGCUCCCCCCUCAGCAGAUGUGAUCAAUUUGCAGCUCCUCUGGAAAGGGUGCGAACCAUCUCUAGCUCAGUAGGAUUUGCCCAAGUUCUAAAAUUAUCGAAUUGGGUCGGCUCAAAAGGAAUUUGCAGGGCUUCAGCAAUAUGUCGUGCUCCCAAUAUACCAUGUUUCCCAUCGAUUGUGAAAUGAAUCAAGGUUGGAUUUCUGACCUCUUUGGUUGUCAUGGAUUGGUAGAAAUCCGUGGCUAUCCGGGGAUAGAAAAAGUCUCUUGGAGCUAGCAGUUGCUCCAUAUGGUACCUCCUCAGUAGCUGGACUGAUUGGGCAAGCUCCGGCCUCACUCUGAAUGCUGCUAAGUCGAAGCAAAGCUCAGAAUGAAAUGCCCGCGUUCGACAAUCCAAGUUUCCCUCAAUUGGGGGCUGAGGUAGCAUUGGUCUCCUAAUUACUUAUUCCAGAGUUGUUUCAGCUUGAAUUUGGGGCUCGGGAAGUGGCACUUGAGGCUCCUGAGAUUUUUCUUGCAGCGCCGGAGAUGGUACCGGCAAUGGAACUGGCAGGGGACUUGGCGAAGGAACCGGAGAUGGCACUGGAGUUUGAACCGGUGAUGGAAUUGGAGAAGGCUCUGGAGAUUGCUCAGUCAAAUAGAUGGGUUCUGAGCUCUCCACCCUGGGUUUCUUCUGCAAUGGCCGACCGCCCGACCUGGUAAGGUAUCGUCUUGCUGGCGGCUUUGGUGGCACGGGCUUCACCGGAGGAGGAUUUGGCCUUGACGGCGAAGGCUCUGGAGCAUAACCUAGACUUGGCUCCUUUCGCAGACUCCUUUUGCGGUUCGAAGGAGAUGAAGACUUAGCCCCUCGUGUUCGUGCCAUUUUGGGCUAUCGAACUUUGGCCGGCGUUGCUGAACGGAGGAGAUGACCGGAGGCUCGGACGGCGUGGCUUGGUGAAGAAGACGAAGAGGCUGCGAGAAUGGUACUCUGAUUUUUGAAACCCUUUUCGCAGCUCAAAUGACCGGUAUAAAUAGGAAAAACGGAAGCUUAAGGGUCAGUUUGAGUUUCGCAACAAAACGCCAAUUUCGCAGCAAAAUGCCAUUUUCGCAGCAACUUCGCAGUGAGUUUUGCAGUUGCGAAAUUGAUGUUACUGUGCUGCGAAGUGGCACUCGUGUGCCAAAACCACUUUCGCAAUUGCGAAAUACCCUGCGGAAUGGGACUUUUGGUGUGAAAUCACGCUUUUCCAUUUCGCAAUGCGUUUCGCAGCUGCCAAAUGGAUGUUACUGUACUGCGAAGUGGCACUCGUGUGCCAAAUUCACUUUCGCAGCUGCGAAAUACCCUCGCAGAGACUUCUACAGUGUUGCGGAAUGGUUUGGCAACAAAAUGCUCAGUUCGCAGAAGUUUCCUUCACCCUGCGAAAUUUCGCAGAGCUCUGUUUUUCCCCUGUUUAUGCUCUGUUUUGGCUCCGAUUUCGACCCGAUUUUUUUUCUUUCAAUCCCCUUGAAAUUUCUUCCACCUGGGAUCAUUUAAAACGAUUAAAACACACCUUAAAACAUGAUUUAAGAUCAAAAACUAAGAUCAAAAGUAUGGAAACAACUUGAAAAUUUACAAAAUUUACAAAAAUUUUGGACUGUGGUAAACCACAUCCAGCAAACCCUUUUUCACUUAGACUUUUUGAGGCUCAAGGAGAUUGAUCUCCUCCUUUUCUGGUUUGAAUGGCUCCAUGAAUGGCUUGAGAUGAUAUCCAUUGACUCUAAAGCUAUCCUUGCCAUUGGAAUUCACUAAUUCCACCACUCCAUUGGACCAUACUCGGUGAAUAAUGAACGGGCCAAUCCACCUCAACUUGAGCUUCCCAGGAAAGAUAUGGAGUCUUGUGUCAUACAUCAAAACUCUUUGCCCUUCCUGAAAUUCCUUGUUAGAGAUGAGUUGGUCAUGCCACUUCUUCAUCCUCUGUUUUGCAACUUUGGAAUUGAUAUAAGCAUUAUUUCUUAAUUCCUCCAUCUCAUUAAGGUCUAGAAAUCUCUUUUCUCCUUCCUUGAUCAAGUCCAUAUUCAGCUUCUUUAUUGCCCACCAAGCUUUGUAUUCAACUUCCAUAGGGAGAUGGCAUGCUUUACCAUAGACAAGAUGAUAGGGAGACAUCCCAAGAAUAGUCUUAUAAGCUGUUCUAUAUGCCCACAGUGAAUCAUGAAGCCUAAUAGACCAAUCUUUUCUGUUGGAAUUCACCACUUUCAUCAAUAUGUUCUUUAUUUCCCUGUUAGCUAGCUCAACUUGCCCGGAAGUCUGAGGAUGAUAAGGUGUAGCCACCUUAUGCUUCACUCCAUACUUGGAUAACAGAGCUUCAAAAGUUUUGUUGCAAAAAUGAGCACCUCCAUCACUGAUUAUGGCUUUGGGCACCCCAAAUCUUGAGAAAAUGUUCUCUUUAAGAAACUUGAGAAUCACCCUGUGAUCAUUUUGCUUACAGGGGAUUGCCUCAACCCAUUUAGAAACAUAAUCUACCCCCACCAAGAUGUAAGAAUUACCAAAAGACAUUGGGAAAGGUCCCAUGAAGUCAAUGCCCCAUACAUCAAAUAACUCAACUAUCAGAAUGGGGUUCAUAGGCAUUUGAUUUCUUUUUGUUAGCUUUCCAAGCCUUUGGCAUCUAUCACAAUUUCUACACAUGAUGUGGGCAUCUUUGAAAAGAGAUGGCUAAGUAAACCCUGAUUGUAAUACCUUCAUGGCUGUUUUCUGAGAGGCAAAGUGGCCUCCACAUGCAUUCUCAUGACAAUGAGAUAGAAUCCCUUGCUGCUCAUCUUCAGGGACACACUUCCUAAUAAUCUGAUCUGCACAAUACUUAAAGAGAAAGGGCUCUUCCCAAUAAUAAGCAUGAAUUUUGGCAAAGAAGUGCUUCCUGUCCUGUGCAUUCCACUCACUUGGAAUUUCACUAGUUACUAAAUAAUUAGCAAUAUGAGCAUACCAAGGAGUUUUCACUAGGAACAUGAGUGAUUCUUCAGGAAAAUCAUCAUUGAUAGGCAAGGGAUGGGAAUUAUGUGCUAUAACUAACCUUGACAAGUGGUCAGCUACUACAUUAUCCACUCCUUUCUUAUCUUUGAUUUGAAGAUCGAAUUCUUGCAACAAAAGAAUCCAUCUAAUCAACCUUGCUUUUGCAUCUUGCUUUGUCAAUAAAUACUUCAAGGCUGAAUGGUCAGUGAAGACAAUGAUGAAAGACCCCACUAAAUAAGCUCGAAAUUUGUCCAAAGCAAAUACCACAGCUAACAAUUCUUUCUCUGUAGUUGUGUAGUUCCUUUGAGCUUCAUUUAGUGUUUUACUUGCAUAGUAAAUCACAUAGGGCUUCCCAUCUUCUCUUUGGCCAAGCACAACUCCUAUAGCAAAGUCACUGGCAUCACACAUCAGUUCAAAAGGUAAUUGCCAAUUAGGGGCUCUCACUAUUGGAGUUGUUGUUAAAAAUUUCUUCAGUUGAUCAAAGCUAUUUUGACACCUUUCAUCCCAUAUAAACUUAGCAUCCUUAGCUAACAGCUCACAAAGAGGUUUUGAAAGACUUGAAAAACCUUUUAUAAACCUCCUAUAGAACCCUGCAUGGCCAAGGAACUGCCUUACUCCUUUCACAGUUGUUGGAGAUGGUAAUUUGGCAAUAAGCUCCACCUUUGCUUUAUCAACUUCAAUGCCUUUUUCAGAGAUGAUAUGGCCAAGGACAAUUCCUUGACGUACCAUAAAAUGACAUUUCUCCCAGUUGAGCACCAGGUCUUUUUCAAUGCAUCUAUGAAGAACUGCUUCCAAAUUAACCAAGCAUUCCUCAAAUGUACCUCCAUAUACGGUGAUGUCAUCCAUGAAAACCUCCAUAAUUCUCUCCACCAUAUCACUGAAAAUACUCAACAUACAUCUUUGAAAUGUAGCAGGUGCAUUGCAUAAACCAAAAGGCAUUCUUCUAUAAGCAUAUGUUCCAAAUGGACAUGUAAAAGUGGUCUUUUCUUGAUCUGCCAAAUCAAUUUCAAUCUGAAAAUACCCUGAAUACCCAUCCAAGAAACAAUAGAAUGGAUGUCCAGAGACUCUCUCUAGCACUUGAUCAAUAAAUGGCAAUGGAAAAUGAUCUUUCCUGGUGACAGCAUUCAGCUUUCUAUAAUCAAUACACACCCUCCAACCUGAAGUGAGGCGUGUAGUAAUUUCUUCCCCUUUUUCAUUUUGAAUCACUGUGAUCCCUGACUUCUUUGGUACCACUUGAGUAGGACUCACCCAAGGGCUAUCAGAUAUAGGGUAAAUGAUUCCUGCUUGAAGUAGCUUCAGCACCUCAGCUCGCACCACCUCUUGUAGAUGAGGAUUCAACCUUCUUUGAAAUUGACGAAUUGGCUUUGCUUCCUCCUCCAUAUAUAUAUGAUGAGUACAAACUAAAGGACUAAUGCCUUUCAAAUCAGAUAUUUGCCAUCCUAUUGCCUUCUUACACCUCCUGAGAACUUCCAUUAAACAAUUCUCUUGAUGACUGGUCAGAGAUGAAGAUAUUACAACAGGACAUUGAUUAUUUGCUUCAAGAUAUGUAUAUUUCAGCUCCAUAGGUAAAGGCUUCAGAUUGAGUUUUGAAAUUUCUUUUUCAGCAGCUGCCUCCUCUUCUUUAUUGAACAAAGGUAGAAUUCCUUCUAUCUUUCUCCAACUUUGUAGAGUAGCAAGCCCAAUAGGAGAUUCAGAAAAACCUUCCUCAAUGUCCUCAAGACUUUCAUUCAACUUUUCUUGCAUAUGUUGAUUGCAGUGCUCCUCCACCAAAGUAUCAAUUAUACAUAGCUCUUCUGGACCUUCUUCUUCCUCCGGAGUGAUUUGCUUUUUAGACAUAUAGAAAAUAUUGAGAUCCAGUGUCAUGUUACCAAAAGUGAGUUGCAUAAGCCCAUUCCUGCAAUUGAUGAUUGCAUUUGAAGUUGCAAGAAAUGGCCUUCCAAGGAUGAUAGGAACUAAAUUAGCUUCCUUUACAGUAGGAUCUGUAUCAAGAACAAUAAAAUCUACUGGAUAGUAGAAAUUAUCCACUUGAACCAAUACAUCCUCAAUUACCCCUCUUGGAAUUUUCACUGAUCUAUCUGCCAGAGAUAAAGUGAUUGCUGUUGGCUUCAACUCUCCAAGUCCCAAUUGCUUGUAGACGGAAUAUGGAAGCAAAUUCACACUUGCUCCCAAAUCUAACAAGGCUUUCUCCACUACCUUUCCUCCAAUCAUGACUGAAAUGGUAGGACUUCCAGGGUCUUUGUACUUCAAAGGGGACUUACACUGUAAGAUUGCACUUACUUGCUCAGUCAAGAAGGCUUUCUUGUUUACAGUCAACCCUCUUUUGAUAGUACACAAGUCCUUUAGGAAUUUUGCAUACGUUGGAACUUGUUUAAUCAUAUCCAGCAGUGGAAUAUUAACUUUCACUUGCCUCAAGACUUCAAGGAUUUCAGCUGCAUUUCUAAUCCCCUUUUUCCCAUGUAAUGCUUGAGGAAAAGGUGGAGAAGUUGAUUUCUUCAGCAUUUCUUCCUUCAGAAGCUCCUUCUCUGGAAUUACUUUCCUUGUUGAAUCAGAGUCCUUCUUUUCUUCACUGAUCUCACUGUCUUUAUCUUCCAUUUCCUUCCCUUUCUUUAUCUCUUCUGCUUUCUCAACAUGUGGCUUGGGUGUUGGCUGCUCAAUUUUCUUACCACUCCUUAGAGUGAUCAAGGCCUUGACAUUUUUCACCUGUGAUGAUUCUCCCUCUUGGCUUUCCACUUCAUGGACACCUUUGGGAUUUUGGUGAGGUUGAGAAGGAAAUCUUCCCUUUUCUUGCAGUGUAUUCAAAUUUGUAAGCCUUGAAAUUGAAUAUUGGAUGUUAUCAAACUUUUGAUUCAUAUCAUUUUGCAUUCCAUCCAUCCUUUUAUUCAACAUACUCUCCACUCUAUCAAUUUUUUGAUCAACUCGAGCAUUAGUGGCUUCUUGCUUUUCAAUAAAAUCUCCCAUUACCUUGCUGAGAUUGGCUAUUGCUUGUUCAAUACUUGAAGAUUGUUGAGAUGGUGGAUCCGGCUGUUGGUACUGAGUUGCUCUGGCCUUCCAUGAGAAAUUUGGAUGAUUCCUCCAACUUGAAUUGUAAGUAUUUCCAUAAGGUGCAUUGUUAUUGGGCCUAAAUUGUCCAACAACAUUUGCUUGAUCUCUAUACAUUUCUCUUUCAGUUGGAAUUGCAGGGCAUUCCUCCACCAAAUGUUCAUAUGAUUGACAAUUGGGACACAACUUCACUUGCACUGGUGCUUCAGCAACAACUUGCACUUCAUGUAUUCUUUUCAGCUCCAGCUCCUCCAAUCUUCUUGUCAUAGCUGCCAAAUUUGCUUUCAUGUCAUCAUCUUCUUUUAAAGUAUACAUCCCAGCCUUUGCAUUGUAAGCAUUCAACUGAGACUUCAUCUUUCCCACUUCUCCUUUAGUUGGUUCAUCCCAUCCCCUUGAAACAUCAGCUACAUAGCUCAAGAAAUCCAUAGCUUCCUUUGGAUUUUUGCUCAUGAAAUCUCCUCCACACAUUGUCUCGAGGAGUUGCUUCAUUGAGGAGGACAUACCAUCAUAAAAAUAGCUCACCAAUAGCCAAGUAUCAAAGCCAUGGUGAGGACAAGCAUUUAUAGCUUCCAUGUAUCUUUCCCAACACUCAUAGAAUUUCUCAUUCUCUUUAGCUAAGAAGUUUGAAAUUUGCCUUUUCAAGCCAUUUGUUCUAUGAGUAGGAAAAAAUUUCUUGAGGAAUUCAGCUUGUAAAUCAGUCCAAGAGCGGAUACUCCUUGGCCUUAAAGAAUUAAGCCAAAUUUUGGCCUUAUCCUUUAAAGUAAAAGGAAAUAACUUAAGCCUCAUCAAAUCAAUUGAAGCUCCUCCCUCUUGAAAUGUAUUACAAACUUCUUCAAAUUCCUUGAUGUGUGCAUACGGAUUCUCACUUUCCAUCCCAUGGAAAGUUGGUAGAAGUGGAACAAGAUACGGUCUGAUCACUAGUUGCUCUGUAGGGGGCACUAUACAUGAUGGUGCACUCAUACGAGGUGGAUGCAUAUGGUCCCUCAUUGAUCUGAAUUCAUUGAGAUUAUCUUGACGACCUUGGUGACUAUGCUGAUCUUCAAGUGUAGCUUCCAUGAUAUUCAAGAUCACUUCCAAUUCUUUUCUCUGAGGUGUAUCACACUUAACAAGCCUUCCUCCACUGUCUCGUAUCCACUUGGGCAUACACAACUAGUAUCUACCUGCAACUAAAUAAAAACAGAGGACAACAAGAAAAACAGGGCUACAACAGCAAAAUUAAACUAGGCUAAAUUUUAAAAGAUAAACUUAGAUUGUAAAUAAACAAAGAAAGAAUGAAAAUUAGUAAAGUGAAAGAAACUUUACCAACUUGUGAUGAAAAUCACAAGUGCUCAAAAAUGGUAUCAAUAUAAACUUGACACUCAUUCCCCGGCAACGACGCCAUUUGAUUCAUGCCCAAUUGGUGUCUCAGUUGAUUUGUGUUCAGCUGGUGCUCCUUGAUUGAGGGAGUAAUCAACAAAAUUUAUUACCUAUAACACCAUACACUAGGGUAGCAAAGAAAAAGCUACUAUAGUAUAGUGGCUCUAGGGUCGUUCACUGGGAAUGAUUAACAAGCAAUCAAUGAUACCAAUUCCAAGUGAAUUGGCCUUGUUUCAUUUCAUGGUUAGCUUAAGAAGUAAAACACAAACUUUGAUUGGUAAAGGUUGAGACUUAAACUAACUAACAUAACAGAAGUUUGGAAUAAUUUAGGAAGAAAACAUUCCUUGGAGAGUUAGGUUCACUGGGGUGGUUCCUCAUGCAAAAGACACGGCUCUGGUCAGAUGGUUCAUUUCCUCGUGUUAGAGAUUCAACAUAUAGUCAAUUCUCUAACCGGUGUUGUACAGAGACUCCUUCAAUUAGAUUUCACUUUAAUUCUCUCACUGAUGCACUUUGCAAUGGUUUAAGCCUCUCACUAAGCCUUAACCAUUCAAGGUGAUCUUUAACCUUGGAUUACCCGUCAAAAGCUCGCAAGAGAUAACCAAUGGAUGCCUCCUAGGAGUCUAAAAGCUUACCAAGUGUUGGCUAUUCUAGAAAAUCCUACCCUGAAGUCACCUCCCAGAGGCUCGCAAGGGGUAAACUAGUGCAUUUCCAUUGUUGGAAAUCACUUGCCUUACCAAGUGUUGGCCCAGGUGACUCUAAGGUGUUUUAAGUUAACUAAAAACAUAGAAAUCACUAAAGGAUUUCACUUCCUCUUCAUUAAUAGCUAAAACCAUAGAGCUUUGCAUUCUUGCACUUGGAACCUUCCCCGACAACCUUAGCUCCAAGGAAUUAGAGGUUUAGUUACUCAUUCUCUGGGGAAAACUCCUCGGAGAAUUCAUAACUUAGAAAUAAAAUGAAAAUACAAAGUGAGAAGGUAAGGCAGUAGAAGGAAAAUAGACUUUACUUGCUUACCCAAACGUUUUCAGAAGGAACUCCUCUCUGAGAACAGGCUCUCGAGAGGUAUAUAUAUAUACAUAAUAUAAAACUAAUUAUUACAUAGAUAUUUAGUCUUUUUACUAAAAACUAAGGAAUCAUGUAAUUGGUGGUUUACAAGGAGUAUUUUGGGAUUUAGACAACAAAAAUCUAAUGGAAAAUAUCUCCCAAUGUCGGUAGCAAAUAUCGGGAGGCUUCAGGAACCAUUUCGCAGGAGAAAAUGGUGUCUGCGAGAUUUCGGAGACACUCAAGAGGGCUGCGAAAUAUUUUCGCAACACCAAGUUAUCUUCACAGGGCUGCAAAGUUGGCUUCCACCUUGAGGUUCCCAGCUCCCUUCUUGCGGCAUGGUUCGUGCAUCGUCAGAAGGAGAAACACCUUACUGUACAAAAAUGCUGCGAAAUCACUUCGCAACAAAAGGGUGAUUUCGCAACACUUUGCAAAAUGCUUCCUUCAGCUCGGAGUGAUUGGCUUGUAAUGGCUGCAACUUCUUCGUUUCAACUCCGAAUUGCACACCGUUUGAAGCAUUAGAUUGUUGACUUCCUAAGCUUUGAAAUGGUAUAUAGCAUGUAUCAUUUGGACUUCAGAAAGUGCUCCAAAAGUGGCUGCUAUGACUGUCAUCAAGAAUAGGCUUCAUGGCAGAUUCUCUUUGCUUUUUCUCCUUGCAAUCCGGAUUCACUCUUGGCAAAUGACUUCUAAGCUUUGCCCAAGAUUCCUCAUAGCUCUCCUCAGUCUUGACUUGCUUUGGUGAUCAAAAUACUAACAAAAACACCAAAACUUACACAAAGUGAUCAAAAUUGCUUUAAAGGAUCCUUAACAUGCCAAUUGGGUUAAAAGGCCUAAACUACUACUCAAAAGUGUUUAAAAGGAUUAAUUAUAGACUAUCAAAUAGCACUUUUUGAGUAGUAAUCACCUCUACUUUGAAAGCUGAACGAGUAAUGAACCCAAGAACCUCAAGGUAUAGGAAAUAUACCCUAGUAUGCAAAGUCUAUGUACUGCUAGUACAGUAACACCAUAACAUCUGGAAUGCUCUAAGGAUAGGCCAUCCAAAAAUACUCCAAGAGACCAAAGUGCCACUAGCUCAUCAAUACCUCAUCAAGAAAUUAGUAUGGCCAAUCAGGCACUUAGGGAGACUACUUUACUAAGGAUCAUGAAGAAAUCAAAUAGUCAAAAUCAACAACCAUCAUCAUGAAACAAGGUGAAAACUAAUUUGAAACUAGCAAUCUCAAUGGAAAAAUGAUAUGCCUUAGUAUGACAUUUGAUAUACAUAGCAGAAUGGGAAGUUAGACAACAUCUCUCAUCCAUCAUAAAAUCAAGUAAUCCUCUACAUCCAUUGCGAAUCAACUCUAGGCAUUAGAAAGCAUUCCCCAAAACAAGGAACAUGAUGAUGUCCAUACACCAACCAAGUCCCAAGAACUUGCCCAAGUAGAGACUAUCAAAGUCGACAUUUGAUCCUAUGGCCUCAAGGUGGUCUUAAGACAUGAGAUGAAAUGUAGGCUAGGGUGAUAGGUAAAAAAAUGAAAGGAAACUAGGCUUAAAUGCCCAAUGAUCAAGCCCAUACCCUCAUGUACAAAAUGCAAUAUGUAUAGGAGAUCUUGUAAGUUGUGAAUUUGAAGAUAUCCGGUGUGAGCAUCCAUGGGACAUAAAAGGUCUCAACAAAAUCAACGAUGAUAGAGAAAAAGUGAUAGAAGAGAGUAUCAAGCUACAAAGGGAGAUGAUGCGAGAAAAAUAUCAAUCAUGGGAUGAGGAUGGAUAUGAAUGAAGGAUAAUGAAUAUAAGCUGCAUGAUGAUGGAUGUAAAGAAUUGAUAAGAUCCAAAGGAAUCGGAAGAACUAUGAUCUACUCAAAAUAAGACAUGGAAAGUGAUCAAACCAUCGGUGAUUGAAGAAGGCAAUGAUUUAGAGUCUUUAGGAAAGAGUCACUCAUCUCUCAUACUUGGAAAAUAUACAAGAUAUAUCUAAGGAUCACAAACUCUCAUGCACUUUCAUCAACUAAUGAACUCCACAUAAUAAACUCUCAAAUAUCUCAUACAUGAUCAAUUUCGUAAUACAUCUCAUGCACAUAUAUUUUUUUUUUCAUUUUUUAUCAUUUUUUUUAUGAUGGUAUGAACAUACUCUCGAACAAUGAUCUAAAAAAAGAUUGAGCUCUCUUUAUUGAAAUGACCCUUUUAACCAAGAUUCUCUAUAUCAAUGUCUAUGAGAUGAAAUGUAAGUGGUGAUAUGUUCAAUCUUCAUAUAAUGAAAUGUGAAAGAUCAUCACUCAAUAUAUGAGAAGAAACAAGAUGAAUCAAAUAAUAUGAAAAAGGUGAAACAAAGAACAUUAAAAAAAGAAAGGGGAAUGAAAUGGGAUAUCAUGAUAACAAACAAAACAAAUGGGAGGAGUACAUCAAUAAUUCUAAGACUCAUGAAAUUUCUGAAUUAAGUAUAUGUACAUCAUAGGGUCCCAAGUAUAGAAACUAAACAAGGUUAUCAGAAAGAAUAGGCUAUAAUGAUCAUGUAAAGCUUAAAGGGUAGCAAUGGUUUAGAUGUUCGAAAUGUGAUAGAGUAUAAACUAACUGUAAUGAAGGCCACCCAUUCUAUGACUAUGGUCUCAAACAUAAUAAUUCUUCAGUUGAUCUACAUUGGUUGGCUUUAAGAAUUGGUUUCUAUCUAGAUCUAUCAACCAUGUUGCACUCUUUAGAGUCAACUCUCUAAUGACAUAUGACCCACUCCAAGUCGGUCUAAACUUGCCUCUCAAGUCUCCAACCAAGCUUCUAAGAGCUCUCAAGACCAAAUCUCCUCUCUAUAGUGGCCUAGGCUUGACCCACUUUCUGAAAGCACGGGUCAUCUUCCUCUAAUAAGCCUAAGUGUGGUUUGCUGCUCUCAAUUUCUUCUCAUUAAGAAGACUAAGCUGAUCAAAACUUGCUUGGACCCAAUUUGCCUAAGAUAUUUGCUACUUAAGUGCUACUUGCAAAGAUCCCAUCUCUAUCUCAAUUGGUAACGCUACCUCCAUUCCAUACACUAGAGAAUAGGGUGUGGCUCUUGUAAAGGUGUGAAAAAAAAGUGCAAUAAGCCCAUAAUACAAAAGAGAGAUUCUCUGAACAGUCUUGAGAAGUCUCAACCAUCCUCUGCAAAAUCAUUUUAAUAUUCUCAUUCACGACCUUUAUUGCUCUGUUAGUCUACGGUCUAUACACAAAUGAACUAUAAUGCCGGAUGCCAUAUCUUUGUAACAAAGCAUCAACCUUUGCCUUGAAGUGUAUUCCUUUAUCAAUUAUUAGCUUAUGUGGGAUUCCAUAGUGGCAAAUGAUGUGUGAUAUGAUGAAACUAGUGACUCUGGUUAAUGUCAAUCUCGUAUAAGAAGCUAUCUCCAUCUACUUGGUGAAAUAAUCAAUAGCAACUAGGAUGAACUCAUGUCCACUAGAAGAUUUUGGUGAAAUCUUUCCAAUGAUAUCAAUGCCCCAAAUUGAAAAUAGCCAAGGUGAGGUUAGUGCAUGUAACUUUGAAGGUGGAGUAUGAAUAAGAUCAUCGUGCAUUUAACACUCUGGACAUCUCUGAAUGAACUGGCAAUAAUUUGUCUCCAUGGUAAACCAAAAGUACCUAGUCCUCGUGAUCUUACUAUUCACAUAUGUCUUCCCUUUUGUGGUCCACAAACUCUCGCAUAAACCUUUUUCAUCACUCUAUUAGCAAAUGUACAGUUUAGGCAUAAUAGUAACAUGCCAUUAGCUCAUCGUCUUUACAGUGUCUCACUGCAUAUCACGAAUCUGGUGGCUAAUUGUCUCAAAUCUUUCAUAUCCUUGGAUGUGGUAGCCUCUGUAUAUGUGCUAAAUAUGAGAAAUCGAUAAAUGUCAUGAUACCAAGGCAAGUUGUCCUGAAUCUCUGCAUCAUCAAUCAAACAACAAUAGGUUGGCAUAGUCCUCGACUCUAUCACUAAUGGGCGAAUAACAACAUUAGUAGGAAUGUCAACCAUAGAAGUUAGGGUAGUUAAGGCAUCAAUGAACUUGUUCUACAUUCUCGGCAGAUGGGUAUAUCUUAAAUCCUCGAAUCUCUCGACUAGUAGCUCUAAGUAAGUACGAUAAGACCUGUGCUUCACAUCCAUAGUCUUCCAAGUGCCCUGUCUUAGUCUCAGUACCGGGUUAGAUUCUUCAUAUAUCUCCAUAUGUCUAAUACCCAAUUCUAAAGUUGUCUAUAAUAUUAAAAUACAAGCCUUGUACUCAAGUAUAUUGGUUAUGGUAGGAUGUUGAUCUGGGAAUGCCAAAAGAACAAAUCUCGGAAUAUGAUCUCCAUAAAGGGAUAUCAACAAUUCUCUUAUCCUAUAUCCUGAAUGGUUGGUUGCACUAUUAAAGUACAUGCCCCAACCUAGCAGACUAAUCACAAUAGCAAUCCUCUUGUGAAACCAAGGUUUUGUUAAUCUCGGUUUUGAUGAUAACAAAACAAAGUUUAGAACUAAUGAUUAUAUUUCAAAGUGUGAUUAGACAAGACGAUUUUCAAAGUGGCAAUCACAAAGACAAUUCAAGGCAAAGAGAAAUCAUGAAGAAGAAGACCACCUCAAAGGGAAGUGUUUUUCAAAGAUCCAAGCUUCAUAAGAUCUCUUUGUAAGGUUGUUGGUGCACUAGGAUUUCCAUGCAUUAUUUUCUUUACUUAUGCACCUAAAUCAUCCAAGAGUUAUUUUGUUUUAAAUAUUUUUAAAAUUGGAUGAUUUCAUGUUUUCAACUAAAACCUUGUGUCAAAUGUUGAUUCAAACUUGUUUAAAAGGUUUUAAGUUGAAAAGGUUGGUUUUUGAGCCAAAAACGACUAAAUCAGCUAAAUCGGGUGAACUGGAUGAAUAGUAACCGGUUGAGGUAUGAACAGUCCCGGUUGACCCAUGAACAGUACCUGGUUGACCCAUGAACAGUAAUCGAUUGACCGGUACAAAAAAUUUCUCUCUCUUCCAGAAUGGUUGUUCAACCGGUUGAGGUCCAGUCGAGGUCUGGUCGAGGUCUAACGGUCACUUGCCAACAUUAAAUGCUAACGGCUAGUCAACCGGUCGACCCAUAGCUCGAUCGGUCGAACCUCCAACGGCUAGUUUAGUUUUUUUCUUCUAUAAAAAGGCUCCAAUCUUUAUUGUUUUAUAAGCUUAACCUUUUCAAACCUUUCUUGAAUAUAUUUGAGCCUUGGAAGAGUAUUUUUUAGUGCACCAUUAUUCCAAAACUUGCAUAUCUUUAGUGCACCAUUCAAUCCUAGUUUUCUUGUAUCAUUUGAGCUUAAAAGUUUUGUGCUAAGAUUUUGUGAGAUCUUUAUUUAUAAACCUUUGAGAGGAAGUUUCUCAAGUGUGUGAUAUCACUUGAAGGGUUGUUCAAGAGUGGGAUAUCACUUGAGAAGUGUAAAGGGUGCUUGGAGCCAAAAGUCCAAGAGGGUGAAUUGGAACCAUAAUCCAAUUGUAUAACUUGAAGGCUUGGUUUGGAAGCCUUGAAUUAGUGGAACCUCAAGCUUGGGAUUGAAGCUAGAGGAGAGUGGAUGUAGGCCGGGUUGCACCGAACCACUAUAAAUCUCGUGUUUGCAUUCUCUCUUCCCUACUCUUUUAAAUUAUAUGCAAUUGUCUUUAUAUUGUUUAUUAUAUACUUGCAUAUAAUUGUCUCUUACUUUCACAUAGUUUAAAUUUAGAAAAAGAGACUAUCACCCUAUUCACCCCCCCUAUAGGGUGAUUACUAUAGGUUGGAUUAGCUUAAAUUUCCUAACACCUCUCAUAAGGGAAAUCAUCAUCAAUAACUCCACUAUUUGAAACUAGUAAUGAGGUCAGGUGAUCUGCAACAACACUCCAUCUAAUUGAUUUCUGAGUAACGUAGUGAAUAUCAAACUCAGUCAAGAGUACUAAUCAUCUCAUCAAUCUACUAAGAAAAGCAAGUCUAUAAAAAAAAAUAUCUUAAGGGAUCCGAUCGACAUAUCAAGUGUACUGAAUACUCUGUCAUGUAAUGUCUUAAUCUCCUAGUAGCCCAUACCAAUGCCAAGUAGAGGCAUCCUAUCAAAACAUAUCUCAUCUCAUACUCUGCAAUUCUCUUUACUUAGAUAAUAAAUGGCUUGUUCUUUUCCCAAAUCAUUGAGCUAAGCUAGCUUGCAUCCCAAAGCUAUCUCUGAGAUAGACAAAUACAAAAGAAGAGGUCGACCCUAUAGUAGGAGUGCCAAAAUUGGAGAAGACAAUAAAUACUCUCUAAUCGUCUCAACGACACAUUGACAAUGAUCAUCCUAAAUAGUUGGGUGGUUUUUCCUCAAGAGUCGGAAGAUGGCCUCACAUAUGUUUGUCAUUCUAGCUAUGAAUUUUCCAAUGUAUUGUUGUUUGCUGAGAAAUCCCAUGAUUUCCUUUUCAGUCCUCGAUGUAGGAAUCUCAAGAAUGGCUCUAAUAUUUUAUGGAUUUACCUUUAUGCCUAUUUCACUAACCAUACAUCCUAAUAAUUUCCUAAAAGUCACUCCAAAGGUGCACUUCUUAGGGUUCAGUCUUAGUCUGAUCCUUUCAAAGAAAUCUCUCAAAGGCUGCUAAAUGAUCUGCUCUGUCCCGAGAUUUCACUAUCAUGUCAUUCACAUAAAUCUUGACAUCUUGGUGCAUCAUGUAGUGAAAAAGAGUGGUUGUCGCUCUCUGAUAUGUAGCUCUCACAUUCUUCAACCCAAAUGACAUUACUCUAUAACAGUACAUGCUCUACUCAGUGAUGAAAGUGGUCUUAUCCAUAUCCUCUUGAGCCAUUAAAAUAUAGUUAUACCCCAAAAACCCAUCAAUGAAGGACAACAAUGAAUGACUGGUUGCACUAUUGACCAACAUAUCAAUGUGAGGUAGGAAAAAUUGUCCUUAGGGCUGGCCUUAUUAAGGUCUCUAAAAUUGACGCAAACUCUGACUUUUUUGUUCUUCUUAGGAUCAAGAAUGACAUAUUCCAACCACUCAACAUACUUGACUAUUGAUAUAAAUCCAACAUAGAGCAGUCUUUGGAUAUCAUUUUUUUUAAUCGCCUCAACAUCUGUCUAACUGGUCUAACAUGCGGCAAGAGUGGUAAUUGGUGCUAAACAAUGAAAGGAUCGAGGCCUAACAUGUCCUCAUAGGACCAAGCAAAGACAUCUAAAUAUGUCUUGGGUAGCUACACAAGUCUAUCUCUCUCAUUAAUGGACAAACUCAAUCCAAUCUUUAGCUCUCUAGGUUGAUCUGGUGUGCCAAAAUCUAUAGUCUCAGUGUCUUUUAUGGCAAGUGAGACCCUUUGAUAUGUGGGAAUAGAAUCGAGAGCUGAAGAAGAGUCCUCAUUUGAAUCAUGUGGUAUGGACUUAUCAAUUAAAUCACAUACAUGAGAUAUAAAUGAGCAAGGUGCAUGUAUAGUAACAUCAUCAUGAGAAGCAAGCAAAUACUGAAAAAUACUCGUGUCCAUAUAUGAAGAAUCAGUAGGUACAUCGUCAACACGAGAGACAAAUCCCGAAAAUACAUAAAAGAAAUGGGUGAGCCUACAAAGUCGGACACUACCACCAUUAGGCUAAUAGUGCCCUCUAGUACAUCAUCUGUAAGAGAAACAUCUACAUCAAAUAAAUAUGAAAUAGGUCCAAUUUGAACAAUGUCAGAGAUAUUGACAGUAGAUGUCUUAGAAGUGGUAAAUGGAAUAGCAAAAUCUAGCUGGAUGGUAUCAACUAUCUGGCUCAGACUUAUCAUAGCUAUCUCAUUCUAGUAGUCAUCUGGUAAGUCAACUCCAUCAGAUAUGUCCACGUAUUGAAGCAAUGGCUCAUGGAUACCUAUCCCCUUAAGAAAAUAAAGUGAUAUCACGCUGGCACGAUUUGGGGACUAAGGUGCCACCAAUACUGAGGGGAAAGUACUAGCAGAUCUAUCUAUCAAUUGAACACCAUCAGAUCCACUAAUAAUAUUCUCCAAUUUCAAGGGCAUUUUAAAAGCCCUCACAAAAUAAUAUAUCAUAGCCAUUGUGUGUGGUUAAAGUGGGUAAUAAAAUGGUAUGUGAAGUAAUCGGGCUCUGAGCCUUUGUUUAUGUAGAUAUGCCAUGUAUUGAUAGUCUACCUUUGUAGGUGUAUAGCCUAAGUCGAAGGUUGUAUCAUGACUCACAGUAGCUAUAAACUCACUGAUACCAUGUUGUCGUCGUUCCAAUCCUAAACCAAGAAGAUAAAACAUGUCUUUCAUCAGACUCAAGACAAUAAUGCCACUAUGGCGAUCAAAAGGAAAAUGUAUGUGAUCUUUGUGAGACUCCUCAAUAGUCACAAUCUAAACCUCAUCAAAUGUGAAACCAGUAAAAAAUAAGUCACUCUCACUAUGGCUAAUCUCUAAAACUGGCUCAGAUAAUGAAAUGCCUCUACUGGAUUGCAUAGUAAUGACUUUGUCCUCAUGUAUGAACUUCACUUUUUGAUGAAAGGAAGAUGGUAUGGCACCGUCUCCAUGAAUCCAAGGUUUGCCUAAUAAUAGGUUAAAGGAUGUAGGUAUCCUCAAAACUUGAAAUACUGUAGAGAAAACAACUAAACCAAUUUGUAACUCAAAUGUUAGUGUGCUAAGGAUCUCUCUUCGUGUGCUAUCAUAAGCUUUGGCAGACUGUGUUGACGGCUUAAAGUCUGAUGGGGCAAACCCAAGUGCCAUAACAGUAGCCAAAGGGCACACAUUCAAGGCAGAGCCAUUGUCCAAUAGGAUAUAUGGAACCCGAUGCCCUAAGCAACCAACAAUGAUAUAUAAUGGUAGGGUAUGAUCUAGGCCUCUAGGGGGUAAGUCAUUAACAGAGAAUACAAUGCAUGUAGCUUUAUUGGCAGUCAACAUAUGAAUCAAAUUGUUUGGAGAUAUAACAUUCUCAACUCUGAUAUGACUUAAAGCCUUAAUAAAUGCAUCUCUAUGAGCAGUAGAAGAAGCUAGUAAACUUCAAAUAGAGAUGCAAGCCUUUGUACUCUGUAAUUGCCUCAUAAUCUCAUAAUCUUCUCAUAUCAGACCAUCUCUAGAACCUAUGCCCUUGAAUGGUCUAGUCUUUGCUAAUGGUAGUUGAGUCACUUUCUCACUAUAAGUGACUAUAUGAACAUCUGGAUCAACAAUCUCAUUAGUAUCCUUAGGCAUCAAAACAAAGGGAACUAAAGCACCAUGGCUGGCAGUUGAGUCAUGAACUAGGAUCAAUUGAAAUAAAGGUCUAUCUAGGAUCAAACUGAAAGGUAUGAUAAAUGAUGUAUCCAAAAUAACUCCAUCAACCUUUGAUCUUGCAUAUAAUAUUAUGGGCUUUGAUACACGAUCCUCCCAACUCAUCAUGUGAACAAUCAUUUCUUUCAAGAUCCAUCAAAUGGAUACCUCCAGUUGGUGGUGGUACUACAUGGGUAAAAUGAGUCAGUAGUGGGUUUGUUGUGACACUUGGCUGCCCUAAGUUCACCGAACCUCAAUUUAUGAGAUUCCAUAUGGCAUGUCUCAAAGUCGUACACCUAUCUAUGUCAUGCUCUGGACUUUAAUGGUAUAGGCAAUGAAGAUCUAAUCUAUAGUUCGAGGGAAUCGGUUGAGAUAUUGGGCAGGAAGCAAGUGCUGUUAAUAAUCUACAUCAACAAGCUUCUUAAAAUCAUGAGUCAAGGGUAUUCCCAACCAUGGAAUUUUUGGCCAUCACAUUACAGAGAGAACAGGGCAAUGGGGAAAGGGAAUAACAUACAAGAAACCACAAUUUACGCUUACCAGAUUGUGUUUCUCUCAAGCCGAAAUUUGCUUGGCUUCAAGAUUGCUCUUCUCCUUGGUUGUAUGCAAGGUAUGAUGGGGGUAUCUUCAGCUUCCCCCACAACCUUAGAUCACUCACGAACAGAAACCCUCCCAAAAGCCUUUUCUCAAAUCCAAAAAAAAAAAAAAAUCUCAGAAUUUUCCCCCUCAGAAAAAGAAGAAGAAGUCCCUUCCUAUCUUGAUUUUUUUUCUCUUUUAUGGUCCCAGAUCUCCAGCCCUCAAAGCCUUUUCAUUUUUUUCUCCUUCAAGCUUUGGAAAGAGCUCCAAUCAGUCUCGGAAUCAACUUCCCCAUUAACCCCCCUCCUCAUUUUCCAUGCAAGCUGAUUAUCUUCAGCUUUCACUUACUUCCCCACCAAGGAUCCAUAUGGAUUCAUGGUGGGCUGUAAGGAAUCCGAACUAAGGCCCAAAAUGGACCCAAAAUACAGCCCAAAACUGAUCUUAAGCUUAUGGGCCAAAGCCAUGUAGGAUUUGGGCUCUAAAAUUACCAAAAUCAGUGUUCUACACUAGUUGACUCGAUGAACCGAUUGAAUCGGAUGCCAACCAGUUGAACUGGUUGCAAAAAAUUUUGAAAAUUUGAUAGAAUGUGCCUGGAAGAAUAAGGAAUCCAUGAAAAAAACGGUGCAUGAUUCUGAGUUUGGAUGAGGAAAAUAUGAUAAAAACAAUCACGAGUGCUCCGAAUUCAGACAUGCUUCAAUGAAUUCUGCCUAAAUUGAAAAUUUUGGGAAGCAGCCUAGAUGGUUGAGAAAAAUUCUGAAAUUUUGCUAAAAUUUUCAUUGAAGAAUAAGGAGUUCAUGAAAAAAAACGGUACAUGAUUCUGAGUUCGGAUGAGGAAGAUAUGAUCAAAACAACCUCGAGUGCUUCGAAUUCAGACAUGCUUCAAUGAAUUCUGCCUAAACUGAAACUUUUGGGGCUGGUCUAGCCGAUUGAGAAAAUUUCUGAAAUUUUGAUAGAAUGUUCCUUAAAGAAUAAGGAGUCCAUGAAAAAAAAAAACAGUGCAUGAUUUUGAGUUCGGAUGAGAAAGAUAUGAUCAAAUCAAGCCCGAGGGCUCCGAACCUCAACAUGCCCCUAUAAACUCCAGCUAAGCUAAAACAUCGGGAUGACCCCACUUCCUUCCUAUAGUGUGAUGUGAACAACUCGGAAAAUGGCCACGAUGACCCUCCAAAAUGAACCACAUACACACUACAAUGGACCACAGACAAGCCCACUCGAGGCUCGGACACCGACUAAGCCCAAAAGGGGCCCUAGUGGUGCAGUAUGAGGAUGAUGGGUGAAUGUGACACCCAAAUGAUAAAUGCAAGUGUCGAUGGACAAAAUUGACGGUCUAUAGUAGGGGCCUUAUAUAACCCCAUCACAAAAUCACAACAACAUCAAAGAGUAUGAGCCUAAUUGAAUGACUCAAGAAAAGGCUCCACUAAGGAAUCAUCGUAAAAUGAAAACAGAUCAUCAACUCAACGUGUAUCUCGUAAAUGGGGAUGAUCAUGCAGAUCAAUGGUGAUCUACAAAUCUCAACCAAAACGGAAAUAUGCCCCAGUAUGGCAUCAUAUGUUUGGUAGGUCAGAAAAUCAGAUGGCACCAAAUCAUCCAUCACCAAGUGUGUAAUCCUAACCAUCCAUGUCCGCAGCUGAAUCAGAUCAAUAGAUCAAAGAAACAUCUCCCAAAAGGAGAAGCAUGAUGGCAUCCAAACACCGAAAAAGUGUGGGUCUGACUAAAUGGCUUAAGAGAUGCUCCCAUGGGAGAUCAUAAUAAGAUAGAAAACAAGUCAUCGUCUCGGUGUGUAUCUCCUAAGUGGGGACAAGCAUGCAACUCCAUGAAGAUUUGUAAAUCUCAAUCAAAACGGAAAUAUGCCCCAAUAUGGAAUCAGAUGUAUUAUAGAUCGAAAAAAAUAACCGAACAACAUCGGAUCACCCAUAAUCAAAUGUGCAAUCCCAAUCAUCCAUAUCCAUAACUGAAUCGGAUCCAAACAUUAAAAGGAUGUCUCCAAUAAUAAUAAGCAUGAUGAUAUCUACAUAUUAACCAAAUCUCAAAUACCUGUUCAAGUAAGGGUUGUCGAAGACGACAUCUGAUCCCAUGGCCGCAGGGUGGUCUUAAGACAUAGGACGUAACGUAGGCUAGGGUGAUAACGUAAUAGAAAUGAAAGGAAACUAGGCUCAAAUACUUAAUGAUCAAAAACCCAUGUCCUCAUGUAUAAAAUGCAACAUGUAUAGAAAAGCUCGUGAGCCAUGGACUUGAAGGUGCUCAAUGUGAAUAUAAUAUUAAUAAUGAGACGAUGAAGCAAAUCAAACUGAUAAUGAGAUACGCAAAAAUGAUGCAAGGGAAAUAUCAAACCUGGAAAUGUCAGUGUAAGAAAAGAACAAUGGGGGAAAGCGAAUGGAAUGAAUCACAAGCAAUGAUGAGGAUGAUAGCGAAACAAUGAAUAUAUGAAGAAAAGUGAUCAUCAACUCUAGUCAAACAUGGAGUGAAGUCACAUCAAUAAUGAAUAUAAUGAUGGAAAGGACAAUGACCUAGAGUCCCUAAAAGAAGGUCACUCAUCUCACUCUCAAAUAUGGCAAAGUGAAUACACAGAAAAGAGGAUCUUAGAAAGCUCGCAUACAAACUCUCAACAACAAACAUACUCGAUAAAAUGACCCUCAAAUAUCAAUAUACACGCUCAAUGAUGGAGAAUACUAUGCACAUACACACAUAUGCUUAUUUUUAUUUUUUUUUCAUAAAUUUUUUUUUUUUUUUUACAUAUAUACAAAUACACAUACCCUGAACAUGAACAAAUGAACCCCAAAGAUAAUAUCAAUAAUGGAUAGACACAUUCCCAAGUGCUAAGGUAACAAAAUACUAUCUCUAACAAAAUGACCUUAUCAAACUAAGGAUCUCUAAAUCAGUGUUUGUGGGAUAGAUAAUGGAAAUGAUAUGACUAUUUUCCAUGUAAUGAACUGAUGAGGAUUACCACUCAAGGUGGAGAGAAUAUGAAGCAAAACAAGUAACAGAUAGAAUAAAGAAGAAGAAAUGAAGAACACGACCAAUGAGAUGUGAUGAAAUGCAGUAGUGUGACAAUAGGAAAAAAUAAUGAGAGAAAAAUACGCUUGUAGGUCCAAGACUCAUGAGACUCCCAAAUGAUGCAUGCAUACACUAAAGAGCCCCUAUCCUGGUGUAAAAAAAUGAGCAAGGCAAUAGGAAAGAAAGACUAUAAUGCACAUGCAAGGCUUAAUGGGCUAGCAAUGGUCUGUAUGUCAAAAGGGAAUAACAAGGUAUAUGACUAGCCAAAAUGAUGGCCACCCAUCCUGUGACCAUGGUCUUAAACAUAAUAUUUCUUCAGUUGAUCUACAUUGCUUGGCUCCAAGAAUCAGUUUCCAUUUAGAUUCAUCAACCAUGCAACACCCUCUAGGAUUAGCUCCCUAAUGAAAUAAUGUCCACUCCAAUUGGGUCUGAACUUCCCUUUGGGGUCUCUAAUCAAACCCCUGAUGACCUUCAAAACCAAGUCACCUUUCUAUAGUGGUCUAAGGUUGACCCGUUUUUUGAAUGCACAGACCAUCUUUCUCUGAUAAGCACAAACAUGGUCUACUGCCCUCAAUCUCCUCUCAUCUAGGAGAUUGAGCUGGUCUAAUCGAGCUUAGGCCCAAUCUACCUCUGAAAUCUGCUGAUCUAAUGCUACCCUCAACGAACCCAUCUCUAUCUUAAUUGGUAGCACUAUCUCCAUACAAUACACUAAUAAGGUGUAGCUCUUGUAAAGGUGUGAAAAGAAGUCCGAUAAGCCCACAAAGCAAACGAAAGCUUCUUUGACCAAUCCCGAGAAGUCUCAAUCAUCAUCCAUAAGAUCUUCUUAAUAUUCUUAAUCGCAGCCUUUACCGCUCCUUUAGUCUAUGACCUGUACGCAAAUGAUCUAUGAUGUUGGAUCCUGUAUCUCUGUAAUAAAGUGUCAACAUCUGCUCUGAAUUGUACUCCUUUGUUCGAAAUCAGCUCAUGAGGGACUCCAUAGCGACAUAUAAUGUGUGAUAUGAUGAAACCAACGACCCCAAAUGAUGUCAAUCUCGCAUAUAAAGCAGCCUCCACCCACUUGGUGAAGUAAUUGAUGGUGACAAAGAUGAACUCAUGACCACUGGAAGACUUCCAUUAAAUCUUCCCAAUAAUGUCUAUACCCCAUAUUGAAAAUGGUCAUGGCGAAGUCAGUGAAUGUAACUCUAAAGGGGGUACGUGAAUAAGAUCCCCAUGAAUCUAGCACUCUAGACAUCUCUUAACAAACUGGCAACAAUUUGUCUCCAAGUCAACCAGAAAUAGCCAAUCUUCAGGAUCUUACGGCCUAACAUAUACCCUCCCAUAUGUGGUCCAUAAACUCCUACAUAAACCUCUCUCAUCACUUGAUUAGCAGAGGGGUGGUCUAAGCACAAUGGUAAUAUCCCGUCAGCUGAUCGUUUGUACCGUGUCUUUCCACAGAUAAAAAAUUGAGUGGCUAACUGUCUCAAUGCUCUCUCAUCCUUGGUCAUGGUGACCUCAUGAUAUAUGCCAAGUCUUAGAAACUGAUAUAUGUCAUGGUACCAAGGCAAACCAUCAUCCAACUCUGCCUCAUCAAUCAAGCAAUAAUAAGUAGGAACUAAUCUCGACUCAAUCCGUAAGAAAAAUGGCAUCAGCGGGAAUAUCAAUCAUGGAAGCUAGAGUAGCUAAGGCAUUAGCAAACUAGUUCUGCACUCUAGGCAAAUGUGUAUAACUCAAAUCAUCAAACCUCCCAACCAACAGCUCUAAGUAUGCAUGGUAAGGCCUAAGCUUCACAUCUCUAGUCUUCCAAUGGCCCUGAAUCUGUCUCAAUACCAUAUUUGAGUCGCCAAACACCUCCAUCUGUUUGAUCCCGAGCUCAAGAGUUGUCUCUAAUCCCAAGAUACAAGCCGCAUACUCAACAAUAUUGUUUAUGGCAGGGUGUCGAUCAAAGAAUCUCAAACGAACAAAUCUAGGAAUGUGGUCACCAUGAGGGGAUAUCAGUAGGACACCUAUCUCGUAGCUAGAAUGGUUGGCAGCCCCAUCAAAGUACAUGCGCCAGCCUAACAAACUAGUUGCUGCAAUGAUAUCCUCAUCUGGAAAGUCAUCAUCAAUCGCUCUACCAUCAGAAACUGGUAGUGAGGCUAAGUGAUCUACAACAAUGCUCCCUCUAAUAAAAUUCUGAGUGACAUAAUGAAUAUCAAACUCAGUUAGGAGUACCAACCAUCUCAUGAGUUGACCAACCAAAGUGAGUCUAUCAAACGAGUAUCUCAGAGGAUCUAGACGAGAUAUCAAGUGCACCGAAUACUCUAUAAUGUAAUGUCUCAAUCUUCGAGUAACCUAAACCAAUGCCAAGCAGAAGCGCUCAAUCAUGACAUAUCUCAUCUCAUAAUCAAGCAUCCUCUUACUCAAAUAAUAAAUUGCUCGCUUUUUUCCCAAAACAUCAAGCUAAGCUAACAUGCAUCCCAAGGCUACGUUCGAGACUGGUAAGUAUAGAAGUAAGACGGCCUGGUGUAGAAGGCACCAAGAUUGGAGGCGACAACAAGUACUCCCUAAUCCUCUCAAAUGCACGUUGGCACUGAUCAUCCCAAACAGUAAGUUAACUCUUUCUUAAGAGUCGGAAAAUGGGCUCAUAGAUAUCUGUCAAUAUGGCAAUGAAUCUACUGAUGUACUGAAGUCUACCUAAGAAACCUCUAAUCUAUCUCUCAGUCCUUGGCGCAGGCAUGUCAAGGAUGACCCUGAUCUUAUCUGGACCUACCUCUAUGCCUCUCUCACUGACCAUGUAUCCCAACAGUUUCCCAGAAGUCACUCCAAAAGUACACUUCUUGGGAUUCAAUCUCAAUCUGAACUGUCUGAUCAUCUAAAAAAAUCUCUCUAAAGCUGCUAGGUGAUCUACUCUAUCUUAAGAUUUCACUAUCAUGUCGUCUACAUAGACCUCGACAUCCCGAUGCAUCAUGUCAUGGAAAAUGGUAGUCGUUGCUCUCUGGUAGGUAGCUCCUGCAUUCUUCAAACCAAACGACAUCACUCUGUAGCAGUAAGUACCCCACUCGGUAAUGAAAGACGUCUUCUCCAUGUCUUCUAGAGCCAUCAGGAUCUGAAUGUACCUAGAAAACCUGAUCAUGAAGGACAACAUCGAAUGAUCUGCUAUACUAUCAACUAGCAUGUCAAUGUGUGGGAGAGAAAAAUCAUCCUUGGGAUUGGCUUUGUUGAGAUCUUAGAAAUCAACACAGACUGCCUUCCUUUUGGAAAUAAGGAUGACAUUGGCUAGCUACUUGGGAUACUCGACCAUUGAUAAAUCCUACACUGAGUUGUUUCUGAAUCUCCUCAUUCACCUGUAAACUCCAGCAAUGGUGCAAUUGCCUCAACUUUUGCUUAACCAGUCUGACAUCAGGCAGAAGUAGCAAGUGAUACUGGACUAUAGAUGGAUCAAGGCCCGGCAUGUCCUCAUAAGACCAUGCAUAAACAUCCAAAUAUGAUCCGAGCAACUGGGCGAGGCCAUCUUUCUCAUCUGUAGACAAAUCCAAUCCAAUCCUCAGCUCCCUAGCCUGGUCUAUUGUACCAAAAUCAACAAUCUCAGUGUCUCCUAUGGCAGGUGAAACUCUCUGAUCACUAGGACUCGAAUUAGAAACAUAGAAAGAGUCCUCAUCUGAAUCGUGUUGUAUAAUCUCAUCAUCUAUAUCAAAUAUAUGUGAUGUCGGUGAAGAUGGUGUAAAUAAAGUGAUAUCACAAGAGAUAGGAAGAUACUUGAAAAUGCUCAAAUCCAUAAAUGAAGAGUCAUAAACAUCGUUAGAACGAGAGAAAAAUCUCAAUAAAACAUCAAAUGAAAAAGGUGGGUCCAUAAAGUCGAACGGUCCCUCAAUUAGGCUAAUAGGGCCCUCAAACAAAUCAUCAACAACUAUAACAUCACCAUUUGAAAACUCCAAAGUAGGAGCAAUGUGGAUCUCCUUGGUAACCUCGAUAACAGACACCUCAAAGAGAUCAAAUGGUGAAGCAAGCUCAGGCUGAACUAUCCCAUCAAUCUGGCUUAUACUUAUUGCGAGCAUUUCAUCAAUGUACUCGUCGUGUGGAACAACUCCAUCCACCAUGUCCUCAAUCUCGGAAAAUGUCUCAUGCUCAUCGACCUUAUCCGGAAAAUAUAGUGUCAUGAGGCUCAUACGAUCUAGAAAUGAUGGGGCGACGAAUGCAUAAGUAGAAGUGCCAGGAGUUCAUUACUCAAUUGCAACUGAUGGACAAGAUGCUAAAGCUCGACCUCCUAAACAAUAUUAAAUCCCUCAAUGAUCCCAUCUAAAUGUGUUUGUAGCUCCGGUGCCCUCACAAAGUAGUCUAGCAAGCUCAUGUUGUAUGGGCGAACAAGAUAGUCAAAUGGUGUGUGAGUCAAUCGGACCCUCACCCUCUCCUUGCACAGUCACGCCAUGUAUCAGUAAUCAGCCUUUAUAAGAACAAAACCAAGACCGAAAGGAGUAUCAUGAUCAACUAAGGCUAUAAACUCUCCAAAGCCAUGCUGAUGAUACCCUCAACCCAAGCUAGGUAAGAAAGACAUAGAUCUCAUCAUGUCCAAAACCACUGUACUACCAUGUUCAUAAAAAGAAAGUGCUGCGUGAUCUCUACAAAACUGCUCAACCUCCACAAUCUGUAUCUCAUCAAAGGUGAAGCCAGUUAGAAAUAGGUCGUCAUCACCAUGACUAAUCUCCAAUACUGGCACAGAAGUAGAAUAAGAGUCUCUAGUAGACUGUAUAGUAAUGACUCUGCCCUCAUGUAUGAACUUCACCUUCUAAUAAAGGGAAGAUGGUAUAACUCCUACUCUAUGGAUCCAAGGCCGACACAGUAAUAGGUUAAAUGAUGUGGGAAUCCUCAAAACCUAAAAUAAAGCAGAGAAUGUGACCAAGCCUAUCUGCAAAUCCAAUGUCAGUGUACCCAAAACUUCUCUACGUGUACUGUUAUAAGCUUGAACUGUCUGAGAAGAUGACUCAAAGUCUAAAGGUUUGAAGCCAAGAGCUACUAUUGUAGCUAGUGGACAAACGUUCAAGGUAGAGCCAUUGUCCAAAAGAACAGAUGGAACUCAAUGCCCAGAACAACCAACAAAAAUGUAGAGGGAUGGAGUAUGGUUAGAAUCCCCAUGGGGUAGAUCAUCAGUAGAGAAAACAAUGCAUGUGGCCUUAUCAGCUAUCAACAUAUGGAUCAAUUCCUCAAGAGAGGUAGAUAUCUUAACUCGUAUUUGACUCAAUGCUUUGACUAGUGCCUCCCGGUGGGAUGUAGAUGAUGCCAAAAGACUCCAAAUGGAUAUGUGGGCUUGAGUGCUCUGGAGUUGUCUCAAAAUCUCGUUGUCCUCUCGUCUGGCAUCGCUCUCUAAAGGUUUAGCAACUAUGGGAGGCUACUAUCGUACCACUUUCCCCCACGGAUGACAUUUUGAACAUCCUAUGCAACCGUCUCAUCAGGAUCUCAACUCAAUAUAAAUGGAGACUAAAUGUUAUAGCAUGGGUGAAUCCAUGACCCAAUCGUGGUCGACUGCAAUGGUGGCUUGUCAGGGACGAAUCUAAAUGACGCAGAUGUCUAUGAGUCUGAGAUCACUCCAUCAACCUUAUAGCUCUCAUCCACUACUAUAGGCUCUAGUUCAUAAUCAUCCCAACUUAGCAUAUGAAUGCGAUCAUCAGGCUUAGUGAAAUCUAUGAAAUGUAUACCACUGCCCGGAGGGGGAACUGCAUGUGUAGCAUGGGCUGAUAAUGGGUUAGUGGUUACACUCAACUUACCCAAGUGAACCACACCCUGAUAAAUCAAAUCCUAGAUGGCAUGUCUUAGAACUGUACAACAGUCAGUCACGUGCCUUGGCCUUUGAUGGUAUGCACAAUGUAAAUCCAUCCUGAACUACGACGAGAUAGAUUAAGGCAAUGGCCUAGGAGCAAGAGUUGUCAACAAUCCGACCUCAAUGAGCUUCCGAAGAGCUUCGCUCAAUGGCAUACCCAACUAUGAAAAUAGUCUCUAUGUCUUCAAAGCAAAAGGAGCAAAAGUCUGUGGAGCUCUAGGCCUGGGAUAAGGCGCUAGAGGCCUCUUGACAAACUGUGCUGCAUAGCAUGGCUGUACUAGGGUAGGAUAUGAAGCCAAAGGUCUCUAUGUAACCUAUGUGGCAUAAUAAGGCAAUGCUAGUGUGCGAGACAAGUAAGCCUAAUCAUGCAACUAAGGAGGUGCUCGUGGUCUAUAGUGCACACGAGAUGGUGGUGGGUGGUGGAAUCCAGAAGUCUGCCCAACCGUCUGAUAGCGUCUAGGAGGCCUCAACCCUGCUGAACUGAUAGCGCCCACAUUUCUUGGUCUCUGUCCUCCUAAAGGCCUCUUCCCCUUAGAUUCAGUAGGGGAAAACUUGGACCAUAAUCCUCUAGUUGUGGCCUCUUCUAUACCGUAUAAGGCCUGUACCAAAGAUCCAAAAUCCAUAUGAAGGAAUCCUAUCAAGUGCCUAGCAAAUCGAUGCUACAAGCUCCUUAUGAUCAUACUAAUUUGAUCCCUCUUAGAUGACCUAUCAAUAACCUGUGAAAUCUUUUCCCUCCAGCGGGAGAUAAAUGAGGUGACUGACUCCUCUAGCCUCUGCCUCAAAGACUUUAACUAUUUCCUUGAAACAUUAACGAUAGUGUUAAAUGCAAACAGUCUCAAAAACUCCUAAGCCAAAUCAUCCUAAGUCCGACGGUGUGAUAUAUCCAAUGAAGCAAACCAAUGCUAUGCUACACCACUUAGGGACAUAGGGAAAAACAUAACCAUCUAGGCCUCAUCUAGUCCAUGGGCUCUCAUGAUCAUACUGUAAAGCCUCAAAUGGAUGCGAGGACAACCAAUGCCCGUGUAUCUCUCAAUCGUAGGCAUCCUGAACUUGGCCGGUAAACUGGCCACUGGUGCUCCAUCAAAAUCCUCCCAAGUAAUAGCUCCAUCUGAAGUCCUUAACUGCCUUAACCUCUACUCAAAUCUAUCCAUACGAGCAUGUGGGUCCUCUGAGAUCGGGGUAGACACCGUGAUAGCAUGUGUGGAAACCUUGGUCUGACUAUGCAGAGUAAAAGGUAUAGCCUGUGGUGCUGACUGAUUGGGUGGAGAGGGUGGUGGUAUUAUAGGGUCAUAACGUGCGUCAUCCUAAGGCAGGACCAGUUGGGCCUAUUGCCUAUCUAUCCUCUAGCCGAGGCUAACUAUAGCCUCUAGAAUCGAAGCCAUGGCCAAAGCAACUAAUCAACGUUAACCAUCUGCGAAUCUAUAUCCCUUUGAUCUGAUCUGUGGUUUGAUUGGUCUGAUACUUUGAUCAACCUACCCCUAACUCUGAUCCAAGAAGUCGGACUUAGGUUGAACGUAUCAAUACUCCUACAAUAGUGGAAAUACUAUGUAAGGGAAACUCUACAAGGAAUGUCUAUCAACUAUGCAGGAAGGCAAUCUAGAAGUAUUUAAUCUGAUAUCCAAUUCUGAGCAAAUAUAUAAGAGACUACCACGAAGGUAACUAAACCUAUCACUCUUGACCUAGCUCUGAAGGCCCACAGAUGAACCCACGUGUAGGAAAGGAAAUCCUAAUCAAAUGAUCUAAGGCUCAACCUACAAGGUCAAGGUGGCUCUAAAAAGAAGAGAAGUGGACUUUAAAAGAUCCCGAGAAAAAGCGAUCAUACCUUCCGGUGGUACGCAACCCUCUACACAUCUCCAAAGAGACCGAACGCUUCCAUGCAAGGUGAUCAUCACCUCCACACAUGCACUACCUCGACAUCCUAGGGGGUUUCCUAUAGUGAAAGUUCUCGCAACUCUUAGUACUCAAUAGUAAACUAAAGUGCACAGUGAGUGGUGUGGGUGCAUCCGAAAAACCUAUGAAGCUAAGAAAGAAAAAGAAACACACUGGUCAUACAAAUAUCCAUGAAACCUAGCUCUAGGCUAUAUAGGUCUUCAAAGAUCGGACUCUAAUCAACAUCAAUGUGUCCCCCAUUUCCAGAAUGCUCCCAAACAUCAAUAUAACCCGUCGCUAGACCAUACUCCUAACCACUAGCUCGGUCAAAGAAACAAGCACAUACAAGGCCUCACGUUUGCAAAUGUAAGAACCAAAAUGAAGGAAAUGACCGAAACUAGGGGGUUGGAAGUAAGAGGAUAGAUGUGCGAUCUACACGAACAAACAACAUGCGAUCACACAAGAGAAGAGCAGUCAUGCACCAUACAACCAUGCAAAACAAGUAUAUCAUCCAAAUCUACACACAAGCUAAUCGAGAUAAAUAUCUAGCAAGGAUAGCAGACUCCAUAACAAUCAUGAUAGUAUACAAUCUAGAGAAUCAAUCAUGUUAAGAUGAACGGGAUAAGCAACAAGAAGAAUGCACAUGUCAAGGUGAACAGAGUGAUCAUACAACAAGGAGAGUCAACAUGUGAGGAUAAGCGAAAGGAUCAAUCAAUAUAAUCAACAUGCUAAUGCCUCAAGCGAAUACAAUAGCCACACAUGCACCAAGGAUAAUGAUAUCAAGAGCUCUCAAUGUAUCAACAGUAAAGAAAAUGAAAGCACAAAGAGAGGUAGGUACCCACUGAUCGACCAAUUAAACGCCACAUUUGCCUCAUCUUAAGUUCAAGCUUGACCCUCUAAUUCCUCAGUGGAGUUGCCAUUUUGUGGACCCCGUAUUUCGCACGAUGCGUUCCCACUCGAUGGCAAAACUUAAUUUUUAUUUUUAUUUGGUGAAAAUUUGAUUUUUAGAAAAAAAAAAACUUGGAGUUGCCACUUAUUUUUGUUUUAUUUUUGAAGGGAAAAACAAAAUAAGAAAGAAAAACCCUAACUGUGACUUGAUUCAUGCCCAGUCGGUGUAUCAGCUGAUUCAUGUCCAGCUGGUGCUCCUUGAUUGAGGGAGUAAUCAACAAAAUUUAUAACCUAUUACACCAUGAACUAGGGUAGCAAAGACAAAGCUACUAUAGCAUAGUGGUUCUAGGAUCGUUCACUAGGAAGGGUUUUCAAUUCAUAAAUGAUACCAAUUCAAAAAUGAAUUGGUGCCUUUUCAUUUCAAGGUUAGCUUAAGAAAUAAAACACAAACUUUGAUUGAAAAAGGUUUAGGUUUAAGCUAACGACAAAGGAAGUAAUGGAAAUUAAUUAUGAAGAAAAACAUUCCUUGGAGGUUUAGGUUCACAAGGGAGGUUCCUCAUGCAAAAGCAGAGCUCCGGUCAUUUGGUUCAUUUCCUCUCAUUAGAGAAUUAACAUAUAGUCAAUUCUCUAAUCGGUGUUGUACAGAGGUAUCCUUUGAAUGGAUUUCAGCUCUAAUUCCUUCUCACUAAUGCAACUUGCAAUGGCUCGUGCCUCUCACCUAGCAUCUGCCAUUCAAGGUGAUCUUUAACCUUGGAUUACCCGUCAAAAGCUCGCAAGAGAUAACUAAUGGAUGUCUCCUUAGAGUCCAAAAGCUUACCAAGUGUUGGCAAUUCUAGAAAAUCCUACCUUCAAGUCACUUCCCAAAAGCUCGCAAGAGGUAAACUAGUGCAUCUCUAUGGACGAAGAUCACUUGCCUUACCAAGUGUUGGCUCAAGUGAAUUGAAGGCGUUUUAAGUUAACUAAAAACAUAGAAAUCAUUAAAGGAUCACACUUUCUCUUCAUUAAUGGCUGAAACCACAAAGCUACUAAUUCUUGCACUUGUAACCUUUCCCGACAACCUUAACUCCAAGGAAAUAAAAGUCUAGCCACUCAUUCUCUGAGGAAACCUCCUCAGAGCUUGUUUGGCUAGAAAGUAAAAUAACAAGAAAACAAAAAUAUGUAUGAAAAGCAGAGCAAGUGCUCUCUAUUUUACUUCCUUUUAAAACUAUACAAAGAUGUGUCGUCUCUUGAGAACAGGCUCCCAAGAGAUAUUUAUAUGAAAAUUACAAUAAUAAUAUCUACAAGGUUAUUCAUCCUUUUUCCAAACUUAAUAAUUAAGGAAUCCUAUAAUUGGUGGGUUACAAGGAGAGUUUGGGGAUUUAGACAUCAAAUAUCUAAAGCAAAAUAUCUCAAAAUAUCUAAAACAAAAUAUCUCAAAAUGUCGAUCGCACAUAUCGGGAAGCUUCAGGAGAACAUCGCGGCACUGUGCAAAAUGGCUAUGAAACUCUCCGGGUAAGCGCUAUAAGCGGAUUCGGAUGUGUGACCGGGGAAGUUGAAACGCUCUCCUCUCCCAUCGGGCAGCAAAAUUCCGGAUGUAAGACAUCCGGAUGGAAAGUGGCGGCGGCAGCAGAAUUCCGGAUGUGAUACAUCCGGAUGGAAAGUGGAGGCAACCGGAUGUAAUGGCGGUAGCCGGGUGUAAUGGAGGGUAGCCGGGUGUAAUGGCGGCAGUCGGGUGUAAUGGCGGCAGCCGGGUGUAAUGGCGGCAGCCGGAUGUAAUUCCUACCCGGGUGGAAUGAGCUAUGAUUCCCGUCCGGGUGGAAUGAGCAGGAUCCUAUACUCCUUGUAUUCUGGAUUUGCUUAUGGAUUCCAAAGAACUCUCCUCAAUCUCAGAUUGCUUUGGUGAUAAAAAAGCUAUCAAAACACCAAAACUUAACACAAUUUGAUUAGAAUUGAUUGCAAGGGUCCUUAAUAUGUUAAUUGGGUUAAAAGGUGAUAACUACUACUCAAAAGUGUUUAAGAGAGUUAAUUACAAGCUAUGAAAUAGUACUUUUUGAGUAGUAAUCAUGACUCCUGAAAGAAAAAUAGGUUUAUGAAAAAACGAGUCUGAAUCUGGGGGUCAGGUUACUUAUUGGGAAGGUACGGUGAAAGACCAUAGCACCCCUCUAAGCCCCUUAAAAAUGAGUCUUUACUAAAUAAGGUGAGGCAAAUGUGACAAUUGAUAAGGAAAUCCAUGGAUAUACCAAUGAAAUAAUCAAAUAAUAAAAUGAAUCAUGUAUGAGAAUAAGCAAAGUGGGAAUGAGAGUAUACCUUGACAACAAGUAAUAGUGCACUAUCAUGGAAACAAGGUUAGUUCAAGUAUAAAAUCAUCACAUGCAUAUCACAGAGCAAGACAAAGAUCAAGCAAUAUUCAUUAAGCAUAACAAUUGACAAUCAGAAGAGAAAACUCGUAUGUAUGGCCCCCACCAAAGCCCAAUUUAUCUUGCAUGAAUUAGACUCACAAAUUCGAUUAUUUUGGAAUGAUGAAAAAUUCAUUCUUAUUUAAAAUCAGAAACAAAAAAUUAUUUGAAAAUCGAAGAAAAUUUGUACAAGUGCAAACCAAAAUGAGUAUGACAACAACUUUAUUUAAAAACAUGAUUUUUAGCAACCUAAAACCCUAAUAAAGGAUGAAAAGAUGCAGAAUUGAAAAAAUAUUUGACAAUUGGAGUGGAAUUAAAACUCUUCGGAAGAAAACUAGAAUUUUGAAAUUUAUUUGAAUAUUGAAGUCUCGAAAAUUAUUUGAAAAUUAAUGUUUUGAAAAUUAAAUAUAAGAAUUGGAAUUUUGGAAAUUAAAUUUGAAUAUGGAUUUUUUUUAAAAAAAUAAAAUAAUAAUGACUAAAUAAAUAAAUGUGAAAAUUGGAAUUUUGGAAAUUGAGAAUUAACUUUGAAAAUCUGAAUUUUGAAGAAUUAUUUAAAGGUGGAAUUUUAAAAAUAAAUAAAUAAAUAGAAUAAUAAUUAUAACAAAAAUAAAAUGAUUAAAUAAAUAAAUGUGAAAAUUGGAAUUUUGGGAAUUGGGAAUUAAGUUUGGAAAUUGGAAUUUUGAAGAAUUAUUUCAGGAUGGAAUUUUAAAAAUAAAUAAAUAAAUAGAAUAAUAAUUAUAACAUAAAUAGUAAUGAUUAAAUAAAUAAAUGUGAAAAUUGGAAUUUUAGAAAUUGGGAAUUAAAUUUGGAAAUCGAAAUUUUGAAGAGUUAUUUAAAGAUGAAAAUUUAAAAAUAAAUAAAUAGAAUAAUAAUAAUAAUGAAAAUACUAAUGAUUAAAUAAAUAAAUAUGAAAAUUAGAAUUUUGGAUAUUGGGAAUUAAAUUUGGAAAUCGGAAUUUUUAAGGGUUAUUUAAAGAUGAAAAUUUAAAAAUAAAUAAAUAGAAUAAUAAUAAUAAUAAUAAUAAUAAAAAUAACAAUGAUUAAAUAAAUAAAUGUGAGAAUUAGAAUUUUGGAAAUUGGAAAUUAAAUUUGAAAAUCGGAAUUUUGAAGAGUUACUUAAAGAUGGAAUUUUAAAAAUAAAUAGAUAGACUAAUAAUAAUAACGAAAAUUUUGGAAAUUGGGAAUUAAAUUUGGAAAUCGGAAUUUGGAAGAUUUAUUUAGAGAUGAAAAAUUUAAAACAAAUAAAUAAAUAGAAUAGAAUAGAAUAAUAAUAAUAACGAAAAUAAUAAUGAUUAAAUAAAUAAAUAUGAAAAUUGAAAUUUUGGAAAUUGGGAAUUUUAUUUGAAAAUCGGAAUUUUGAAGAGUUAUUUAAAGAUGGAAUUUUAAAAAUAAAUAAAUAAAUAGAAUAAUAAUAAUAAGGAAAAUAAUAAUGAUUAAAUAAAUAAAUGUAAAAAUUGAAAGUUUUGAAAUUGGGAAUUAAAUUUAGAAAUCAAAAUUUUGGAGAAUUAUUUAAAGAUGAAAUUUUAAAAAUAAAUAAAUAGAAUAGAAUAAUAAUAAUAACAAAAAUAACAAUGAUUAAAUAAAUAAAUAUGAAAAUUGGAAUUUUGGAAAUUGGGAAUUAAAUUUGAAAAUCGGAAUUUUGAAGAGUUAUUUAAAGAUGAAAUUUUAAAAAUAAAUAAAUACAUAGAAUAAUAAUAAUAACGAAAAUAAUAAUGAUUAAAUAAAUAAAUGUGAAAAUUGGAAUUUUCGAAAUUGGGAAUUAAAUUUGGAAAUCAAAAUUUUGAAGAAUUAUUUAAAUAUGGAAUUUUAAAAAUAAAUAAAUAAAUAAAUAGAAUAAUAAUAAUAACGAAAAUAACAAUGAUUAAACAAAUAAAUGUGAAAAUUGCAUUUUUAAAAUUGAGAAUUAAAUUUCAAAAUUGGAAUUUUUGGACAAUUUAUUUGAAGAUUGAAGUGAACAUAAGAUUAUUUGAAAAUCCAGAACUUUGAAAGUCAUUUUAAAAAAAAAAAAAAAUGUGAAAACGUGUGAGCAUAAAGGAUAAAAAAGAAAUAUGGACAUAUAUGUUCCAAGGAUGGCCCUUCAAAAGUCCUCAAUUGAUUUUACUGCCAUAUAAUGAUUUUCAGACAAUAAAAAUCCAUCAAUGGCUCUGAGAGCCAUCAUUUUAGAGAUUGGUUUUGGAAACUAGGUACUUGAUAGCAUUGGGAUCAACCUCACUAGCAGUUUUUGUCAUCGAUAGUGUAAGCUCCAAGCAGGACCUAUUCUCUAAGUAGUGGGCUGCAAGCUGAUACCGGUAAGCUCGAAUCAAUUCCCACUCGAUCAAAAGGUUGUCUACAGUGCCUAAAACUAAAGACGAAAUGCUCUACAUGGUUACAGAACUUGUCUCCAGUAACUCGGAAAAUACCAAAACUACAUAUUCAUCUAUUCCCUUUGAAGAAAUAUGACUUUUGUGCUUCCACCAACUUUUUGUAAGAAGUGUUGUGCUAGCGAAACCAUUUAACUACUUCUAUCACCUUUCCACCAUGCAAUUGUGGCUCAAGCUAGAAGUUUCCCAAGUUCUUCAUCAUUUCUCAUAGCUAACAAAACAUGCCUCAGGAUUAUCCUGUUCUUCUUGUUAUCCCUUGCUGCAUUUCCAACCAACUUCCAAACCUCAGCAGCUAGGUACUCCAGUAUGGCAAUGAGGUAGACCUGGGCACUAGUUCCAAAGCGUUGAGAAUGACAACCUUUCUUGAGGUAUAUACCAAUACGACCGACCGGAAAUUGAAGACCAGUUUUGACGGAGUGGGAUACGAGCUUCUUCUUGGGAGCGGCGGUAAGUGAGGAGGGGACGCCACCAGUGUUAGCAAACUUGUGUUUGAGGAAGGGAGCUCUCGAGGAGGAGUUGUCAACUUUGAUCUAGGCGUUGGAGCUGGCAUGGUGGCCGGAGCAUCUGAAAGUUCCUCCCAAUUGAUAGCCGCUACACAUGAGGGUGAGGAUACUGUUUUAGUGUUUUCAUGCGCGUGGGUUGGGGCUAGUGAAAAAGGGUGGUGAGUUGUACAUGAGAUGUGGGUAGGGGAGAGGCUUAGCUGCAAAACUGGAAAGAGGUUGGCCAUACCCAUGCAUGACUCCUAUGUGCGCGAGUAGGAAAUGGGUAUUUGAAAGACGAGAUGGGGUAGGGAGAUGGAAUCGGCUACUGAAAUGGGGAAUAUGUAGUAAGCCUUGCCAUUUUGUGGAGUUCAUCCCUAUAAAGAAAUAAAUCAGUCUCGCCUUUGGUUGGCAAAGAAUGAGAGAGGACCACCCAUUCCAUAUCCUCCUACUCAUUUAAGAGGGUGCACUCUUAGAUGACGGAUUGGGAUCUUGGAAUACGCCCGGUAGUCAUUCCGACAUCAUCAACCGUUGAGGCACAUACUCAUGCAUACUUGAAAAGUUACCAAUAAUAGGGGAAGGCGAGAGUAGGAAGGAAACUAAGGAAGCAAAACAUAAAAUAAAAAUAAAAUAAAAUAAAACAAAAAACAAAAAAAAUAAUUAAAAAUAAAACAAAUAAAAACAACACCAAAUGAAGAUCCCUUUCAUGGGUCAUCAGUGAGCCUCCUAACCAGUGGGAGAGACUAGAAUGGACUUUUCAUAUAAAUAGCUAGAUGAGUAAAUAAAUAAAGAAAUAAAAACAUGGUUGUUAGCAUUGCAAAGAAACGCAAACAAAGCUAAAAACAAAGCAGGAUGGAGCAAAAAUGGGGAAGUACAGGGCAUGCAGCAAUUGUACCUGAACGUCUCCCUUUGAGUAAGGAUUGUCUGGCCUCAAGCUCUAGAUUCCAAAGCUUCUUCAAGCUUUCCCAAAAGUCCACCCUACUACUUCAGUUCCCCCAUUUUCUCCUUGUUUUCCUAUUCUUCUUUCACUCCCUGAAUAUCUCUUUACAACUCUCUAUUUUUUUUUUUUUUUUGCUCUUUCCGUCCCAUUUGGUCACCAAAACAACUCACCCAUGCCCUAUUUUCCUUUCACUUCCAGUCUCAUUUGGCCACCCAAAAAAAGAUCAUUCUUAGGGUGGUUAGAAGAAAAGAAAAGUCUAUCCGAGGGGAUCUACACCUAUGCUUCUGUUGGAUUUGAAGUGCCAGAAAAAUAAUGAAGACCUAGUUUCUUAAAGUCAUCAAAGGAGAAACUCCUAGAAGAUAAGGAUUGUCUUUGACCAUUAGUCUCAACAGCUUUAGCUUGAUGUUCAACCAACCAAACCAGCUAAAGUUCUAAGAUACUUAUAAAGCCCUUCUGCAUUCAUGGGAGGCAAACCCUCAAGUGAAGGAGGUACACCAUCAUUAGCCUAACUAUUUUGGGAAGAUGUUGUUCUUCUUGGUUGCAUGAUCUCCUUUAAAGAAUAAGGUAUAGCUAAAUUAGUCACUAAGAAACCAAGUAGACAAUUUGGAUUUAUAAGGAAGAAAGUGUUUAUACAAGAUGAAGUUAAAACUUAAACUAAUGUGUCACUCAUCUAUCUCUAAAGUAAACUAACAUAAGUUCCCAACAAGAUCAUAACCUAGUGCUUUGAUACCACUCUGUCACGCCCCAAAACCCACUUCAAGGACAUGACGGUCAUUUCACACCUCAAGCCCAAAGGCUCAAAGUAGAAACGACUCAAACAUUCAUAUUGUAACUAGAAAAUAACCAAUUACCAAAUUCUUGUUCGAAGUAGUAGAACAAAAAUUCUAAAAUCUCCAUAUGACAAUUUUUGAAACUAACACAUCAAACCAAGUGUUGUUGUCCAAAUAACUCCCAACUCAAAUAAUUCUAAUGGAAAAUAAAUUUUUAACAUCUAAAAAAUGAUCAAAAUAAAGAAAGUUUUGACAAAAGUCCUAACAAACCAAUAUCUUCUCCUAAUUGUCACUCCUCACCUGAACUAAGGGUAUCUGAAGAGUUAUCAACAAAAGGGGGGGAAUGAGCUCAAAGCACAAUAAGAAACAUUCAUACAGUUUCAUAGAUCAAAUAUUUUCAACUAUACUUACAAAUAGGAGAUAUUACAUAUACUAUAUUUAUAAAACUUUUGAAUUAAAACAUGCUAAUGCAUUUAAACAGUUCAACAAACAUUUUCAUAUACAUAAAAAUCAUUUCAUAUUCAUUCCAAAUCAAAUACAUUUCAAUUGCUUUCACUCUGGUUAUCAAAUACCAAAUAGUGCCCUUUUAAGUGGGACUUUACAAAUAGGUGGCUAGCCUCAAAUGUUCCUUUUAAGGUGGACGGAACCAAACACUACUAGUACUAAUAACCUCUAACCAAACCCCUAGAGGUUGGGGUCCAAAUCAAUUACAUUUCCCACCAUGAAAAUGUAAAGGUUAACUAUUAUAUCCCAUUGACAAGGGCCAAAAAGUCAACUAUUAUAUCUUGUUGACAAGGGUCAAACAAACCAGAGUCAAAUUCUUUAUUUUAUUUAUUCCAACUUACAAAAGAAGAAAAUCCCCAAGUAUUUCGACAUAAACAAAAUAAAUGUUAUAAGACAUUUUUUUUCAUACAAAAAUAUAUUUGAUCCAAAACAAAAUUAACAAUUACACAUUUCAAACAACAUAUAUAUAUAAUUAUUUUCCUUUGCAAAAUUUGUAUUAAUUUCCCUUACCUCAAAAGAAGUCCUCAAAAACUUUGGAGAAAAAUAACCUUGGAAAAAUCUACUCUUCACCUAACAAAGUAUAAGAGAAAUAACCAUUAUUAUUUAUCUAAAAUUAUAGGUUUGACAAUCCUAAAAUUUUAGGCAUUCAAAUUAAUGUUUUUAAUUAUGAAAGAUAAUUUAAUAUAUUCCUAUUUUAGAAAAAUUAAUAAAUUUCUAAUUCAUAUAAAACUUAAAUUUUAUUUUCAAUUUAUUUCUUGGGGCGCAAGAUAAUUUAAUUAAAUUGCAAUUUAUUUCACUAAUUAAAUUAUAUGCUAUUUAUUAACUUACACCCAUCAUUAGUAUAGUUAUAAUACCAAAAACUUUACUUCCUUUUAUUUAUAAAUUCUAUUAUCUCACUUUCAAGUUCUUUUUUUUUUUUUUCACUAAACAUAACCUAUACACAACCCUCCAUCAUAGUUAAUAUAAUAUAUAUUAACCACCAAACAUCAUACAUACACAUCUUCCUUUAUUAUUAAUAUUAUUAUUGUCACCAUUCUUCAUCUUCCACAUCCACCCACUCACACACUCCACGUGCAUGCCUUUUUAUUAUUAUUAAUGUUAUUAUUUUCAUCAUUCUUCAUCUUCCACACACACACAUUCUUUUUUUAAAAAAAAAAAAAAAAAAAAAAAACUUUCCUCCAAUGCACACACAUUCUUUAUUUUUAAAUUUUUCCUAAUAUUUUCUAAUCCCUUAAAUCAUAUAUAAUAAUAUAUUUAUUUAAUCAUUCUUUUUUUUUUUUUUUUUUUUUUAAUUUCAAUGCUUAGAUCUAUUCAUCUAAGAAAUUUUGAAUUUCCCUAUUUUCAUCAAUAGAACAACCUAUAUUCAUAAUUUUAAUAUUUUGAGCUAAAAAUUUUAAAUAGAUUAACCCUACCCUAAAUCGAAAUCUUCCAAAGAAAUUUUUUAUUUCAUCUAAAAACUUAAGAUUUCCUAAUUUCCAAAAAUGAAUCAACCCAUAAUCUUAAAUUUCCAAUAUUUUGAUGUUAAAACAACUUUAAAAAAUAAAAUAAAUUAACCCUAAUCUAAAUUAAAAAUUUUCAAAAAAUAUUUAGGUGUUCAGAACUAACUAAUGAAUAUAAUAUAUUAAUUUAGAGUUAGAAUCUUACUUGGAAAAAUCAGAACUUCAAACUCUAAACCUCUAACCCUUGAGCCCUAGGAUCUCCAAUUCUUUAAUUUUGGUUGAUAGGGUUUUCUUAAUAAAGAAGGCAAUAGGAAGAUCUAAUUUAUACCUAGGACUAUUAAUUGUAAAAGGACUCUUUCACCCUUAAUGAGUUUAAUUAAUUGAUUGAUUACUUUGAAAUUUACUAUUUUGCCCCUAAAGUAAAUUUUGGGGUGUUACACAACGACUAUUCCAAAAUUCAGAAUUUUGAAUUAAAGAGAAAUUUAUUGUUUGGGUAGAAUCCAAAAGCUACGGUUCUUUCUAUAUAAGACUUUGUUUGCAUUAUCUUUGAUAGCUUCUAGGCUUUAGAUUUCUAUAGUGAUGGUUUUUUCAAGUAAUAGGUUUUGUGACAGUUUUCUGAUUUAACAUUUGUCCAUUAUCUCUUUCAGAGGGUUGAGUUUUGUUUGUCAAAAGUGGAACAACAACCAUGUAUCUCAACAAUAAUGGCACUUUUACCUCUCAUCGAAGCAUUUGAUCAUAGAUCAAAUUUUAAAGCCUGGAAAUGGGAGUGUGAAAGUUUCAACUGUCACCUCUUUAUGAGAGAUCAUAAGGAUUACAACACCGGAUGCUCCUUACAAUGAUAAUCAAAUGAAGGUACUCAUAAUUGAACUACUUAAUAUGCUAAAUCAUGCAAUUUUCUUUUGUUUCGGAUGUUAAAAGUUAUUAAUUUAUUUAAUUAUUAUAUAUUUAUUUAUUUAGUUACUACAUCUUUAUUUAUUUAGUUAUUGUAUUUAAAAAAAAUUAUUUCCUUUUAGAAAUAAGGGUAAAUUAGUCUUUAUUUCCUUGGAAACGGUAUAGAAAACUAAUUUAAAAGUCCUAACAUUUAAGUGUCCACUAGGACGUUUUAAUGCUAGUCUUGAUCCAAAUUUUUUAUUUUGUGUUUUCCAUACCUUGUCCUAGACAAUGAGGCUUAGGCAAAUUAGGAAAACCAAUUUCUAAUGGAGGCCCAACAUUAAGCCUAAACAUUUUAGCAAAUUUUAAUUCUUUUAAUUGGAUAGUAUACUUCUUGAUUUAAUGGCUUGCAUGUUUCAUAUGUUUAAAGACUUUUAUAGUAAGAGGAUAUUUAAAAGUAACCUUGAGAGUAUUAAGAACAUUUCCUAAUGCUUGAAAGCAACUUAGGGGGUUGUUUGGAUACACUUCUUGUUACCUUCUAUAUAUAUAAUAUACAAGAAUUCUUAAAAGCUUACAUUGAAAAUAAAAUAAUUGUUAAAAAUUGAUUAAAAAAUAUUAAGAUAUUAAAAAAACUUUACUAUCUCAAAUUUAAUUUUUUUUAAAAGUAAUUAUUAAUGCCAUAAGAUAAGUCUAUACAUUUUAUACAAAAGUUUAUUCUUUAUAUAUAAAAAUUUCUUACUAAAAAACCAAACAAAAGUAUAUCCAAAUAAAGCUUAAAGUUCUAUAUAUAUAUAUAUGUGUGUGUGUGUGUGUGUGUGUGUGUGUGUGUGUAUUUUUAAUGUGUAACAAUACAUGAUAUAAAAAAUAUAUUAUCAAAAACCAUUUUUUAUUUCAUAUUUAAAUAUUAAUUAGGUUAUCAUAAAAGCUUUCAAGUAGAAACGUUAUUGACAAAAGCCUAAACCUUAGACCCUCUAAGAUCAAACUAUAUCCAUCUUUCUUUUUAAAUCAUUCUUCAACUUGCUUAAUUUUUGGAGUUUACAUGAUACACUCAUAAGUGGCUCUAGAAAAAGGUACAAAAAUUAAAAGAUAAAAAGAAAUUCACUAACACUUUGAGGGGUCAACUCCUCCUAAUUAUACAACUCAUAAAUUGAUAAGAUAUCAAUUUCACAUUUUAUUCCAUCAAAAUAAAGACUUAAAUAUAGAUAAUUUUAUAACUACUUUCCCUUACAAAUAAGAAACAAACUACCAAAGAAAUAAAACCAGUCACUUACACAUUCUCACCUUUAACAAUAAAAUUAAAUACUUCAAAACAAAAUAAGGAACAUUGAAACAAAACAAACAAGACGGGGUCUUCUUGCACAUAACUUGGCUUCCAUAUGUAUGACUUAGCAAGCACAUUGAAGCCAUUAUAUGGAUCACUUAUAAUUAAAGGAAGUUAUAUUACAAGUAGGAUCCUAAGUUUUAGAUGCUUCAUCCAUAUUUUAAGAGAAAAUUACAAAAAUCAUUUUUUUUAUUUUUACCUCUAUCUCAAUUUAGUCUCUAAUUUUUAUUCUUUUAGUAAUAUCAAUCAUAAAUUAUACGUUGACAUUAGGACCUCUGAUUAAGAUUUUUAAUUUGUUAAAAAAAAUGAAAAGUAAAUAGAUAAAUUGAAAAUAUUCAAAUGUAUAUAUGAUAUAAAAAGUCAUACCAAUAUUUAUUUGCUUGUUAGCUAAAGGCCCAAUUUGACAUUUGGAUAUAAUUUAUGAUUGAUAUUAUAUAUAUAUAUAUAUAUAUAUAUAUAUAUAUAUAUAUAUAAAGUUUAAAAGACUAAAUUGAUAUAUAAGUGAAAGUAUGUUGGUGAUUUUUGUAAUUUGUCCUAAGGUUUUUUUUUCUUUUAAUCCAACACUAUUGUCUUCUUAGUUUUGCUUGUUUUUUUUUUCAAAAAUUCCAUCAAUUAUAAUUAGAACAAAGCUAGAAAUUUUUAGUUUUAGUAUUGGUCAUUCUUUCAAAUGAUUAGAUGGCCUAAAAAAUAAAUAUAUUAUCAUUUUUAGAGUUUUAUAAAAAAAAAAUUACACUUUUUUAUGGUGUCAUAUAUAUAUAUAUAUAUAAGGUUCGUGGUUAUGAAAUUAGUAUAUUUUUUCUUAAUAAUUGGGUGUAAUAUUUAUUACCUUUAUGGUAACUAACCCAAAAUGAAUUGGAGUUUCCUCUUUGUAAAGUUGUCCAUGAUAAAACAUAGAUUGGGGCAUAACAGCUAAGUUUAGGAGAAAACCAUCAUUUCUUAUCAUUUUUCAUUUUAAAUAUUUAAUGUUCAUACCUUAGAACUUUUGUUCAAACAUGAAUGUAGCUAUUAAUUUAUGUAUUAUAUAAAAUGAGGGAAUUAUUCUAUUUUGAGUCAUAGCUACUAUUUAUUUUUUGAGACAAAUAUAUUUUGCAUGAUUCAUCAUUUCAUAUGAAUAAUAAUGAAAGAAUUGUUAUGUCUUAAUAUAUAAAAUUACCUUGAAGGGAUUAAUAGGUAGUUGAAGUAAUCAACCCUAAAUUUAGUUUUCUCUAUCAAUAAUAUCAAUAUUAAGUAAAACUUGAUGAAUCCCAUAGAAAUACACAAGAUAUAAUAUGGAAAAACCAACUAGCAAGCUAAAUGUUAAAAACCGUGGGUGGUAUCUCAACCAUUAAAUAAUCUUGAUAUUAAGUAAAAUUUAAUGAAUCCCAUGGAUUCCCAAUCACAUAAUAAACAUAGGAUAUAAUAUGGAAAAACCAACCUGUGGCCUAAAUGUAAAAAAUUGCGGGUGUGGUCUCUCAACCGUUAAAUAACCUACUAAAUAUGAGAAAACAAUAUAUAUAUAUAUAUAUAUAAUAUUUUUACUUGAUUACCUAUUCUAUAGGGUCUUAUACCAAUAGUACUUACAUGCCUUCCAAAUUCUUGAUGUAAUAUUCCCUAUGCUCUUUAGUAGAUCUCUUAAGGCCCUUAUUGAAGUUUUGUUGUAUGAGUCUUUAACCAUUAUUAUAGACAAGAGGUUCUUUCAAGAAAUAUCUUAUAAGGUUCAAAAGAUGGAGUUACAAACUUUAAGAAUGAUUAUAUUCUCUAGAGUUUUUGGGAGUUCACAAAAUUUCAAUAAAACAAAGUACUUUAUGUUAGAAAAACCUUAACAAACAAUUAUAGAGAGUUUCUUAAUUUUAAAACAUUUCAAAAUUGAGAUUUAUGAGUUAGAAAAAAAGAAGGAAACUAAUUUGAAAGUCCCAACAUUUAAAUGUCUAAGGAUGUUUGAAUGUUCAUCUUGAUCCAAAUAUUUUAUUUUGUAUUUUUUCAACCUUAUCCUAGACAACAAGGCUUAGGCAUAUUAGGAAAACCAAUUCAUAAUGGAGGCCCAAUAUUAAGCCCCAAAAUUUUAACCAAUUUUAAUUCUUUUAAUUCGUAUUCAAACAUUAAUUGUGUUAUCAUAAUGUGUAAUAACACAUGACAAAAGAUACUAUAAAAAACAAUUCUUUUAUUUUAUAUUUAAACAUUAAUUGUGUUUUAUAAAAGAUUCUAGUAGAAAUGUUACUAACAAAAGCCUAAACCCUAGACCCUCUAAGAUCCAACUAGAACCAUCUUCCUUUUUAAAUGAUUCCUCUACUUGCUUAUUUUUUUUGUAUACUUGAUAUGCUCAUAAGUGGGUUAAGAAAAAGAUAAGAAAAUUAAAUGAUAUAAAGAAAUUUGUUAACACUUGAGGGGUCAACCCCUUCUAAUACAACUAAAAAAUUGAUAAGAUAUAAAGUUCACGUCUUAUUCCAUUGAGAUAAACACUUAAAUAUCCAUAAUUCUAAUAUUAAGUUCCUCACAAAUAAGGAACAAUCUAGCAAAUAAAUAAAGGCAAUGACUUGCACAUUCUCACCUUUAAUAACAAAAAUAACAUCUUCAAAACAAAAGAACCAUUCAAACAAAACAAGCAAGACUUGGUCUUUUUGCAUAUAACUUGACUUCCACAUGUAUGACUUAGCAAGCACAUGCAAUAGUACUUCUCAAAUCUUAUUGGUUUUCUUCAAGCUUAUAUAAUUUUCUUGGAUGAUAGUGUAGCAAUGAUAGUGUCCAAUGAUGUCGUUAGUUGAGAUUGGGUCUGAGCAUGCAUUUUCUAUUAGUAUGUGAGAGAUUCCAAGGAUGAUAGGAAGAAGAAUGAAAAAUUUAAAGGAAAGUUAACUACUAAUCAAACCUAUGUUAUGUUGACAACUUCCAUUAUUUUGUUGCUCAAAGAAAAACAAACAUAUAUUUCAUGGUUGCAUGGAAAGAAGUAUAGCGACUAGUUGUCAAAGCCCUUUAUUUAUUGAUAUUGCUACCCAAUGUGAUUGGUUGUUGUUGUUUUUUUUUUUUUUUUUCAUUUUUUUCCUUUCUUUUUUAGUUUUUUGUUUUGUUUUGUUUUGUUUUUUGUUUUUUUUUUGUGACUUAAACUUAUAUGCUAUUUGGAUAGUAAUAGCAAAAAGCCUGACUUUGUGGUUUCUUUAAUUGACAAUAUUGAAACAUCCUCGAUGUACAAGCUAAUACCAACAUAAUUUUCCUAAGGACAUUUAUACUUAUUAAAGAUAUCAACAUAAUUUUUCAAAGGAUAUUUAUACUUGUCAAUGAUGAUAAAAGAUGAACAAAAUGAUCUUAUCAUCAAACUUCAGUAUAGAAUUUCUCUUUUAAGUUUUUUUUUUCUUUUUUUUUCUUGAAACAUGUUAAUGUUAAUGUUUUCAAUACCGGACCGGAUAUUGAACCGAAAAAGUUAUUGAUACAGGGUUCACUGGUCGGACCGAUGGUCGAACUGAUGAAGUCAUAAAUAUAUAAUUUAUAUUUUAUUUAAAUUAAAAAUAAUUUUAAAUACAUAUAAUUAAAAAUUAAUAAUAUUUGUAAUAUUAUUUAUUCAUUUUUAAAUAAAUGUAUUAACAUUUUUAAUUUAUUAAACAAAAUAUAUACAAUAUUUAAAUAUGAAAAGAAAAUGGUAAAAAUCAUAUUUAAAUAUUAAACAUAUUGAAAAUGAAAAAAAAAUUGUAUUGUGUAAUUAUAUAUAUAUAUAUAUAUAUAUAUAUAUAUAUAUAUAUAUAUAUAUAUUUGUAUUUAUAUUUAUAAUUAUUUUUUAAAAUAACCUAUACAGUUUUUCCUUGUUAAAUUUCAGUGAAAGGAUGGUUGUAGCAAAGUGGAUAAUAUUGUAUAGGGAAUCUUGAGGUCUAUGGUUCAAGGUCUCCUUCUUGCAACAAAAAAGGUUGAGGUUUUCCUUAAAUUUCUUCACGUUGAUCACACAUCGGGAGUGAGAGGAAGCAUAAAUAGAUUUAUAAACCUCUUUCCAUCCCUUACAAAUUAAUUGGAUGUUAGGUUGGGCCAUAGGGCUCAUUGCAGAAUUUCUUAGGUUAUUUUGCUAAGAAAACUCCAUCAUAGGAGUAGACACUAGGCCAAGGGAAAUGUGGGUUGUUUUGCCAAAAAGAAAAAGAGGUGGUGGAGUUGGGAUUUUGAUAAAUGUACAGCUAUUGGGGAAAGUAAUUUGUAAAAUGUUGUAGAUUGGAAAAUAAUUCCAAUUCUACGACACUUUUUAACAUGUAGGAUGAGAGUGGAAAAAAAUAGCAUUUUAUAUUUGAAAAGAAGUGGAAACCCAUUUUCCCCCAACCCGUUUUCUUCUCUGCCUCAAAACUCAUUUUGUCCUCUGCCUGAAAACUAAUUUUCCCUCACGCUGAUCAUGGAGUGGAAAUCCUUGCCUCAACACCAAUAGGAAGGAAGUGAAGUACGGAUCUGAGAGACCAUUGCCCCCGGUGUUUUUCUGUAAGUUUUGUAGUUCGGCUUAUUGUGAUUUUGUUUGGUUGCCAAGAAAGUGUGGGAAAGUUGAAAAUUUUGUUUUUAUUUUUUUAUCGACCGACUUCGACACAAUAUUCAUCACCAAUUAUCGGUCAAAGGAAUUUUCGGUAAUUUUUGGGAAAUUUCCUGAUAUUUCUUACCAGUCUAGCCCACGCACAGGAUACAAAAUUUGUCCACUUUUUUUUUAUAAAAAAAACAUAAGAUGGUAUUUGGUAACCUGAUCAUGAUUUGCAAGGAAAGGUUGUGUUUUUCAGCCUGACUCAAAAAUCGUGGAUUUAGGGUUCAUGAAAUUUAAAUUCAAUGGCACAAAAGCAAAGAGACCCCUAGAAUAGAUCCAGAAAAAUGUUUUUUUUUUUUGGUUUUCAUUAGGGGUUUUGCAUGGAUUUUCUUGGAAAUCAAAUGAGGAUGAAUCUUCUUGGAAAUCGAAUGGGAGAUGGAUUUUCUUAAGAAUCAAAUAGGUGUUGCAAAAAUAUAAAAUAAAAAAAUAACAUGAUUAUAUUAGUACCUGUGAGGAUUGAGAGUGGCAGAUUCAAUGAGGGUAAAAUGGGAUUCUUCACUAGGAAAUACUACCAGCGGUGGCAAAUUCAAUUUCAUGGGGCAAAAUGGGAUUCUUACUCGGUCUGGGUCCUUCCACGAGCUAUUAGUAAUUUUCAUGUUUUAUCUUUUUAUUAAAGUUUAUUUUAUUUUUAUAAGAAUUUAAUUUAACUCUUAUUUGACCUAUAGACUACCAGCAUACACCAGAUAUAUGAAAUUGCAUGUCUAGAUGAUUUUUGCAUUCGUUGACUAUGUACUACUGUAUUAGAGGUCAUACAUAAGAUGGAUCGCUUAGAUGCUCCAUUUAGUGUUGAUGCUACUACACAGCUCCAACCUCGAUUAGGAGAUGUAUGACCUACACGAUGAGGGCCUCGUAUGAGGGAGAUUAGGCAUACAUUAGUUGUUGCCCAAGUGCGACCAUCCAUUGACAUUAGUCCACCACCUCAUCAUCAGCUGAUAUCAUCCAUUACUCGAUCAGGAGGUGUACGAACUAAAAAGGGAGGAGCUCAUAUAAGAGGGACUAGGCAUACAUCUGUUCUUAGAUAUGCACCAUCGACUAACAUUAGCUUGCUACUUGUUGAGGAGACUCCUAUUAUACCUAUGGAGGUGUCAUCCACCCCACCUAUAGUACCACUUGUUGCUUCAUCACCACCAUCGAUAAAGACUGUUAGCCCAAGGGUUCUCAUAAUCGGGUUUUGAUGAUAAUAAACCAUGGUUAAGUGACUAAUUGAUUUGAAUGGUAAAAAAUCUCAUGCAUAAAUUCGGAAAUUCAUCGAAUGACCAAAUUGAUAGAAGAUCGAGACUUUUUGAAGACUUUUGAUCAUAGGAAACAAAUGUAAGAUGAAUGCAUGGGUGCACUUAGGUUUUUCAUACCGUUUCAUGCAUAUUUGAAAACUCGGUUUAUUCUUUAAAUUUUCAAUUUCAUUAAAACCCAAGUUUUAUCAAAUGUACCUUAGGCAAAAUGUUUUAAAAUUGGCAUAUUAAUUCACCUAAAGACCUUGCCUAAGUGUUAUAAAAGAAAUGAAUUGAAAAAGAUAGGUUUUUGGGGCCAAAAGACUUAACCGGUCAAGGCUCUGGCCAAUCGACUCAACUGGUUAAGAAAUUGGUCGACCAGUUACCCUUGUCCGAUUGAGGUCCAGUCGAGGAGCGUAAAAAACACUCUCUUUCUUCCAGUAGCUUCCUCUUCCCGGUUGAGGUUCACCCCUUCCCGGUUGAGGUCCGGUCAACCUUCGGUCGAGGCAACGGUAACCUACCAAAGCAUUAAAUGCUCCAACUGCUAGUGAACCGGUCGCCCCUAGCUCAACCGAUCGAGGCUGCCUUUUGCUAUUUUUGGACCCCAAGCUUAGAAACCUAUAAAUACCUCCAUUUCAUUUAUGAUACAAAGAACACUUGCAAUCAAUUGUCUACCUACCUGUUCUUGACCAAAAAGCUCUCAUUUCUUUCGUAGUGCAUUAAAUCAUUACUUGCAUAUCCUUUAGUGCACCUUUGUGAGUCAUCCUAGCUUUUUUGUGUAUUUGAGUUAUCUUUAAGUUAGGUUGAGGGAUUCAUUCUUGUAAAAACUAAGUGUUAAAGCCUUCAAGAGGUUUGAAUCUUGAAGAGAUUGUGUAAGAGCCCAUUGGAGCUAGAAUCCAAGUGUAAGAAGAUUGGAAGCUUGGUUGAAGCUUCAAGUUAGUGGAACCCUCACUCGGUUAGGAGAUUGAGGAGAGGGGAAGUAGGCAAGGAAGUGUCGAACUACUAUAAAACCCGAGUUUGAAUUCUCUAACUCAAUUUAUUUAUUUAUUUUUAUAUUGUGCUUGAACUUAUUGUGUUUGAAAAUAUUUUUAAAAACCCAAUUCACCCCACCCCCCUCCCCUUUUUGGGUGUUUUUCUUAUUUAAGCAUAGCCUUUAUUUUCUCAGAGGCUACAUUGGUUGAUGAGGAGUUAGUUCAUAUAGAAAAUCAUGAUCAGCAAGGACAAAAAAAUGAUCGUGGUCAAGGACGUGGUAGGAGACGUGGUCGUGGAACUCAUGGAGGGUUAUAUGUUAGCCCCAUAGAGCCAAUAGUGGAGCAUGCAUAUCAUGGACAUCCACAACGGAAGAGGAAGGCUCCUUCGUGCGGUACACAUUGAGGAUGUUACUACAUAUGACUUGUAUUUUGGAUACUGUUAGUAUUUUACAUAUCAUUAUUUUGGACAAAUACUCAAGAUGUAUAUUUAUACUUGUUAUAUUUUGGAUUAACUAACUUUUUAUUAACAUAAGUUCUAUAGUAUUCUAUCUAUUUAGUAUUGUUACUAUUUUGGAAAUGUGCUAACUUAAUUGACAUUUGGUUUACUUGUUUUUAUUGGGUUUGGAUUGAAUGUCAAAAUAUUGAUUAUAAUGUAUACAAGUGAUAAACUUUAAACAUUUGGUUGUACAGCAGGUAAUACUAAUUAAGAGAUAGAAUUUUUUUUUUCUUUUAUGGAAGAUGUCUCUUGAAAAGGGUUCAGCAUAAAUUCGAAAUUUUCCACUGUGUAUGGAAAUUGUGGAAAGUCUCUCGAAGAGACACUUUCAGUAUAAACCCAGUUUUUUAAAAAUUAUGGAAGGUGUCUCCUCAAGAUUCGUCUUUAGUAUAAUUCCAUUUUUUGGUAAUUAUGGAAGGUGUCUCUUCAAAAUUUGAAAAUUUCCACCGUGUAUGGAAAUUGUGGAAAGUGUCUUUUGAAGAGACACUUUCAGUAUAAACCUAAUUUUAAAAAAAAUUAUGGAAUGUGUCUCUUCAAGAGACACCUUUAAUAUAAUUCCAUUUUUUUGGGAAUUGUGGACUAUGUCUCUUCAAAAUUUGAAAUUUUCCAUUGUGUAUGGAAAUUGUGGAAAGGUGUCUCUUAAAUAGACACUUUCAGUAUAAACCCAAUUUUAUUUAUUUAAAAUUAUGAAAGGUGUUUGAGCAUAAUUCCAUUUUUUUGGGAAUUGUGGAAGGUGUCUCUUCAAGAGACACCUUCAGCAUAAAUUUGAAAUUUUCUACUAUUUUAAGAUACACAUUCCACAAUUCCCAAAAAACUGAAUUAUUCUAAAGGUGUCUCUUGAAGGGACACUUUCCAUAAUUUUAAAAAAAUUGGGUUUAUACUGAAAGUGUCUCUUCAAGACACUUUCCACAAUUUCCAUACAAAUAGUGGAAAUUUUCAAAUUUAUACUGAAGGUAUCUCUUCAAGAGACAUCUUUAGUUUUAAAAACAUUUGCACCAUUUUUAAUAUAUAUUAAAUUUUAUGGAAUUGUGGAAAGUGUCUUUUCAAGAGACACUUUUAGUAUAAAUCCAGUUUUCAGGAAUUGUAGGAGGUGUCUUUUGAAGAAACACUUUUAGUAUAUAUUGGAAUUUGUGGAAUUGUGGAAAGUGUCUCUUCAAGUGACACAUUUUGUAUAAAUUAAAAUUUGUUGGAAUUGUAAAAAGUGUCUCUUCAAAAGACACCUUUAAUAUAAAUCAAAUUUUUUGGAAUUGUAGAAGGUGUCUCUUCAAGAGACACUUUUAGCUUAAAUUCAAUUCUUUUAAAUAUGUAUCAUGAUUUUGAACAAUUGUGGAAGGCGUCUCUUCAAAAGACCCCUUUCACAUGGCAAAAACUAUCGUAGAUCUAUCAAUAAUUUCCCAACUAUCAUUUUUUAAUAAUUAUUUUUUUAAAUUGCUACAAAGUUAAAAAAAAAGCCUGAUGGAGUUGACCCAUGCAGUUCUUAAAGAACUGUCUAGGCCAGAAUGCCCUCUGAGCGGCGAUCGGACCAGAUGUUAUUAAUUAAAUAAUUCCUUAAACAUGUUAGUGCUCCUAAUUAAAUAAUAAACUUUUCUUAUGGAUUUAUUUUUCCUUGGUUUUUGUAAUAUUUUGCAUUAUUAAGGUUUUGUUUGGAUACUCUUCUCUAUUUUUUUUUUUCAAAAAUAGAAAGUAGCAUAAUUUCUAUAUAAAAAUUAGAGAAUCUUGUGCAAAAAGUACAUACUUUGUGUCCAUUUGAAUAUAUUUUGUGUUUUCUAUUUUUAAAAACAAAAAAUAGUAUUAUAUUUUAUAUAAAAUAUAAAGACUUUAAAGACUUGCAUUAAGAUUGUAAUGGUCUUUCAAAAUUGAUUUAAAAAAUUAAGAUAUUAAAUUUCUCUAUUACCUCAAAUUUAAAUUUUUUUUAAAAUCAUUUUUAAAGGGAUAAGGUAAGUUUUAUAUGAGAGUUUACGCAUUUUUAUGUAGAAGUUUCUAUUUUGAAAACAAAAACUAGAAAGUGUAUCCAAAGUCUAGGUUGUAUGUUUAAAAAUUUAAAAUUUGAGAAAUUAAAACUUUUUAAUAUCUCAAAAAUUUCAAAUACUUUUUAAAAAUUAUUAGCUUUUUCAAUCUUAUUUUAUUAAAAUUAAAAAUAAUUUUAAAUACAUAUAAUUAAAAAUUAAUAAUAUUUGUAAUAUUAUUUAUUCAUUUUUAUAUAAGUUUAUUAACAUUUUUAAUUUAUUAAACAAAAUAUAUGCAAUAUUUAAAUAUGAAAAGAAAAUGGUAAAAAUCGUAUUUAAAUAUUAAACAUAUUGAAAAUGAAAAAAAUUGUAUAUAUAUAUAUAUAUAUAUAUCUAUACAUUUAUUUUAAUAUUUGAGUUCUUUCAAAUAGUUUGUAAAAAUUAUUAUACAUUUAUUUUUCCCUCUAAUUUCAAACUUGAGAUAGCAAAAGUGGAGUGAAAUGGAAAGCCAAAAAACUAAAAGCAUAACUGAGACUUAAAUUGAGUGUACUAUUAUUUUUGUAAUCAACCUGAUAAUUUUGCAAAGCAUAGAUUUAAUUGAUACCAAAGCAUAGAAUCAUUUUUUAUUUUCUCAUCAUAAUUAGAUUUGGAACUUCAAGUAAACAUGUCAAAAAAAAUAAAAAUAAAUUUCUAGAGAGAAGUAUAAGGCAAAACUAGAGAUUACCCUUGUACCAAGAUUAAGCAUGCCAAAAACUUGAAACUAUAAUCUCAAUCAAUUCCAUAAAUAUUAAUCAGCCAAAAAAAAAAAAAGUCCUGAAAAAAUGGAAUUUAAAUCCACAACAAACACCAAACAUUUGCUAUUCCUUCAAAUCCUACAAACGGUAGGCAUCUAAUUAUAGAAUGAAUUAAAGAAUAAUAUACAUUCCAAUCAUAUUUGGUUGAUUUUAAUUGGAAUCAUACCUAAGCCCCUUGUUCUUAUAUUGCAUUGAAACUGGGAAGGAAAGUAGUUAGAGUAGCUUCAUCCUCCCAUUCUAACUCAUUCCACCACUCUUGCUUUCCUACCAUCACAACUCUACCUUGAUUGGCACUGUUGGAGUUAAGUGGCAGCUUCUUCAGCUUUGGACACCCAACUACUUCAAUUCUGUCAAGGUAAAGAAAGGGCAAGGGAUUUCGGUACACAUUCUUCAGUUGGGGUAAACCAUUUAACUCCAGUCGUAUGAGUUUUGUGAAUGGGCUCAGAUUUCCUCCAUCCACUGCACCUUGACCUAUCACUUCUUCCAUUUCAUCACAUUGUCCUAUUUUAAGAUAUAGGAGGUUUGGGGCAAAAAAAAGCCAUGUCAAAUUCUUCAACAUCUGGCAUCUAUUGAUGGUCACUUCGCAAAGGCCAUGGAAGCAUUUGACCUUUGGGUUGAGACUGCUACACCCCACUGUUUCCUUUCCUUUCCCUGCCCAAUCAAACUUAAUCUCUCUCAAACUAUCCAAAUCUUUCAUCGUAAGCCCAGCGAGAUGCUUCAUAUUUCCGAGAGAUGAUAGGUUGAGUGAGCUUGAACCUUUGAACAUCUUGAGGCAGAUUGCUAGAGUGCAACUCGGUAACUUUCUGGAACUUAAAAAUCUCUUAAACACACAGGCACUUGCUAUGGUGACAGUUAAAUGCGUCAAGUAUUUCAAACUCUCCAAUUCCUCUAUCAAGGACUCAUUAUCAUAUGAUUCAACGCCUCCUUCAGCUACUUGAUCAUAAAGUCCACAAUUGUACAUGCCAACGGCUUGCAGCAUUAAAAGACUUGAUAUUAGUCCUCGUGGAAUGGAAGAGAUUUUAGAUGUACACAAUCUCAAAGCCUUCAAUUGUACGAGAUUCUUCAUCUCAAUCGGCAACUUCUUUAUCCCAGUACCAAAUAAAUCAAGAUAUUGCAAUGAAACCAAAUUAUAAAUAUCUGAUGGUAACUCAACUAUUUUGGUGUUUGAUAAGCUCAACACUCUUAGAUUGGGCAUAAAUUGGAAAAAACCAUUGCUUAUCAUCUGCAAAUCACUAUUCCAAUCUAGACGAAGUAUCGAGAGAUUGGGACAUGUGGGUGAUCCUGUUAACUUCUCAAUUCGGUUGUUCAUCAGUGAAAUCCUUUCCGUCGUCGUCCAUUUGACAAAGUCAGGUGCUUGGGUCAAACCGGCACUUGUUUGUACCAAAAACUUGCCCUUCAUCUCCCCCAUUUCACUGGUUAUCCACAAGGCCAUAUCACGUACAACAUCAUGAAAUUUUACAAAUCUACUAUUUGAAGAUUCCUCAAGUAGACAUGCAUGAACGAGGGUACUGAUAAUAUUGAAUCCCUGAUUUCUGGCUCCAUCCGGGUCAUCAAAUUCAUCUAAAAAUCCCUCACAAAUCCAUUGAUUUAUCAAAAGUUCCUUAAAUAUAAAAAAAUCUUCUGGGAAUAAAGAACAAUAUAAGAAGCAAGAUUGAACUAUUUUGGAGGGCAAACUAUCAUAGCUGUAUUUCAAAAGUGGGUACACUCGUUGCCCCAUACCUGGAAAAUUUGAAGCACAUGUUUGUAGUACUCUAAUUGCAUGCUUCCAAUCUUGGGAUGCCACUUUAGAAGCCAUGGCUCGACCUAUGGUAAUUAUCGCCAGUGGCAAACCGCAACACUCUUUUGCAACCAUUUCAGCCAGCUCAGGUAUUUCUGGAUCAGAAUUAAGGGCGUCCUUUCCCACAUAUUUUUGAAACAGAUCCCACGAAUCCUUCCAUGCCAAAGAUUUCACUUGGAUCUUCUUGUGAGCUCCCAUUUGCCCGCACAAGUCCUGAGAUCGAGUGGUGAAUAUCAGCCUGGACUUAUUUUGUUGGUCAGGAGGUGGAAUUCCCACUUCUAACAGAUCCAUUUGCUCCCACAUGUCAUCCAACAACAUCACAAACCUCUUUUUGCUCAAGGCUCUCCAGAUGUCGUUGGCUUUCUCAUGGCGGCUUUUGCUUUUCCAUUUAUCAUCACAGAAUCCCACCUUCUCCCAAAUCUCGUUUUGAACCCGCUCUAGAUUUGGAGUUUUUGAAACCACUACCCAAAUUACGACAUCAAAAUUGUGGGAUGUUCUAAGGAAAUGAUUGUUGAUUUGUGCCAAGAGGGUGGUCUUCCCAACGCCCCCCAACCCAUAUAAGCCGAUCAUCCCUACAUGUUCUUCUUCGAGACUCCUCCAAACUUUGUCAAAUGUUGAUUCCAAGCCCACAGUGGGUCGGCCGGGUAUUUCCUCCACAGGAGCUGGAGGUACAAUAUCAGCCACCACCUCAAAAUUACGUCCUUCGCUCAUUAGAGUAGCCGUAUCUUGUAGCUUCCUGGCCACUUUUUUUCCCAAUGUGUAGCUGGAGAUGCAAUGCUUGGGAUGGCAACAACCACGUAAUCGUUUCUCCUCAAUGGUCUCCGCACCAUCUCCAAUCAGUUGACCGACUUCAGUUUCCAUGGCUUCCACCUUGGAAAGCCAGCCUUGUACUUGAUCCAGACGCUUCAUCUGUUGUCUCUCAGCCACAUCCACCUUCCUAUUCACAUCGUUCUUCAGCUCCCUUAAUUUUUGAAGCUCUGUUCUCAAAGUAACCCGAUUUUCUGCAAGCUUAAAUAUGUAAUUUGCUCGAGCAACAGUGCAAUCACAACAACCAGCGAUAUCGUUGGUAGAGAUUGAGACUGAGAACACAUUUCCCAUUGAUGUAUGAAAAACUCCAAGGAGAAGGUAAGAAAGAGGAAUGACAAAUUCGAUGCAGAAAAGGAAUGUCUUUUAUUUGCAGAUAUUGGGAAAGUGAUGAGGAGAAACAAAGGAAAAAGGUGAUGGGCACCAAGUCGAGGGUGAUGGGGCACACAUGGGCCCCUUGGCAAAGCUAAGUUCUCUGCGGUUUUCUUUCCUUUUUUUUUAUAUUUUUUUUUUUGGAAAAAAAAUUAUUAAAGUGAAUCAGUCAAUGGUAUAUCACUGUGAGUUUUGAAAUUUUAAAAUUAAAAUAUAAGAACUAAAAUAAGACAAAGUUGUUGAGAAGUUGAGUGUUCGAUGCGGACUAGAGGUACUCUUGCAAAGGCUUCAAUAAUAAUUUAAGAAGGUGGCUUGUGACCAGGAUCUCCUUGGCCCACGGCCCCACGCCUAGAGGAAAACGCCAUCCCAAGUUCCCAACGGCCGCGUGCACACACAUGAAUUCAUACAUACAUAUGGGGAUUAGGGUGGGAGUGAGCAGCCUGGUUUGCAGCGGAAUUCAAACUCAUCACGAGUCUUUUGACAGUGACCAUAACGAUUUCUUUGAAAGCUGCUAUCUCCAUAAUCACCUAAAACCUGAAAAAAAAAUUUGAUAACAUGGUGAAAUUGAAAAUUAUUUGACAAAUCAUUUGAUUAUUAAUAGAAUAUAUUGGGUGUCUUUGUUGUUCUAAGCUCAUUGAUGUGGUAUUAUAAUGCUUACUAAUGUGGUAUAAUAAUUUAUCAAUAUUUUGGAUUUUAUUGAGAAUUAAUUAAUUAAAAAUAAAUAAAAUGAUAAUUAAAUGUAGACCCCAAAAUUUGUCUAAUUUUUUAUUUUUAUAUUAAUUUUGAACCCAAUUUUAUCUUCGGACUUUCAAUCCCGAUUACAUGUGAUAUUUUUUGCAUUCUCACUUUUUAUUAUUUUGUAAAUUGUUUUAUUUUUAUUUUUAUUUGUUAUUAUUAUUAUUAUUAUUAUUAUAUAAUAUUAUAUUAUAUAUUUUUUAUUAUUUCCUCUCUCCUCUCUCUUCUCUUCCUCCACCUACCCUCACCUACCCCUCAUGCUCUCCCACGUCCAAAAGCUUCCACUCUCCGCUCUUCAUAAUGGCUCUUUUCCUUUUUUAUUUAUUUAUUUUUUUAUCUCCCUCCAAUAGCUUUUUUGGCCAGCUCCCCCCACUUUUCCCCCCGAUUUGAUUUUCCUCCCACUUUUCCCUUCUAAGAGAAAAGUAUAAAUGAAAGGGUAAUAUAAAUUUAAAAUAAAAAUUAAAAAUUAAACUAAAAAAUAAAUACAAAAAAAUAAAAAAUAUUUGGAUGAAAAAUCCCAAAAUUUUUAUCCGUACUUAUAAUAAGAAUAAAAAGAUUCAAUAUCUUUAAAAAUGAAAAAAAGAAAAAGAAAAACAUUAUUGCUUUUUAUUUGACAUAAAAUAGAAAUAUAGAUUGAAAGAAAAAGAAAAAAAAAAGUUAGAAAUGAGUAAUAUUUAUCAAGGAAUAGAAAAGAGAAAAAAAAAAUUGAAAUUCACACUCACUAUGUGCCUAUGUAAAGGUUAAGGGUAUCUUAGGGAUUAAUGAAAGAUAAUAUCCCUCUUCUCAAUUUUCAGACUUUCUUUGGGUGUUGGGUUUAAUUAUGUAAGAUAUAUGGACCAGAUCUUAAUUUUUUAGCCCAACUGGGCCCAAAACAUAAUUCACCCAAAAGGAAAGGCUACUUUGUAAAAAACAAUGCAUGCAAGUUGGAUUCUAGAAAUUUAAACGUAAGACUUGGUUAUAAACUAUUGCAAGUCAUCUUCCAAAAAAAAAAAAUGAUGAUUUCUAUUGGUUGUUGUGAAUUGAUUUUAUUUUAAUUGAGGGUGGCCUUCGUCAUGUUUGAUCCGUUCUUCUCCAAAACUCCUUGAUUGACAUAAAACCUUAGCAAUCAAUUCUUUAAUCUCUUCAAUUAAUUUAAUAUAAAAAAUAGACAAAACUUCAUAACCAUUCAAUGUAUGUUGCUAAGUUUUUAUAUCAUUGGUGUUCUUUCAUGUUGAAUUCUUUGGUUGACCAUACCUUAGAGUGUAUUAUUUUAAGGGGAUAGGAUUCAACACCAUGCUAUAUAUAUAAGGAUCAAGUGGCUGUCGAUCGUCAUAUUUUCUGUUGAUUCCAAGACCAACAAUUAAUUAGAUAAGGAUUAAUGGUCAAUGUAGAAAAUAUAAAAUAUAAUUAAAAAUAAGAGAAAAGUAUAAAUGAAAGGGUAAUAUAAAUUUAAAAUUAAAAAUGAAAAUUAAACCAAAAAAUAAAUACAAAAAGAUAAAAAAUAUUUGGAUGAAAAAUCCCAAAAUUUUUACCCUUACUUAUAAUAAGAGCAAAAAGAUUCAGUAUCUUUAAAAAUGAAAAAAAGAAAAAGAAAAACAUUAUUGCUUUUUAUUUGACAUAAAAUAAAAAUAUAGAUUGGAAGAAAAAGAAAAAAAAAGUUAGAAAUGAGUAAUACUUAACAGGGAAUAGAAAAGAGAAAAAAAAACAUAAAAAAUUUGAAAUUCACACUCACUAUGUGCCUAUGUAAAGGUUAAGGGUAUUUUACGGAUUAAUGAAGGAUAAUAUUCUUCUUCUCAAUUUUCAGACUUUCUUUGGGUGUUGGGUUUAAUUAUGUAAGAUAUAUGGACCAAAUCUUAAUUUUUUAGCCCAGCUGGGCCCAAAACAUAUUUCUCCCAAAAGGAAAGGCGACCUCGUAAAAAACAAUGCAUGCAAGUUGGAUUCUAGAAAUUUAAACGUAAAACUUGGUUAUAAACUAUUGCAAGUCAUCCUUCAAAAACAAAUAUGCUGAUUUCUAUUGGUUCCUGUGAAUUGAUUUUAUUUUCAUUGACGGUGGCCUUCGUCAAGUUUGAUCGGUUCUUCUCCAAAACUCCUUGAUUGACAUAAAACCUUAGCUGUCGAUUCUUUAAUCUCUUCAAUUACUUUAAUAAAAAAAAUAGAUAAAACUUCAUAACCAUUCAAUGUAUGUUGCUAAGUUUUUAUAUCAUUGGUGUUCUUUCAUGUUGAAUUCUUUGGUUGACCAUAUCUUAGAGUGCAUUAUUUUAAGGGGAUAGGAUUCAACACCAUGCUAUAUAUAUAAGGAUCAAGUGGCUAUCGAUCGUCAUAUUUUCUGUUGUUUCCAAGACCAACAAUUAAUUAGAUAAGGAUUAAAGGUUAAUGUAGAAAAUAUAAAAAAUAAUUAAAAAUAAGAGAAAAGCAUAAAUGAAAGGGUAAUAUAAAUUUAAAAUAAAAAAUGAAAAUUAAACUAAAAAAUAAAUACAAAAAGAUAAAAAAUAUUUGGAUGAAAAAUCCCAAAUUUUUUAUCCCUACUUAUAAUAAGAGUAAAAAGAUUCAGUAUCUUUAAAAAUGAAAAAAAGAAAAAGAAAAACAUUAUUGGUUUUUAUUUGACAUAAAAUAAAAAUAUAGAUUGGAAGAAAAAGAAAAAAAAAAAGUUAAAAAUGAGUAAUACUUAAUAGGGAAUAGAAAAGAGAAAAAAAAAACACAAAAAAUUUGAAAUUCACACUCACUAUGUGCCUAUGUAAAGGUUAAGGGUAUUUUAGAGAUUAAUGAAGGAUAAUAUCCUUCUUCUCAAUUUUCAGACUUUCUUUGGGUGUUGGGUUUAAUUAUGUAAGAUAUAUGGACCAAAUCUUAAUUUUUUAGCCCAACUAGGCCCAAAACAUAAUUCUCCCAAAAGGAAAGGCGACUUCGUAAAAAACAAUGCAUGCAAGUUGGAUUCUAGAAAUUUAAACGUAAGACUUGGUUAUAAACUAUUGCAAGUCAUCCUCCAAAAACAAAUAUGCUGAUUUCUAUUGGUUGGUGUGAAUUGAUUUUAUUUUCAUUGACGGUGGCCUUCGUCAAGUUUGAUUGGUUCUUCUCCAAAACUCCUUGAUUGACAUAAAACCUUAGCAGUUGAUUCUUUAAUCUCUUCAAUCACUUCAAUAAAAAAAAUAGAUAAAACUUCAUAACCAUUCAAUGUAUGUUGCUAAGUUUUUAUAUCAUUGGUGUUCUUUCAUGUUGAAUUCUUUGGUUGACCAUACCUUAGAGUGCACUAUUUUAAGGGGAUAGGAUUCAACACCAUGCUAUAUAUAUAAGAAUCAAGUGGUUGUAGAUCGUCAUAUUUUCUGUUGAUUCCAAGACCAACAAUUAAUUAGAUAAGCAUUAACGGGUAAUGUAGAAAAUAUAAAAAAUAAUUAAAAAUAAUUAAAAAUAAUUAAAAAUAAGAGAAAAGCAUAAAUGAAAGGGUAAUAUAAAUUUAAAAUAAAAAAUGAAAAUUAAACUAAAAAGUAAAUACAAAAAGAUAAAAAAUAUUUGGAUGAAAAAUCCCAAAAUUUUUAUUCCUACUUAUAAUAAGAGUAAAAAGAUUCGGUAUCUUUAAAAAUGAAAAAAAGAAAAAGAAAACAUUAUUGCUUUUUAUUUGACAUAAAAUAAAAACAUAGAUUGGAAGAAAAAGAAAAAAAAAAGUUAGAAAUGAGUGAUACUUAAUAGGGAAUAGAAAGGAGAAAAAAAAAACAAAAAAAAUUUGAAAUUAGCACUUACUAUGUGCCUAUGUAAAGGUUAAGGGUAUUUUAGGGAUUAAUGAAGGAUAAUAUCAUUCUUCUCAAUUUUCAGACUUUCUUUGGGUGUUGGGUCUUAUUAUGUAAGAUAUAUGGACCAACUCUUAAUUUUUUAGCCUAGCUGGGCCCAAAACAUAAUUCUCCCAAAAGGAAAGGCGACUUCGUAAAAAACAAUGUAUGCAAGUUGGAUUCUAGAAAUUUAAACAUAAGACUUGUUUAUAAACUAUGGCAAGUCAUCCUCCAAAAACAAAUAUGCUGAUUUCUAUUGGUUGUUGUGAAUUGAUUUUAUUUUCAUUGAGGGUGGCCUUCGUCAUGUUUGAUCGGUUCUUCUCCAAAACUCCUUGAUUGACAUAAAACCUUAGCAGUCGAUUCUUUAAUCUCUUUAAUUAAUUUAAUAAAAAAAAUAGAUAAAACUUCAUAACCAUUCAAUGUAUGUUGCUAAGUUUUUAUAUCAUUGGUGUUCUUUCAUGUUGAAUUAUUUGGUUAACCAUACCUUAGAGUGUAUUAUUUUAAGGGGAUAGGAUUCAACACCAUGCUAUAUAUAUAAGGAUGAAGUGGUUGUCGGUCGUCAUAUUUUCUGUUGAUUCCAAGACCAACAAUUAAUUAGAUAAGGAUUAAUGGUUAAAGUAGAAAAUAUAAAAAAUAAUUAAAAAUAAGAGGAAAGUAUAAAUGAAAGGGUAAUAUAAAUUUAAAAUAAAAAAUGAAAAUUAAACCAAAAAAUAAAUACAAAAAGAUAAAAAUAUUUGGAUGAAAACUCCCAAAAUUUUUAUCCUUACUUAUAAUAAGAGUAAAAAGAUUCAGUAUCUUUAAAAAUGAAAAAAAGAAAAAGAAAAACAUUAUUGCUUUUUAUUUGACAUAAAAUAAAAAUAUAGAUUGGAAGAAAAAGAAAGAAAAGAGUAAUACUUAAUAGGGAAUAGAAAAGAGAAAAAAAAACACACAAAAAAUUUAAAAUUCACACUCACUAUGUGCCUAUGUAAAGGUUAAGGGUAUUUUAGAGAUUAAUGAAUGAUAAUAUCCUUAUUCUCAAUUUUCAGACUUUCUUUGGGUGUUGGGCUUAAUUAUGUAAGAUAUAUGGACGAAAUCUUAAUUUUUUAGCCCAACUGGGCCCAAAACAUAAUUCUCCCAAAAGGAAAGGCGACUUCGUAAAAAACAAUGCAUGUAAGUUGGAUUCUAGAAAUUUAAACGUAAGACUUGGUUAUAAACUAUUGCAAGUCAUCCUCCCAAAACAAAUAUGCUGAUUUCUAUUGGUUGUUGUGAAUUGAUUUUAUUUUCAUUGAGGGUGGCCUUCGUCAUGUUUGAUCGGUUCUUCUCCAAAAGUCCUUGAUGGACAUAAAACCUUAGCAGUCGAUUCUUUAAUCUCUUCAAUUAAUUUAAUGAAAAAAAAUAUAUAAAACUUCAUAACCGUUCAAUGUAUGUUGCUAAGUAUUUAUAUCAUUGGUGUUCUUUCAUGUUGAAUUCUUCGGUUGACCAUACCUUAGAGUGCAUUAUUUUAAGGGGAUAGGAUUCAACACCAUGCUAUUUAUAUAAGGAUCAAGUGGCUGCCGGUUGUGAUAUUUUCUGUUGAUUCCAAGACCAACAAUUAAUUAGAUAAGGAUUAAUGGUUAAUGUAGAAAAUAUAAAAAAUAAUUAAAAAUAAGAAAAAGUAUAAAUGAAAGGGUAAUAUAAAUUUAAAAUAAAAAAUGAAAAUUAAACUAAAGAAUAAAUACGAAAAGAUAUAAAAUAUUUGGAUGAAAAAUCCCAAACUUUUUAUCCUUACUUAUAAUAAGAGUAAAAAGAUUCAGUAUCUUUAAAAAUGAAAAAAAGAAAAAGAAAAACAUUAUUGGUUUUUAUUUGACAUAAAAUAAAAAUAUAGAUUGGAAGAAAAAGAAAAAAAAAGUUAGAAAUGAGUAAUACUUAAUAGGGAAUAGAAAAGAGAAAAAAAAAACACAAAAAUUUGAAACUCACACUCUCUAUGUGCCUAUGUAAAGGUUAAGGGUAUUUUAGGGAUUAAUGAAGGAUAAUAUCCUUCUUUUCAAUUUUCAGACUUUCUUUGGGUGUUGGGCUUAAUUAUGUAAGAUAUAUGGACUAGAUCUUAAUUUUUUAGCCGAGUUGGGCCCAAAACAUAAUUCUCCCAAAAGGAAAGGCGACUUCGUAAAAAACAAUGCAUGCAAGUUGGAUUCUAGAAAUUUAAAAGUAAGACUUGGUUAUAAACUAUUGCAAGUCAUCCUCCAAAAACAAAUAUGCUGAUUUCUAUUGGUUGGUGUGAAUUGAUUUUAUUUUCAUUGACGGUGGCCUUCGUCAAGUUCGAUUGGUUCUUCUCCAAAACUCCUUGAUUGACAUAAAACCUUAGCAGUCGAUUCUUUAAUCUCUUCAAUCACUUCAAUAAAAAAAAUAGAUAAAACUUCAUAACCAUUCAAUGUAUGUUGCUAAGUUUUUAUAUCCUUGGUGUUCUUUCAUGUUGAAUUCUUUGGUUGACCAUACCUUAGAGUGCACUAUUUUAAGGGGAUAGGAUUCAACACCAUGCUAUAUAUAUAAGAAUCAAGUGGCUGUAGAUCGUCAUAUUUUCUGUUGAUUCCAAGACCAACAAUUAAUUAGAUAAGGAUUAACGGGUAAUGUAGAAAAUAUAAAAAAUAAUUAAAAAUAAGAGAAAAGCAUAAAUGAAAGGGUAAUAUAAAUUUAAAAUAAAAAAUGAAAAUUAAACUAAAAAGUAAAUACAAAAAGAUAAAAAAUAUUUGGAUGAAAAUUCCCAAAAUUUUUAUCCCUACUUAUAAUAAGAGUAAAAAGAUUCGGUAUCUUUAAAAAUGAAAAAAAGAAAAAGAAAAACAUUAUUGCUUUUUAUUUGACAUAAAAUAAAAACAUAGAUUGGAAGAAAAAGAAAAAAAAAGUUAGAAAUGAGUGAUACUUAAUAGGGAAUAGAAAGGAGAAAAAAAAAAACAAAAAAAAUUUGAAAUUCACACUUACUAUGUGCCUAUGUAAAGGUUAAGAGUAUUUUAGGGAUUAAUGAAGGAUAAUAUCCUUCUUCUCAAUUUUCAGACUUUCUUUGGGUGUUGGGUCUUAUUAUGUAAGAUAUAUGGACCAACUCUUAAUUUUUUAGCCUAGCUCGGCCCAAAACAUAAUUCUCCCAAAAGGAAAGGCGACUUCGUAAAAAACAAUGCAUGCAAGUUGGAUUCUAGAAAUUUAAACGUAAGACUUGGUUAUAAACUAUUGCAAGUCAUCCUCCAAAAACAAAUAUUCUGAUUUCUAUUGGUUGUUGUGAAUUGAUUUUAUUUUCAUUGAGGGUGGCCUUCGUCAUGUUUGAUAGGUCCUUAUCCAAAACUCCUUGAUUCUCAUAAAACCUUAGCAGUCGAUUCUUGAAUGUCUUCAAUUAAUUUACGCAAAAAAUAGAUAAAACUUCAUCACCAUUCAAUGUAUGUUGCUAAGUUUUUAUAUCAUUGGUGUUCUUUCAUGUUGAAAUUUGUGAAUGACCAUACCUUAGAGUGCAUUAUUUUAAGGGGAUAGGAUUCAACAAUACUAUCUAUAUAAGGAUCAAGUGGCCGCCGGCCGUCAUAUUUUCUGUUGAUUCCAAGACCAACAAUUAAUUAGAUAAGGAUUAAAGGGUUGGUCAUCCAAAGAACAAAUCGCACAGAUGUAAAUGUCAAGUAGGAUUCAGGAUUUCUGCCUAGUGCCUAUGGAUCAACACUUAAUCAUUGUGUUGUUGGAAAGUAAACUUUGAGUUUAUAAAGUUUUUAAAAAAUUAGAUUUUGAUUUGAUUUUUAAAAAUUAAUUAGAAUAUUUUCAAGCAUUUUAAACUUGAGCGAAAAAUUUAGCAUUUGUUUCAAUACAUUUUCUGUUUUUUAUUUUUUAAAAUCCGGAAAUAACAUUAACUUCCGCAUAAGAUACAAAUACUCUUAAAGACUCAUAUGAAAAAAGUAAUAAUUUUAUAAAUUGUUUAAAAUAAUUGAUAUAUAUAAAAAAAAAUUAAAUUAUACUUUUUGUAAAAGAUGCUCUUUUUUUUUUAUUAAAGUUUUUGGUUUUAAAAAAUAGAAAAUAAGCAGUGUGAAAUGAACAAUUAAGCUCUAUUUGGUAAUUGUUUUAAAAAAUAAAUUUUUAUUUUUCAGAAUAAAAAAAUAAAGAAACUCUUUAGGUAACCAUGAAGCAAAAAACGGUUGUGUUAUUAAAAUAAAAAAAUAUGAUGUUUUUUGAAAAUAUCCUUUUGUUAUUUUGACUUGAUUUCUGUAUGUUAUUUAAAAAAAAUAAUUAUACAAAAAUGAAGAAUGAUGAAAAGUAAAACACUAUGUAUAAAAAUUAUUUUAAAAACAUUUUUAAAAAUAUAGAAAACAAGUUAAAAAUAUUUUAGAAUUUCAAACACAUUUUUGUUUUAUAAAAUAUUAUAGAAUGAUUAAAUAUCAUGUAACUAUCAUAAAAAAACUAUUAGUAGUUUUUUCUUUCUUUGGAUAAGCAAGUCAUAUAUAAAGGAAUUAUGUAGCAGCCGAAUAAGACUAUGGGAAGUGUUAAAAUAUAAAAUAGGAAGUGUGAAAUGAACCAUGAAGCUCUAUUUGGUAAUUUUUUUUUGAAAAAACAGUUUUCUUUUUUUGAGAACAAAAAAAAUAAAGAAACACUUUAAGUAACCAUGAAACGAAAAACGGUUUUGUGUGAUUAAAACAAAAGAUAUGAUGUUUUCUAAAAAUAUAUUUUAGUUAUUUUCAUUUGAUUUCUAUCUAUUAUUUUUAAAAAAUAAUUAUACAAAUAUGAAGAAUGACAAAAAGUAAAACACUAUGUAUAAAAAUUAUUUUAAAAACAUUUUUAAAAGUAUUUUAGAAUUUCAAACACAUUUUUAUUUUAUAAAAUAUUAUAGAACGGUUAAAUAUCAUGUAACUAUUAUAAAAAACUACUAGUAGUUUUUUCUUUGUUUGGAUAAGCAUGUCAUAUAAGGAAUUAUAUAGUAGCCUAAUAAGACUAUGGGAAGUGUGAAAAUAGAAAAUAGGAAGUGUGAAAUGAACAAUUAAGCUCUAUUUGGUAAUUGUUUUAAAAAAUAGUUUUCUAUUUUUUGAAACAAAAAAAUAAAGAAAUACUUUAGGUAAUCAUGAAACAAAAAAUGAUUGUGUUAUUAAAACAAAAAAUAUGAUUUUUUCUGAAAAUAUCUUUUAGUUAUUUUCACUUGAUUUCAAUGUGCUAUUUUAAAAAAAUAAUUAUAUAAGUAUGAAGAAUGAUAAAAAGUAAAACACUACCUAUAAAAAUUAUUUUAAAAAUAUAGAAAACAAGUUAAAAAAUUUUUAUUUUAUAAAAUAUUAUAGAACGGUUCCGGAUGUCAAUCGAAUUUUUAUUUUAUAAAAUAUCAUGUAACUAUUAUAAAAAACUAUUUGUAGUUUUUUCUUUGUUUGAAUAAGCAUGUCAUAUAUAAAGGAAUUAUGUAGCAGCCCAAUAAGACUAUGGGAAGCGUGGCACCAUGCAUUCCUCUUAGUUUGCUAGAUACGCUAAUUGUUUACGUGUGAAUUGUGAUUGGCCCUCUCCAGACUCCAUAUUUCUUUCUCUUCCCUCUGAAUUGUUGAUGUGCGAUUAGCCCACUCCAGAGCAUCUCCAUUUUUCCUUUUCUUCUCUCUCCCACUCAAUCGCAGGCACUCACAACCUGGUGAUUAAUAACUAGAAACCAUGAGUAGUAGUGGAGGAGAAUUCAUGGUAACAGUGAGGAGGAAAGAAGUAGUGGCAGCUAUGCUACCAAUGCAGAAGCACUGGCUACCACUCUCUAACCUGGACUUGCUUUUACCCCCCAUUAAUGUUGGGGUGUUUUUCUGUUAUAAGAAGCCACGUGGAAGUGCCAGCGGAGGUGAUGACUUCACAUUUGGGUCCAUGGUUAGGGUUCUGAAAGAGGCCAUGGCCCAAGCCCUGGUGCCCUAUUAUGCCUUUGCUGGAGAAGUCUUGUCUAACUCAUUGGGGGAAGCUGAGCUUCUUUGCAACAACCGUGGGGUGGAUUUCUUGGAGGCUUAUGCGGAUGUAAAACUACAAGACCUCAACUUGUAUAACCCUGACGAAAGCAUUGAAGGCAAGCUUGCCCCUACGAGGAAGCAUGGCGUCCUCUCAGUCCAGGUCUUUCUCUUUCUGUGNNNNNNNNNNNNNNNNNNNNNNNNNNNNNNNNNNNNNNNNNNNNNNNNNNNNNNNNNNNNNNNNNNNNNNNNNNNNNNNNNNNNNNNNNNNNNNNNNNNNNNNNNNNNNACCAAAAAAUAUGCAAGAUGAGUGUCGUGGUGGAUGGAAGAAAGAGGUUAAGCAGUGGAGAUGAGGAUAGGACAACAGCGAUGGCCUCAUACUUUGGAAAUGUGCUGUCCUUCCCCUUUGGUGAGAAGACAGUAAAUGACCUCAAAGAAAAACCACUGAGUUGGGUGGGAGAUGAAGUUCAUGAUUUCCUGGAAGCGGCUAUGACAAAGGAACAUUUCUUGGGGCUGAUAGACUGGGUGGAGGCUCAUCGCCCAGAGCCGGCUGCACUGAAUAUGUGCUGCAGUGGCAAUAGCGACGGGCCAGGAUUUAUGGUGUCAUCAGGGCAGAGGUUCCCGGUGACAAAGGUGGAUUUCGGGUGGGGUAAGCCGGCCCUAGGGUCAUAUCAUUUUCCAUGGGGUGCGGAAGUUGGGUACGUGAUGCCAAUGCCAACCCCCACUGUAGAUGAUGACUGGGUGGUGUACAUGCACCUCUUGAAAGCCCAGAUUGAGUUGAUUGAGACUGAGGCUGCUCAUAUCUUUAGACCCUUAACAGCCGACCAUCUCAAUUUGCUUAACGCAGAUUAGCUAGCUUUCGUCCACCAUCUCAUAUUCAGAAAUUUAGAAGUAACUCCCUCGCAUGUUGUUUCAAAUGUUAGAAUUCCUUUUCCUUUUCUUUAUAUCAGAAAUUAAUUACUUUGUAAUAAAAAGAAGUGAAAAACGAAAAUUUUGGAAUGACUUGUACAAGCAUAAAUGCCUCCUAGCUAUAUCUUAAUUACUAUCAUAAGACUAGUAUAAGGAUUAGUAAGGACUUGAAAAUUAAAUCCUAGCUAGGGUUCACUUUUGUAACCUGAAAAAUGAUCAUGUAUACGAAAAUCUUUUCUAUGUUUAGAUCUAGUUUAGAAGGGGGAAUAAAAAAAAAAAGAAAAAAAAAGAGAGGCUGGGGGUGGAAAUUAAAGAUGUUGGAUGUGUAACUACAAUAAAUUGAAAAAUAAUAUUUAAUUAUUUUUAGAUUGUCAUUUGGCCAUUAAAAAAUAAUUAAUAUUAUAAUAUGAUUUAUAUAUUUAAAUUACAAAAUAAAAUAUUUUUUUUUUAUAAGAAAUAAUAAAAACCUUUUUUCCUUACAAGUUCUUUUAUUAGUACUACUUUUUAUAAAUAUUUAUUUUAAAUUUAUUGUAAAAUAACAAAUAAUAAUAAGAAAAAAAUGAUUGGCUUUCAUUUGCUUUGUUCAUGUAUCAAUAGAGGUGAAUAUCAAGAUGUUUCCACUUUCUAGAGCCUCACACACUCGUUACAUUUUGACCCACUUCUCAUAUUCUCUCUCCUUUGUAUUAUCUCCACUUCAAAUUCAAUAGAACGGGGAUUUCUAAUUUCUCCUUUCUCUCUCUAGAAACUAAUAUGCUUUUCAUUGUUUCUCUCUCUUCCUAGGAAUUUUUGUGGAUCCAUGGAAGAGCAAAGCUCAGUCUCUGCAGCUUCAACUCCGAGAUUGCUUCCGAAUUGCUAUGAGUUUCAUCUUCUAAAAUAAUUAUUUAUUUGGUCUAAUGAUUUGAAUUAUAUGAUUUAGUAGUUCGUGAAGAACAUUAAAGACUUGGACUAGAGUUUCUCAUUCGGUAGUGACAAACCUAAGGCUCCUCAUCAUCGCCACCAAAGUUGUGUUCCUUUGAAGUUGAAUACGACCUGGUAAAAAUUCGAGGGAUUUUGCGUUGGGAUAAAAAGGAAUUGUAAAGUAUUCACCUACACAAGUUAAAAGAUUUCCUACAAUGUUAACAACCUCUCAACAGCCGCAACCUAACAAGAAAAGGCAAUUAUAUUAUCUAAAAACAUCCAACCAAAAUUACACCAAAUAUAGCAAGGAAAAACCCUCCUAACCGAGGUAAAAAACCACGGGAAAAAUUUCCUUCACUUUAAUAAAAAUAUGAAUGCAAAUAAAUCCUCACUACUUUCUUCACCUUGAUAAAUAAUGGAAACAUAUAUCAAUGUCUAAGGAGGGAAUCUAUCAUCCUAGAAAACAAAAAAUAGAAGGGGAUUAGGUAGAGAUCAUACCACAAGAACUCCCCUAAAAGGUUGAUGAAAGAACAUAUACCCUUCACCCUUGAACCCUAGAACAAUGCCAAAAAAACAACCUUAUUUUCCUCUUCCUCUUUCUCUACCAUUUUUCACCAACAUACUAAAGCCUUAACGUUAUUUACAUUUGGGCUUAAAGAAUUCCCAUAAAAAAAAAAGCCCAAUACAUGGUGAAGACUUUGUAAACUUUACUAGCCUCACUGGUAGAAGUGACACCCCCUCGUGUUGACAUGCUAAAGUGGUAGGCCGAGUAAGACAUGCACGACACAACGACCAGAUGUUAGAAAGUAGUCACUUGACCCCUGUUGCUUGUAAGCAACACUUCAGCUAAGCAAGGGCUAGCCUACACUGGCUCAAAGCCCAUAUUCGGACAGAGCACUAGCUCAACCUGUAAGGCAGACCCCAUCCAAGGGUCUCCCCUGUUAACCAUACCCCACAAAGGUCUUGACCCAUCUAGAAACCAAACUACAAAAUUCUUGGUCUUAUUAAGACCUCACCAAACCUAUCACCGGCAGCGGCUGUCCUACCCACAAAACAACCAAAAGCGUUCUACAUUCUAUACACCACAGCUAAGCAACAAGUCCAAACUCUAAACAGUGAAAAUACAUAAUCGGUAUGGGGAAUGAAGGCUUACCAAAGUUCAGAAGGAACACUGCUAAUUGAAGCUUAGCCCUCCUAAGCCCAAAAAUGGGGAAACUAGUAGGGUCACCAGAAAGAUGAACAGCCACCGAAGUUGCAGUGGUGUAGAAUGCAAGAGUCGUCGAAGAAAAUGAAUAGUAGAGCAGCGCAACGAUGGUAGCUAUAGGUUGCAGAAUGUAGAGAGAUAAUGACGAGAGAAAAAAAAAAGCCUUGGAGACAAGAAACAUCCAAAUGAAUCCUAAAAGGUCUGGGAUCCCAUAUUUAUAAGGGACCAAAACCCUAGAGAUCCUAAAAGCCAGCCGUCAUGGGACACAUCCUGAAGCGACACGCCGCCUGAAAGAAUGCCUUGAUGGAAGUAGCCCUCUUGUAAGUGUCUAACACGUGUCUCACCAGCAUUAGGGGACUCUAGGGGAUUUCAGCUCAUCCACCCCUCCCCAGACAUAUACGCACAUGCUGAAGGGAACAUUAUGGGGACCUUAUCCCAUGUGUACACCCACAAGCACUUCCAUGUGUUUAUCCACGUGGCAUCACCCCAAUCGGGCCACGUGUCAAAUCUUCAUCACUACCCGGACAACCUCCAAGGUAUUCGAAGACAUCUUGCCUGGACCAUUUGCCCUGCUGAAAUGGCCCACAUCCCCUUGAUAGCCUCAAAUCCUCUUUGAUAAGCGAGGCCCUCGUUAGCUGACACCUGAUCAAACUCAUGGGAUAUUUUCUAUCCCCACAUCCACUUCAGUAGACAAGCAUGUCAAAACUCAGGUCAUCAGCAAGGUUGAAAGAAUGGCAAGCUAUGACGCGCCAUCUAACACAACCCCUAACUAUCCUGCAGGUAUGAUGAUUGCCCUGCCACUACUGCACAAUCAUCACUACCCAGCCAACUCAGCACUACGAAGCCCCACUCAUCUUUGAACACUAUAAAAACCCUACGGUAAUAUAACAAAAGGGGACAGUGAGUUCUCAAAUCCACUCUCUAUCUCUCUCUCUCUCUCUCUCUCUAAAGUUUUCCAUUCUUCCUAAUGUCUGACUUGGGCUUUGGAGGGUGUGUCUGGACAACCCAUCCGGACACCUUUGUGUAGGGAAGCAUAAAUCCAAGAUUUCGGUACCAGAGCGGGAGCUUUCUCCACCACGUCUAAGGAAUGAAUCUAUCCUCAGUUGACCGGGUAUCAACACUACCUAGCUCAAUGGUUUCUCUUUCAGUUCAUUUAUUGUCUUCUUACCAAAUGGGAUGGACAACACAUUUUCGAAGUAAGAGGCUAUCAUUGUUUCUUUAACCUUGUCUUCAUUGCUCAAUCACUUUCUUUCAUCCACCACGGUGCCCAUCUUGCAUAUAUUUUGGUUUUCGUCUUCCAUGACUGCAAUUUUGGCCACCAUCUUCCACAGAAAAGCAUUGAGAGACUCUAGUUUGGUCCUCUUGCAGGAGCUACCCUUGCUGGUGGCUAGUGAUUGGAGUAUACUGAGAGUUGUUCGGUUGUGACAUAGUAAAAGCGGUUUAUGAGAAGAUCAUCACCAGGCUGUGGAGCUUUGGGAGGAGGUAAGGCUGACAUGGGGAUGUACAUGUCAUCAAGGGAUAGAUCAUAGGAGCCCGGACAUCGAGGGUUGAGGAGAGAGCGCCGGAAAGAUGGUAGUACGGAUAAUGGCUUGGACUGAGCCAUUUCAGCCCAUGAAACUAGAAACAUAUUGGCAGAAUAUGUGUCUACUUUCCUAUGAUCGAAUGUACAUGCCACCAAAACUCCGCCACAUUUGAGUUGAGUCACUUGUCAUUAGUUCAUUUACAUAACAAUAAGCAUGUCACGAUUACAACUAAUUAGGAUUAGCAUAUCACAGAGAAAGAGAGAGAGUUACCUGGGCUGACAGAACGUCAUGUUUCUUCUUAGGGACAAGCUUGCUUUCAAUGCUUUCAUCAGGUUUAUAUAAGUUGAGGUUUUGUAGUUGUCCAUCCGCAUAAGCUUCCAUGAAAUCAACCCCACGGUUGUUGCAAAUGAGCUCGAGAUCACCCGCUGAGUUACUCAAAACUUCCCCUGAAAAUGGAUAAUAGGACACCAGUGCUUGGGCCAAGGCCUCACUCAGAACGCCAAUCAUGGACCCAAAUGAUAAAUCAUGGGGCUUUCUGUAAUAGAAAAACACGCCCACAUCUACUGGAGGCAAAAGCAAGUCCAGGUCAGACGGUGGCAGCCAGUACUCCUGCACAGGCAGUACAACUACCACUACUUCCUUCCUGCUCACUGUUACUGUGAAAUCUCCAUCACCCAUGAAUCCUAAUUAAUUCUAAGUGUCUUUGUAUGCCAGAGUGAGUAAUGGAAGAGAAGCAAACUUGUAAGCGUGCGUCUGAGUAAAAAAAAUAGCAGCAAGAAACAUGGAUUUUAUAGCACAGGACAGUACUUGUCUCAAGUCCCCACUGACAUUUCAUCAAAUUUUGAUGAGAAAAAUUGAAUGAAUGAGAAUGACUACAAAGACCAAGAGUGGUACGAAGGAAUGAAAAUAUUUGUCUUAAUUUUGUUGUAGAUGAGAAAUAAUGAAUUGAUACAGGUUGUAUAUAUUGUUACAUAAACCCCAAGGGGGACUCCUUGAAAUGGAAAAAUAAAUAAAUAGAAGGCUGUAGAAAAUAUCUGAGAUACAUUAAUUUUCAUGCCAAACCCUAGGUUUCCUCCAAGAUCACCAAAUGAGAUGAGUUCAAUGAUCCUUGGAAAAGAAGCUAAUAAAUUUGUGGCUUCUCUUUGGUCAUGAGAGGUUAGAUGUCUUCUAAUUGUGGUACAUAUUUUGGUUGGAUAGCUCAUCAAUUCAGUGACAAUAAACUGAAUGAAAGUGAAAUUUCAAAGCCAUGUCAUUUUUCAGUUGUCUUAAUUUCCUGAAAAUGAUUGAUGGGUUAUUUUAGAAGUUGGGAAUUUCCUUGGAAAUAUCUAUAGAAAAUUAUUUGAUCAAUCAAAUGGUACAUAAUUGAUAACUUCAACACCAUUGCAUACUCCAUGACGGGUUUUACUUCCUAUUUGAGUUUGAAAGAGAAGAGUUCAAAAACAAAAUCUUUGGAAAGCUACACAGCAUAAUAUAUAUAUAUAUAUAUAUAUAUAUAUAUAUAUAUAUAUAUAUAUAUAUAUAUAUAUAUAUAUAUAUACACAUAUACAUAUACUAGGCCCGAAGGUAUAUAUAUUUAAUUGAUGACUAGAAAUCUCUGGAAAGAAACGAGUUCAAAGACAAUCUCUGGAAAACACCCCUGCAUGACAUGAGAAAGAGACACUUCACUAUUUUACUUAUUUAUGAAAUUUCAAAUUAAUUCUAUCCUUCAAAAAGGAUACAGACCUGAAUACAACCUAAAACCGUGAUCACUUUUCCUCUCAAAUUAAGACUGCCAUCUGGUGGCCUUUUAAUUGCAGUGAUCCUACCAAAGAACGCAUGCAUAGGCCCUGUGAGACUGAUAAUUACAAAGGUGGUGUGGUGGUGUACAACUCUAGUCCAUGCAUCGGAUUAGGUCACUCUUUCUUUCUUCACGACAAUGGAAUUGAUUUUAUGGAACUUACCAAGGUUUGGUAAUUGAGAUUUUCGUAUUAAUGGAUGACAAUGACUUAUAGCCUAGAUAUUUCUAUGCAUCUCUCUUGUAUAAGAAAGACAUUUAUGUCUUUCUUGAAAAUGUUUGAUUGUUUAUUUUUGCAAGUAAUUUGGAAAAUCGUUGUUUUAGCUCGUCACAUCUUUGAAAUGAUGUGCAACCAAUAGUUAGGAGCUUCACAAAAGAAAAUUCUUGGCAUAUAUUAAGUCCUUAACUAAAACAACAAACACUAUAAUGUUCUCUAAAUACAUCUUAAUUAAUUUGGAGGGUUUUGGCCUUUCAAAUAUUUUUUAAUUUCUCCUCCAUCAACAAUUUAUCCACAUUAAAUUUACAUUGAAACAGGACUGGCUUGGUGGGAAACAUGUUUUGACACAUGGACGCCCAAUAAAUUGUUGGGUUUGUUGAAAGAAUUAGCAUUUUUCAUGGUUUAACUGUUUGAAUGACUGGGCACCAUUAAAUAUGUUGUUGUGAUUCGAUUAUUCCUAUGUUAGUACUUUCUUAUUUCUCAAUGGUGGGAAUGUGGUAAACUAGCUAGUUAUUCUCUUAUGAAAAACCAUGACAAAAAAUGAUAAUAGGGAUAUAAAAAUAAGAUAAUGAAAACAUAAAAUAUCUAAGGUAUAUAAUGAUUUACGUGAAUUAGCCUAAAACUUAUUUUCAUAGGUGAAAGUAAAGAAGAAAUUCCAUUAUUAUUAAAAGAUAUUACAACUCUAGAGUUCCUUUAAUCCCAAAGUCUCAAUUAUAUCCAAAAAAGAGACUUUCUCUUGGCCAAAAUUUCUUUCUAUAUAUAUUCCUAAUUUCAUAGCAAUAUUUCAUAUAGAAAACUAAUUAUAUAACUAUCAAAAGUAUUUAUUCCUAAAAGAAUAUAUAACUAUAGGAUAUUUCCUUUAUGACAUAGGAAACUCCCUUACAUGAAUAUAUCCUACAAAGAAAACAUCAAUGACUUACCAAUUGACACAAAUUAGAAUUUGAAACAUUUUUCAACAAUGUUCACAUUGGCUUAUAUUCAUAAGCUUUGAAUAAACUCGGAAGUCUUUUAUGUUACUUCGCUUUCAUGGUACCUCUAAGGGACCUUGAAAUACUACCAACACCAAUUGAGUUUAAGUAAUGCCUGAACUUAAUUAAAUGUAAAAACGAGCAUAUUCAUAUCAUAUUUGAUGGAUUAUCUAUUCACUACAAUAACACCCUUUGCAAUCACAUCUUUGAUAAAAUGCAUUCAAACAUCAAUAUAUUUAGUCUUCUUAUGAAACAUCUAAUUUUUAUUUAAAUGUAUGGCAACCAAACCCUUAAGCCAAACAUGAAAAUCAUCACUUCCAAGAAAGAAAAUAUCCUCAUUAUAGAAGGAGAGUCAUUAAAGACUUUCAAAAUAUAAGUUGUGUUAAACAAAAACCUGACUUAUAUAAAUAGAUUUAAAUUGAAUCUUGUCAUACUAAAGGCCCUAAAUUGAUUUGAUGAAAUAAUAAGGUUGAUGAAUUAAGGAUGUCGGGUAGCUAGAGUGUGUUUGUUUUUAACUAUGGAAUGAUCUAUCAAUUGUUAUACAUGUCAUAUUCCUUGCUAACUUAACUGAAUUAAUUUGAUUCAUUAUAUAAUAUUGUGAAAACUUUUGACUUUUAUAUGGAACUGGUAUUUUCCUCUCUUAUUUUUUAUAGUAAGCUAGUCGGUAGCCUUAUCAGGCCUACCUUUUUAUAUCGAUUUACAACAUCUCACCGUUAUCCCUUUGGCAACUACAACUUGAUGCAUACACGGAUGGUUCACAUGACAAUGAUUAAAUUUUAAUCAUUACAAAUUACUUAACUCAUGUUAGAUUCUCAUUAAGGAUGAUCACCUCCAUUGCACCUGCAUUAAGUUUGGCAAAAUUUUUAAGAAAUGAUAGAAGUAAUAAUAAAUAUUUUAAAUUUAUUUUGUUGUAGAAAUUGAUAUAUGUACAAUAUAAUUUAUCCCAUUUAACAAUGAUUUAUCCGUAGCAAGGCUUGUGAGUUAUGACAACAUCAAAGUAAGAAACAUGUCUAGCAAUGGGCAAUGACUAAUGCCAAGGACAAAAGACUUCGCUCCCAUGUCACCAAAGUGUUUCCAUCACAAGCCAAAGUGGGAUCUACGCAUAGAGAUCUCUUUGGUAGCAGCCUGGUCGCCUAUAAAUCCACCACUCCUCCUCAUCCCUUCCACAAACCAUUCCCAUUUUUUUGUUUCUCUCUAUCUCUCUUAGGUGAAAACCAUGGGUGGUGGAGGAGACUUCAUUGUAAUUGUGACCAGGAAAGAGGUUGCGGCAGCAGGGCUACCAAUGCAGGAGCAUUGGCUGCCCCUAUCUAAUCUUGAUUUGAUUUUUCCUCCUAUAGAUGUGAGUGUGUUUUUCUAUUACAAAAAACCCCAUCAGAAUGUUAAUGGAGGUGAUGACUUACCUUUGGGUCCAUGGUUGGGGUUCUGAAGAAAGCCAUGGUCCAAGCAUUGGUCCCCUACAAUGCUUUUGCAAGGGAAGUUAUGGGUCUAUGCAAUAACCGAGGGGUAGAUUUCAUGGAGACUUACGCAGAUGCAAAACUACAAGACCUUAGGUUGUAUAACCCUGACAACAGAAUUGAAAGCAAGCUUGUCCCUAAGAAGCAGCAUGGUGUCCUCUAUGUGCAGGUAACACUUCUCUCUCUCUGACACAUCAUGAUAUUGUCAUGCCAUUAUUACUCUAUGUGAUAAAAAAAAAUGAAGGAAAAUGAUAGGUGACUGGGCUCAAAUGUGGUGGAGUCAUGGUGUGUUGAUUUUCUUACAACUAUUCCUAAUAAAGAAAUUAGAGAAAAACAAAAGAAAACACACAGAUUUAACAUGAUUUGACAUAUUGUUUACGUCCACGAGAACAUGGAGGAAGACUUUCACUAUAUCCCAAAAUUAAGGUUAUAUAAAAGGGUACUUAUAUUAAUCUUAGGUAUUGAAAUUCCAAAAAUACUCCUGAAUCGUACCAUGGGAGCGUUGCCCCCCGCAUGUCCCCAACCUAUCGUUCGCCCUUUUUCUCUAUAUAUGUCUUUCAUUCAAUAUAAGUCACAUACUACAACAUGGUGGGCUGUACAUUCAAUCAUGGGAUAGCUAACGCAUAUUCUACUAAUAUGUUCCUAGGUCAUGGACUGAGAUGACCCAAUGCAAGUCAUUAUCUGUGGUUCCAUCUUUCCAACGCUCUCUCCUCAACAUCAGAUGUCCAUGCUCCUAUGAUCCCUCUCUGGAUGACAUGUACGUCCCUAUAUCCGCCUUACCUCCUCCUAGAGCUCCGCAUCCUGGUGGUGCUCAUCCUUCCAUAAGUCGCAUAUACUAUGUCACGACGAACAACUCAGUCUACUCCAAACACUAGCUAGUACCAGAAAGGGAAGCUCCUACAAGAAGACUAAACUAGAGUCUUUCAGUGCAUUUUUGUGGAAGAUGGUGGCUGAAAGUGUUGUCAUGGAAAAUGAUAAUAAAAAGAUAUGCAAGAUGGGCAUCGUGGUGGACGAAAAGAGGCGGUUAAGUAGUGGAGAUGAGGAUAAAUCAGCAAUGAUGGCCUCUUACAUUGGAAAUGUGCUGUCAAUCCCCUUUGGUGAGAAAAUGAUAACUGAAGUGAAAGAGAAACCCUUGAGUUGGGUGGCAGAUGCAGUUCAUGACAACCUGGAAGGGGCAGAGACAAAUGAGCCUUUCUUGGGGCUCAUAGACUGGGUAGAGGCUCACCGUUCAGAGCUUGCUUUGGCAAAGAUAUACUGCAGUGGCAGCAGUGAAGGAUCGGCGUUUGUUGUGUCAUCAGGGCAGAGAUUCCAAAUGUCAAAGGUGGAUUUCGGGUGGGGUAAGCCUUCUAUGGGAUCAUACCUUUGUCCAUGAGGUGGAGGAGUUGGGUACGUGAUGCCAAUGCCAAGUCCAACCAGAGAUGGUGACUGGGUGGUGUACAUGCACCUCUUGAAAGGGCAGAUGGAGUUGAUAGAGACUGAGGCCGCCUAUGUCUUUAGACCUUUAACGUCUGAGUAUCUCAACCUGAUCAACUGAAGUUGGCUUACAUCCAGAUGACUUCUUAUGUAUUCAUCAAUGUCUCUUAGUUUCUUCAUCCCUCUGUCUUAUAGUUUAUUAGGUCCUUCUAAUUUUUCUCUUUAAUAUGGUGAAUCUUUUGGCUAUGAAGAAUGAGUUUUUGGAUUUACAUGAUGUAUGAAUCCUAAUUAAACUAAUAUUAUGUUUCCUUAGUAUGUUAUACUUAUUAAUUUGAGUUUGAUUCUUUUUAGGAUUUGGAAUCCUAACUUUAUUAAGAGUUUUUAUUUAUUUAUUAGAAUUAGGUUUCUAUAAUUGCUCCUAUAUAUAUUCCAUAAUAAUAGAAAGUUAUGUGGUAAAUUUUACAUAAAUAUUUAUCACCUCCUUCAUUGUUUUUUUAUCCUUUUUUUGUGUGGAGAAAUUGUUCUUGUGCUAGAAAGAUCAUUUUUUAUUGCUCACAUUUGGUAUCAGAGCGUGGAGAUUAAAGAUGCAAGCAACCAAUAAUAAUAUGAUCCAACCCCAGUUUCCAAAGUUCGAUGGGAAAAAUAAUUUUGAAUUUUGGAAGAUCAAGAUGUAACUAUUAUUUAAGUAUCAAGAUAUUUGAGUGAUUCGUGCCCAAUUGGUGUCUCAGCUGAUUCGUGUCCAGCUGGUGCUCCUUGAUUGAGGGAGUAAUCAACAAAAUUUAUAACCUAUAACACCAUAUACUAGGGUAGCAAAGAAAAAGCUACUAUAGUAUAGCGGCUCUAGGAUCGUUCACUGGGAAGGAUUAGCAAGCUACCAAUGAUACCAAUUCCAAGUGAAUUGGUCUUGUUUCAUUUCAAGGUUAGCUUAAGAAAUAAAACACAAACUUUGAUUGGUAAAGAUUUAAACUAACUAACAUAACAAGUACUCAGAAUAACUUAGAAAGAAAAGCAUUCCUUGGAGAGUUAGGUUCACUGGUGUGGUUCCUCAUGCAAAAGACAUAGCUCCGGUCAGAUGGUUUCUUUCCUCGCAUUAGAGAUUCAACAUAUAGUCAAUUCUCUAACCGGUGCUGUACAGAUACCUCCUUCAAUUAGAUUUCACUUUAAUUCUCUCACUGAUGCAACUUGCAAUGGUUUAAGCCUCUCACUAAGCCGUAACCAUUCAAGGUGAUCUUUAACCUUGGACUUCCCUUCGCAAGCUCGCAAGAGAUAACUAAUGGAUGUCUCCUUGGAGUCCAAAAGCUUACCAAGUGUUGGCUCUUCUAGAAAAUCCUACCCUAAAGUCACCUCCCAAAGGCUCGCAAGGGGUAAACUAGUGCAUUUCCAUGGUUGGAAAUCACUUGCCUUACCAAGUGUUGGCCCAGGUGACUCUAAAGUGUUUUAAGUUAACUAAAAACAUAGAAAUCACUAAAGGAUUUCACUUCCUCUUCAUUAAUAGCUAAAACCACAAAGCUUUGCAUUCUUGCACUUGGAACCUUCCCCAGCAACCUUAGCUCCAAGGAAUUAGAGGUUUAGUUACUCAUUCUCUGGGGAAAACUCCUCAGAGAGUUCAUAACUUAGUAUAUAAAAUAAAAAUACAAAGUGAGAAGGUAAGGCAAUACAAAGAACUGAACUUUACUUGCUUACCAAAAACUUUACAAAAGGAUCUCCUCCUUGAGAACAGGCUCCCGAGAGGUAUAUAUAUGAACAUAAUAUAAAACUAAUUAUUACAUAGAUAUUUACUCUUUUUACUAACUUAAAAGCUAAGGAAUCUUGUAAUUGGUGGCUUAUAAGGAGUAUUUUGGGAUUUAGACAACAAAAAUCUGAUGUAAAAUAUCUCCCAAUGUCGGUAGCAAAUAUCGGGAUGCUUCAGGAACCAUUCCGCAAGAGAAAAUGGUGUCUGCGAGAUUUCGCAGGCAUUCAAGAAGGGCUGCGAAAUCAUUUUGCAACACAUGCUAACUUCGCAGGGCUGCGAAGUUGGCUUCCACCUUGAGGUUCUCAGCUCCCAGCUUGCGGCAUAUAUCGGGCAACUUCAGGAGGGAAUCCACAACACUGUUCAAAAAGGCUGCGAAAUCACUUCGCAACAAAAGGGUGAUUUCGCAGCACUUUGCAAAAUGCUUCCUUCAGCUUGGAGUGAUUGGCUUCCAAUGGCUGCAACUUCUUCAUUUCAACUCCGAAUUGCGCACCGUUUGAAGCAUUGGAUUGUUGACUUCCUGAGCUUUGAAAUGGUAUAUAGCAUGCAUCAAUUGGACCUCAGAAAGUGCUCCAAAAGUGGCUGCUACGACUGUCAUCAAGAAUAUGCUUCUUGGCAGAUUCUCUUUACUUUUUCUCCUUGCAAUCCGGAUUUACUCUUGGCAAAUGACUUCUAAGCUUUGCCCAAGAUUCCUCAUAACUCUCCUCAGUCUUGACUUGCUUUGGUGAUCAAAAUACUAACAAAAACACCAAAACUUACACAAAGUAAUUAAAAUUGCUUUCAAGGGUCCUUAACAUGCUAAUUGAGUUAAAAGGCCUAAACUACUACUCAAAAGUGUUUAAAAGGAUUAAUUACAAGCUAUCAAAUAGCACUUUUUGAGUAGUAAUCACUCCCCCCAACCGACAUAUUGCUAGUCCCUUAGCAAUAUAGGAGAGAAAAAUGAAAAUAAAAAGCAACUUAUACUAAAAUUUACAACAUCAUGCUAAACAAAAACAAUUCUCAAGUGGCAUGAUGAUUUUAUUCUCUCAUGAAACAAAAAAGAAAUACAAAUCCAAAUUUCUACAAGAGUCAUAACAAACUAUGCUAAACACUGUCAAACAAGGGAAUGCAUUAUGCAAACUAAAGUUUUAAAAUCAUUUCCACUUUCAAAGAACCAAACUUUAAUCUUCCACAAAAAAUCUAUGUGUAUUGGUUUCUUAGCUUCUGAGAAUAAUAUGCUAAACUAAUCUCUCCCCCCAACCUAUCUCUUUUCAAUACUUAGCAAACUGACCAAAAUCAAUAAGAAAAGAACACACUUUCAUCUUCUCCUUUUUUUUUUUUUUUUUUUUUUUUUUUUUUUUUAAGGUAGCUUUAUGGGGUACUCUUUCUGACUUGUCCAUGUAAUGGGGGUCCAUCGAUGACUCCCAACCAAUUAAGGUUUAGGGCACCAAGCUUUAAGGAUCUUUCAACCACUAACUCCUCGGAUUUUUCCCCGGACUUUUAAGAAUGAAUUUCUACUACCCAAGCAUCUACCAUAUGCUAACUCUACCUAUUCACCCUUAUAACGAGCAUUGAGGUCGGUGACUCCCAACCAAUUAAGGCUUAGGGCACCAGGCUUUAAAGAUUUUCACCAUAUACCCCUCAGACCUUGCUCGGGUUUCAAGGCAAGCAAACAACUUUCUUUAUUUCAAAGGCUCAUUGGCCUUUUGCAGGGUGUUUCAAUUUUAUCAAAUGAGGUCAAAUAUACCAAGUCCCAAAAUUAACCUAAGUCAAGAGGGAAAUAGUUUUUCAUAUUAUAAUCGGAAUCUAAUGUGCACAGUGUGUGAAUAGCUUAAAGUGGAAGAACUAAAUUCAAUUUCAAUAGAAGUUUCAAAAAUUGAACCACUUUAGUGAGCAUAAUCCAUACUCUAAGUCAAGUGAAAAACAACAGUUCAAUUUCUCUUGGUUUAAUUUGAAAAUUUUUCCUCAAAAUUCAUGGAGAAUAGAAUAAAAAGAGUAAAAAGUAAAAACUACAACUAAUUAACCAAUAUAAUUGCAUUACCAAAAAUAUUUAGCAUACUUCCUUCCUCAUUCCCCCCCAACCGAACUGAGCAUUGUCCUCAAUGUGAUAUGAGUGACUGUAAUUAAAGGGAGGAAGUGGUACCUCCUGAAUGAUAUCAAAUUCGAAUAUUGAUUGGAGAAACCACAUGUUUCAAAAAGAAUAGAAUAUGUGAGAAAAGGUAAUAAGAAAAAGUUAAUGCUAACUGUUAAGAAGAAAUAUUAAACUUGUAUUACUUUAAAUUCAUUUAAGUACAAUGCAAAAGAAAAGCAAUACAAGCAAUCCCAAUUAUAGUACCAAAAUAAUGGGAUUUCUUUUCAACUAAAAAAAAAACAAAAUAAAAAUAGUAGAUAUAUAAUAGUCUGAUGAGUGGGUGGUGCUGGGGCUAGGCAGAUGGGUCUGCCUCUUCAGUAGGUGCUUCAGCUGGGGCUUGGGGCUCUGGAGGAUGAGACUCUGAGGGAUGAGAGUGUGGCACUGCUGGAGUAGAAGUGGAGGGCUCUACAGCUGGUGGCAGAUCGAAAUGAAGCUGGAGCUGCCUUAAGAUGGCAGCUUGUUGAGCCUGAGUGGCCAACAUCUGCUCUUGGCAUGCUCUAAUGGUUGCCAUCUCUUGAGCAAGACUGCUCUGAGAUGCUGUGAGGGUCUCCAAUGCACGACACAACUCUCGAUAUUCAGAUAUAGGAAUGGUCAUCCUCGGUUCAGCUGAUGUGGAUGGCUGAGAUGAAGCUGGAGCAGCUGGUGGAGCUCUAGGAAUGGCAGGAGCAGCAACUGUUAUACCCUCAGGUAUGUGUCGUGGGGAUGCUCUCCUUGCAGCUGGCUGAGGUGGCUCUUGCUUAUCAACUUUAUAGGCCGUCAUGUUGUUCCAUUUAUCAAGAGUGAAUGGCUCACGGCAAAUGCACUUUCUCUCCAGCUGAGGCUCAGAAGGAUAUCCCAAGUGCUCUAGAAUUUGGCAUAGCAGCCUUGGAAAGAGGAGGGGAAUGCAAUCAGCUCUCUGAAGCUUCUUUUUGUGCACCUUCUCUUCGAAAUAGAGAAGGGCUGCCAAAAUCAGAUGAUGAGGCCCAAAGAAAAAUCCUUCUGACAUCUUGUAAAGGGCUUCUAAGAGGACUCCCCUUCUUUGAGUCCAAUGCUGCAAUGGGUAGAGAUUAUGACGCAAAAAUGCAUCAAUCAGAAACAUGACUGGAGGAAGCUCCCCCCUCAACAAAUGUGAUCGAUUUACAGUUCCUCUGGAUAGGGUGCGCACCAUCUCCAGCUCAGUAGGAUUGGUCUAAGCUCUAAAAUCAUCGAAUUGGGUUGGCUCAUAGGGAAUUUGCAGGGCUUCAGCAAUAUGACGUGCUCCCAAUAUGCCAUGCCUCCCAUCAAUAGUGAAAUGAAUUAAAGUUGGAUCCCUGACCUGGUUGGUUGUCAUGGAUUGAUAGAAAUCCAAGGCUACCCUUGGGUAGAAAAAGUCUCUCGGAGUCAGUAGGUGCUCCAUGUGGUACUCCUCAGCAGAGUGAAUGUCUGUGCAAGGUUCGGCUGCAAUUGGAAUGUGGCUAUGUCAAAGCAUAGCUCUAAGUGGAAUGGCCGAGCUCUACAAUCCAAAUUUCCCUCAAUUGGGGGCUGAGUUAGCAUUGGCCGCCUGAUAACUUCUUCCGGAGCUAUUUCAGAUGGAAUUUGGGGCUCUGGAAGUGGCGCUUGAGGCUCCUGAGAUUUUUCUUGUGGUGUCGGAGAUGGCACCAGAUGCUGAAUUGGCGAGGGAACUGGAGUUGGAGCCGGCGACGGCUCUGGAGAUUGCUCAGUCAGGUCAAUGGGUUCUGAGCUCUCCACCCUGGGUCUCUUUUGCGAUGGCCGACCUCCUGACCUGGUUAGGUAUCGUUUUGCCAGAGGUUUUGGCGGCGCGGGCUUCACCGAAGGAGGAAUUGCUUUCGGCUGCGGAGGGUCAGGAAUAGGAUCUGGAACUGGUUCCUUUCGCAGGCUUUUCUUGCGGUUUGAAGGGGAGGAAGACUUGGCCCCUCUGGUUCGCGCCAUUUCGGAUUACCGAAGUUUGGCCGACGUUGCUGAUCGGAGAAGAUGACCGGAGGCUUGCGCGGUGAGGCUUGAGGAAGGAGAUGGACGGUCUGCGAGAAUGGCACGCUCUGAUUUUGAAACCCUUUUCGCAGCUUAAAUGACCGGUAUAAAUAGGAAAAACGGAAGACUAAGGGUCAGUUUGAGUUUCGCAGCAAAACGCCAAUUUCGCAGCAAAAUGCCGUUUUCGCAGCAACUUCGCAAUGCAUUUCGCAGCUGCGAAAUGAAUGUCACUGUGUUGCGAAGUGGCACACGUGUGCCAAAAUCGCUUUCGCAAUUGCGAAACACCCUGCGGAAUGGGACUUUUGGUGCGAAAUCAGGCUUUACCACUUCGCAAUGCGUUUCGCAGCUGCGAAAUGAGGGCUCCUGUGCUGCGAAGUGGCACUCGUGUGCCAAACUCGCCUUCGCAGCUGCGAAAAUUCUCGUAGAGAACUCCAAAGUGUUGCGAAAUGGUUUGGCAACAAAAUACUCGUGUCGCAGAAGUUUCCUUCAGCCUGCGAAAUCUCGCAGAGCUCUGUUUUUCCUCUGUUUUCACUCUGUUUUUGCUCCGAUUUCGAUCCGAUUUUUUUUCUUUCAAUUUCCUUGCAAUUUCUUCCACCUGGGAUCAUUCAAAAAGAUUAAAACACACAUAAAAACAUGAUUUAAGAUCAAAAACUAAGAUCAAAAGUAGGGAUAAACUUGAAAAUUUACAAAAUUUAUAAAAAUUUUGGACUGGGGUAAAACCACGUCCAGCAAACCCUUCUUUGCUUAGGCUUUUUGAGGCUCAAGGAGGUUGAUUGCCUUCUUUUCUGGUUUAAAUGGCUCCAUGAAUGGCUUGAGACGAUAUCCAUUGACUCUAAAGCUAUCCUUGCCAUUUGAAUUCAAUAAUUCCACUACUCCAUUGGAAUAUACUCGGUGAACAACGAACGGGCCUAUCCACCUUGACUUGAGCUUCCCAGGAAAGAUAUGGAGUUGAUUACUACCAAAAAGUGCUAUUUUGUAGACCUAAUUAUAAUGGUUUUAAGCACCUUUGAGUAGUAAUCAUAUUCAUUUAAACCAAUUAAUUCAUUAAGGUCCUUAGUAAUUGGUUUUAACCAUUUUGUGGCAAGUUUACAUGUUUUUAUCAGCUUAUGAAUCGAUUCAAGCAUGCCAAAUGAUGGAGGAGCUACUUGGACAAGUUGAAGCAAAGAGGAAAAGCAAGCAAAGUGAAGAGAAGCAAAGAGGACAGCAGCUGCAGUCUUCUUUCGCACUUUUGGAGCACUUCCCGAAGUCCAUUUUUUGCAUACUAUAUACCAUUUCAAAGCUCUAGAAGUCAAGAAUCCAACACUUCAAACCAUGCACGAUUUGGAGCUGAAAUGAGGAAGAUAUGGCCUUCGGAAGCCAACUGCUCCAGGUUAUGCGAAAAUUUCGCAUUCCACAAGGUGUUAUGCGAAAUUCGCAUAACAUUCGCAUAACAUUCGCAUAACCCAUGCGUGUUGCGAAUUUUGCUCUGCCUUUGCCGACUCCACUUUAGAUAUUUUCCUUUGUAUUUUGUGAUGUAAUUUCCUUUCUUAUCCUUGUAACUAACCAAUCACAAGCUUUUGCUUUUGUAAAGACUAUAUAAGGGGUGGAAAUCACCUCUUGAAAAAAUAGACGCAUAUAUACAGACGGAGCCUUGCUCUGUUUUUCUCUCUUCUCCUGUUCUUUCCCGUUUCUAUUUUCUUAUUAGCCAAACAGCCUCUAAGGGCUUUUCCUCAGAGGAUGAGUAGCUAAAACUUUUAGUUUCUCAAAGUAUGGAUGUUAUGUGAUGACUUGGAUGCAAUCCCAUGGAAAUCUCUCGCACCCGGAAGGUAAGGUAGCCGUUUUUCAUUAAAGGUUCAUUAAUGCAAAGUUUGGUUUUUAUUUCCUUUGGACAACUUCCAACGGCCAAUACUUGAUAAGCUUUUGGAUUUCUAUCCAUUAGUUAUCUCCUACGAGCUAUUGGAAGGUGAGGUUUUCAAUUCCAAGUUUUGUAUUAAUCCGUUAGAACCAAUUUCAAUGGCCAUUGAAAGGUGAGUUUAUCACUUGGAAUGACUUUGAGUUGCCAAUAUUUGGUAAGCUUUUGGCUUUAGACCAUUAGUUAUCUCUUACGAGCCAUUCAAAGGAAGUCUAAGGUGAAUAACCGUUGAUGAAAUUCACUACCAUCUGUUUUGUCAUUUUAAAGGAUUAAAACUUGAUUUGCUAAAUCCAUACCGGUUCGGGAAGCAAGCAUCACCAUAGUUGCAACCCCAAUGCGAGGAGCCUAUCCUGAGAUUUCCAAUUUGCAUAAGAGCCAGAGCAUAGCUAUCCUAUCUUUGAGAAACUUGUUUUUACACCCUUUCAUUUUAGUCUUUAAUGUAGUUUAGAUAGUUUAAAUCUUUCUAAAACAUUUACAUUUUCUUAAAGCUAACAUCCNNNNNNNNNNNNNNNNNNNNNNNNNNNNNNNNNNNNNNNNNNNNNNNNNNNNNNNNNNNNNNNNNNNNNNNNNNNNNNNNNNNNNNNNNNNNNNNNNNNNGGAGAUGAGUUGAUCAUGCUACUCUUCAUCCUCUGUUUGCAACUUUGGAAUUGAUAUAAGCAUUAUUCUUAAUUCCUCCAUCUCAUUAAGGUCUAGAUAUCUCUUUUCUCCGGCUCUGAUCAAAUCCAUGUUCAGCUUCUUUAUCGCCCACCAAGCUUUGUAUUCAACUUCCACAGGGAGAUGACAUGCUUUGCCAUAGACAAGACGAUAAGGAGACAUGCCAAGAAUAGUCUUAUAAGCUGUUCUAUAUGCCCAUAAUGAAUCAUGAAGCCUAAUAGACCAAUCCUUUCUGCUGGAAUUCACCACUUUCAUCAAUAUGUUCUUUAUUUCCCUGUUAGCUAGCUCAACUUGCCCGGAAGUUUGAGGAUGAUAAGGUGUAGCCACCUUAUGCUUCACUCCAUACUUGGAUAACAGAGCUUCAAAAGGUUUGUUGCAAAAAUGAGCACCUCCAUCACUGAUUAUGGCUUUGGGCACCCCAAAUCUUGAGAAAAUGUUCUCUUUAAGAAACUUGAGAACCACCUUGUGAUCAUUUUGUUUACAGGGGAUUGCCUCAACCCAUUUAGAAACAUAAUCCACCCCCACCAAGAUGUAAGAAUUACCAAAAGACAUUGGGAACGGCCCCAUGAAGUCAAUGCCCCAUACAUCAAAUAGCUCAACUAUUAGAAUGGGGUUCAUAGGCAUUUGAUUUCUUUUUGUUAGUUUUCCAAGCCUUUGGCAUCUAUCACAACUCCUACACAUGAUGUGGGCAUCUUUGAAAAGAGAUGGCCAAGUAAACCCUAAUUGCAACACCUUCAUAGCUGUUUUCUGAGAGGCAAAGUGGCCUCCACAUGCAUUCUCAUGACAAUGAGAUAGAAUCCCUUGCUGCUCAUCUUCAGGGACACACUUCCUUAUGAUCUGAUCUGCACAAUACUUAAAAAGAAAGGGCUCUUCCCAAUAAUAAGCAUGAGUUUUGGCAAAGAAGUGCUUCCGGUCCUAUGCAUUCCACUCACUCGGAAUUUCACCAGUUACUAAAUAAUUAGCAAUAUGGGCAUACCAAGGAGUUUUCACUAGGAACAUGAGUGAUUCUUCAGGAAAAUCAUCAUUAAUAGGCAAGGGAUGGGAAUUAUGUGCUAUAACUAACCUCGAAAGGUGGUCAGCUACCACAUUCUCCACUCCUUUCUUAUCUUUGAUUUGAAGAUCGAAUUAUUGUAACAAAAGAAUCCAUCUAAUCAACCUUGCUUUUGCAUCUUGCUUUGUCAAUAAAUACUUCAAGGCUGAAUGGUCAGUGAAGACAAUGAUGAAAGACCCCACUAAAUAAGCACGAAAUUUGUCCAAAGCAAAUACUACAGCUAACAAUUCUUUCUCUGUAGUUGUGUAGUUCCUUUGAGCUUCAUUCAGUGUUUUACUUGCAUAGUAAAUCACAUAGGGCUUCCCAUCUUCCCUUUGGCCAAGCACAGCUCCUAUAGCAAAGUCACUGGCAUCACACAUCAGUUCAAAAGGUAAUUGCCAGUUAGGGGCUCUCACUAUUGGAGUUGUUGUUAAAAAUUUCUUCAGUUGAUCAAAGCUAUUCUGACACCUUUCAUCCCAUAUAAACUUAGCAUCCUUAGCUAACAGCUCACAAAGAGGUUUUGAAAGACUUGAAAACCCUUUUAUAAACCUCCUAUAGAACCCUGCAUGGCCAAGGAACUGCCUUACUCCUUUUACAGUUGUUGGGGAUGGUAAUUUGACAAUAAGCUCCACCUUUGCUUUAUCAACUUCAAUGCCUCUUUCAGAGAUGAUAUGACCAAGGACAAUUCCUUGACGUACCAUAAAAUGGCAUUUCUCCCAGUUGAGCACCAGAUCUUUUUCAAUGCAUCUGUGAAGAACUGCUUCCAAAUUAACUAAGCAUUCCUCAAAUGUAUCUCCAUAUACGAUGAUGUCAUCCAUGAAAACCUCCAUAAUUCGCUCCACCAUAUCACUGAAAAUACUCAACAUACAUAUUUGAAAUGUAGCAGGUGCAUUGCAUAAACCAAAAGGCAUUCUCCUAUAAGCAUAUGUCCCAAAUGGACAUGUAAAAGUGGUCUUUUCUUGAUCUGCCAAAUCAAUUUCAAUCUGAAAAUACCCUGAAUACCCGUCCAAGAAACAAUAGAAUGGAUGUCCAGAGACUCUCUCCAGCACUUGGUCAAUAAAUGGCAAUGGAAAAUGAUCCUUCCUGGUUGCAGCAUUCAACUUUCUAUAAUCAAUACACACCCUCCAACCUGAAGUGAGGCGUGUAGUAACUUCUUCUCAUUUUUCAUUCUGAACCACUGUGAUCCCUGACUUCUUUGGUACCACUUGAGUAGGACUCACCCAAGGGCUAUCAGAUAUAGGGUAAAUGAUUCCUGCUUGAAGUAACUUCAGCACCUCAGCUCGCACCACCUCUUGUAGAUGAGGAUUCAAUCUUCUUUGAAGUUGACGAAUUGGCUUUGCCUCCUCCUCCAUAUAUAUAUGAUGAGUACAAACUAAAGGACUAAUGCCUUUCAAGUCAGAUAUUUGCCAUCCUAUUACCUUCUUACACCUCUUGAGAACUUCUAUUAAACAAUUCUCUUGAUGACUGGUCAAAGAUGAAGAUAUCACAACAGGACAUUGAAUAUUUUCUUCAAGAUAUGUAUAUUUCAGCUCCACAGGUAAAGGCUUCAGAUUGAGUUUUGGAAUUUCUGGUUCAGCAGCUGCCUCCUCUUCUUCAUUGAACAAAGGUAGAAUCUCUUCUAUCUUUCUCCAACUUUGUAGAGUAGCAAGCAUAGUAGGAGAUUCAGACAAACCUUCCUCAAAAUUCACAAGACUUUCAUUCAACUUGUCUUGCAUAUUUUGAUUACAGUGCUCCUCCACCAAAGUAUCAAUAAUGCACAGCUCUUCUGGACCUUCUUCUUCUUCCGGAGUGAUUUGCUUUUUAGACAUAUAGAAAAUAUUUAGAUCCAGUGUCAUGUUGCCAAAAGUGAGUUGCAUCAGCCCAUUCCUACAGUUGAUGAUUGCAUUUGAGGUAGCAAGAAAUGGCCUUCCAAGGAUGAUAGGAACUAAAUUAGCUUCCUUUACAGUAGGAUAUGUAUCAAGAACAAUAAAAUCUACUGGAUAGUAGAAAUUAUCCACUUGAACCAAUACAUCCUCAAUUACCCCUCUUGGAAUUUUCACUGAUCUAUCUGCCAGGGAUAGAGUGAUUGUUGUUGGCUUCAACUCUCCAAGUCCCAAUUGCUUGUAGACAGAAUAUGGAAGCAAAUUCACACUUGCUCCCAAAUCUAGCAAGGCUUUCUCCACUACCUUUCCUCCAAUCAUGACCGAAAUGGUAGGACUUCCCGGGUCUUUGUACUUCAAAGGAGACUUACAUUGUAAGAUUGCACUUACUUGCUCAGUCAAGAAGGCUUUCUUAUUUACAGUCAACCCUCUUUUGAUAGUACAUAAGUCCUUUAGGAAUUUUGCAUACGUUGGAACUUGUUUAAUCAUAUCCAGCAAUGGGAUAUUGACUUUCACUUGUCUCAAUACUUCAAGGAUUUCAGCUGCAUUUCUAACCCCCUUUUUCCCAUGUAAUGCUUGAGGAAAAGGUGGAGAAGUUGAUUUCUUCAGCAUUUCUUCCUUCAGAAGUUCCUUCUCUGGAAUUACAUUCAUUGUUGAAUCAGAGUCCUUCUUUUCUUCACUGAUCUCACUCUCUUUAUCUUCCAUUUCCUUCCCUUUCUUUAUCUCUUCUUCUUUCUCAACAUGUGGCUUGGGUGUUGGCUGCUCAAUUUUUUUACCACUCCUUAGAGUGAUCAAGGCUUUCACAUCUUUCAUCUGUGAUGAUUCUCCCUCUUGGCUUUCCACUUCAUGGACACCUUUGGGAUUUUGGUGAGGUUGAGAAGGAAAUCUUCCCUUUUCUUGCAGUGUAUUCAAAUUUGUAAGCCUUGAAAUUGAAUAUUGGAUGUUAUCAAACUUUUGGUUCAUAUCAUUUUGCAUUCCAUCCAUCCUUUUAUUCAACAUACUCUCUACUCUAUCAAUUCUUUGAUAGAUUUGAGCAUUGGUGGCUUCUUGCUUUCCAACAAAAUCUCCCACUACCUUGCUGAGAUUAGCCAUUGCUUGUUCAAGACUUGAAGUUUGUUGAGAUGGUGGAUCCGGCUGUUGGUACUGAGUUGCUCUGGCCUUCCAUGAGAAAUUUGGAUGAUUCCUCCAACUUGAGUUGUAGGUAUUUCCAUAAGGCGCAUUGUUAUUGGGCCUGAAUUGUCCAACAACAUUUGCUUGAUCUCUAAACAUCUCCCUUUCAGCUGAAAUGGCAGGGCAUUCCUCUACCAAAUGUUCAUAUGAUUGACAAUUAGGACACAGCUUCACUUGCACUGGUGCUUCAGCAACAGCUUGCACUUCAUGAAUUCUUUUCAGCUCCAACUCCUCCAAUCUUCUUGUCAUAGCUGCCAACUUUGCUUUCAUAUCAUCAUCUUCUUUCAAGGUAUACAUCCCAGCCUUUGUAUUGAAAGCAUUUAGUUGAGACUUCAUCUUACCCACUUCUCCUUUGGUUGGUUCAUCCCAUCCUCUUGAAACAUCAGCUACAUAGCUCAAGAAAUCCAUAGCUUCCUCCGGAUUUUUGCUCAUGAAAUCUCCUCCACACAUUGUCUCGAGGAGUUGUUUCAUUGAGGAGGACAUACCAUCAUAGAAAUAGCUCACCAAUAGCCAAGUAUCAAAGCCAUGGUGAGGGCAAGCAUUUAUAGCUUCCAUGUAUCUUUCCCAACACUCAUAGAAUUUUUCAUUCUCUUUAGCUGAGAAGUUUGAAAUUUACCUUUUCAAGCCAUUUGUUCUAUGAGUGGGAAAAAAUUUCUUAAGGAAUUCAGCUUGUAGAUCAGUCCAAGAACGGAUACUCCUUGGCCUUAAAGAAUUAAGCCAAAUUUUGGCCUUAUCCUUUAAAGUAAAAGGAAAUAACUUCAGCCUCAUCAAAUCAAUUGAAGCUCCUCCCUCUUGGAAUGUAUUACAAACAUCUUCAAAUUCCUUGAUAUGUGCAUACGGAUUCUCACUUUCCAUCCCAUGGAAAGUUGGUAGAAGUGGAACAAGAUACGGUCUGAUCACUAGCUGCUCUGUAUGGGGCACUAUACAUGAUGGUGCACUCAUACGAGGUGGAUGCAUGCGGUCCCUCAUUGAUCUGAAUUCAUUGAGAUUAUCUUGACGACCUUGGUGACUAUGCUGAUCUUCAGGUGUAGCUUCCAUGAUAUUCAAGAUCACUUCGAAUUCUUUUCUCUGAGGUGUAUCACACUUAACAAGCCUUCCUCCACUAUCUCGUAUCCACUUUGGCAUACACAACUAAUAUCUAUCUGCAACUUAAAUGAAAAUAAAGGACAACAACAGAAACAGGGCUACAACAACAAAAUUAAACUAGGCUAAAUUUUAAAAGAUAAACUUGGAUUAUGAAUAAGUAAAGAAAGAAUGAUAAUUAGUAAAGUGAAAGAAACGUUACCAACUUGUGAUGAAAAUCACAAGUGCUCAAAAAUGGUAUCACUAUAAAUUUGACACCUUCCUCGGCAACGGCGCCAUUUGAUUCGUGCCCAAUUGGUGUCUCAGCUGAUUCGUGUCCAACUGGUGCUCCUUGAUUGAGGGAGUAAUCAACAAAAUUUAUAACCUAUAACACCAUAUACUAGGGUAGCAAAGAAAAAGCUACUAUAGUAUAGCGGCUCUAGGAUCGUUCACUGGGAAGGAUUAGCAAGCUACCAAUGAUACCAAUUCCAAGUGAAUUGGUCUUGUUUCCUUUCAAGGUUAGCUUAAGAAAUAAAACACAAACUUUGAUUGGUAAAGAUUUAAACUAACUAACAUAACAAGUACUCGGAAUAACUUAGAAAGAAAAGCAUUCCUUGGACAGUUAGGUUCACUGGGGUGGUUCCUCAUGCAAAAGACAUAGCUCCGGUCAGAUGGUUUCUUUCCUCGCAUUAGAGAUUCAACAUAUAGUCAAUUCUCUAACCGGUGCUGUACAGAUACCUCCUUCAAUUAGAUUUCACUUUAAUUCUCUCACUGAUGCAACUUGCAAUGGUUUAAGCCUCUCACUAAGCCGUAACCAUUCAAGGUGAUCUUUAACCUUGGACUUCCCUUCGCAAGCUCGCAAGAGAUAACUAAUGGAUGUCUCCUUGGAGUCCAAAAGCUUACCAAGUGUUGGCUUUUCUAGAAAAUCCUACCCUAAAGUCACCUCCCAGAGGCUCGCAAGGGGUAAACUAGUGCAUUUCCAUGGUUGGAAAUCACUUGCCUUACCAAGUGUUGGCCUAGGUGACUCUAAGGUGUUUUAAGUUAACUAAAAACAUAGAAAUCACUAAAGGAUUUCACUUCCUCUUCAUUAAUAGCUAAAACCACAAAGCUUUGCAUUCUUGCACUUGGAACCUUCCCCGGCAACCUUAGCUCCAAGGAAUUAGAGGUUUAGUUACUCAUUCUCUGGGGAAAACUCCUCAGAGAGUUCAUAACUUAGUAUAUAAAAUAAAAAUACAAAGUGAGAAGGUAAGGCAAUACAAAGAACUGAACUUUACUUGCUUACCAAAAACUUUACAAAAGGAUCUCCUCCUUGAGAACAGGCUCCCGAGAGGUAUAUAUAUGAACAUAAUAUAAAACUAAUUAUUACAUAGAUAUUUACUCUUUUUACUAACUUAAAAGCUAAGGAAUCUUGUAAUUGGUGGCUUACAAGGAGUAUUUUGGGAUUUAGACAACAAAAAUCUGAUGUAAAAUAUCUCCCAAUGUCGGUAGCAAAUAUCGGGAUGCUUCAGGAACCAUUCCGCAAGAGAAAAUGGUGUCUGCGAGAUUUCACAGGCAUUCAAGAAGGGCUGCGAAAUCAUUUCGCAACACAUGCUAACUUCGCAGGGCUGCGAAGUUGGCUUCCACCUUGAGGUUCUUAGCUCCCAGCUUGUGGCAUAUAUCGGGCAACUUCAGGAGGGAAUCCACAACACUGUUCAAAAAGGCUGCGAAAUCACUUCGCAACAAAAGGGUGAUUUCGCAGCACUUUGCAAAAUGCUUCCUUCAGCUUGGAGUGAUUGGCUUCCAAUGGCUGCAACUUCUUCAUUUUAACUCCGAAUUGUGCACCGUUUGAAGCAUUGGAUUGUUGACUUCCUGAGCUUUGAAAUGGUAUAUAGAAUGCAUCAAUUGGACCUCAGAAAGUGCUCCAAAAGUGGCUGCUACGACUGUCAUCAAGAAUAUGCUUCUUGACAGAUUCUCUUUACUUUUUCUCCUUGCAAUCCGGAUUUACUCUUGGCAAAUGACUUCUAAACUUUGGCCAAGAUUCCUCAUAACUCUCCUCAGUCUUGACUUGCUUUGGUGAUCAAAAUACUAACAAAAACACCAAAACUUACACAAAGUAAUUAAAAUUGCUUUCAAGGGUCCUUAACAUGCCAAUAGAGUUAAAAGGCCUAAACUACUACUCAAAAGUGUUUAAAAGGAUUAAUUACAAGCUAUCAAAUAGCACUUUUUGAGUAGUAAUCAUUGAGGAGGAGUAGAUUAAGGAUUUGUGGUACCGAAAGAUCAAAUUCAACUCACACAAGUGCAAAAAGAUAAUUUGGUGAAUUUGAAGAAGAAAGGUUUGAAGGCUUGCCUUUGCAUCUAUCAGUCAACAAAACUGCCUAUUUUUUUAUAAGAUUGUGAAUGCAAGUACGACAAAAGAUGUAUGGGACAUCCUUAUGAACACCUACAAAGGGGUAAAGAAGGUGAAGAAGGCACGAUUAUAGACUUUGAGGAGAUAAUUCGAACUUCUUCAAAUGGAGAAAACAAAAAGAGUCUUCGACUACUUUUCAUGAACAUUAGCUCUUUUCAAUCAGAUGAAAUCUAAUGAUGAAAACAUUUUAGAUCUCCAAGUUAUGGAGAAAAAUUUUCAAACCUUAACCAUGCCAUUCGAAUACAAGUUAACAACAAUUGAAGAAUCGAAAUAUCUUAGUACCAUGACGUUGGAUGAAUUGAUGGGUUCCUUGCAAGUCCAUGAACAAUGCGUAGAUGAAAGGUCCCAAAUUGAGGCAAAAGAAGCAUUAGAAAACCAAGUCUUAAAAAAGAAAAAGAGGAGUCUCAAAAUAAUUUUGAAUUAAGUAAGAAAGGUUAGAAUCACUACAAGAAAGAUGAUUAUUAGCAACACAAUUUUUUGUCAUAAAAAGGUUAAUAUCAUUGCAAAAAAGUUUUCAUGACGAAAAUUAUUUUGUUUCAUGAACAUCGCCUUAUCCUCAUCACAAAAAGUUUUUGCAACAAAUAAAAAUUUUCAUCUCUAAUAGUUUAUAGAGACAUAAUUUGUUUGUUGUUUCCAAUAAUAUUUUGACAAAAAGAUUUGUUGUUAAAUGUUUAGAAUUUUGUUGCUAAAAAUGCUCAAUAAUGAAUUAAAUUGUCGCCAAAUUAGACACAUACAACAACAACGAAAAUUAUUAUAUCGUUGCCAAAUAGAUUUUGAAACAAAACUUUAUUUUGUUGCUAAAAGUUAAGGUCAUAUUUUAACAAAAAAAAAAUUGAUGUCUCUAAAUGUAUGAACUUUUGUUACUAAAUAUCUAUAUGUGUAUAAUAAUUUUAUCAUCAUAUCUUAAAAUAUUCAAUUAAUAUAUUUUAGUUUUUAUAUUUAAUUUUAAAUUAUAAAACCUCGUUAAAAAAUUAAAUUUUGUGAUACCUUAAUUUUAUUAUAUAAUUAAUAAUUAUAACAUCUAAAUGAAUAAAUAAAUUAUAUGAUAACAUAGUUUUAAUACAUGAUUGAUAAUAUUUUAUCAAAUAUAAAAGAACUUUGUUAUGUCCACAUAUACGAAAAAGAAAAAAAAAAGAUAGUAAACAUUGAUAUCCACAUUUGUAAAAUGUGAUAAGUUUUAGAAAUAAAAGAAAAGUAGCAAACUAACACAUACACAAAAUAUGAUAAUAUCUAAAAAAUUGCAAUGAACUAAAUUAAGUACCAGACAUACAUGCCAAAACCAAAUGCUUAGAAAAUGUCGAUCAUCAUCCAUGAGUGUGACUAGGAAUCUAUGAACGGUGUAUCAUGUGAGGGAGAUGAACUUUCUGAGCCUGAACCUAGAAUGUGCAUGUAUUGACAUUUCACAAACAAAACUAGCUAAUUGAUCCAUCUGGAAUUGUUGGUGCUAGAUUCGAGCCUCUUGACUUUGGAUGAGCUCUUGUGUUGAUCUAAGCUCAUUCUCCAAUUCUAUCUCUCAAUGUGACUUAGCACAUAUAGAUCUCAAUGAGGAUGGGGGUGGUUGAGGGCCAUGACUUAACCCCUUGAUAGAUCUCAAGCCUAUCUAGCACGUGAACACAUAUAUCAACCUUUUUCAAGUUUUGACCAUCUUCCAACACUAGUUACCUUUGCAAUUCCAACAUUCUUUCCUACAAAUAUAAAGAAAAGUUAAAUAAUAUAAAACACAAACCAACUGAAUAAAUAAAAGUUCGAAAAAUAAAGUACAUUAGAAUAAAAUCUUUUUAGCAUAUUCAACUAUUAUUAUUUAUGUAUGGAUCUAACUUAGCUAAUUCAACUAUAAUUUAUUGCAAAGAGACAUUACGUGUAGAUCUAACAAUUUACUUAUGUUUCAUAGCAUGUUCUUCAUGACUAUGAGAAAAUUUUAAAAGGUUCAUAUUUAUUUUAUAGAAUUUUCAUAAAUUUUGUAAAGUUUUAUUGAUCCAUCCUUCUUCUUCACAAAUAAAAAAAGAGCUCCCCAAGGCAAAACACUAGGUCAAUAAAAACCCCUAUCUAACAACUCUUGAAGCUGAGACUUCAACUCCUUAAGCUCCACAGGUGCCAUCUUGUAUAGAGUCUUAAAGAUAGGAACUGUUCCUGGUAGCAAAUUGUUAGGAAUAUUAAGCUAAUCCAACUAUGGUAAUCACCUUAGAGGAGGGGGAGGGGGGGUUUGAAUAGGGUGAUGGUCUCUUUUUGCAAAUAUAAACUAUGUGAAAGUAAGAGACAAUUUAUAUGCAAGUAUAUGAUAAGCAAUAUAAAGACAAUUGCAUAUAAAUUAAAAGAGUAGGGAAGAGAGAAUGCAAACACAAGAGUUUAUAGUGGUUCGACGCAACCCGACCUACAUCCACUCUCCUCUAGCUUCAAUCCCGAGCUUGAGGUUCCACUAAUUUAAGGCUUCCAAACCAAGCCUUCAAGCAAUACAAUUGGAUUAUGGCUCCAAUUCACCCUCUUGGACUUUUGGCUCUAAGCACCCUUUACACUUCUGAAGAGCUAUCCCACUCUUGAACAACCCCUCAAGUGAUACCCCAUACUUGAGACUUCCUCUCAAAGAUUUACAAAUAAAAGAUCUCACAAAAUCCUAGCACAAGAACUUUAAGCUCAAAUGAUACAAGAAAACUAGGAUUGAAGUGUGCACUAAAGAUAUGCAAGUUUUAGAACAAUGAUGCACUCAAAAACACUCUUCCAAGGCUCAAAUAUAAUCAAGAAAUGUUUGGGAAGGUUAAGCUUUUUAAACAAUGAAGAUUGGAGCCUUUUUAUAGAAGAGAAAAACCAAACUAGUCUUUUGGGGGUUCGACCAGUCGAGCUAGGGGUCGAUCGGUUGACUAGCCGUUAGCAUUUAAUGCUUGGUAGGUAACCGUUGGGCCUCAACCGGACCUCGACCGGUCCUCGACCAGACCUUGACCGGUCCUAGACCGGACCUCUACCGGGAAGAGAAUCAUCUCAACCGGGAAGAGAAAGCCACUAGGAGAGAAAGAAACUUUUUGGCCUUCCUCAACCAGACCUCGACCGGACGAGCACAACCAGUCGACCGGUUCCUCAAUCGAUUGAGUCGGUUGAGCCAUUUUUGGCUCAACACCCAACUUUUUCAACUUAAAACCUUUUUAAAACAAGUUUGAGAAAUAUUCAACACAAGGCUUUAGUUGAAAACAUGAAAUCAUCCAAUUUUUAAGAUAUUUAAAACAUAAUAACUAUUUGAUGAUUUUGGUGCAUAAAUAAAUAAUGUAAUGCAUGAAAAUCCUAGUGCACCAACAACCUUACAAAGAGAUCUUAUGAAGCUUGGGUCUUGAAAAACACUUCUCUUUGAGGUGGUCUUCUUCUUCAUGAUUUCUCCUUGGCUUGAUUUGUCUUUGUGAUUACCACUUUGGAAAUCGUCUUGCCUAAUCACACUUAAAAUAUAAUCAUUAGUUUUAAACUUUGUUUUGUUAUCAUCAAAAUCAAGAUUAACCAAACCUUGGUUUCACACAAAUCAAUGGUAAAUUCCACCUCCAUUUCUAGUGGCAAGCCAGGCAAAUUGUCUAGAAAAAUAUCAGGAAAAUCCCUUGCAACGGGUAUGUCCUCCAAUUUUAAAUCAUUUUCAUCACUCUCCACAUAAGCCAAAAAGCCUUGACAACCCUUCCUAAGAAAAGAACUAGCUUGUAAGGCUAAGAUCAUACAGAGUGGUCUAUCUGCAUGCUUUCCCUCAAAACUAAACUCAGAUUGACCAGGGAUGCUAAAUAUCACCCUUUUCCCAAAAUAAUCAACAAAAACAUGAUAGGAAGCUAACCAACCCAUUCCCAAAAUUACAUCAAAAUCCUUAAGGUCAAGGAGUACUAAGUCAACUGGCAUUUCCCUAUAACCAAUCAUCACAAGAAAAUCUCUAAGCAUUUUGCUGGUCACAACAGAAACUCUCAUAGGAGUAGCAACAAUCAAAUCAAAGUCCAUGAUAGCAACAGGCAUACCCAACCCAACAAACCAACAAAAGAUACCGAAACAAAAGAGUGUGUUAAGCUUGGAUCAAUUAAGGCUCUAGCAAAUAAAGUGUGAAUUCAAAUAGUACCUAUCACCACAUCAGAAGUAGCUUGAGCAUCUCGAUGAGUCAUAGCAAACACCCGCCCUUGGGCCCUAGGCUUCUUUUUAUCCUCUUUAUUCUCCUCCUUAAGCUUUCCAAUGAUAAAAUUUUUAUUCUCUGGACAAUCUGGAACCAUGUGUCCUUGCUUCCCACAGCCAAAGCAAGUUUUAGUCUCCCUAUAGCAUGGCCUACCCCUGUGCUUCUUACCACAAGUAGGACAGAUCACAUCUGAAUUUUGUGUUAUCUUCCCUUUAUUCUGAUUUCUAGUAGAGGCAGACCUUUUUUGUGCUUAGUUACCAUGAGCACCAUCACUGCUAUUCCUCUUCCUUUGUUGUUCCCUAUACUGAUGAAGCUCCUCAUUAUCUUUUUCUACAAUAAGGUCUCUGUCCACAAUCUCUGAAUAGAUGCCAAGUUUCAGAAUAGAUAUCUUGUUCUUCAUGUAAGACUUUAAUCCAUCCUGAAAUUUUAAUACUUUUUCUUCCUCCAUAGCAAUCAACUGUGGGGCAAAACGUGACAACUCUAUAAAUUUGGCCUCAUACUGGGCCAUAGUCAUCUCCUCUUAUUCCAAACAAACAAACUCUCCCACCUUUUGUCGCCUAACACUGUCAGGGAAGUACUUCUUGUAGAAAGUCUCCAUAAACUGUCUUCAAGUUAUAGGUCCCUGAUCGUCCAAAAGCCUUUUGAUCAUAUGCAACCAAUGAUCUGCUUCUUUGUCUAACAUAAAUGCUGCAUAAGAGGCCAUUUGCUCCUCAGAGCAAUCUAUGACAUCAAAGAAUUUCUCCAUCUUAAGAAUCCAAGCCUCUGCUUCUAUUGGAUCUGAAGUGCCAAAAAAAAUAAGGAGGACCUAGUUUCUUAAAGUCAUCAAAGGAGCUACCCCUAGAAAAUGAGGGUUGUCACUGAUCAUUAGUCUCAGCAGCUCUAAAUUGAUGCUCAACCAAAUCAACUAAAGUUCUAGGAUACUUAUAAAGCCCUUCUACAUUCAAGGGAGGCAAAUCCUAAAGUAGAGGAGGUACAUCAUUAUUAGCUUGACUGUUUUGGGAAGAUGUUGUUCUUCUUGGUGCCAUGAUCUCCUAUAAAGCAUAAGGCAUAGCUAAAUUAGUCGCUAAGAAAUCAAUUAGACAAUUUGGAUUUAUAAAGAAGAAAAAAGAGUUUAUACAAGAUGAAGCUAAAACUUAAACUAAUGUGUUACUCAUCUAUCCCCAAAGUAAACUAAAUCAAGUUCCCAACAAGAUCAUAACCUAAUGCUCUGAUACCACUUUGUCAUGCCCUAAAAUCCACUCCAAGGGCAUGAUGGUCAUUUCACACUGAUGCGACUCAUGGUAGCUUAGCUUUAAAGGCGUAUCAACAAAAUUUAUACCUUAAAUACUAUUACUAAAGUAGCCAAGCUACUAUAGCAUAGUGGUUCUAGGAUCGUUCACUGGGAAGGGUUUUCGCAAACACAAGUGAUAUUCAAAUUAGGAAAAUAGGUGAUUUUCUUAUGGAUGUUAGCUUUAAAAGAAGAUGAAAAUGUUUUAGAAAGAUUUAAACUAAUCUAAGCUAACAUUAAAGACUAAAAUAAAAGGGUGUAAAAGCAAGUUUCUCAAAGAUAGGAUAGCUAUGCUCUGGCUCUUAUGCAAAUUGGAAAUCUAAGGAUAGGCUCCUCGCGUUGGGGUUGCAACUAUGGUGAUGCUUGCUUCCCGAACCGGUAUGGAUUUAGCAAAUCAAGUUUUAAUCCUUUAAAAUGGCAAAACAGAUGGUAGUGAAUUUCAUCAAUGGUUAUUCACCUUAGACUUCCUUUGAAUGGCUCGUAAGAGAUAANNNNNNNNNNNNNNNNNNNNNNNNNNNNNNNNNNNNNNNNNNNNNNNNNNNNNNNNNNNNNNNNNNNNNNNNNNNNNNNNNNNNNNNNNNNNNNNNNNNNNNNNNNNNNNNNNNNNNNNNNNNNNNNNNNNNNNNNNNNNNNNNNNNNNNNNNNNNNNNNNNNNNNNNNNNNNNNNNNNNNNNNNNNNNNNNNNNNNNNNNNNNNNNNNNNNNNNNNNNNNNNNNNNNNNNNNNNNNNNNNNNNNNNNNNNNNNNNNNNNNNNNNNNNNNNNNNNNNNNNNNNNNNNNNNNNNNNNNNNNNNNNNNNNNNNNNNNNNNNNNNNNNNNNNNNNNNNNNNNNNNNNNNNNNNNNNNNNNNNNNNNNNNNNNNNNNNNNNNNNNNNNNNNNNNNNNNNNNNNNNNNNNNNNNNNNNNNNNNNNNNNNNNNNNNNNNNNNNNNNNNNNNNNNNNNNNNNNNNNNNNNNNNNNNNNNNNNNNNNNNNNNNNNNNNNNNNNNNNNNNNNNNNNNNNNNNNNNNNNNNNNNNNNNNNNNNNNNNNNNNNNNNNNNNNNNNNNNNNNNNNNNNNNNNNNNNNNNNNNNNNNNNNNNNNNNNNNNNNNNNNNNNNNNNNNNNNNNNNNNNNNNNNNNNNNNNNNNNNNNNNNNNNNNNNNNNNNNNNNNNNNNNNNNNNNNNNNNNNNNNNNNNNNNNNNNNNNNNNNNNNNNNNNNNNNNNNNNNNNNNNNNNNNNNNNNNNNNNNNNNNNNNNNNNNNNNNNNNNNNNNNNNNNNNNNNNNNNNNNNNNNNNNNNNNNNNNNNNNNCCCAAAUAGCUCCUCCCAUCAAAUUGGCAAGCUAGAAAUGGUUCAUAAGUUGAUAAAAAACAUGUAAACUUGCCACAAAAUGGUUAAAACCAAUUACUAAGGACCUUAGUGAAUUAAUUGGGUUAAAUGAAUAUGAUUACUACUCAAAGGUGCUUAAAACCAUUAUUAUUAGGUCUACAAAAUAGCACUUUUUGGUAGUAAUCACACCCCCCAACCGACUCAUUGCUAGUCCCUUAGCAAUGGAGGAGAUAAAAACUAAGUAAACUAUAAUAAUAUACAUAAAAGGGAUCAUGCAAAUCACUCCAAAAAAUGACAUGAGUGGCAUGAUGGACAUCCAUGGAUCAAUAAAGAUGUGAAACUCAACCUAUAAUAAGAGUUGUCAAAGCAUUCACUUGAUCAUAGAGUACAAAGAAUGGAUAUUAUGCAAGUUUAAGCAUCAAAAGAAUUUCCACUCUCAAAAGAUCCAAAUCAAAUUCUUCCACUAAAAGCAAAGUGUUAAUGUGAUUAGCUUCCGAGUAUAGUAUGGAUAACUAUCAUCUCCCCCCAACCUAAGUCUUUCUUUAAGCUUAGCAAAAUUAACCAUCUCUUGAUAGACUAGGAACGCACCUCUUAUUCACAAUUUUUUUUUCACUUACUAAACUUAACCAAUUCACCCAUGUAACAAGCAAAGGAUCGAUGACUCCCAACCAAUAAAGGCUUAGGGCACCAGGCUUUAAAGGCUUUUGCCACCCCUUCGGACCAUGCUCAGGUUUCAAGGCAAGCAAAGAAGUUUAUUCUAUUCUUUUUUUUUUCUUUUUCUUUUUCUUUUUCUUUUUCUUUUUUUCUAUUUUUUUCAAAGACUCAUUGGUCUUUAUGAGGUGUCCCAACACUAUUAAAGAGAGGUUAAAGGUGUCAAAUUAUGAUUUCUCAAGCUUAGAGGGUGAGAUAGUUUCACAUUUUAUAACCGGAAUCUAAUGUAUGUGUGUGCGAAUAGCUUAAGGUGGAAGAGAUAAGUUUGCAUGAAAUGGGAGUUUCAACCAUUCAUCAACUUUUAGAAGAGCAUAAUACAAACUCUAAGACUCAUGUAAUCAAGUUGAAACUCGACUUCUCUCAUUUAAUUUUGAGAGUUAAUCCUUAAUAUCCAUGGAGUUUAAAGCAAAAAUUUUAAAAUUUAAACAAAAAGUAGCUAAUUUAACUAAGUAUGAUAAAAAUUUAAACUAAUACUUACUUCCUCAUCUCUCCCCCCAACCGAGAUGAACAUUGUCCUCAAUGUUUGAAUCGAAAAUAAGGAGGAAGGAAGUGGUACCUCAUGUGAUGUGGACUUGGAGUUGAGAAGAUUGAACCACCUGUUUCAAAAUUCAAAAAUUGAAUGAGAGAGGAAUUUAUACUAAAUAUUUACAAAAAUGAUGAGUGGGCCCCACUUUGAGCAGCUGAGGACAAGGCUCAAAGGGUCCAUGCCAUGAUGGUAUACUCAUAUAAGUUGUAAUGACAUUUGAAUGUAGCUUGCAGGGGUGUUAAAAUUGGAGAUUUUUGGCUAAAACAGGGGAAAACAAAGGAGGAGUGAACAGUGAGUGCCAAAAUUGGCACAGUCACUGUUCACCUCUUUUGAAGCCCGACUGUGUGUUUUCCAAGUUUUGGGAAAAAAUUCAAAAAUGGUUUUUUAAAAGGUAUGGUUAGGCUUUAAACAAGAUUCCUAAGGUGUUUGGGUAGUUUUUAAAUGAUAAAAAACAAAAUUAAAUGAUGGAAAAUGAAAAUCAAAGUGGACGGCCAUGCAUGGAAUGGUUUUGAAAUUCGAUUUUUAAAAAGUUUUGGAUGGAUGGGAUUUGAAAAAUUGGGUUUGGAUUUGAAAACAAAAGGUUUGGAAAUGCAUUCAUGAAUUUUUAAACUUGGAAAAACAUGGAAUUCAAGAAAAAGGCCUUCCCGAGAGCUUUGUUUUUAGAAAUUAGCUUGAAAAUCAUUUCGCACCAAGAUAAACAAGGUGCGAAAGUUUUCGCACUGGUAAUUGAGGUGCGAAGAUAGCAUCCCGGGAGGCUUGGCUUUCCAAAAUGUAUAGAAAUUCCUUUUCGCACCAUGCACUGUCACUGUGCGAAAAAUUCGCACUGAGUGUGUUCAUGGUGCGAAAUUCCACUGAGAGCUUUGCUUAUGCAUUUUGGCUCCCUUGUUUCCUCUGUUUCACCUCCAUUUCGAUUUUUGCAAGCAUCGUACCUGCAUGAACACUUCAAAACUCAUCUUAAAAACAUAUUAAAACUAAAUUAAAGCUAAAAAUUCAAACUAAAACAUGCAUAAAUUUAAAGAAAGCAUAGAAUUUAAAUGAAGCUGAUAGCAUGUACCCCAAAAAGAAGAUGAACUAUUUAGCUCAUCCUCACUCACACACCCACUUCAUACUGAAUUCCCCCUGGAUCCCAAACAAAAUUGGCAUCCUUCCCAUUUGGUCCAAGGGAAUUCAUUUCUCUUCUCUUCCCUAGAGAAGUGGAUGCUUUAAAGGGUUCAAGUAACCCUUUAUCAUCUUGAACCUUAUGAUUUUCAAUGGAAGGUUGGUCCAUAAAGUUGUCAUAGCAAUCCUCCACCAAAGUGUCGAUCAUCAACACUUUCCUUGAUCUUUUUGCAUUGGUUCCUUGAAGGUUAUGGUGGGGUUGAGGAGGAAGCUUCCUUUUCCCCCUUGCUAUGUCGAGAUUGGUGAGCUUCUCAAUGGAGUCUUGAAUUUUUUCUAUCCUUAGUGAUAGAUCAUUAUAAACCCCCUCCAUUCUUAUAUUUAUUGAACUCUCCAAAUUAUCAAUCUUUUCAUUAAGAUGAGAGUUGAUCUUUUGUUGCUCACCUACAAAGUCCUCCAUGACUUUGCUUAUCUUCAAAAUGGCUUGCUCCAAUGAAGAUGUACUCAUUGAUGGUUGAGGUUGAGGUUGGGUUGCAAGGUUGGGAUGGUUUAUAUACUCAAAUGAAGUUGGCAUGGCUUGUGGUUGUGCUUCAGUAUGCACAUUCCUCAAUUCAAACUCCUCUAUCCUUCUAGCCAUAGAUGCUAGCUUUGCCUUCAUGCUCAUGUCUUCAUUCAAGACAUACUUACUACCCCAUUGGCUUUGUUGAACUUGCCUUUUCCCUAACUCAAUCCGAUCCCUCAUGGAUAAGUAUGCAAAUUUGUCCUUCUUAUGAUCAUAAUGAGAGCUUUGAUCUUCAUGUGGAAUUUCCAUUUCUAAAAAAAAUGAUAUUCAACUAAGGCUCUUUUUUUUUCAACUUGUACCAGGGUUCCCUCUUGGUCUCGAAUCCAACAAGGAAUGCACAAAUUGAAAUUAAAACAAAAAUAAAAGAAAAGAGAAUAAAAAAAAUUUAACUAAAUAAAAACUAAACUAAAAAAAAUUAUAAGAAAACUCACCAAACUUGUGAUGAAGAUCACAAGUUAUCCUUAAUGGUUGCUUCACUGUGCUUGUGGCACCUUCCCCGGCAACGGCGCCAUUUGAUGCGACUCAUGGUAGCUUAGCUUUAAAGGCGUAUCAACAAAAUUUAUACCUUAAAUACUAUUACUAAAGUAGCCAAGCUACUAUAGCAUAGUGGUUCUAGGAUCGUUCACUGGGAAGGGUUUUCGCAAACACAAGUGAUAUUCAAAUUAGGAAAAUAGGUGAUUUUCUUAUGGAUGUUAGCUUUAAAAGAAGAUGAAAAUGUUUUAGAAAGAUUUAAACUAAUCUAAGCUAACAUUAAAGACUAAAAUAAAAGGGUGUAAAAGCAAGUUUCUCAAAGAUAGGAUAGCUAUGCUCUGGCUCUUAUGCAAAUUGGAAAUCUAAGGAUAGGCUCCUCGCGUUGGGGUUGCAACUAUGGUGAUGCUUGCUUCCCGAACCGGUAUGGAUUUAGCAAAUCAAGUUUUAAUCCUUUAAAAUGGCAAAACAGAUGGUAGUGAAUUUCAUCAAUGGUUAUUCACCUUAGACUUCCUUUGAAUGGCUCGUAAGAGAUAACUAAUGGUCUAAAGCCAAAAGCUUACCAAAUAUUGGCAACUCAAAGUCAUUCCAGGUGAUAAACUCACCUUUCAAUGGCCAUUGAAAUUGGUUCUAACGGAUUAAUGCAAAACUUGGAAUUGAAAACCUCACCUUCCAAUAGCUCGUAGGAGAUAACUAAUGGAUAGAAAUCCAAAAGCUUAUCAAGUAUUGGCCGUUGGAAGUUGUCCAAAGGAAAUAAAAACCAAACUUUGCAUUAAUGAACCAUUAAUGAAAAACGACUACCUUACCUUCCAGGUGCGAGAAAUUUCCAUGGGAUUGCAUCCAAGCCAUCACAUAACAUCCAUACUUUGAGAAACUAAAAGUUUUAGCCAAUCAUCCUCUGAGGAAAAGCCCUCAGAGGUUGUUUGGCUACUAAGAAAAUAGAAAUGGAGAAGAACGGGAGAAGAGAGAAAAACAAAGCUUUAUAUAUCUCUAAGUUAAUGUACAGAGGAUCGAUCCCCAAAACAUCCCCCUUUUUUCAUCCCCCUUUUGGAGGUGUUGUGCACCUCUAUAUAUAGCAAAAUUACAAGAUAAAGCUUUAUGUCGGCUGAAUACAAGGUUACAAAAGGAAUUUACAUGAGAAAAUAUCAAGCUAAAAAUAUUUGGGAAGUCGGUGGUGCGUGCGUGGAGAAACAGAGGAUUCAAAGGAAUUUCGCAAUGUAAAAGGCACAUUGCGAAAUUUUCGCAAGGUGAAUUACUCAUGAUGCGAAGUGCCAUAUUUUCGCAUCAUGAGUUAAUUCACCUUGCGAAAUUUUCGCAAUGUGAAAUUCACAUUGCGAAAUGGCAAAAUUUCGCACCAUGAAGAAAAUCACAUUGCGAAAUUUUCGCAAUGUGAAAUUCACCUUGCGAAAUUGGUCAUUUGGCAUGAUGCAGUUGCCUUCCGAAGGCCAUAUCUUCCUCAUUUCAGCUCCAAAUCAUACACGGUUUGAAGCGUUGGAUUCUUGACUUCCUAAGCUUUCAAAUGGUAUAUAGCAUGUAGAAAAUGGACUUCGGGAAGUGCUCCAAAAGUGCGAAAUAAGACUGCAGCUGUUUUCUUCACUCUGUUUUCCUCUUCUCCAUUGCUUGUGCUCGUGUUUCCACUUGAAAUUCAAGCCUGUAAUCAUCCAAAAUCCUUGCUUAACUCGCCCAAAUAGCUCCUCCAUCAAUUGGCAUGCUUGAAUUGGUUCAUAAGCUGAUAAAAACAUGUAAACUUGCCACAAAAUGGUUAAAACCAAUUACUAAGGACCUUAGUGAAUUAAUUGGGUUAAAUGAAUAUGAUUACUACUCAAAGGUGCUUAAAACCAUUAUUAUUAGGUCUACAAAAUAGCACUUUUUGGUAGUAAUCACACACCUUAACCCCAAAGGCUCAAAGUGGAAAUGACACAAACAUUCGUAUUGUAAUUAGAAAUUUACCAAUUACCAAAUUCCUAUUCAGAGUAGUAGAACAAAAAUUCUAAAAUCUCGAGAUAAUACUUUUUGAAACUAACACAUCAAACCAAGUGUUAUUGUCCAAAUAACUCCAAACUCAAAUAAUUCUAAUGGAAAGUAAAUUUUAACAUCUAAACAAUGCUCAAAAUAAAGAGAGUUUUGACAAAUGUCCUAACAAGCUAAUUUUCCCUCCUAACCAUCACUCCUCUCCCGAACUAAGGGUACCUGGAAAAUUAUCAACAAAGGGGGAUGAACUCAAAGCCCAAUAUGGAAUAUUAACACGGUUUCAUGAAUCAAAUAUUUUCAAUUACACUUACAAAUAGGAGAUAUAACAUAUAAUCUAUUUAUAAAACUUUUGUAAUAAACAUGCUAAAACAUUUAAACUGUUCAACAAACAUUUUCAUAUAUAUAUAUAAAUCAUUUCAUAUCCAUUUCAAAUCAAAUACAUUUCAAUUGCUUUUACUCUGGUUAUCAAAUAACAAAUAGUGCCCAUUUAAGUGGGACUUUACAAAUAGGUGGCUAACCUCAAAUGUUCCUUUCUAAGGUGGACGGAACCAAACACUACUAGUACUAAUAACCUCUAACCAAACCCCUAGAGGCUGGGAUCCAAAUCAAUUACAUUCCCCACCACAAAAAUGUAAAGGUCAACUAUUAUAUCCCGUUGACAAGGGCCAAACAAAUCAGAGUCAAAUUCUUUAUUUUAUUUAUUCCAAUAUACUAAUGCAGAAAAUCUCCAAGUGUUUCGAUGUAAACAAAAUAAAUUUUAUAAUACAUUUUUCCAUACAAAAAUAUAUUUGAUCCAUACUUAAAAGCAAAAAUAACAAUUACACAUUUCAAACAACAUAUAUAAAAAAAUUAUUUUUUUUGCAAAAUUUGUAUUAAUUUCCCUUACCUCAAAAUAAGUUCUAAAAAACUUUGGAGAAAAAUAAUUCUGGAAAAUCUACUCUUUACCUAACAAAGCAUAAGAGAAAUAACCAUUACUAUUUAUCUAAAAUUAUAGGUUUGACAAUCCUGAAAUUUUAGGUAUUCAAAUUAAUGUUUAUAAUUAUGAAAGAUAAUUUAAUCUAUUUAGAAAAAUUAAUAAAUUCCUAAUUCAUAUCAAACUUAAAUUUUACUUUCAAUUUAUUUCUUGGGACACAACAUAAUUUAAUUAAACUACAAUUUAUUUCACUAAUUAAAUUUUAUGCUAUAAAUUUAACUAAUUUGUACUUGACCUCGUUUCUUUAUACAUAGUUUAUUCUACCACUUUCAUCAUUCUUCUAUCUUCCCACAUGCAUGCAUUUUUUUAUUUUUUUUUGGCCACUGUUUAGUAUUAUUAUACACUUUUAGAAAUCACCCAAUACAUUGAAAUCUUAUAAUUUUUUUUAAAUAUUUUCCAAUCCCUUAAGUCUCAUAUAAUCAUAUAUUUAUUUACUCAUUUAAUUUUUCAAAUUUCAUUGCUUAGAUCUACUCAUCUAAGAAAAUUUGAAUUUCCCUAUUUUCAUCAAUGGAACAACCUUUAUUCAUAAUUUCAAUAUUUUGAUCUAAAAGUUUUAAAUAGAUUAACCCUAGCCUAAAUCGAAAUCUUCCAAAGAAUUUUUUUUUUUUUCAUCUAAAAACUUAAGAUUUACCAAUUUUCAACAAUAAAUCAUCCCAUAAUCUUAAAUAUCCAAUAUUUUAAUAUUAAAACAAAUUAAAAAUAUAUAUUAACCCUAAUCUAAAUUAAAAAAAAAAAUCAAAGAAUAUCUAGCGUGUUCAGAACUAACUAACGAAUAUAAUAUAUUAAUUUAGAGUUAGAAUCUUACCUAGAAAAAUCUGAACUUCAAACUUUGAACCUUUAAACCUUUAGCCCUAUGAUCUCCAAUUCUCUAAUUUUGGUUGAUAGGGUUUUCUGAAUAAAUAAUACAAGAGGAAAAUCUAAUUUAUACCUAAGAUUAUCAAUUGUAAAAGGACUCUUUCACCUUUAAUGAGUUUAAUUAAUUAAUUAAUUAAUUACUUUUUAAUUUACUAUUUUGCCCCUAGAGUUAAUUUUGGGGUGUUACAAUUUUUUUCUAUUUUCCCAAUUUUUUUUUCAAAAAUGUGUACUGAGCAUGUAAGUGACUUCAAGGUCAUUCGGAUUAAUUGAGUUAAGGUAUUAGGCUUCAAGGUCAUUCGGAUGACAUUUUCUCUAUUUACACUUCGGCUAUGUUUGGUUCCCGGAAAAUUUGAGGGAAAAUGCGAGGGAAAGAAAAUACAAAGGAAAAGUAGAAGGAAAGAAAAAGUGAAGAAAAAUAAAAAAAUAGAUUAAAAGUUGAAAAAUUAUUUUUUUGUUAUUUCAAACUCAUUUUAUUUAUUUUAACUCAUCAAUAUAAAGAUUAAAUAAUUUAAAAAUACAUAAGUUUUUAAUUAGUUUUAAUUAUAUUUGAUUUUCUUUGAUAUUUUUCAUAGGACAACCAAACAUGAGAAAAUCAUUUUCCUUAGCAUUUUUUUUCUUUCCUUCGUACUUUCCGGGAACCAAACAUAGCCUUCAUGUUAGCAAGGCUUCAAGGCUUCUGAUCACUAUGAAGUUUGAUUCUACCCUCAUUAUCUUACUAUGAAGUGACAAGAAGUAGAUUUUUUGUAUCCUCGUUCAACAAUAUCUUCACACUAUGAAGCUCUCACCACUUGGAUUCCUCCAUUGAGGACGAUCAGUAGUAAACUUCGGUAAUCUCUCUAUUUAUUAUAAAUUUGUUAUUUUUUAUGAAAACUUUAGGGUUAUGGUUUAGAUAUAUUCCAAAUCCAUGUUAGCAAGGGUUAAAUAUUUUUAUGGCUUUAAUUGUUUUUUUAAACACGAGGAAGAACCUAUGUUAAAGAAAAAAUAAAAAUCCAUCCUUACUUUUCAGUUCCCUUUGUACUAAAAACAGAGGUGGAUUUUAAGGUUGAUGCAUUAGCAUCUCAAAUGCAGAAAAUUCUAGUGCUUUUUUCCCGUGUUUGGUCACUGGCAAAAUAUAGGAAAUGGAAAUAAAAGGUGGAAAAGGAAAUAAUAUUGAAUAAAGAGAAAUGGUUUAGGUUUAAGAUUCUUUUAUCAGCCUCUAUUGGGUCUCUCAGAGAAGGUGGGAAAGAGAAGUGAAUAUAACUUAAGUUUUCUUUUGUUUUUGUUUUCUUUCUUUCUUUAUUUUUUUAUUUUGUUUAGUUAGAAAAAAUGGUGUUAACAGUUGACUUUAUUAAAGAAAAUGUAAGGUCUCAACAAUGCUAUAAAGCAAGCUUUUGGGAAAAAAGAACCUUGAAGUUUAUUGUUUUUUUCUUUAUUAUAUUUGUUUUUAGAAACUGACAUCAAAUGAAAAUGCAAGGUGUAAUAUGUUGAUUCUAAGAUUAAAUUUUUUUUGUUAGCCUUUGUUUGGUUGCUGAGAAAAUGUAGGAAAAAAGAAUGGACACUAGUUGAUAAGGUCUAAAAGUUCUUAAUCAAAUUGUAUCAUUAGUUCUAUAAGCACUACCAUCAUAUUGAAAUUAGUUUGAACCAUGAGUUUAAUUUUUUUUUUUCUAUUUUUGGUGAAUUCAAGUUAGCUUAGGGAUAAAUAAUAUUACCUUCUGAAAUGACUUUCAUGUGGUGCUAUAUAAGUUCCGACAAUUACGCAUAAGUUCAUUAAUUGAUAUAUGAAAUCUAGUUUUAGUUUGAUGGUUCUAUUAUAUAGUUUUGCCUACCAUGGUAAAAGAGCCCAGGGAUUUUACUUUGAUGUCAUGUUUUAAGGGAUUCUAGUCAUAGAAUUAGGCUUAGUUAGAGUUUAAAAUAUGGACUGCAUUUGUAGUGACAUGAAUAAUUAUGAUUUGUAAGUCUAAUUAUUGUUGCCCAUGAUUGGUUUAUGAUUUUUGUUCAUCCUUGUUCACCUGAACUAACCUCCAUAUAAUAUAGUAAAUAUAGCAUAGGGAUGCCAAUUUAUUUGGAGAGAAGGUUUUAAAGUUGUUAUGAAUAGUUGUCUAAAGCAACAUGCAAAUAGAGAGAAUUUGUGUUUUUAGUUAUUUUUCACAUAACAAUUGAAGAGCUUGUACCUUCCAUGAUUUUAUUUUUCAAAACAUACUGCUUCCCAUGAGUUCCUUCAAUUGCUUUUUACUCUUGUGGGAGAUUAUUAUGAGAAUUUACCUUUUUUAUGCAGGCUUAAACUAAAAACAUGGAGUUAAAACUCAUUGAAGCCAUGAAUUCUGAAGAGACCUGGUUGAUGGUUGGUUCAAAAUUUGAGCCUAGGGUUCUAUUAACUCUCAAAUCAAUUGGGGAUACCUUCUUUUCUUUAGCAAUUACCAAGGGACUUGAACUCUUAAAAUAGGAUAUACUUAUUAAGGUAUGGUAUUCUUUACAAUUUUAUGUGUUGAGAUAUUAUUGAUCAAAGGGUUUUGUAAUAAUUAUCAAGGGUUAUUGUUGCAUGCCUGAUACAAAUUUUUGUCCUAUUUAGUCUGAAAGUGUAGAAUCAUUUUUUUUUUUAAUUUUCUUUAUUUUUUUAUUAAAUCUUGAACAUCUCAUGUUUCUAGUGUUGAGAUCUUCUAGGAAGUAAGGAAGAGCUUAUGAGAUGGCUAUUAUGAACCACACUGAAACUUUUGCAUGCGUAAUAUCAUUUUUUUAAAAUCUUCCUUCUCAAUCCCUUACAAGAACCAAAUGGAUUUCUCUUUAUUAUUUUCAUUUUCAAACCAGACUAUAGUAAAAAACAAAGUGUUGUUCUUGUAAAGGGUAGAUAAUAAAAAAUAAAUAAAAAUAAAAGUUGCCCUAGAAAUUAACAGAGAAAGCAGCUUUAGUUGGUUAGGGCACUUUAGUUUCAUCAAAAUCUAAAUUCUCAAUUAGCCUAUCUCAAACCUAUGUGGUAUAUUUAACUUGUGAAUUGAUUCCUUAUCUCUGAUCUAUUACUAGUUGGCAAUUGAUCUCUAUGGCAGGUGGUUAUGCACGAGUGCUCAUUGCUUAGCCUCUAUUGCCUUUUUAUCUAGGAUCUUUCCAUUAACACAUAAUUUUCUAUAAUAACUUUUUUGUGUUGAGUCAUUUGGCUUGUACUUCAGAUUUUGGCAAUCCGUUGUGAUAUGCUCUCUCUUUUAUAGGGCCUCAUGGUAAAGUUAGCUAUGUUAUGCUCUCCAUUUUGAUUACUUCUAUUAGGUUCUGUAAUAUAAAUCAUUCAACAAGAAGUUAGGAGUGAUAGUCUCACUCCUCUUAUCCCUGAAAACCUAGUGUUGUUGAUUUUUUAUUUUUUAUUUUUUGAUAAAGGGUAAACAUUAUAAAUGAACAAGGAAGCUUUAUAAAAAAAGGGAUAUAUACUAAAUCUGCAAUGCCUAACAGUCUCGAUAAUUUUCUUGAUGUAAAGUUUAAAGGAAAAUAUAAAUGAAAUUAUGUGAUCAUCAAGACCCAAUGCUUUGAAUUCACAUAUUGGUAAUCAAAAUACAAAUAACAUUAGAUAUAGUCUACAAGCCAGUAGAGCAAAGACCACCAUAAACACUGUUCAUAGAUCCUAAUUGUGAUAUCAACUUUGAUAUUAUUAUUUUAUUUAAUUGUUUUUCAUGUUCAUAUUAAUGUGUUUAAUAGCCUUAAAAACAAACUAGGGUACCAUACGAAGUAUUUUCAUUGGUAAUUUGCUUUCAAACUUCUUGAAACAUUGUUGAAUACAACACAUUUCACUUUGAUGACUAUUGAGACAUAGUUUGAUAAAGGCAAGGCUAUAGAAACAAAGAACAUAAACAAUUGAGGACUUUGAGUAAUGAUGAUUAAUUGCAUUACUCUUCUUAUUUCAUUAAUGAAAUUUUUUUAGGGUUUAGGGCUUUAAGUUUUUCUUUAUAAUUUAAUUUUAUCCUAAAAAUGUCAACUUCUUUUUCUCUCUUCCAAUCCUUAUUCUAGAUUUCAAACAUAUGUAGAAACAAUUUUUCUUUUUAUUUAGCAUCCAUCAAAAAAAUAAUGGAAUUGAAAAACUUUGUGUAUAUCAUAUAUUUUUGCUAAACCACAUUAGACUACGACAUAGAUUGAUAGAUUUGGUGUAAAUUUUGGUAUCAUGUUACUAGUAUUCUUUCAUAAUGAUUGCUUGAGACUUAGUAAAUGAUAAGUUAUGAUAAUGGUUUUUUGAACUCCUUUAAUGGGUAUAGCAUUAUAUUCAUCUAAUUGUUAACACAAUGAAAUUGCAGGCAAGUAUGUAGUUGUGCUCUAGUGGAAGCUUUUUAUUUGAUUCUUGCCCCAGCUAUGACCACAAAUCAGAAGAUCCAAUUGAGAAGUGAUAAUGGAUUUUUCAUGAGUUUGUUUGAUUCAAAGUAGUUUAGCAUUCUGUAACAUGUGUUAACACAUGUGGAAUGUUAGCAUGUUAAAUGCUAGACAUUUUAGUAACCUAUGAAUUGAAUGUUAUAUAUGAUGAAAAAGCAAGUGUGAAACACUUAAAGGAGUAUUUAGUAUGAAUAUGGUUAUUCUUUUGACAGUCAUCUCAAAACAACAAAUCAUUAUAUCAUUUUGGUUUACUUGUAUUUUUUAAUCGGUGAAGGUGAAAUCAAAUAACUCAAUAUAUAGAAAUUGUAAGGUGCAUUUCAUUCACUUCUAAGAUGAGAUUAAUAGGUAAUGUUAUUUUCAUAACAAAAGAAGGGUUUAUAAUUACAACUCAAUUUAUAUAGCAAAUACUAAAAUAGAAAAUGAAAUAAAAGAAAAAGUAUAUAGGAUAAGAGUGAUUUGAAAAAAUAGUUGAAGAAAAUAGAUAACGAUCUUAUACAAAAAUACUAUAUUGAUUGAUGCAUUGUUAGGUAAUAAGUUACUACAUAUGUAUAAUUUUAUAUUUUAUAAUCCAUAUAUUUCUCCAAAUAUGAAUUAUUAUUAUUAUUAUUAUUAUUAUUAUUAAUUAUCAUUAUUUUAUAAUUAUGUUUUCAUUUGAGUCAAAAAUGUGAUCCUUAAAUACUUGGAUCCAAUGACUAUUUAUAUACAUAUCACAUUUUUUAUAUACUUUUGUAUUCAACACAUAUGUUGAUUUAAUAACUUAUUUUGGUAUAAUAUCUUCAUAAAAUUUAACUUCAUAAUAUUUUUUUUAGAUAAUAUAACAUUAAUUUAAAAAAUAUUUAAUGUAAUUAAAUGUUAAGAUUAUAGAGCAAUGCCUAACUAGUCAUACACAAAAUCAAUGGUGCAAAUUUUUUUACACUCAACCAUGCUCACAUUUGUAAGACUAUAAUCCAUGCAAAAGGAUCCUGUAAAUCAAAAUCUAGUAUAAUCAUUCAACCUCUCAUAAAAUCCAACCACUCAAGGUUACAUAUAUGAUUCAAAUCAAUAUAUUAUUAUAAGAAAUACAAAUUUAUAUUUGAAUAAUAUAUGGAUUGAAGAAUCUAAAAAUAAAUAUAUUUGAAUAUUAUAUAACAUCAUCUAAUCUAAAUUAACUAUAUAAUACAAAAAAAAAAAUUAAUCAUAAUAUUAAGAGACAAAAAUGUUAUGUUGUUGGAAACUAAACAUGAGUGACAAACAAAUUGUCUCUAAAUUUCUAUAAUAUUUUUUAAUAACAAAAAAUUCAAUAACAUAUUUCAUCACUAAAAUGUAUAUUCUAAAACAAAAAUUUUGUCACUAAAUGUCAAAUGUUGUCACAAAUUAUUUUAUGAAUAACUUAGUUGCACAAAUUUCUUCCCGAAAAUAUGUUUGGCGACAAAAGUUACAUUUUUGUCUCUAAAACUACUACAUGCAACAAAUAUUGUGAUGAUUUCUAAAUAUAGAAAUAUUUAGUGACAAUUUUUUUUUUCUAUAGUAAAAAUUUGUCACUAAUUAUCCUUUUUCUUGUAGUGAAUUGGUAGAAUGAAGGACAAGGGAAUUCUAAAUCAGGCCUAAAAGGAGGAAGAGGUAAUAGUUUAACUCAAAAAAAUAAUAAAUCUCAUAUUCAGUGUUAUAUCCGUAAAAAAUAUGAUCAUUACAAGUCAAGAAUGUAGGGUUAGGAGACAUAAUAAGAGGAGCUUUCAAGCCAAUGCUAUAGAAGGUAGUGGUGAAAAUUCAAAAUCCUUGCUAUUAGCCAAUGAUACUUGAAAGGAUGAAAACAAAAGUUCAUGGUUUCAAAUAUAAGAUGUAGUAAUCAUAUGUGUAGUAGGAAAGAGAUGUUUCAAUAGUACCAAUUAAGGGUAGAGUUAAGAUUUCUAUUAAAUUGAAGAAUGGAUUUCAAAAUUUUAUCUCUAAUGUGUUAUAUGUUCCAAGUCUUCAUCAAAAUCUAUUAAGUAUGCUACAACUUUCAGAAAAGGGGUAUGAUAUGUAGAUCUAUAGGGCAUCUAUACCAUCAAUGAUUAUUAGAAAGGACUAAUCGCAAAGGUGAAUAUGACACAAAAUCAUUUAUUUCCGUUAAAUAUUAAUUGUGAAAAUUUACUUGCUUUAGUUUUAUAAUUGAUGAUAAAAAUUGGUUAUGACACUCACGUUUUAAACAUUUAAAUUUUGAAAGUCUAAAAUUACUUGUUGCUAAGAAGAUAGAUUUUUGGUUACCUUUUAUUGAUUCACCAAAUGAAAUUUGUGAAACAUGUGUUUUGGGAAAGAAAUAUAGAGAUCCUUUUCCUAUAGGAAAAUCACGGAGAGCUAGGAAGCCUCUCGAGUUGAUUCAUCUAAAUCUAUUGUCCAGCUGAGGUUCCCUCAAAUGAAAAUCAUAGAUAUUUUAUAACAUUUAUUGAUGAUUUUAGUUAGAAGGCUUAGGUUUAUUUUUUAAAGCAAAAGGGAGGUGCAUGUGAAAAUUUAAAAAAAAAAAAAAGCUUAUGUGGAAAAACAAAGUGGGCAUAUCAUUAAAAUUUUGAGAACAAAUAGAGGUAUUAAAUAUAUUAUUUGUGAUUUUAAAAAAAAAAAAUGGUAUUGAGCAUUAAUUGAUUGCAAGGCACAUUCCACAACAAAACGAAAUUACAGAGAGAAAAAAUAAAACAAUUAUAAGUAAGAUGAGGUGUAUGUUGCACUUAAAACAAUUGCCUAAAAUAUUUUGGGCUGAAACAGUCUCGUAUAUAAUCUAUUUAUUGAAUAGGUGUUCCACUAAAAGUGUUUAUGAAAAAAGCCCAUAAGAAGUUCGGAGUCAUAAAAAACCUAACAUUGGUCGUCUAAGGGUGUUUGGUUGUAUAGCAUAUGCUCAUGUUCCUAAUGCAUUACGAAAAAAAAACUUGAUAAUAAAGGUGAAAAGUGCAUUUUUAUUUGUUAUAGCCAAGUGAUAAUAGACUAUAAAUUUUCAAUCCACAAACCAAAAUUUCAUUGUCAAUUAUGAUGUGGUUUUUUAUGAGCAAGUAGUAUAGGAUUGGUCCUCUAAUGGAAAAAGACUAUCAAGUGUUCAAAUUCAUCUUGAAGAGUAAAGUGAAGAUCAAAGAAUGCAACCUACUAGUGCACCAAUUAUGACCAUGUCUUGUAAAGUCAUUAAGGCAUCCACAACGUCAACACACUUUACCUGCUUGCUUACAUGCUUAUGUGGUUGGUGAUGGCAGCGACCCAACAUGUGAGGAACUAACGAAUUUUCCUUUAUUUACAUAUUGUUAUUCAUUAAGUUGUGAGGAAGCUACUCAAGAUGAUUGUUGGCUUAAAGUUAUGGAUGCAGAAAGUCAUGCAAUUAAGAAAAAUAAUACAUGUGAGCUUACUAAUUUCCCUAAUUCUAAGAAGCCAAUUGAUAUCAAAUAGGUGUAUAAAACCAAGUAUUAGACAAAUGGAGAAGUCAAUCGCUUCAAGGCAAGAUUGGUGGAAAAAGGUUACAAGCAAAAAUAUAUAUUGAUUAUUUUGACGUAUAUGCUCUUGUUGCUAGACUUGACAUUGUUCGCAUGAUUAUCUCUCUUACUACACAAAAUAAUUAGAAACAUUUUCAAAUGGAUGUAAAAUUAAAUUUCUUAAAUGGCGAACUAGAAAAAGAGGUUUAUGUUGAACAACCUCAAGGAUAUAUGAUAAAAGGAAAAGAAGAAAAUGUCUAUAAGUUAAAAAAGAAAAAGCCUUAUAUGGAUUGAAACAUACACUAAGAGCAUGGUACACAUGUAUUGAUACUUAUUUCAAGAAGAAUGGAUUUCAAAGAUGUCCUUAUAAACACACUUUAUAUGUCAAAUCUAAUUUGUAGGGUGACAUUCUUAUUGUGUUUAUGUGUAGAUGAUUUAAUUAUCACUAGUAUUAAUUUGAAGAUGAUUGUGGAAUUCAAAGAGGUGAUGAUUAGUCGGUUUGAGAUGACAGAUUUGGGAUUGAUGUCUUAGUUUAUUGGGAUUGAAGUAAUUCAAAAUAGAUACAAGUAUCUUUAUUUUUUAAAAGUAUGCAAAUGAUAUUCUUAAAAAAUUCAAUGUGGAAUCUUAUAAUCCUAUUCUAACUCCAAUUAAAGAAAGACUGAAACUAGGAAAAAGUAUGGUGAGUUAGUUGAUCCUACUAAUUUUAGAAGAAUGAUUGAAAGUUUUUGGUAUUUGACUUCUAUAAGACCAGAAAUUAUAGUUGGAGUUGGUCUUGUAAGCAAAUUUGUAGUCUCCAUGUCAAUUUCACUUGCAAGUAGCAAACCAUUUCCUACAAUACAUUAAAGGUAUGCAAAGUGAUGGUAUUUUUUAUACAUAUUACAACAAGAUUAAGCCUAUUGGAUACACAGAUAGUGAUUGAGCAGUUGAUAUAGAAAAGCAAAAAAAAGACCUUCGGGCUAUAUAUUUAAUCUUAGCUUAGGAGUUUUGCUAUUUAUUUAUUUAUUUAUUUUUUGUCAUCAAAGAAACAACAAGUAAUUGUUUUGUCAAUAGUAGGAGCAUAGUAUAUUACAACCACUAGUAGUGCUACUCAAGCAAUAUCGUUGCAUCAAAUGCUUUUUGACUUAAAAGCAUACUCAAGAAGUUCCCACAAAGAUUUUUGUGAUAAUAAAUCAACAAUCACAUUGACCAAAAUCCAAUUUUUUAUGGAAUAAGCAAACUUAUUAACAUCAAAGCCUAGUUUCCAUGGCCUACUUACGUAUACUAUUCUGAAUGCCUUGGUUUCAUAUCAGAAAAAUAAUAAUUUCUUUUAAUAUUGUCCUAUCUAUGAUCUUAUCCUCUUGCUUCUAUUUUGCUAUGUUUUUUUUGUUUAAUCUAUGAAAAUCAUCAUAUUUUAUUUGUAUUUGUUACAUGCAUGUCUUCCUAAUCAUUUUCAAUUGAUCACUUUUUUUUUAUAUAUAAUAUAGAAAUAUUUAAUUAAAAGAAAUGAAAUAAUUUGUAAAUUAUGAAUAUAAGUCUUUUCAUGUUUUUUCUUGAAAAGUAAUCCAAUUUUAACAUAAAUGUCCAUGCAUUUAUGAGUUUCGCCUUUACAUGUCUAGUAAUGGAACAAAAUGUGAGCUGUCGGCAGCUCCAUCGAUGGAGACGCCAUGAUACUUUAAAUGCCCAACUUACUGACUCCAUGCAAAUCCAUCUCUUAAACUUAACAACAAUCGUACCGUUAGCUCAGCAAGGAACUUGAGUGUUGCAUUUAUGCAGAAACCGUACACUUAAUUUGCGCUUUGUAUGCUUGUAUUUGAUGUUACAUGUGAGAUCUAGUGACUUACUAGCUGUAAUAUGGAUGCAUAAGCAGGGCUUUAGGACGAUAUCGACCCAUUCUACAAUCUUCCCCUAGGGCCCCGAUUCAUAAUUUUGAGUCGUUACACUUCAUUUCAUAAGUUAUUGGACUUCGAUCAUGAUGCCGCAGACACAAGAAAGCGCUUGGCACAAAUAAUUCAUUUGGUUGAUUAAUACUCACUCUCAAGUGUCAUGAAGAAGUGGCAUAAUCAGGCCUCAGAUUAGGUGAGGGCGAAGGGCAAGGUCAUGUGCCCUUAAGUAAGUGUAUGGCAUAUGCUCUUUGUUAAAGCGACGUGACGGACCAUGUAUAUGCAUCAACGCUCGGUUCACAUUUAUUCACAUUGAGCGUGUGACCGCUUUUCUCAGGCCACCAUAGGCUUUUCUUUGGCCCGCAUUUACUUCACGUAGCACCACAAACAUAAUAGGGCCUACUAAGCUUUCACAUUAAAGCAAGAGCAAAAUUCUUUUACCAUAGAACACUUUUUUUAAUCACAAAUUAAUUUACGGCAAAAUCCCAUAUUCGAGUUCCAAUGAUCUAGUUUUAGGAAUUCCAUGGAUGUGACUUUCUAACUAAGGAAGUUGAAGCUAUGUAUGGGAAUGAUAAUUGACAAAGAGUAAUGCGUACAAUAAAAGUCCACACAAGUGCAAGCUUUAAUCCAUUGUAUCAUUCACCACAUUUUUUUCCUUUUCCUUUUGUUUGUCUUUUUGGGUUACCGAGAAUGCCAUAAUUAGUGGGAAUAAAGGAGAGAAUAUAUGUUUGAAUUUUGUAUUGUCACGAAUGAAUGACUCAAUUCAUUGAAGGAGCUAGCAUCUUUUGGUCAUUCAACCUCUAUAGGUAAUGGUGGAUGUGUGGUAGAGUUGAUAAUUCUAUUUGAUAGGUUUCUGAAUCUAGACGCUUUGUUUGACGUACAAAUUUGGAAUUUGAUUUGACCAAUUUCAUUUAAUUUUUGUAAAAAAUUAAUUAAAAAUUCAUAAUGAUUUAAUGUAGAGGAUGGAAGUCAGCAUGGGAAUAGUGUAGUACCUCAAAAAAGUUAUAUAACUUUUACUUUUGACUUUUCAAGUUUAUACAUUUUGAGGAUCGAAUUAUUCACUUCAAUAUUUAAAAAUCAUUAGCAUGCCAAAAGGCACCAACUUUUACUUUACUUUUUUUUUUUUUUUUUUUUUUUUUUUUAAGUUUAUACAUUUUGAGUAUGGAAUUAUUCACUUCAUUAGUCAAAAAGCUCAUCAUCCAUCAUGAUUUAUUUUAUUUUAUUUUUUAAAUAUUCACUUUUUUGUUUUUUUUUUGUUUUUAUAUGUUGGCUUAAUAAAAAAAUUUAAUUUCAUUUUCUUUUUCAUAAAUUUUCAAAUUUAUAUUUUUUUAAUUAUUUAUGAACAUUUUUAAUAUAAAACAAUAAUAUAUAAUAAAUCAUUAAUGUGAACAAAUUUAAUAUAAAAAUAAAUACAUAAUAAGACAUUUAGAGAUUUUUAAGACAUAAGAUUUUUUAUAUUUCUAAAAAAAUUAUUUAUUUUAUAAAUCUUAUUACAUUGUCAUAUUAUUUUAUUGUUUAUAUUUUUUAAUAUUUUAAAAUUUUCAUAUGAAAAUCAGAAUCGAUGAUUAUAGUUUUAAUUUUUUACUUGUAAAUAUAACUUGAGUAAGGUUUUAACUUUAUAUAUAUAUAUAUAUAUAUUAAAAUGUUUAAUAUUUUUACUUAAAACGGUAAAAGCUUAGUUGUAAUUUUAACUUUUAACAUUUCGUUUUGCUAAAAUUUAAAAUUAUUUAUUUAUAUAAAAUAAAAAUAAAAUAUAUUUUUUAUUAAAAAAUGUAUUUAAUCAUUUAUAUUAUUUUUUAAAUUUUAUUAAAAAAUAAAAUUUUUACAUACUGAAGUUGCACAUCCAUCAACAUAACUUCUGGAAAAGAGAAUAUUACACUUUUUUUUAGGAAAAAAUGUAUUACUUUUUAUAAAAAAAAAAAAAAAGUAACAUUAAAAUAUAUUAAUAGUAUCAUUAUGAUGAAAAUGAUGUACCAAUUUUUUUUUUCAUUGUCUAGAAAAAAAUGAUAUCACUUUUUUAUGAAAGAAAGUAAUAUUGAAAUGUAUUAAAAGUACCACUAUGAGAAUGAUAUAUAAUUUUCUUUGAUUUAUGGUAAGAUAUCUAAAAAUUUAAAUUUUUAAUAAAAUUAAGAGAAAAUUAAUGUAAAUGACUAAAUACAAAUUUUUUAUGAAACAUAUAUUUUAUUUUGUAUUUUAUAUAAUAAAAAAUUAAAAAAUUUAACAAAUAAAAAAUGCUAAAACCACAAUGUGGACCCCGCAUUUUCAUGCUCAUGCGUUCCCCACUCGAUGGCGAGCUCGAUUUAUAUUUUGAAAAAUGAUUUUUAUUGAUUAUUUGAAAAUGACUUGGAGUCGCCACUUAUUUUGUUUUAUUUUUUAAAGGGUAAACAAAAUAAGAAAGAAAAACCUUAAGUGUGACUCCUUAUUUUGGAAAAGGUUGGUCUACGAAAAACCGGAUCAGGUUCGGGGGUCAAGUUACUUAUCGGGAAGGUACGGUAAAGACCGUAGCACCCCUCUAAGUCCCUAAAGUCGGGUCUCUACUAAUAAAAUGAAGCUGAUAUGACAAUUGAUGAGAAAAUCAAUGAAUACCCGGAACUAUCAUGAACAUAUGAGUAUCAGAAUAUACAUAGAGAAUAACCAAAGUGGAAGUGGAUGCGUACCUGAUCAGCAAACGACAACACGCUAUCACAAAUUAGGGUUAGUGCAUAGUAAUGAACAUAAAGUAUAUCACUCAUAUCACCCAACCAGAUAAAGGAGCACCAAUAUCAUGCAUGGUAUUUCAUUCAAUUCCAUUUUUAUUUUAAAGGAAAUUUAUUUGAUGUCGGGCCCCCACCAUAGCCCGUUUAUUUUGCAUGAACUAAUUCCAUAAAUUCCAUCAUUUGGAAUUACAGAAUUUGACUUUUGUUUAUUUCAAAACAAUUUAAAAUGGGAAAUUAUAUGGAAAAUGGGAGUUCUAGGACCUAAAAUUAAAUCUAAGGAUGAAAAUUUGAAAAACAAAAUUGUUUGAAGGAUUUGGAAAUUGGAAAAUUAUUUAAGGAAAUAAGGAUUUAAAAAAUAGUAAUCAUUUGAGAGCUAGGGGUGUGAGAAACCACUUAUGAAAACAGGAUAAUGAUGGAGAAGUGAGAACGUCGGCGAGACAGAAUUCCGGAUGUGAGUUUUGUGGAGAAGGUGGAACGUCGACGAGACAGAAUUCCGGAUGUGAGUUUUGUGGAGAAGGUGGAACGUCGGCGAGACAGAAUUCCGGAUGUGAGAUAUCCGGAGAAGGUUGAACGUCGGUCGGACAGAAUUUCGGAUGUGAGAUAUCUGAAGAAUGUGGAACGUCGGUCGGAUAGAAUUCCGGAUGUGAGAUACCCGGGUGAAAUGUCGGCGGAGAAGAAUUCCGGAUGUGAGAUAUCCAGAUAGAGUGUCGGCGGAGAAGAAUUCCAGAUGUGAGAUAUCCGGGGUGGAAUGUCGGUGGAGAAGAAUUCCGGAUGUGAGAUAUCUAGGGUGGAAUGUCGGCGGAGAAGGAUUCCGGAUGUGAGACAUCCGGAUGGAAUGUUGGCGGAGAAGAAUUCCGGAUGUGAGAUAUCUGGGUGGAAUGUUGGCGGAGAAGGAUUCCGGAUGUGAGACAUCCGGGUGGAAGGUUGGCGGAGAAGAAUUCCGGAUGUGAGACAUCCGGAUAAGGUGGAACGUUGGCUGGAUAGAAUUCCAGAUGUGAGACAUCCGGGUGGUAUGAGCGAUGCCACGCGUCGCCAACUUCAAAAUACCCCACAACACACUAGGAGAUGGAGUAGGACUCUACUGACCUUGUACCCACGUAGAAUCCUUCACUAGAAGCCACAUACCGCAACCAUGCUCAUCAACUCAAACCAUAACUCACCAUGUUCACUAUUCAUUCUGUUAAAACAGAGAAAAAAAGUGAAAAAGAGCAUUUACAAAACAGAGUUCAAAGACAAGAGAAGCAAUGAUUGGAGACCCAUUUCCUUGUUUCGUCCAUGGACUUGCAAGGGGGUGGAGAGAUCCAGGGGUUUACACAAAAACAAGGGAGCAAGCAUUGAGAUAUCUCACGCUGGAGCUAAAGCAGAUCCCAGGUCUUUUCAAGAAGAAAAACAUGAUACAGCAAUUGUUGAUGGCAAAAUUCCCCUGCUGCAAUAGUAAUCACCGACAACGGAAUCUCGAUCAACGCGUUGUAGUAUUCCUCAUUCCUCCUGCAAAAAGGAUGUCCAGAUGUGUUGUCCGGACACACCCUCCGAUGACUAAGUUAGUCUUUUGGAAAUUGUUGGAAAAUAGAGUUUUCCUUUGGGAGUUUUGCUCCGUGAUUUUUGUCAAGGACGUUUAUCAUUUUUCAAGAUGUUUAUCCCUUGUUGCUUAUCUCUCAUGGCUUAGCAGGAUGCUUUCUUGCUUAUUCCUUACCUCUCUGAGAGCCUCCUUAGAGUUUAUAUAUGAGUCAGAAAGUAUGGCCUCGCUGUACUAGCGGGUCCCAUCGUCAUGAUUGCGGCUCAUAAGGCGGCAAAGUAAUCAUGACGUUUCUGGUCCAAGAUGGCGGCUGUCAGGAGGAUAUUUAGGCGGUUCCACCGCCUCAAUUUAUGACUUUAAAAAUAUCGGGGAUGUGUCAGGAGACCUGAGAAGACUUGGGAAUGUCUUGUCGAAUGUAUCUUGCAUUAAAGAUGAGUGACAGCUCAGGAGACUUGGUCGUCAGUAUUGUCAGAGUUAUCUUUUUUAUUGUGGGCGGAAAUGGAUUUGGUGAAUCGCGAGUAUCUGACGAGCCAAGCUAUCCGGGGAAUCUGAAUCGUUGGUCACAGAUGUUAUCCGGAUAAGCGUUAUCGCAUGUUUGCCCGGGGAAGUUGAAACGUCCUCCUCUCCCACCCGGCGACAGGCCCCGGAUGUGAAAUACCCGAAGAAGGUGGAACGCCGGUCAGAUAGAAUUGCGGCUAUGAGACAUCCGGAGAAAGUGGGAUGUCGACCGGGUAGAAUGGCGGCUGUGAGACAUCCGGAUAAAGUGGGAUGUCACCCGGGUAGAAUGGCGGCUGUGAGACAUCCGGAUAAGGUAGAACGUUAGCCGGGGUGGAAUUCCGGAUGUGAGACAUCCGGAGUAAAGUGGCGCCAGCCGGACAGAAUUCCUACCCGGGUGGAAUGAGCUAUGAUUCCACGCGUCGAAAAGGGGGACGUUUGCGUGUCCAAGAGAGACGAAGCUACGUGGCAAUUUUUGGGGAGGAUCCCACAACAAUGACAACAAAACCGUAAUCAUCCUAAAGAUCAGUAAAAGCUAAUCUUAUGGCUUGAGAUUCAUGCAUAAAACAAACAAAGAUAUCCCAUAACAAGAUAGUGAAAAUAAUAAGCAAAAUCCAUACCUGAGAAGCUUAUUUACAAGCAAACCGAAAAAAAGCUGCUCCCAGGAAGUCCUUCGUCUCCUUGUAGCAGGUGUCUUCCCCUUUUCUCGUCUGAGGAUUCCCUCCCCAUUUCCUUCCUCGAGCUUCCUGGAAUCACCUUUCUCUUCUCUCCUUUCUCUUCUUUCUUUCAGCCGGUGCUCUUUUCUUGGGCAAGCCAUUACCUCCCUUUUUGCUGUUCAUCACCUCAGCAACAUGGCCUUCUAACCACUCCCCUUCAGCUGCAUGCCUCAUGCAGAUGGCAUCUUGCUCUCAACUGGGGGUCCCCUACCCUCUCUUGCAACUUAACGGUUUUUAGCUUUUCUGCUGAAUAUAUCUCCACGUGUCAAGCUUCCAUUGGCCAUCAAAACCACUAACUUGAUUCUUUACUAGUCAAUCUGGAAGAGACACGUGGCUCCUUGAGAGCCUUCCACCUGCAAAGAAAAACUUACAGCAAAUGUGAUAAAACAUGAGCCCCUAAAUGGGGUCUACACACAACCAAGUUUUUAUCUUCUUUAAUUAAAAAUAUUAAACAUUUUAACAAAAAAAAUUAAAAUCAUGACUAAUUUACAUAUCUAUAAAUAAAAAGUUAAAUUUGUUUAUUAUGUAUUUAUUUUUAUGUUCAUUUUUUCAUUAAUUAUUUAUUAUAUGUUAGUAUUGUUAUUAUUUUAUAUUUAAAGUGCCCAUAAAUAAUUAAAAUAAAAAAAUAAAAGAGUAAAAAAUGAAAUUAAAAAUAUUUUAUAAGAAUGUGUAACUAGAAUAUUAUAAAAAAGUCAAAAGGUAAAAUAAAGAAAGAUGAUAAUUAAAAACAAAAAUAAUAUUGCAUAUUCAUAUAUCAAAUUUAAAAAAAAUUGAUAAACAUGAUUAAAAAAGAAAAAAGAAAAAAAAAAUGUUGCCAUUGUCAUAUGUUAAUUUUUUAAAAAAAAAUAUUAAUAAUGAGUUCUUUCCAUUGUCAUGUCAAUUUAAAAAUUGAAAAAAUUUAAAAAAGAAAAAAGAAAGAGGAAUGGUAGUUCACGGCUAGUUACGGAAGAGAGAAAAGGUCAAAAACAAUGUUGAAAUUUUUUUCAUGUUACGCAUGUUUACCAAAUUUCUUUUUAAAAGUUGUUAAUAUAUAUAUAUAUAUAUUUCGGUCGGUGAAGCUGAUUUCCCCUAUUAUUUAAUGAACAUGGCCACUAAGUCACUAUCAGCUUUCUGUUGUCAUUUUCUUGUCACUGUAUAUCCUUCGUUGGUUCGAGGAGUGGCUUGCGAUACGUGUACAUAUACCUUUUAUUAAUUUUUUAUGUUAAAAAUAAUAUCUGAGGAGUGAGGACAAUGAUUUUAGAUUAAAAUCAAAAUUUGACAAAAUAUCAGUGGGGAGUUGGGACAAAUAGUGCCCUGUGCUAUAAAAUCCAUGUUUCUUGCUGCUAUUUUUCACUCAGACGCACGCUUACAAGUCUGCUUCUCUUCCAUCCCUCACUCUGGCAUACAAAGACACUUAGAAUUAGUUAGCAUUCAUGGGUGGUGGAGAUUUCACAGUAACAGUGAGCAGGAAGGAAGUAGUGGCAGCUGUACUGCCUGUGCAGGAGUACUGGCUGCCGCUAUCUAACCUGGACUUGCUUUUGCCUCCAGUAGAUGUGGGUGUGUUUUUCUGUUACAAGAAGCCACAUGAUUUAACAUUUGGGUCCAUGAUUGGCGUUCUGAAGGAGGCCUUGGCCCAAGCACUGGUGUCCUAUUAUCCAUUUGGAGGGGAAGUUUUGAGUAACUCAGCGGGUGAGCCCGAGCUCCUUUGCAACAACCGUGGGGUUGAUUUCAUGGAAGCUUAUGCGGAUGUACAACUACAAAACCUCAACUUGUAUAACCCUGAUGAAAGCAUUGAAAGCAAGCUUGUCCCUAAGAAGAAACAUGGCGUUCUGUCAGUCCAGGUAACUCUCUCUCUUUCUCUAUGAUAUGCUAAUCCUAAUUAGUUGUAAUCAUGACAUGCUUAUUGUUAUGUAAAUGAACUAAUGACAGGUGACUGAGCUCAAAUGUGGCGGAGUUGUGGUGGCCUGUACAUUCGAUCAUAGGAUAGCAGACGCAUAUUCUGCCAAUAUGUUUCUAGUUUCAUGGGCUGAAAUGGCUCAGUCCAAACCAUUAUCAGUACUACCAUCUUUCCGGCGCUCUCUCCUCAACGCUCGACGUCCGGGCUCCUAUGAUCCUUCCCUUGACGACAUGUACGUCCCCAUGUCAACCUUACCUCCUCCCAAAGCUCCACAGUCUGGUGAUGAUCUUCUCAUAAACCGCCUUUACUUGUCACAGCCGAACAGCUCAGUCUACUCCAAUCACUAGCUACCAGCAAGAGUAGCUCCUGCAAGAGGACUAAACUAGAGUCUCUCAGUGCUUUUCUGUGGAAGAUGGUGGCCAAAAGUGCAGUCACGGAAAACGCAAACCAAAAAAUAUGCAGGAUGGGCACCGUGGUGGAUGGAAGAAAGAGACUGAGCAGUGGAGACGAGGUUAAAGCAGCAAUGAUGGCCUCUUACUUCGGAAAUGUACUGUCCAUACCCUUUGGUAAGAAGACAAUAAAUGAACUGAAAGAGAAACCAUUGAGCUGGGUGGCAGAUGCAAUUCAUGAGUACCUGGAAGGAGCAGUAACAAAGGAGCAUUUCCUGGGGCUGAUAGAUUGGGUGGAGGCUCACCGUCCGGAGCCAGCUUUAGCGAAGAUAUACAGCAGUGGCAGUCGCGAUGGACCGGCAUUUGUGGUGUCAUCAGGGCAGAGAUUCCCAGGGUCAAGGGUGGAUUUCGGGUGGGGUAUGCCGGCUCUGGGGUCAUACCAUUUUCCAUGGGGUGGGGAAGCUGGGUACGUGAUGCCAAUGCCGAGUCCUGUCAGAGAUGGAGACUGGGUGGUGUACAUGCACCUCUCCGUGGGGCAGAUAGAGUGGAUUGAGACUGAGGCUGCUCACAUCUUUAGACCCUUAAGUUCUGAAUAUCUCAACUUGAGCAACUCAGAUUAGCUUACAUUUAUCACUUCCUAUUUGUUCACUGUCCCCCACAAUGUUUGUUAUUGUCUCCAUCUCUAUUUGCUGAUUGUCAUCGGCUUGAUGUUUAAUAUCCGUUUACGAAGAAGCCCCGAUUUUUUGUGGCCUGUCUAUUCCAAUUUCCAACCUCGUUAAUUUUCCUCCUCUAUACAAAAUUCUCUAUGAACAUAAAUAAUACAUUAAUUGUGGGAUUAGCUUUGGCAAAUAGGAAGUAGUUGAAAUUCAUGGAGUUAAGUCCGACUGAUGAAAAAGACGUAACCCAAGUGGUAUUUUUAAUACAAAAAAAACCAUUUUAUAAAUAUCUUAAUUUUUUUUUAAAAAUAAAUUGUUAUUAAUAAAAAAUUUACUAAAUCAUAUAGAAUAUAACUAUUUCCAAGUAAUAAGUCUUUUGUACGUGCUUAAAAAAUGAGACAGAUAUGAACCUAAUAAAGUACGAUUUUUUUUUUUAAUAAAUUAAACAGAAUUUUUUAAACAAAGUGAAAAAUUAAAAAUCAAAAAAUCAAAAUGGGAGCAGUCAAUUGGGAAAUAUUGUCCUUUUUCAGACUGCAAAAUGAGUGUAGGCCUCUGCAGUUGCUGCAUUCUAGUUGAUGUGUGAUAAAAGGUUUGUGCCCACGAACCAUUCGGCCACCCCAGGAAGGGAUGAUACCCUUUGGUGCAGAUCCAGACAGCUAUUUACAAAGGGUAGGUCAAAAAACUUAUCAAACCCAUGUGCCAGGGCCAAUAAUCUCACUCUCUAGUCAGAUAUAGUGAGCACUGAGCAGUACAAAAAGUCGGUUUCAUGAGUCUUUUAACUCUUUAUGUCCCAUGUGCAUUCAUUUUUAUAUGCUUAGAGUUUUGUCGAAAUGCUUUGGAGGGUUUUGGCCUUUGAAAUAAUCUAAUUUCUCCUUCCCCAAUUAUUAUUGAUAUUCAAAUUUUCUGGUGGCAGAACUAAUGCUUUUAUAAAUAACAAAUGAGCACUCACUUGGUUCAAUAAAAGAAUUAUAUAUCAUCAUUAAAUAAUACACAUACACAUAAAAAAGCAAAGGUUAGGUAAAAACUUAUCAAACCCAUGUUCCAAUGCCAAUAUAUAAUCUCACAGGGAAUCAAUUUGGUGGGUCUUGAUGGUCCAUGUGCAUUCAUUUUCAUAUGAUUGGAGUUUUGUCUAAAUAUUUUUGGAGGGUCUUGGCCUUCAAAAUAUUCUAAUUUCUCCUUUACCGAUUGUUUUGUAUAUUAAGUUUUUCUGGUGGCAGAAUUAAUUCUUUUAUAAAUAACAAAUGAGCACAUGCAUCAGUUAAUUCAAUAGAAGAAUUAGCAUUAUAAAAUAAAACACAUACUUAUUCAUUGAGUAUUACAAAAUAACGAGGAUAGACAAUAAGAAAAAAAAAAAAAAAAACACAGAAUAAUAACAUAUAGAUUUAUAUGGAAAUCACAAUAGAGGAGAAAAAAUCUAUUAUGUAAAAAAUUGGUACAAAAUGGGGAGAAACGUGAGUGGCUACAACAAAAUCAUAAACAUCAUAGCCCUUCAAAAUUAUACAUCAUCGCAUAUAAAUAAAUAAAUAAAUAUAAAUGGGUUACACUAUUGGAUCAGCGCUACCACCACAAACCCAAAAAAAAUCUCAUAAUUUUGGCUUUAUCACAUAAUGUUGCACCAUGAACUUUUCGGGUUGGACCAAAUAGAAUUCGGGUUAUCAAACUCUAACAUUGAGAAUUUUUUAUAUGUUAUGAUUUGAGUAUAUAUCCUAUAAGUAUGGUUUGAAAUAUCGGUAAAUAUGAAUAUAUCGGUAUUUGAAUUUUAUGAAUAUAUAAAAAAUAUUGAUAGAUAUUUUGACAAAAAUAUCGAUCAUGUGAAAAUUAUUCAAAAUUCAUGAAAAUAUUUAAAAAAACUCUAAAAAAAUAAUAAAAUAAGUAAAAAUACACGUGUUAAAGUUAUUUUAUAAAUAUAAUUGAUAUAAAUAUGGUUAAAGAGAAAAAUAUUAGUAAGGAAUAAUAUAUUGAUCUUAAUAUAAUUUAUUAUAUAUCUUAUCAAAUUAAUUUUAAUUUAGAAAAUAUUAGAACUUCAUUAUUUUUUUAUAUUUUAGUAUUUUUUUUAAUAAAUUUAUAUUUUAAAUAUUUUAAAAUAAAGACAUUCAAAAUUAAAAUGAUAAAUAUAAAAAAUUUAAAAGUGAAAUAAUAGUAAUUUUUUAAAAUAGGAUUAAUGAAAUAAAUGAUGAUACAUUGAAUAUUAAACUAUAAUUUAUUUAAUUCAAAUGCAUUCAAUCAUAUAAUAAAUGAUGAAACAUAUAUGAUUUUUUUAAUAUUUAACUUUUUUAUAUUUAAUUAUCAUAUAAAAGAUAUAAAAAAAGACUUGUUAAGAAAAUUAUAAUAUUGGUUAACUUGGUUUUCAUAUUUUUAUUAAUCAAUUAAAGAAAAUAAUUAUAAUUAUUUUUUUUAAUAUUGAACUUUAGGAUAUUUAAAUUGAACAUAAAUUUACAAAUGUGAAGUUGCCCCAAUGGAAUCCAAGUUUUGGCCCCCGGCAGCAAAAAAUGUUGGUCAACAUCUCUAGGCUGCAACGGCUAAAAAUAUAGGAAGAAUUGUGUUUUGGGCCCAAAAAUUAACAUUUGGUCCAUAUAUUAUACAUAUUUAAACCCAAGACCCAAACAAAGUAUGAAAAUUAAGAUGAAGGAUAUUGUCUUUCAUUAAUCCCUAAAAUACCCUUAACCCUUACAUAGGCACAAGUGAGUGUGAAUUUCAAUUUUUUUUUUGUGUUUUUUUUCCCUUUUUCUAUUCCCUAUUAAGUAUUACUCAUUUCUAACUCUUUUUUUUUCUUUUUCUUCCAAUCUAUAUUUCUAUUUUAUGUCAAAUAAAAAGCAAUAAUAUUUUUUUGUUUUUCAUUUUUAAAGAUAUUGAAUCUUUUUGCUCUUAUUAUAAACAAUGAUAAAAAUUUUGGGAUUUUUCAUCCAAAUAUUUUUUUUAUCUUUUCGUAUUUAUCUUUUAGUUUAAUUUUCAUUUUUUAUUUUAAAUUUAUAUUACCCUUUCAUUUAUAUUUUUCUCUUAUUUUUAAUUAUUUUUUAUAUUUUCUAUAUUAACCAUAUUUUAAAAAAUUUAAAAAUUGACUCAUUUCAAUUUAUUAUAUAUAUAUAUAUAUAUAUAUAUAUCCUUUUAGCUUUUUAAUUUUUAAUGUUUUUAUUUUAAAAUUUUUAAAAAGAUAAAUUUAUUGAAAAAAAUAACUAAGAUAUGAAGUUCUAAUAUUAUAUUAAUAAUUUUUCUUGUCUAGAUAGACUAAUGCAAAUUAUUUUGACUCACAACAAGAAAAUUGUCAAUACAAUUUUUUAGUUAAACUUUAGAAAUUAAAUUUUAAAUAAAAUAUAUUAUAUACAAUUUUAUCUAAAAAUUAUUGAAAGUGGUAUUUAAUUUUUUUUUUUAUUGACUUUCAAACUUAUCUAAUUUUUUACUUGAAAGGUAAUAGAACAUGUUUACAAAAAAAAAAUAAAAUUAGUUUUUCAUUUUUUUUAAAUAAAUGAGUAUAAAUAUAUUAAAAGAAUUAAAGAUAAUCUUAGUAAAAAAUUUGAUAAAUAUGAUUAUAAUUUUAAAUAUAGAUUCAUUUGGAUAAAAUUUCAGAAAAAAAAAAAUAUAGUGGAAAGAAAGAACAUUGUUAAAACUACAAAAACAAAAUAUGCAAUUACAAAAUUUUGAUGAUGAAAUUUAAAAAUAAAAUUUCAAAACAAUUCAUGAGUGAGAGCAUUUGUGCAGGGAAAAAAUCUUUGAGUGGAAAAAAAUGAGAAAGUUUUUCAAAAUCACUUGAAAUCUUCAACAAAAAGUAGUCUUGUACACCCUUGUACAAUUAGUAAAUUUGUCUUGUACAGUUAGUGUAAUACCUUUGUACAAUAACUCAAAUUUCAUACAUCAUCUCAUGAAUACCUGACAAUAGGUCGGUUAACCAUGUUUGCAUUGAUUUGGUUUUAAAAAAGAAGAAAAAUUGUUAUAUAAUUUUGUUUUACAAUCAUCAUAAGUGAGGUACCUAUUCAAAUGACCAUAUACAAGUUAAAUAAAGUGCAUGAGAUGAAUGUAUGCUUAACUAAUGUGUGUAAGGAAUGUCAUUUAUCCUCAGUUAGGGGAAAUAAACAAAUAAGUUUUUCAGAAUCACUUAAAAUCCUUCACAAAUAAUAGUCUUGUACACCCUUGUAUAGUUAGUAUAUUUGUCAUGUACACUUAGUGUAAAUACCUUGUAUAGUGACUCAAAUUCUAUAUACCCCCUACUCAAUGUGUAACCAUAGGUAGGUUAACCAUGUUUUCAUUGGUUUGUUUCAAAAAAUAGUGGAAGAUGGAAAAACAAAAUUUUCUUUCAAACAUCAUUAGUGGGAUAAGUAUUCGAAUUAUCAUGUGCGAGUUAAAUAAAGCGCAUAAGAUGAGUGUGUAAUAGAUGAAUGUGUACCUUAAGAGUGUGCAAUCCUUAGAUGACAAGACCAAAAAAAAAAGUUGUCCCAAAUUGAUUAAAAUCUUUCACAAAUGAUAGCCUUGUAUACUCUUUGUAUAAUUAGAACAUUUGUCUUGUACAGUUAGAACAUUUGCCUUAUCCAAUUGAAUAUUUACCUUGUACAGUUAGUAUAACACCCUUAUACAAUGGUGCAAAUUUCAUCCAUAUGCAUAUAUUAUGUGUCACAUAUGAUGUGUAAACCUUGUUUCCAAUGGUUUGAUUUAAAAAAUGAUAUAAAACGUAAAAAAAAAAUUUUCUCUAAACGUCAUUAUUAAUGUAAGUAUUUGAAUUGUUAUAUGCGAGUUAAAUAAAGUACAUGAAAUAAAAGAAUUUGUGGUAGGAGAACAUAUAAUCCUUAGAAUGACAAGAAAAAAAAAAAGUUGUUCAAAAUGUACAGUUUUAUACACCCCUUGUACAAUUAGUGUAAUAACCUUGUAUAAUGGUAUAAAUUUCAUAUAUAUGUAUAAAUUAUAUCCACAUGAGUGUGUAAACUAUGUUCCCAAUAGUUUGACAUUUAAAAUAAUUAAAACAAAUAAAACAUUAUUUUAUUUUAUUUUCAAUGCAAAAUGUAAUUAAAAAUAAAACAAAGAAAUUACUUAAAAACUAUUAUUUAAGCCAAGUUUAUUUAUUUAUUUCCUUUUAUUUUUGGAAAUAAAGAAAAAAGAAUAAAAAAUAAUAGAUUAAAAUGUGCACAUUUUAUUUAUUACUUUGUUAAUUAUGGAUAUAUUAAAAUUUUCUAUUAGACAAAAAAUAAAUAAAGAAAAUAAAAUUAAAAAGAGUAAUAAAUAUAUAUAAUUUAGUUAUUUAAUUAUUUUUCAUGUAAAAGAUAGUCCCACAAAAAACACAUAAUUGAUCAAUGUCUUUGUUUAAUUGUAAACAUACUGAUUUGUGCCCAAUUGGUGUCUCAACUAAUUUGUGUCCAGCUGGUGCUCCUUGAUUGAGGGAGUAAUCAACAAAAUUUAUAACCUAUAACACCAUAUACUAGGGUAGCAAAGAAAAAGCUACUAUAGUAUAGUGGCUCUAGGAUCGUCCACUGGGAAAGAUUAACAAGCUCUCAAUGAUACCAAUUCCAAGUGAAUUGGUUUUGUUUCAUUUCAUGGUUAGCUUAAGAAGUAAAACACAAACUUUGAUUGGUAAAGGUUUAGACUUAAACUAACUAACAUAACAGAAGUUUGGAAUAAUUUAGGAAGAAAAGCAUUCCCUGGAGAGUUAGGUUCACUGGGGUGGUUCCUCAUGCAAAAGACAUAGCUCCGGUCAGAUGGUUCAUUUCCUCGUGUUAGAGAUUCAACAUAUAGUCAAUUCUUUAACCGGUGUUGUACAGAGACUCCUUCAAUUAGAUUUCACUUUAAUUCUCUCACUGAUGCAACUUGCAAUGGUUUAAGCCUCUCACUAAGCCUUAACCAUUCAAGGUGAUCUUUAACAUUGGAUUACCCGUCAAAAGCUCGCAAGAGAUAACUAAUGGAUGUCUCCUUGGAGUCCAAAAGCUUAUCAAGUGUUGGCUAUUAUAGAAAAUCCUACCUUGAAGUCACCUCCCAGAGGCUCGCAAGGGGUAAACUAGUGCACUUCCAUGGUUGGAAAUCACUUGCCUUACCAAGUGUUGGCCCAGGUGACUCUAAGGUGUUUUAAGUUAACUAAAAACAUAGAAAUCAUUAAAGGAUUUCACUUCCUCUUCAUUAAUAGCUAAAACCACAGAGCUUUGCAUUCUUGCACUUGGAACCUUCCCCGGCAACCUUAGCUCCAAGGAACUAGAGGUUUAGUUACUCAUUCUCUGGGGAAAACUCCUCAAAGAGUUCAUAACUUAGUAAGAAAAUGAAAAUACAAAGUGAGAAGGUAAGGUAGUAGAAAGAAAAUAAACUUUACUUGCUUACCCAAACUUUUUCAGAAGGAACUCCUCUCUGAGAACAGGCUCCCGAGAGGUCUAUAUAUGUACAUAAUAUAAAACUAAUUAUUACAUAGAUAUUUAGUCUUUUUACUAACUUAAAAGCUAAGGAAUCAUGUAAUUGGUGGUUUACAAGGAGUAUUUUGGGAUUUAGACAACAAAAAUCUAAUGGAAAAUAUCUCCCAAUGUCGAUAGCAAAUAUCGGGAGGCUUUAGGAACCAUUUCGCAGGAGAAAAAUGGUGUCUGCGAGAUUUCGCAGACACUUAAGAGGACUGCGAAAUAAUUUCGCAACACCAAGCUAUCUUCACAGGGCUGCGAAGAUGGCUUCCACCUUGAGGUUCCCAGCUUCCUUCUCGUGGCAUAAAUCGGGCAUCGUCAGAAGGAGAAACAUUACACUGUUCAAAAAGGCUGCGAAAUCACUUCGCAACAAAAGGGUGAUUUCGCAACACUUUGCAAAAUGCUUCCUUCAGCUCGGAGUGAUUGGCUUGUAAUGGUUGCAACUUCUUCGUUUCAACUCCGAAUUGCACACCGUUUGAAGCAUUGGAUUUUUGACUUCCUGAGCUUUGAAAUGGUAUAUAGAAUGCAUCAUUUGGACUUCAAAAAGUGCUCCAAAAGUGGCUGCUACGACUGUCAUCAAGAAUAUGCUUUAUGGCAGAUUCUCUUUGCUUUUUCUCCUUGCAAUCCGGAUUUACUCUUGGCAAAUGACUUCUAAGCUUUGCCCAAGAUUCCUCAUAGCUCUCCUCAGUCUUGACUUGCUUUGGUGAUCAAAAUACUAACAAAAACACCAAAACUUACACAAAGUGAUCAAAAUUGCUUUCAAGGGUCCUUAACAUGCCAAUUGAGUUAAAAGGCCUAAACUACAACUCAAAAGUGUUUAAAAGGAUUUAUUAUAGGAUCAAAUAGCACUUUUUGAGUAGUAAUCACUCCCCCCAACUGACAUAUUGCUAGUCCCUUAGCAAUAUAAGAGAGAAAAAUUGAAAAUAAAAAGCAAACUAAUCUAAAAUUUACAACAUCAUGCUGAUCAAAAUCAAUUCUCAAGUGGCAUGAUGAUCUAAUUCUCACAUGAAGCAUUAAAGAAAUACAAACCCAAAUCUCAACAAGAGUCAUAACAAACUAUGCUAAACACUGUCAAUCAAGGGAGUGCAUUAUGCAAACUGAAGUUUUAAAAUCAUUUCCACUUUCUAAGAACCAAACUUUAAUCUUCCACAAAAAUCUAUGUGUAUUGGUUCCUUAGCUUCCGAGAAUAAUAUGCUAAACUAAUCUCUCCCCCCAACCUAUCUCUUUUCAACACUUAGCAAACUGACCAAAAUCAAUAAGAAAAGAACACACCUUCUCUCUUUUUUCUUUUUUUUAGUAAGGUAGCUUUAUGGGGUACUCUUUCUGACUUGUCCAUGUAAUGGGGGUCCAUCGAUGACUCCCAACCAAUUAAGGUUUAGGGCACCAAGCUUUAAGGAUCUUUCAACCACUAACUCCUCGGAUUUUUCCCCGGACUUUUAAGAAUGAAUUUCUAAUACCCAAGCAUCUACCAUAUGCUAACUCUACCUAUUCACCCUUUUAACGAGCAUUGAGGUUGGUGACUCCCAACCAAUUAAGGCUUAGGGCACCAGGCUUUAAAGGCUUUCACCAUAUACCCCUCAGACCUUGCUCGGGUUUCAAGGCAAGCAAACAACUUUCUUUAUUUCAAAGGCUCAUUGGCCUUUUGCAGGGUGUUUCAAUUUUAUCAAAUGAGGUCAAAUGUACCAAGUCCCAAAAUUAUCCCAAGUCAAGAGGGAAAUAGCUUUUCAUCUUAUAAUCGGAAUCUAAUGUGCACAGUGUGUGAAUAGCUUAAAGUGGAAGAACUAAAUUCAAUUUCACUAGAAGCUUCAAUAAUUGAACCACUUUAGUGAGCAUAAUCCAUACUCUAAGUUAAGUGAAAAACAACAGUUCAAUUUCUCUUGGUUUAAUUUGAAAUUUUUUCCUCAAAAUUCAUGGAGAAUAGAGUAACAAGAGUAAAAAGUAAAAACUACAACUAAUUAACCAAUAUAAUUGCAAUACCAAAAAGAUUUAGCACUUCCUUCCUCAUUCCCCCCCAACCGAACUGAGCAUUGUCCUCAAUGUGAUAUGAGUGACUGUAUUUAAAGAGAUGAAGUGGUACCUCCUUGCUGAUAUCAAAUUCGAAUAUUGAUUGGGGAAAACCACAUGUUUAAAAAAGAAUAGAAUAUGUGAGAAAAGGAAAUAAGAAUAACUUAAUGCUAACUGUUAACAAGAAAUAUUCCACUUGUAUUACUUUCAAUUCAUUCGAGUACAAUGUAAAAGACAAGUAACACAAGGAAUCCCAAAUAUAGUACCAAAAUACUAGGAUUUCUUUUCAACUAAAAAAAAAACAAAUACAUAAAAAUAUUAGAUAUAUAUAAUAGUCUGAUGAGUGGGGUAGUGGUGCUAGGCAGAUGGGUCUGCCUUUUCAGUAGGUGCAUCAGCUGGGGCUUGGGGCUCUGGAGGAUGAGACUCUGAAGGAUGAGAGUGUGGCUCUACUGGUGUAUCAGUGGAGAGCUCUACAGCUUGUGGCAGAUCGAAAUGGACUUGGAGCUGCCUUAAGAUGGCAGCUUGUUGAGCCUGAGUGGCCAACAUCUGCUCUUGGCAUGCUCUGAUGGCUGCCAUCUCCUGAGCAAGACUGCUCUGAGAAGCUGUAAGAGGCUCCAAUGCACGGCACAACUCUCUAUAUUCAGAUAUAGGAAUGGCCAUCCUCGGCUCAGCUGAUGUGGAUGGCUGAGAUGAAGCUGAUGUAGCUGGUGGAGCUCUAGGAAUGGCAGGAGCAGCAACUGUUAUACCCUCAGGUAUAUGUCUUGGGGAUGCUCUCCUUGCAGCUGGCUGAGGCUGCUCAGGCUGAUCAACUUUGUAGGCCAUCAUAUUGUUCCAUUUAUCAAGAGUGAAUGGCUCACGGCAAAUUCGCUUUUUCUCCAACUGAGGCUUAGAAGGGUAUCCCAGAUGCUCCAAAAUUUGGCAUAGCAGCCUUGGAAAGAGGAGUGGAAUGCAAUCAGCUCUCUGAAGCUUCUUUUUGUGAACCUUCUCUUCAAAAUAGAGAAGGGCUGCCAUGAUCAGAUGAUGAGGCCCAAAGAAAAAUCCUUCUGACAUCUUGUAAAGAGCUUCCAGGAGGACUCCCCUUCUUUGGGUCCAAUGCUGCAAUGGAUAGAUAUUAUGACGCAAAAAGGCAUCAAUCAAAAACAUAACUGAAGGAAGCUCCCCCUUAAGCAGAUGUGAUCGAUUUACAGCUCCUCUGGAAAGGGUGCGCACCAUCUCCAGCUCAGUAGGAUUUGCCCAAGCUCUAAAAUUAUCGAAUUGGGUUGGCUCAAAGGGAAUUUGCAGGGCUUCAGCAAUAUGUCGUGCUCCCAAUAUGCCAUGUCUCCCAUCGAUAGUGAAAUGAAUCAAGGUUGGAUUCCUAACCUCUUUGGUUGUCAUGGAUUGAUAGAAAUCUGUGGCUAUCCGGGGAUAGAAAAAGUCUCUUGGAGUCAGCAAGUGCUCCAUGUGAUACCUCCUCAGCAGUUGGAAUGAUUGGGCAAGCUCCGACCUCACUCUGAAUGCCGGUAAGUUGAAGCAUAACUCGGAAUGGAAUGGCCGUGUUCUACAAUCCAAGUUUCCCUCAAUUGGGGGCUGAGGUAGCAUUAGCCUCCGGAUUACUUCUUCCAGAGCUGUUUCGGAUGGAAUUUGGGGUUCAGGAAGUGGCGUUGGAGGCUCCUGAGAUUUUUCUUGCAGCGCCGGAGAUGGUACCGGCGACGGAACUGGCAUGAGAAUCGGCGAGGGAACUGGAGACGACACUGGAGUUGGAACCGGUGAUGGAAUUGGUGAAGGCUCUGGAGAUUGCUCAGUCAAAUCGAUGGGUUCUGAGCUCUCCACCCUGGGCUUCUUUUGCAGCGGCCGACCUCCUGACCUGGUAAGGUAUCGUUUUGCCGGAGGCUUUGGCGGCGCUGACUUCACCGGGGGAGGAAUUGCUUUCGGCUGCGAAGGCUCUGGAGCAGAAUCUGGAACUGGCUCCUUUCGCAGACUCUUCUUGCGAUUCGAAGGAGAUGAAGAUUUAGCCCCUCGUGUUCUCGCCAUUUCGGGAUACCAAACUUUGGCCGACGUUGCUAAUCAGAGGAGAUGACCGGAGGCUUGGACAGCGUGGCUCACUGAAGAAGACGAACAACUUACGAGAAUGGCGCUCUGAUUUUUGAAACCCUUUUCGCAGUUCAAAUGACCGGUAUAAAUAGGAAAAACGGAAGCCUAAGGGUCAGUUUAAGUUUCGCAACAAAACGCCAAUUUCGCAGCAAAAUGCCAUUUUCGCAGCAACUUCGCAGUGCGUUUCGCAGCUGCGAAAUGAGAGUUCUUAUGCUGCGAAGUGGCACUCGUGUGCCAAAACCACUUUCGCAAUUGCGAAAUACCCUGCGGAAUGGGACUUUUGGUGCGAAAUCACGCUUUUCCACUUCGCAAUGCGUUUCGCAGCUGCCAAAUGGAUGCUACUGUACUGCGAAGUGGCACUCGUGUGCCAAAUUUGCUUUCGCAGCUGCGAAAUACCCUUGCAGAGACUUCUACAGUGUUGCGGAAUGGUUUGGCAACAAAAUGCUCAUUUCGCAGAAGCUUUCUUUAGCCUGUGAAAUUUCGCAGAGCUCUGUUUUUCCCCUGUUUUUGCUCUGUUUUGGCUCCGAUUUCGAUCCGAUUUUUUUUCUUUCAAUCUCCUUGAAAUUACUUCCACAUGGGAUCAUUUAAAACGAUUAAAACACACCUAAAAACAUGAUUUAAGAUCAAAAACUAAGAUCAAAAGUAUGGAAACAACUUGAAAAUUUACAAAAUUUACAAAAAUUUUGGAUUGUGGUAAACCACGUCCAACAAACCCUUUUUUGCUUAGGCUUUUUAAGGCUCAAGGAGGUUGAUCUCCUCCUUUUCUGGUUUGAAUGGCUCCAUGAAUGGCUUGAGACGAUACCCAUUGACUUUGAAGCUAUCAUUGCCAUUGGAAUUCAAUAAUUCCACCACUCCAUUGGAAUAUACUCGGUGAAUAAUAAACGGGCCUAUCCACCUUGACUUGAGCUUCCCAGGAAAGAUAUGGAGUCUUGUGUCAUACAGUAAAACUCUUUGCCCUUCCUGAAAUUCCUUGUUGGAGAUGAGUUGAUCAUGCCACUUCUUCAUCCUCUGUUUUGCAACUUUGGAAUUGAUAUAAGCAUUGUUUCUUAAUUCCUCCAUCUCAUUAAGGUCUAGAAAUCUCUUUUCUCCGGCCUUGAUCAAGUCCAUAUUCAGCUUCUUUAUUGCCCACCAAGCUUUGUAUUCAACUUCCACAGGGAGAUGGCAUGCUUUGCCAUAGACAAGACGAUAGGGAGACAUCCCAAGAAUAGUCUUAUAAGCUGUUCUAUAUGCCCACAAUGAAUCAUGAAGCCUAAUAGACCAAUCCUUUCUGUUGGAAUUCACCACUUUCAUCAAGAUGUUCUUUAUUUCCCUGUUAGCUAGCUCAACUUGCCUGGAAGUUUGAGGAUGAUAAGGUGUAGCCACCUUAUGCUUCACUCCAUACUUGGAUAACAGAGCUUCAAAAGGUUUGUUGCAAAAAUGAGCACCUCCAUCACUGAUUAUGGCUUUGGGCACCCCAAAUCUUGAGAAUAUAUUCUCUUUAAGAAACUUGAGAACCACCCUAUGAUCAUUUUGUUUACAGGGGAUUGCCUCAACCCACUUAGAAACAUAAUCCACCCCCACCAAGAUGUAAGAAUUACCAAAAGACAUUGGGAAAGGUCCCAUGAAGUCAAUGCCCCAAACAUCAAAUAACUCAACUAUUAGAAUGGGGUUCAUAGGCAUUUGAUUUCUUUUUGUUAGCUUUCCAAGCCUUUGGCAUCUGUCACAACUCCUACACAUGAUGUGGGCAUCCUUAAAAAGAGAUGGCCAAGUAAACCCUGAUUGCAAUACCUUCAUGGCUGUUUUCUGAGAGGCAAAGUGGCCUCCACAUGCAUGCUCAUGACAAUGAGAUAGAAUCCCUUACUGCUCAUCUUCAGGGACACACUUCCUAAUAAUCUGAUCUGAACAAUACUUAAAGAGAAAGGGCUCUUCCCAAUAAUAAGAAUGAAUUUUGGCAAAGAAGUGCUUCCUGUCCUAUGCAUUCCACUCACUUGGAAUUUCUCCAGUUACUAAAUAAUUGGCAAUAUGAGCAUACCAAGGAGUUUUCACUAGGAACAUGAGUGAUUCUUCAGGAAAAUCAUCAUUGAUAGGCAAGAGAUGGGAAUUAUGUGCUAUAACUAAUCUUGACAAGUGGUCAGCUACCACAUUCUCCACUCCUUUCUUAUCUUUGAUUUGGAGAUCGAACUCUUGUAACAAAAGAAUCCAUCUAAUCAACCUUGCUUUUGCAUCUUGCUUUGUCAAUAAAUACUUCAAGGCUGAAUGGUUAGUAAAGACAAUAAUGAAAGACCCCACUAAAUAAGCUCGAAAUUUGUCCAAAGCAAAUACCACAUCUAACAAUUAUUUCUCUGUAGUUGUGUAGUUCCUUUGAGCUUCAUUUAGUGUUUUACUUGCAUAGUAAAUCACAUAGGGCUUCCCAUCUUCUCUUUGGCCAAGCACAGCUCCUAUAGCAAAGUCACUGGCAUCACACAUCAGUUCAAAAGGUAAUUGCCAGUUAGGGGCUCUCACUAUUAGAGUUGUUGUUAAAAAUUUCUUCAGUUGAUCAAAGCUAUGCUGACACCUUUCAUCCCAUAUGAACUUAGCAUCCUUAGCUAACAACUCACAAAGAGGUUUUGAAAGACUUGAAAAACCUUUUAUAAACCGCCUAUAGAAACCUGCAUGGCCAAGGAACUGCCUUACUCCUUUUACAGUUGUUGGAGAUGGUAAUUUGACAAUAAGCUCCACCUUUGCUUUAUCAACUUCAAUGCCUUUUUCAGAGAUGAUAUGGCCAAGGACAAUUCCUUGACGUACCAUAAAAUGGCAUUUCUCCCAGUUGAGCACCAGAUCUUUUUCAAUGCAUCUAUGAAGAACUGCUUCCAAAUUAACCAAGCAUUCCUCAAAUGUACCUCCAUAUACGGUGAUGUCAUCCAUGAAAACCUCCAUAAUUCGCUCCACCAUAUCACUGAAAAUACUCAACAUACAUCUUUGAAAUGUAGCAGGUGCAUUGCAUAAACCAAAAGGCAUUCUCCUGUAAGCAUAUGUUCCAAAUGGACAUGUAAAAGUGGUCUUUUCCUGAUCUGCCAAAUCAAUUUCAAUUUGAAAAUACCCUGAAUACCCAUCCAAGAAACAAUAAAAUGGAUGUCCAAAGACUCUCUCCAGCACUUGGUCAAUAAAUGGCAAUGGAAAAUGAUCUUUCCUGGUUACAGCAUUCAGCUUUCUAUAAUCAAUACACACCCUCCAACCUGAAGUAAGGCGUGUAGUAAUUUCAUCCCCUUUUUCAUUUUGAACCACUGUGAUCCCUGACUUCUUUGGUACCACUUGAGUAGGACUCACCCAAGGGCUAUCAGAUAUAGGGUAAAUGAUUCCUGCUUGAAGUAGCUUCAGCACUUCAGCUCGCACCACCUCUUGUAGAUGAGGAUUCAACCUUCUUUGAAAUUGACGAAUUGACUUUGCUUCCUCCUCCAUAUAUAUAUGAUGAGUACAAACUAAAGGACUAAUGCCUUUCAAGUCAGAUAUUUGCCAUCCUAUUGCCUUCUUACACCUCUUGAGAACUUCCAUUAAACAAUUCUCUUGAUGACUGGUCAGAGAUGAAGAUAUCACAACAGGACAUUGAUUAUUUUCUUCAAGAUAUAUAUAUUUCAGCUCCUCAGGUAAAGGCUUCAGAUUGAGUUUUGGAAUUUCUUUUUCAACAGCUGCCUCUUCUUUAUUGAACAAAGGUAGAAUUUCUUCUAUCUUUCUCCAACUUUGUAGAGUAGCAAGCCCAAUAGGAGAUUCAGACAAACCUUCCUCAAAAUUCACAAGACUUUUAUUCAACUUGUCUUGCAUAUUUUGAUUACAGUGUUCCUCCACCAAAGUAUCAAUAAUGCACAGCUCUUCUGGACCCUCUUCUUCUUUCGGAGUGAUUUGCUUUUUAGACAUAUAGAAAAUAUUGAGAUCCAGUGUCAUGUUACCAAAAGUGAGUUGCAUAAGCCCAUUCUUGCAGUUGAUGAUUGCAUUUGAAGUAGCAAGAAAUGACAUUCCAAGGAUGAUAGGAACUAAAUUAGCUUCCUUUACGGUAGGAUCUGUAUCAAGAACAAUAAAAUCUACUGGAUAGUAGAAAUUAUCCACUUGAACCAAUACAUCCUCAAUUACCCCUCUUGGAAUUUUCACUGAUCUAUCUGCUAGAGAUAGAGUGAUUGUUGUUGGCUUCAACUCUCCAAGUCCCAAUUGCUUGUAGACGGAAUAUGGAAGCAAAUUCACACUUGCUCCCAAAUCUAGCAAGGCUUUCUCCACUACCUUUCCUCCAAUCAUGACUGAAAUGGUAGGACUUCCAGGGUCUUUGUACUUCAAAGGGGACUUAUAUUGUAAGAUUGCACUUACUUGCUCAGUCAAGAAGGCUUUCUUGUUUACAGUCAACCUUCUCUUGAUAGUACACAAGUCCUUUAGGAAUUUUGCAUACGUUGGAACUUGUUUGAUCAUAUCCAACAGUGGAAUAUUGACUUUUACUUGUCUCAAUACUUCAAGGAUUUCAACUGCAUUUCUCACCCCCUUUUCCCCAUGUAAUGCUUGAGGAAAAGGUGGAGAGGUUGAUUUCUUCAGCAUUUCUUCCUUCAUAAGUUCCUUCUUUGGAAUUGCAUUCAUUGUUGAAUCAGAGUCCUUCUUUUCUUCACUGAUCUCACUGUCUUUAUCUUCCAUUUCCUUCCCUUUCUUUAUCUCUUCUUCUUUCUCAACAUGUGGCUUGGGUGUUGGCUGCUCAAUUUUUUUACCACUCCUUAGAGUGAUCAAGGCUUUGACAUCUUUCAUCUGUGAUGAUUCUCCCUCUUGGCUUUCCACUUCAUGGACACCUUUGGGAUUUUGGUGAGGUUGAGAAGGAAAUCUUCCCUUUUCUUGCAGUGUAUUCAAAUUUGUAAGCCUUGAAAUUGAAUAUUGGAUGUUAUCAAACUUUUGGUUCAUAUCAUUUUGCAUUCCAUCCAUCCUUUUAUUCAACAUACUCUCCAUUCUAUCCAUUCUUUGAUCGACUCGAGCAUUGGUGGCUUCUUGCUUUCCAACAAAAUCUCCCACUACCUUAGUGAGAUUGGCUACUGCUUGUUCAAUACUUGAAGAUUGUUGAGAUGGUGGAUCCGGUUGUUGGUAUUGAGUUGCUCUGGCCUUCCAUGAGAAAUUUGGAUGAUUCCUCCAACUUGAGUUGUAGGUAUUUCCAUAAGGCGCAUUGUUAUUGGGCCUGAAUUGUCCAACAACAUUUGCUUGAUCUCUAUACAUUUCCCUUUCAGCUGAAAUUGUAGGGCAUUUCUCCACCAAAUGUUCAUAUGAUUGACAAUUGGGACACAGCUUCACUUGCACUGGUGCUUCAGCAACAGCUUGCACUUCAUGUAUUCUUUUCAGCUCCAGCUCCUCCAAUCUUCUUGUCAUAGCUGCCAACUUUGCUUUCAUAUCAUCAUCUUCUUUUAAGGUAUACAUCCCAGCCUUUGCAUUGUAAGCAUUCAACUGAGACUUCAUCUUUCCCACUUCUCCUUUAGUUGGUUCAUCCCAUCCCCUUGAAACAUCAGCUACAUAGUUCAAGAAAUCCAUAGCUUCCUCUGGAUUUUUGCUCAUGAAAUCUCCUCCACACAUUGUCUCGAGGAGUUGCUUCAUUGAGGAGGACAUACCAUCAUAAAAAUAGCUCACCAAUAGCCAUGUAUCAAAGCCAUGGUGAGGGCAAGCAUUUAUAGCUUCCAUGUAUCUUUCCCAACACUCAUAGAAUUUCUCAUUCUCUUUAGCUGAGAAGUUUGAAAUUUGCCUUUUCAAGCCAUUUGUUCUAUGAGUAGGAAAAAAUUUCUUGAGGAAUUCAGCUUGUAAGUCAGUCCAAGAGCGGAUCCUUCUUGGCCUUAAAGAAUUAAGCCAAAUUUUGGCUUUAUCCUUUAAAGUAAAAGGAAAAAACUUAAGCCUCAUCAAAUCAAUUGAAGCUCCUCCCUCUUGAAAUGUAUUACAAACAUCUUCAAAUUCCUUGAUGUGUGCAUACGGAUUCUCACUUUCCAUCCCAUGGAAAGUUGGUAGAAGUGGAACAAGAUACGGUCUGAUCACUAGCUGCUCUGUAGGGGGCACUAUACAUGAUGGUGCACUCAUACAAGGUGGAUGCAUGCGGUCCCUCAUUGAUCUGAAUUCAUUAAGAUUAUCUUGACGACCUUGGUGACUAUGCUGAUCUUCAGGUGUAGCUUCCAUGAUAUUCAAGAUCACUUCGAAUUCUUUUCUCUAAGGUGUAUCACACUUAACAAGCCUUCCUCUACUGUCUCGUAUCCACUUUGGCAUACACAACUAGUAUCUAUCUGCAACAAAAAAUGAAAACAGAGGACAACAAGAGAAACAGGGCUACAACAACAAAAUUAAACUAGGCUAAAUUUUAAAAGAUAAACUUAGAUUAUGAAUAAAUAAAGAAAGAAUGAAAAUUAGUAAAGUGAAAGAAACUUUACCAACUUGUGAUGAAAAUCCCAAGUGCUCAAAAAAUGGUAUCACUGUAAACUUGACUCAUUCCCCGGCAACGGCGCCAUUUGAUUCGUGCCCAAUUGGUGUCUCAGCUGAUUUGUGUCCAGCUAGUGCUCCUUGAUUGAGGGAGUAAUCAACAAAAUUUAUAACCUAUAACACCAUAUACUAGGGUAGCAAAGAAAAAGCUACUAUAGUAUAGUGGCUCUAGGAUCGUCCACUGGGAAAGAUUAACAAGCUCUCAAUGAUACCAAUUCCAAGUGAAUUGGUUUUGUUUCAUUUCAUGGUUAGCUUAAGAAGUAAAACACAAACUUUGAUUGGUAAAGGUUUAGACUUAAACUAACUAACAUAACAGAAGUUUGGAAUAAUUUAGGAAGAAAAACAUUACCUGGAGAGUUAGGUUCACUGGGGUGGUUCCUCAUGCAAAAGACAUAGCUCCGAUCAGAUGGUUCAUUUCCUCGUGUUAGAGAUUCAACAUAUAGUCAAUUCUCUAACCGGUGUUGUACAGAGACUCCUUCAAUUAGAUUUCACUUUAAUUCUCUCACUGAUGCAACUUGCAAUGGUUUAAGCCUCUCACUAAGCCUUAACCAUUCAAGGUGAUCUUUAACCUUGGAUUACCCGUUAAAAGCUCGCAAGAGAUAACUAAUGGAUGUCUCCUUAGAGUCCAAAAGCUUAUCAAGUGUUGGCUAUUCUAGAAAAUCCUACCUUGAAGUCACCUCCUAGAGGCUCGCAAGGGGUAAACUAGUGCACUUCCAUGGUUGGAAAUCACUUGCCUUACCAAGUGUUGGCCCAGGUGACUCUAAGGUGUUUUAAGUUAACUAAAAACAUAGAAAUCAUUAAAGGAUUUCACUUCCUCUUCAUUAAUAGCUAAAACCACAGAGCUUUGCAUUCUUGCACUUGGAACCUUCCCCGGCAACCUUAGCUCCAAGGAACUAGAGGUUUAGUUACUCAUUCUCUGAGGAAAACUCCUCAGAGAGUUCAUAACUUAGUAAGAAAAUGAAAAUACAAAGUGAGAAGGUAAGGUAGUAGAAAGAAAAUAAACUUUACUUGCUUACCCAAACUUUUUCAGAAGGAACUCCUCUCUGAGAACAGGCUCCCGAGAGGUCUAUAUAUGUACAUAAUAUAAAACUAAUUAUUACAUAGAUAUUUAGUCUUUUUACUAACUUAAAAGCUAAGGAAUCAUGUAAUUGGUGGUUUACAAGGAGUAUUUUGGGAUUUAGACAACAAAAAUCUAAUGGAAAAUAUCUCCCAAUAUCGGUAGCAAAUAUCGGGAGGCUUCAGGAACCAUUUCGCAGGAGAAAAAUGGUGUCUGCGAGAUUUCGCAGACACUCAAGAGGGUUGCGAAAUAAUUUCGCAACACCAAGCUAUCUUCACAAGGCUGCGAAGAUGGCUUCCACCUUGAGGUUCCCAGCUUCCUUCUCACGGCAUAAAUCGGGCAUCGUCAGAAGGAGAAACAUUACACUGUUCAAAAAGGCUGCGAAAUCACUUCGCAACAAAAGGGUGAUUUCGCAACACUUUGCAAAAUGCUUCCUUUAGCUCGGAGUGAUUGGCUUGUAAUGGCUGCAACUUCUUCGUUUCAACUCUGAAUUGCACACCGUUUGAAGCAUUGGAUUGUUGACUUCCUGAGCUUUGAAAUGGUAUAUAGAAUGCAUCAUUUGGACUUCAGAAAGUGUUCCAAAAGUGGCUGCUACGACUGUCAUCAAGAAUAUGCUGUAUGGCAGAUUCUCUUUGCUUUUUCUCCUUGCAAUCCGGAUUUACUCUUGGCAAAUGACUUCUAAGCUUUGCCCAAGAUUCCUCAUAGCUCUCCUCAGUCUUGACUUGCUUUGGUGAUCAAAAUACUAACAAAAACACCAAAACUUACACAAAGUGAUCAAAAUUGCUUUCAAGGGUCCUUAACAUGCCAAUUGAGUUAAAAGGCCUAAACUACUACUCAAAAGUGUUUAAAAGGAUUUAUUAUAGGCUAUCAAAUAGCACUUUUUGAGUAGUAAUCACAUACUAUAUUUUAUUUUAUUUUAUUAUUAAAAUAACUAAUGGAAAUAAAUAAAAAUGGAUAAUCAAUGAAUGAAAUUUAAUUCUUUUUAUUAUUUUCAUAUAAAAAAUAGUAUUAAACAAGGUUUUCAAUUUUUAUUUUUAAAAAUAGUUUUCAUUUAAUAAUUAAAUGUUUUUUCAAAAAGAAAAUAUAAAAAAUAUAAAUCAUAUUACAAGUUUUUUAGAAAGUAAUUUUUAAAAUAGUUUUUGAACAGAAUUUUUUUUUAUUUAUAAUUUAAAAUAGAAAAUAAUGCCAAUUCUCAAUAAUUUAUAAAAAAAUUAAAAACAAUAAAUAUUCCAAAUUGUUAAAAUAAAAUUAUUAUGGUUGCAUGAAUAGUGGUGCAAUAAAGACAAAAAAAAAAAACUUAUGUGAAAGGUCAUUGGGUAUUUUAAUCCAUUACUAUUUUAUAUCCUUAAAAGGUAAUAUAUAGAAAUUUAAAGGAUAUAUUGGUUUUUUAACAUCUUAUAUCCUUUCCAUCAAUUAUGAAAGUUAUAUAGACCAAAUGUUAAUUUUUGGACCUAAUUGGACUCAAAACACAAUUCUUCAAAAAAUGUAAGCGUUGACAAGAUGGCUUCAGCUUGACCCGCAUUGACCAUGCACCGAAAAAUCGGGAAAAAUGCCGAUAAAUAAUAUUCCACAAAAAUCCCAUCUCCGAUAGGCGAAAUAAGUAUAUUAUUUCUUGGGGUAAGGAAAAUUUUUAAUUUAAUUUAUGACAAAUAAAAUAUUUUUUAACUAUCGGAGCUGGAACCAAUAGUGACUUAUCGGCUAUCUCCAUGUUUGAGUGUAUGAUUAAAGCCCAUCUGUUCAGACCGGAGAGCCGACAUAUGGAAAAGAUGGGAUGAUUCUCAAUCUGCCAGCAUAAAAAUUGGUGCGUAAGCCAACCUAAUGACUAACGGGGUUGCUACCACCUAAGCCCCAUUGGCUUGGUUUACUUGUUCCAAAUCAUCAUCAGUGGACUUGAAGGGACCAGUACCACUAACACAGAAGAAUAGAUAACCUUAACUCUGCGCAACUUCUACUGCGGGAAAGUAAUGUGUUUAACAAAAGAUGGCAGUGUAACCAGAAAUUAAAUAUCAAAUCAUUUCUCUGCAAUGAAGACAACACAGUGACACAUAGACACAGUCACUGUCGCUACCAUAAUCACACUUGUUGUGGGGUUACUUUCUUUUGUCAAUAGGGACGAAAGAUAUACUAGCCACUCGCAUAAAUAAAUAUCUAUAGAAGGAUGGGAAAAACUGAAUGAACUAGCUCUUAGGUUGCCUUAGCAAUGGCUUGGCAACCUCAUUCUCAUUCCUAAUGCUUUUCAAUGCAUCAGAAGGGAUUAGUUGAGUGAGAUGAACAAGUGGAUGAUAAAAAAUUAAGAAAUAACUGAGAGAAUUCAUCCAGGAAUAACUUUAUAUGCAUACAUACCUUGUUGAUUGAGUUAAAAUACUAUUUUGAGUAUCAGAAAAAAGAAGGAUUGCAAGAGGAACUUUCUCAAAAUUUUAAUCUAAAUGGGGGCAAAUAUAAGAAGGUUAUAUCAAUGUUUUCAGAAUCGGACCGAUCAUUGAAUCGGAAAAGCUUUUAGUUAAUGGUUCACUUGUCGGACUGAUGGUCGAACCGCAGUUGAACCAAUGACGUCAUAAAUAUAUGUUAUAUUAUUUUAUAUAUUUUUAAAAUUUGAAAAAUUAAUAAAUUCUAUCUAAAUUUUAAUAGCAUCUACUUUGUUUGUUGAGUUUUUUUACAAAAUUUUUUACUUGUAGAAUUCAUCAAUCAUCAUAUAUGAUAUCUAUAACAUAAUAUAAGAUGUUAUAACUAUUUUAUAUAAAAGAAAUAUAUAUAAUAUAUCAAAUUGUUUAAUGAAACAUAAAAAAUAAUAAUAAAUUUUUUUUAAUUUAAUUCAUUAAAGAAAUGAAAGAUAUGUUAGGAUAGAAAGAAAAAUUUAAUAUUUAAUCUCAAUAAAAUUUAAAUUUGUUUAAAUAACUAAUAUAAGUGAGUGAUGAAUAUUUUUGUUUAAUAAUUAUUUAUAAUCUAAUAAUUAAGUGUUUUAAAAAAUAUGUUUGUAAAAAAAGAAAUAAUGAAUAAUAAAUAUUAAAUAGAUUUUAUUUAUUUUCUCACAACAUAAUCAAAUAUAAUUUAAAAUACUUCAAAUUUGUUAUUUAAAAAAAAAAACUGAUUUUUGGGAGAGUUGCAAACAGAGCCUAAUUGUCCUCCGUCUAGUUCUAAAUCCAAAAUCCGAAAAACGCUCCAUUGAUGAUCUCCUACCAAAAUCAAACUUAUACAUAUCAUAAAUAAACCAGACUCCAUGGUUGGGAUUGAUAAACAAUAUUGGUGAAUUAUGGGUGGCGAAAACCAAGUUUUUGAGUAGGUGCUGGUUAUGUUCCCAGAUGAGAUGUCAGAUCGCUGGCAGAUGGUCACCAAUCAUGUGAACGAAAGACAGUUGAAUCGUUGUAAGGUCUUCAAUCUUGAGAACGGAAGGGAGCUGUGCCAAUUGAAUUUGCAGGUUUUGUGGUCGUUGAUAAUGUCACGGUCUACGGUUAGGCUUCAUUGGCCUCCAACGAUGUUUGAGACCAUAACUCCGGGCCGCAGGGUUCAGAGGAAAAAACAGACUCCUAGGAAUCGCCGUCGGGUUCAGAUGAAGAAGCAAAAGUUGGAGAUCGUCACAGGGGAGUUGAAUGCACAAUUUGAGAGGUUUAUUGUUUUACAAGGGGUACCCAGCCACAAGGGAGGGAGGGGGGCGGGGAGGUUUCCAACGCUGGCGAGAGCUGUCUAGGUGUCGAGGGCUGCGACAUGUCAGUGGUGGGCGGAGCGGCAGACCGACAUUUGCUGUGGGGGGAUGAGGGAGGGUUUGUGAUAGGAUUUCAUGGUUAAGAACUAUAAAUGGGGGGUUGAAAAGACCUGUUUAUAUAUAUAUCUCUCUUUGGAUAAUCUCAGGACCAGAUGAUGAACACUUGUAAAUUCUUGUACUAAGAAAUAUACAGAGCUUUUGCUCUGCCUUUCCUUCUCAUUUUUGUUUUCACUUUUCUUGCUAGCCAAACAACCUUUGAGGAUGAUUUCUCAGGGGAUGAGUGGCUAGGUUUUACGUUUCUUGGAGUGAUGGAAGUUAGGUGAAGGACUUGAAUGCAAAGGUGGGAGUUGUCCUUACUUUAAACGAAAGUAGUUGUUCACCAUUAAUGGUUUUUAUUUCAAGGUUUAGCUUUAAAUCCCUUAAAAUCACCUUGAAUGGCCAAUACUUGGUAAACUUUUCGGAUUCUAUGGAUGCUUAUUGCUAGAUCUAUGGAUGUCUAUUAGUUAUCAUUUACGAGCCAUUGGAAAGUGGUUCAAGGUGAGGGUCUUUACUGUUUGAAGCCAUUAAUGGGAAGCAAUUACCAUUUUUCAUGAAUCCUUUGGAUCAAAUCUUAAUUGCUAAAUACAAAACCGGUUUGGGAGAUAACCAUCCUUUAUGUUAUUGUCCCCAACGUGAGGAGAAGAUCCAGAAUCUCCCCCUUUGCCUAAGGAACCCGAUCCUAGUGACCUAAAGCUCCAAGAGACCUUUUCUUUGUAGUUAACUUCACUUAUUGUUUUUGCUUAACUUAAAAUCAAUCUUUGCAACUACAAUUCCAUUUUCUUUAAAAACUAACUUUCAUAAGAAAAAACACCAUUUUAUUUCUUUCACUAAGUCAACUGUACGAUGAAAACCCAUUCUUGUGGAUGAUCCUAGAGCCACUAUACUAUGUUAGCUAUGCUACCCUAGUGUGAGGUGAUUUAGGUUUUAUAAAUUUUUUUGAUAACACCCAUUUGAGCCAGAAUCAAAUGGCAUGACUACAAUGGGGACGAAUCAAAUGGCGUUGUUGCCGAGGAUCAAACCUAGGUCACCCGCGUGAGAGAAGGGUAUACUCACCACUAUCAUUGGUUGAUUACAAGUAGAAAAUAGUAAAUUACACAAAAUAUCUGGAGAUAAAAAUCUAAUGGAGUCGGUGCAUAGGAAGAUUUCGCAUACCAUGCAAAAUUUCGCAUAGUGUGUGAAAUUCUUUGGCUGUUUUUUGUGGCUUCGCAUGGUGUGCGAAAUUUCUUCCUCUAGUUUUCUUCCUUGCAUUUCUCUAAUUGGUUUGACAAAAGACUAUGAAGUGCUCCAAAGCUUGGAUUCUUCAUGUAUUUGAGCUUCAACUUGCAUUGCCAUUGAUUUCACAAAAUUCUCCAUUUUCUUGGCUUGUUUCAAUGAUAAAAAAGCUACCAAAAACACCAAAACUUGCCAAAAACUAAUUAGUAACCCUCAAUAGGUUCCCUAAUGUGCCAAUUGAGUUAAAAGGUAUUAACUACUACUCAAAAGUGUUUAAAACAAUUAGUUUCAAGCUAUAAAAUAGUACUUUUUAAGUAGUAAUCAGUUUGGAGGUUAUAGCUUUGAUUUUCUUAUAUACACUCCAAAACGACGUCAUUUUGAUGCUAUUUUCUUUAAAAAUUAAUUUAAUUGAACCGGCUGGUUUAGAGGGAACCGAUCGGUUCAUACGACUCAUCGGUUGGACUGUCUGUUCAAGUGGUCCGACCCCAGUUUAAUGCAAUUCCAGUCCAAUUAACCGAACCGGACUGGAACCGUGACCGACUGAUGGUCAGACCAAUUGGUCGGGUCUGAUUUUUAAAACCAUGGGUUAUACAUCAAGAGCAUGGUAAUGGUUUGUAACCUAUAAAUCAUCAGAAAAAUAUAUACAAUUAAGUAAACUCAAAAAAUUAAUAAAAUAAAUAUGUCUCACAUUUAACAUUAUUUAAAUAGUUAUAAAAGUAUUCGCUCAAAGUUAUUUAUGAUAAUGAUAAUAAAAGAAAAUUAUUUUAUUUCAAAUAUAAUAACAUUUUUACUAACAAAUACAAUAAUCAAUUCCAUGUUGAAUGACGAGGGGGUUCAAAAUCAUCAUCAUCACUCCUACGACGAGUAUACAAAUUAGGAUGGUAAUUCUUGUAGUGAGGAUAUGGUUGAAAGAGUUGUUCAUAACUCGAAUAUGUUGGUUGAGAUGAUUGGCUUGAUGAUCCGUAAUUAGGAAAAUAUGGUUUCAAAGGCUAUUCGGGAUCAACACCAUAUUGAUAGUAUCCAAUACCUCAAUAGGCAAUGCUAUUGCUACUAGAAGAUUGAUCAUAUCCAUAGGAAUCACUAGCUCGUGUUCCAAUAUUUGAAUAUCCCUCUAGAUGCAUCAUUGGAAAUCGAUCAAAAUCAUUUCUACUAAAAGUACUGAAAGAGCUAUCACGGUCUCUAAAGUUGUGAUAUGAUCUAUCAUCUACUCCUCUUAAAUACGACCUUGUCCUAUACCCAAAUUCUAUAAGUGCUCAUCAAUACGGUGAUAAUUUGAUCUAUGACAACAUGCCCACUAGAAUAAUCAUCAUUGUUGGGAAAUGUAGUUAGUCUUUCCAAAUGCUUUCGUUGUUCCCAUAUCCUUGGUCAAUAUGCAUGAUUUGUAUCUUGUGUGGUAUAGUAAUUUUCAUCUCUUUGUGCCCAUGACAUGCCAUGAUCUAAUUGACUAACAUAACCGCCACUAGUGCUACCAUCUCCUCCAAUACCCUCACUAGUGCCACCAACUCCUCUACUGUCCCUACUAGUGCCACCACCCUGCUUACUACUCCCAUUAUCACCAUCAUCACUACUAGAACUUGAAAAAUUGUUCUAAGAGUCUUACCUUUAUGAUGGGAAUCAAUAUCUCUUUCUUGUGUAGCAUUACUUAUACGCCUACAAACUCUGCGAUUUAGGGUACUAUCAUCUUCAUGAAUUGUUCCUCUACCUUCUUCAUUAGGGGUAAGACCUUUAUCCAACCAAUCCAAAUUAUCAGAUGAAAAAAUAGGCUAUUUUCCUUCUCGUAUUCACUCAUCUAAUAUAUCAUCAUCAUUAAAGAUAUGAUUCAGAUAAAUUGGAUUGUAUAAAUCUUCAUUGUUUCGCUCUUGCAUCAAAUUCUUAACUCAAAGUCUCAUAUUGUAGUGCACAUAAACUAACUUAUGCAACUUUUUCAUUGCCGAACGGUUGCACAGCUUUGUGUGAAUCAAUGACCAUGUGAUCUAAUUUAUUUAACAACCUAAUGAAGAACAAGUUUGGCUUAAAAUUGUAACAGUAAUCUUUUGUAGAUGUGGACUUUCGUCGUCAUAGUUGUUCCACCAUUCGGCUAUAAUAAAGAAAAUGCAUACUUAUUAAUCACUAUGAUAUAUUUAACAAAAAAUGAUGAUAAUUUCUUAUUUGUAAUAGACAUAAAUGUAUUGAGUACUUGGAAGAGAAUGAUUUAUUGCUUUCUUUGUAAGUGCACUUCCAAAUUCUCCUUGGCAGUCAACAAAUAAUUUCACCUACAUCAUUAACAUUUUUUUUUUGUUAAUGCACAUUACAUAUACAAAAUGUAUUAUAUAAAGGUCACAAAUUAUUAUUAUACCUCGUUAAUAGCUUUUGCUUGUCUAUCCCAAUCUAGCUAUAAUCUUUUGAUAACCUCCUUUAAUCCAAUUUUAAUUUAUGGAUGGUUGGAGAAAUACUUUGAAUAUUGGAAGAUUGGAUUUAAAAAAUAUGCUACCAUAAGUUAAAUAAUGAUCAGUUUAUAAUAAUUUGUACUUUAAAAAAAUAAUAAAAAAUAUAUAAAGAUUUUUUUAUAUUACCUGUAGCAUGCAAAUGUCUGUGCAAUUGACCUUCCCAUCUUCUAUCAAUGACUUCCCAAUACUUUUCCCAUUGCUUGACCGAUGCCUUUAUAGCCAAUUUAGUUCUAUCCAUUGUUUCACAAAUGAUUGAUAGUAUGGGCUUUUUAUCUUGAUCAACCAAUUUCAAUACUUUGACGAAAGGUUCCAUGAUGGUUUGAACUUCCCCCGUCUUCUUCCAAAAUUGAUCAGUUAAGAUAAGAUUGGAUACCUUAUCUCUUAGACUUUUUUUGCUCCUAUCUUUAUUUAAUUCACUCCACUCAUUUGUUGUGCACAUUCUCUUCAAAUCAACCUCAUAAUGUAUAAGACUCUUAAGUGAAAUGAAUUCAGUGGCAAAACAAGUUAUUCCUAACCUUAACAAAUCUCUAUCCUUGGUGAACACUUUCAUCAAAUUCACUACUUUCAAGCUAUUAUAAAUAAAUCCUAUGAUCAUCUUUACUUGAUCUAAUGUCUCCUUAAUCUACUUCAUGCUUGCAAUAUUUUCAAGCAUUAAAUCAAUACAGUGGGUUGCACAAGGAGACCAAAACAAAUGUUUUGACUUCUCUAUCAACAACAUACUAGCUGCUUUAAAACUUGCCUCAUUAUCAGUGACUACUUAAACAACAUUUUCCUCCCCAACCUCCUCUACAACUUUAUCCAUAAGGGAGAUGUAGUUUGUUGUCUUAGGUAUGUUGGUAGUGUCAACUGAAGAAUGGUAUAUCAUACUUCUAUCACAAUAAAUCAUGAAAUUGAUGAUAAGCUUUCUAGUCCUAGAACUCCAACCAUCACAUGUGAUUGUGCACCCAUAUAUAGGUCAUUUAGCCUUCAAUGUUGUUAUAUACACCUCAAGCUCUUAUACCUCCUCUUCCAAAUAUGUAUUUCCAAUUUGGUAUCCCGUGAGACCCUUGAUGCCUGGACCUGCUUCUGCUAUGGUACCAAUCAUUGAUUGAUAGUAAGGUUCACUAUCAGCUACAUUAAAGAGUAUUGUAUUAAAGAGAAAGAAUUUAGAAAUAGUUUUACCCACUUUUUUCACGCCUUUGGUAGAAAACAAGCUUUCUAUUGAUUUCUGCUUUGAUGGGAAGGGAUCAAUUCCUUUUGGAGGUAUGCUAGCUCCUUCUCUUACACUGAAGCUACGUUUUGGUCCGCACUUAAUCCUAGUAUUUGUAUUUGUUACAUCCAUGCCUUCCUAAUCAUUUUCAAAAGAUCACCUUUUUUAUAUAAUAUAGAAAUAUUUGAUUAAAAAGGAUUAAAUAAUUUGUAAAUUGUGAAUUUAACCCUUCUCAUGUUUUUUCUUAAAAAAGUAACUCAAUUUUAACAUAAAUGUCAUUUAUUAUUUAAAGUAUUUACAUAUAGGUUUUUAAGGAGAUGAUUAUUUUUACAAGAAAUUAAUGAGAGCAUUUGUCCAAAUGAGGCCAAAAAAUGGUGGAAGGUCAAAUUUCAAAAAUUGGGUAUUCAAAAACUCUUUUAAUCAAAUAACCUUAUAAUAUAUUACCAAAGACUAACAAAACAGUUUUUUCCCGUUAAUUUCAAUCCAUUAAUUGACCUUUUUUUAUAAAAGAAAAAAAGAAUAAGAAAAAGAAAACACUUCUAAUGAAAUCGUUGCUAACAAAAGUGCUAUAAAUAAAAAAGUUUUAUGGUAUUUGUUUGACAACAAAUUUUAUGAGAAUAAUUUUUUCGUAGUAAAAUAUAUUUGACCAAAAAUUUUAUUUUAUUGUAAGAGGGCGAGCUUCCACCAUAAAUUUUAUUUUGGCAAAAAGUUAUUUUUUGAUAUGUCGCCAUAAAUUGUAUUUUGUGGUGAAAAGUAACUUGUUGUCACAAAUUUUAUUUUGUAGAGAAAUUAUUUAUUUUAUUAUGAAAUUAAAUUCCAUGGUUAAAAAUAAUUGUUUAUGAACUUACAACAAUAAAUUUGCACCAAAUAAUUUUUUGUGGAAAAAAAUCUUUUACUAUAUAUAGAACAUUUUUUUAAUCACAAAUUAAUUUAUGGCAAAAUCCCAUAUUUCACUUUCAAUGAUCUAGUUUAGGAAUUCCAUGGAUAUCACUUUAAUCGUUUAGCACUUUCUAACUAAGGAAGUUGAAGCCAUUUAGAAAUUGGUUGUUUUAGUAACAAAUUUUAGGUAUUUAAAAUUAUGUUGUUAAAAAGUAUUCUAAAAACUAAUUAAAAAUAUGAUAAGAUAAAAAUAAAAAAAAAUAAAAAAUUGUUUUUUGUUUGAUAAAAACCAUUUAAAAAAAAAACUAUGAACAGAAAUAAUUAUGUAGUAGUUAGAUUUUAUUUUACCCUAUUAGGGGCUACUCCCGAAAUCCACUUUUUGUUUUAUUUUAUAACGUGUGGUAGAAUAUGGAAGAGAUUCAAAUUUAGUAGGUGUUUAUUUUCUAAUCAUUUAAAUUUAUUAAACAAUUUUUUUAUUUAUUUAAUAAAAAAAGUUAUUAAUUAGUAUCAAACAUGAGUCAUUCCUACACUAGUAGUACAUGAGAGUCUCCUUGUAGUGGAAGAGUUAUUAAGUUCAUAUCCUAUUAAGGCAAUUUGAGAGAAACAUGAAGCCAAUUACCAAUGGGAAGUAGGUUCCUUCACUCUACAGACAUGUUCAUAUGCAAAUGUAAGAAUGAGAGACUAUGCCAAUAGCUAAAAUUGAAGGUUCUUGAGAGGGAUUUGGUUGAAAGAUUUGAGCACUGAAACACUCAUGAUCUGAUUUGAAUGAGAAAACAAUCAAAUGGUAAAUACAUAAAAAGUCAAUUUGACAUGAUAAAGCCACUCAAACCUCAAUCUUGGUGGUGAUGUUUAUCGUGGUGUGCAUGCGUGUUAAUGUUUAGUGAUAUUAAUUCAUGUAACUUUAUAUUUUCCAUGAAUUAAUAUUGGAUUGUUUAAAAUUGAAAAAAAAAUGGAAAAUUUUAAAAGUUAAUAACAGAAAAACUAAAAGAACAAUUGAGAAAUAAUAGAUUUAUAUAACUGUUUUCUAAACGCACAUGCGUGUUAAGGUUUUGGGAAUGAAAGCACACCUCGGUGCAGAGUGCAUGGAAUUGCCAAUAUUUUUGGCAUCAACGCAGACUUCUUGAUUUUCCCAAAGUUGGGGCUUGAAACUCCUAAUAUUUUGGGAUCAACGGCCCAUAACCAAGUUUUCCUAAAAAAUAUUGAUAGAUAUUUUGACAAAAAUAUUGAUAGAUAUUUUGACAAAAAUAUCGGUCAUGUGAUAAUUAUUCAAAAUUCAUGAAAAUAUUUGAAAAAAAAAAUUUUGAGGAUAGUACACUGGUUUAAAAACAAGUGGCCAAAACCAACUAUAUUAGAAUUUAGACCUUUUUUUCUUUUUAAAUGAUUUUAUUUCAAGGAUUAUAUAAUGGGCCGAAACUCCCGGCUCAUUCAAAAGUCUUUCUGUAGCACAAAUAUCUUUUAGGAAGAAGGUUAGAUUUUGGGAGAAUUGUGUUUUGGGCCCAGCUGGGCCAAAAAAUUAACAAAUGGUCCAUCUAAUUGACCUAAUUAAUGAUAAGGAUAUCAAAUGUUAAUAGACGAAAAUGCCCUUUACAUUUCCAAUUCAAAUUGUUGUAAAUUAAUGGGUUUCACAGCUGGUAAACGUGAAAUGCCAUGUCACCAGAGUGAUAAAGCCACUCAAACCUCAAUCUUGGUGGUGAUGUUUAUCGUGGUGUGCAUGCGUGUUAAUGUUUAGUGAUAUUAAUUCAUGUAACUUUAUAUUUUACAUGAAUUAAUAUUGGAUUGUUUAAAAUUGAAAAAAAAAAUGGAAAAUUUUAAAAGUUAAUAACAGAAAAACUAAAAGAACAAUUGAGAAAUAAUAGAUUCAUAUAACUGUUUUCUAAACGCACAUUAGAAUUUAGACCUUUUUUUUCUUUUUAAAUGAUUUUAUUUCAAGGAUUAUAUAAUAGGCCGAAACUCCCGGCUCAUUCAAAAGUCUUUCUGUAGCACAAAUAUCUUUUAGGAAGAAGGUUAGAUUUUCACGUUUGUCAGUGUUCCCCCACCAACCAUACAGGAUGUGACAAUCCUCCAUGUAAUAGUCAUGGGCCCAAGCCCCAUGUCUGUCUAAUAAUUGCAUUAGAAUGUGAAUCUCCAACAUCAGAUCCCUGGAAUCACCGGCAAAACCCAUAGUGGAUGUGGCUCUACCUCUCCAACAAAAGAUUUGAAUAGAUUUGAACCCUAAAAAAUAUGUAUAAAAUACCACUUCAUGAAUAAUAUUUUUUCAAAAAGUAUCGAAAAAGUACACUUUAAUAUUAGACUCAAAUCUUAAUAUAGCAGUUGUCACAAUGACCUUGUUUGGGCUAAAACUAAUGAAGAAGGCAAUAUUUGUGUAAUAUUGGUUUUGUGUUGAAUAUGAAGUAACAUCAUAUUGGUUUUGUGUUAAAAUGUCCAAUCACUUGAUUUUCAAUAAUGUUGAAAUGUAAACUUUAGUAUCUUUUAACAUUUUUCAUAAGCCAAAUCAAAAACUAUAUAUAUGGUUGAUGGUAUAAUUUUUUAUUUUUUAUUUUUUUGGAGAACUAUGCAAUUACACCAACUUAAAAAAAAAAAUUCAGAAAUUAGAAGUUUAAAUUUUACUUUUUAAUUUAAGUGUACUAUCCAUUCAUGUAUUCAAGUAUAAGCCAUAUUUAGGAAUUCCAUGGAUAUCACUUUAAUCGUUUAGCACUUUCUAACUAAGGAAGUUGAAGCUAUGUAUGGGAAUGAUAAUUGACAAAGAGUAAUAUGUACUAUAAAAGCCCACACAAGUGCAAGCUUUCUUCCAUUGCAUCAUUCACCACAUUUUUUUCCUCGAAUUUUGUAUUGUCACAAAUGAAUGACUCAAUUCCAAGCCUCUCCAACGGUCCGGGCCGGGCCGCCCGGCCUGGAGGAGUCAGUCCCGUGGCCCAGCCCGGGCCGGGCCACUGAGCCCGUUGACUGGUCAACGGGCUGGGUCGGGCCGGGCCUUGGUAUAUCUAAGCCAAUGGGCCCUCAAGCUGGGCGGGCUUGGCGGGCUGGGCUGGCGGGUUGGGCUGCGGGGUGGGGAAAAAAUUUAAAUAAUUUUCAGUUUUGAAGAGAAGGGGAUUUGAACCCCUUCCCUUAUGGAACCACAAGGGAGCUAGCCACCAACUGAGCUGGGCCUUUUUUUGUGUAACUAUUUUGCAUUAGUUAUAUAUAUAUAUUAGAAAUGUUGUAUGAUUUUUUUAAAAAAUAAAAGUGAGUUGGCGGGCCUACAAGCGGGCCAGCCUGUCGGGCCGCGGGCUUUUUGGAGAGGCUUAGAGUCAAUUCAUUGAAGGAGCUAGCAUCUUUUGGUCCUUCAACCUUUAUAUGUAAUGGUGGUUGCAUGGUAAAGUUGAUAAUUCUAUUUGAUAGGUUUCUGAAUCUAGACGCUUUGUUUAACGUACAAAUUUGGAAUUUGAUUUGACCAACUUCAUGUAAUUUUUGUAAAAAAAUAAUUAAAAAUUCAUGAUGAUUUAAUGCAGAGGGUGGAAGUCAGCAUGGGAAUAGUGUACAUUUUGAAACUUUACUUUUGACUUUUCAAGUUUAUUAAUUUUGUAUGUUAAAAAUAAUAUCUGAGGAGUGAGGACAAUGAUUUUAGAUUAAAAUCAAAAUUUGACAAAAUGUCAGUGGGGACUUGGGACAAAUAGUGCCCUGUGCUAUAAAAUCCAUGUUUCUUGCUGCUAUUUUUCACUCAGACGCACGCUUACAAGUCUGCUUCUCUUCCAUCCCUCACUCUGGCAUACAAAGACACUUAGAAUUAGUUAGCAUUCAUGGGUGGUGGAGAUUUCACAAUAAUAGUGAGCAGGAAGGAAGUAGUGGCAGCUGUACUGCCUGUGCAGAAGUACUGGCUACCGCUAUCUAACCUGGACUUGUUUUUGCCUCCAGUAGAUGUGGGUGUGUUUUUCUGUUACAAGAAGCCACAUGAUUUAACAUUUGGGUCCAUGAUUGGCGUUCUAAAGGAGGCCUUGGCCCAAGCACUGGUGUCCUAUUAUCCAUUUGGAGGAGAAGUUUUGAGUAACUCAGCAGGUGAGCCCGAGCUCCUUUGCAACAACCGUGGGGUUGAUUUCAUGGAAGCUUAUGCGGAUGUACAACUACAAAACCUCAACUUGUAUAACCCUGAUGAAAGCAUUGAAAGCAAGCUUGUCCCUAAGAAGAAACAUGGCGUUCUGUCAGUCCAGGUAACUCUCUCUCUUUCUCUAUGAUAUGCUAAUCCUAAUUAGUUGUAAUCAUGACAUGCUUAUUGUUAUGUAAAUGAACUAAUGACAGGUGACUGAGCUCAAAUGUGGCGGAGUUGUGGUGGCCUGUACAUUCGAUCAUAGGAUAGCAGACGCAUAUUCUGCCAAUAUGUUUCUAGUUUCAUGGGCUGAAAUGGCUCAGUCCAAACCAUUAUCAAUACUAUCAUCUUUCCGGCGUUCUCUCCACAACGCUCGAAGUCCGGGCUCCUAUGAUCCUUUCCUUGACGACAUGUACGUCCCCAUGUCAGCCUUACGUCCUCCCAAAGCUCCACAGUCUGGUGAUGAUCUUCUCAUAAACCGCCUUUACUAUGUCACAGCCGAACAACUCAGUCUACUCCAAUCACUAGCUACCAGCAAGAGUAGCCCCUGCAAGAGGACUAAACUAGAGUCUCUCAGUGCUUUUCUAUGGAAGAUGGUGGCCAAAAGUGCAAUCACGGAAGACGCAAACCAAAAAAUAUGCAGGAUGGGCACCGUGGUGGAUGGAAGAAAGAGACUGAGCAAUGGAGAUGAGGUUAAAGCAGCAAUAAUGGCCUCUUACUUCGGAAAUGUGUUGUCCACCCCCUUUGGUAAGAAGACAAUAAAUGAACUGAAAGAGAAACCAUUGAGCUAGGUGGCAGAUGCAAUUCAUCAGUACCUGGAAGGAGCAGUAACAAAGGAGCAUUUCCUGGAGCUGAUAGAUCGGGUGGAGGCUCACCGUCCGGAGCCAGCUUUAGCAAAGAUAUACAGUAGUGGCAGUCGCGAUGGACUGGCAUUUGUGGUGUCAUCAGGGCAGAGAUUCCCAACGUCAAGGGUGAAUUUCGGGUGGGGUAUGCCGGCUCUAGGGUCAUACCAUUUUCCACGGGGUGGGGAAGCUGGGUACGUGAUGCCAAUGCCGAGUCCUGUCAGAGAUGGAGACUGGGUGGUGUACAUACACCUCUUCGUGGGGCAGAUAGAGUGGAUUGAGACUGAGGCUACUCACAUCUUUAGACCCUUAAGUUCUGAAUAUCUCAACUUGAGCAACUCAGAUUAGCUUACAUUUAUCACUUCCUAUUUGUUCACUGUCCCUCACAAUGUUUGUUAUUGUCUCCAUCUCUAUUUACUGAUUGUCAUCGGCUUAAUGUUAAAUAUCCGUUUAAGAAGAAGCCCGCCUGAUUUAGAAGCCCCGAUUUUUUGUGGCUUGUCUAUUCCAAUUUCCAACCUCGUUAAUUUUCCUCCUCUAUUCAAAAUUCUCUAUGAACAUAAAUAAUACAUUAAUUGUGGGAUUAGUUUUGGCAAAUAGGAAGUAGUUGAAAUUUAUGGAGUUAGGUUCGACUAAUGAAAAAGACGUAACCCAAGUGGUAUUUUUAAUUCAAAAAAACAUUUUAUAAAUAUUUUAAUUUUUUUUUAAAAAAUAAAUUGUUAUUAAUAAAAAAUUUACUAAAUCAUAAAGAAUAUAACUAUUUCCAAGUAAUAAGUCUUUUGUACGUGCUUAAAAAAUGAGAUAGAUAUGAACCUAAUGAAGUACGAUUUUUUUAAACAAAGUGAAAAAUUUAAAAUCAAAAAAUCAAAAUGGGAGCAGUCAAUUGGGAAAAUUUGUCCUUUUCUAGACUGCAAAAUGAGUGUAGGCUUCUACAGUUGCUGCAUUCUAGUUGAUGUGUGAUGAAAGGUUUGUGCCCACAAUGGUGCAGAUCCAAACAGCUAUUUACAAAGGGUAGUGUUGAGGCCUUGCGUCUCGAUGAUCCACGUAGCUGCCAAAUGGACGCACACUUUCAACCAAGAUAGAUUUCUGGUUCAGUCGUCCCUGCAAAAGAUGUCCGGACACACCCUCCGAUGGUUUUGUCAGCCAUGUCUAGAGAGAUUAAGCAGUUGACCUUUUACUAGGUAUAGCAAGCUUACCUUUUUCCUUGUGUGAAGGUUCCUUUAUAUAGUGUCAGAAGCUCGUCCUCCCUCUUUAAUGAUGGGAGGACUUUUUGGCUCGUCAUGAUGACUCCAAGGUGGUGGCAGGGCCAUCAUCACCCUGUGGGCGGCUGUCAGAGAUCGUGGGAGGUGACUUGCCAUCAUUCCUGUCCUUUCGCUCUGCAGGCGGAGGAUCGUGGGAGGUGACCUGCCACCACUCCUAUCCUUUCGCUCUGCAGGCGGCAGAACGUGGGUUGUGGCAGGCUGUCGGAAUGAUGUAGCAAGACUUGCUCACCUCAGUCAAUGAUCCGGAUAGGAUAUGUUACCAUCCGGGCGUGACAUUCGCGAGUGAUGUGUGCUUCUCCCUGAGGGAGUCCGGAUAGGGGAACGCGCCACAUGUCCUCUUGGAGAGUCCGGAUGGAGUUUGAUCCGGAUAGCAAUGCGUGCCACAUGUCCCACUUUGGAGAGUCCGGAUGGAGUUGCUUCGGAUAGCGAAGCGCGCCACGUGUCAUCAGGGGGAGGGGUCCCUACAAUGCCCCCCUUUUAACCUAUCGAUUUAUCCCGGGCAGAAUGGGCGGGUUAAAAAUGAUUGUUUUUGAAACUGCGGUUACCUUUUGCACUCAUUGGGCCACGUGGUGCACGGGGGCGAAAAGGAAAAUAGGGUAUUUAUGACGAGCCGCCGUCUCUGGGAUUUCCUAGGCAGCAUGUCUUUUCAGCAACGGCGCGGCUGGACGUUUGGGAUACCAAGGGGCUGUCUCACUAUAAAUAACAAACUGAGCCCUUCACUCUUGCAUUUUUUUCUUCUGCAUUUUUUACUGGUAGUGCUUUCUCUUCAGCCUUCUGCAUACCUUCGUUUGUGAGCGAGGUUCUAGGGUUUCUAUUACCAACAUUCGUGCCGUGACGGUGACUACAUCGCGGACUUUAUCUCCAUUUUCCCAGUUUACGCUCGGUACGUUCUCUAUCCCUGCCUUCUUCUUACUGUGUUUGUUUUUGCGGUUGCUUUUGGCUUGUUGGGCAAGUUUCUUGCGACUGGGAGUCAGUAUUGGUUUCUAGGGCUUUUUCGGGGGGUUUUGAUCGUGUUUUGGGUGCGUUAGGGUUUCUAUUGCCCCCUUGCACCUUUUGUGGGCUGCCGAUCCUUCUUUGGGGUAGAGUCAAGGGUUAGGAUGGAGAUGCUGGUUAUGUUAGGUUUUCUGAGCGUCUUCACUGCUAAGGUUAUUUUUUUAUUGUUGGCAUUCUAUCAUGCAGGUUUCGUUUUAGUCCCACUCUAAAAAAUGUCGGCGAACAAGGGUGCUGCUUCGUCUAGCGAGGCUGAGCAGAGCGGCAAAGAUGCGUCCGGAGAGGUCCACGCGGAAAAAUCCGUGGACAAGUUGAACGUGAGGGAGUUCUAUGAACACUUCUGCAUCCCAAACGGCAUGUCCAUUCAGCUUAUGGACGGGGAGGCCGUGUCCACGGAGAAAUCUGCGAACAACGCUAUCUUCUUCAACAAGGAGCAAUUCAAUGCUGGGCUCCGGUUCCCCCUCCCAUUGUUGUUCAAAGAAUUUCUCCACGUCACCUGGAUCCCAACAUGGUCCGGGUGCUGAUGGGGUGUAGCAUUCUGAGCAUGCUGUUCAACCUGGACCUCUCACUACUGGAGGUUCUUUUUAUCUACUCGAUUAAUAAGAGGAAGAAUGAUAUCUAUAGCUUUGUCGCCAGCCUUCCAUCCCUUCAGUUGGUGACCAGCCUUCCUGACUCGACCAAGGGGGUCGCCAGAGGACACGUGAUGGUCAAGGGCGUAUGGGCGGGUUUGACGGAGCAUCCGGACAGGCAGUUUGCUCCAAACCAGUCAUUGAAGGCCCCAGGUAUGAAUAAGUUGCUUCCUGUCCUCCCGUGGUUGCGAGUUAGGUCAACAUUAUUAGGUGGCUGACAUGCUUUGUUCUCUUGGGUGCAGACAAGGAUAGAAGGGGGAAGUUGGUAGAUUGGGUGGAAAAAGCUUCGUUCGACCGGUUGAACAGGGUAUUUGAGAUUGCGGCGGACGAGAGGAGCUGUGAAACGCUUCUCUCCGCGCAGAAUCUCUGCUUGGUUACCCAAGAGCCCCAGCCAUUCGUACUCAACAUACUUCCAAGGCGGCUUCCCAAAAAUGUGGUGGCUGGGGAGCAUUUCAUUCUCAAAGAUCUCCCAUUCUACACGGCGGUGCGAAAGGCAGAUGCCCAAGCACGCAAAGCACUUCUCAACGAACGGGAGGAGAAAAGACAAGAGGGGACUUUGCGGAAGGCCCCUAGUGAUAAACGCUCCGCGCCCUCUCCUCCUGUUGGCGCUCCAGCGGGAAAGAAGAAGAAAGUUCCCACUAAGGGAAAAACAAUAAAACCUCCAACUCCCACAAAGGAAGUAGUAAUAAAAUCGCCAACUCCCACAAAGGGAAUAAUAAUAAGACCUACAGCUUCUUCCGGCUUGCCCUCUGUUUCAAGCGGUUCCGGACAUAUCGCGUGUCUAAAAGGAUCGGGGCCUUCAAUGCCAGCGGCUGAACAGAUGGCUCUUCUGGCUGAGGAAGCAACCUCAGUGUAUCAGCCGGGCUUUUCCCCUCCGGACGCGGAUGUAGACGGGGCCUCUUGUGCUGAAACGUUGCCUCCUAUGGCGCCUCUAAUGGAAGAAACGGGGGCUGAGAGGCAGGGUUUGCCCCCUUGCGAGUCAAGCUCCCUUGCCCUUGUACCGGUGAAGGGGCCAGCUACGAGGAGGUCUCGUCCAGCCCGCGAUUUAAAGUCUGGCAUCAGUGGGCGGCUUCAGGGUCGUCUUCUGGAAACCAUCGAAGUCAGCUGCUCAUCCGCCCAGGAAGAUCAUCCAAAGGAGUGUGAGCCGGAGAUGGCGGAAGAGAACCCAACCGACCCGAUGCUGGUCCCGGAUGAGAGUUCGCCCGAAGAAACUCAGCUGACCGUGAAUGAUGGGGGCCCAGAUCCAAGGGAGGAGUCACACCAUAACGCCUCAUCAGAAGGGAGUCCCGUUGAUGAUGCGACUUGCACCUCCGCUAGCCCUUCCAACUAUGCGGAGUUGGAAGAAAUGUUGAAAUGGAUUCCACCCGGCUCAAAAUGUUGCUCUACCUUCAGCAAAAAUGUUUGAGGCGACGGAAAUGGUAUAGUUUACUCCUCUUUAUUUUCUUGUCAUACUAGUCUGCUUGUCACAUGGUUUGUAAUUGAACUUCUUGUUGUGGGUUUUUCUGCAGCUGGUGAGCGGUAUUCGCGGCAUGGUUCAGCAACGCGAUCUUUUUUCAGACCUGCUGUGGAUUUUCGACCACAUGAAGGCCUUCGUCUCCCAGCACAUGAGUGGUGAAGAAGAAUUGCGCUCGAGAUUGGAGCAGGCCAAAGCCAGCUUAUCCGCUGCCCAGAGAGCCUCUGAAGAAAGUGCCGAAGCGUUGAAGAAGUCGUAGGACGAAAGCGAGGCUCUCCGGAUAAAGCUAGCAGAGGAAAAGAGACGGGAGGAAGCUACGGAAGCUCGUCUGCACGAGGCGGAGGACGAGGCGGCCCAGCUGAGGGGGGAGGUCAGACAACUCCGGACAGAGGUGUCAAUUGAGAAAAAAUAGAAAGAGGAAUCGCAGUUGCGUUUAUCAGCACAAAAAGAAGAGCUGGAGGCUGAGUUUGCUGCGCAAAGGGAGGAACUCGAGGCGGAAUACCAGAAACAGGUAGAUGAGAUGUAUCUCUUUGGCUACCGUUGCUGCAUGAAGAAGCAUGGUAUCAAGCGAGACGUCCCUUCGAUUCCUCCUAGCGAGGAAGAAAAGUUGCGCGGCAAGCCUUCCCAAUAAGAGCUUUUCUUUUUGUAACCUUUAGUGCUAUUUCUCUUUGUAUUUGUAGUCCAGAGGACCUUUUUGUAUACAUUUUUCACAAGUAUUAAUAAAACAUACUUAUUCACAUUGUGCUUCUAUCUUUCUUUCAUUGGUAAUACUGCUUUAAAUUGGAUACAUUCCAUGGUCGGAGCAAUGGGGUUCUGUCUAGCUUCUAUAGAUGAUAAGCUCCACUUUCACUUGUCUUGGACACUAUAUAGGGGCCUUCCCAAUUGGCUUGAAACUUUCCUACUCUUGUCUCAGCAGUGUUUUUGAAGACCUUUCUAAGAACCAACAUUCCACUUUUGAAACUCCUGGGCCUUGCCUUGCGAUUGUAGUGAGUUGCUGCCUUUUGUUGAUAGUCGGCCAUCCGAAUGGAUGCAGUCUCUCUUACUUCAUCUGCCCAGACUUCUUCCAAAUUCUGCAUUUGCAUCAUCCUGGAAUCCUGCCUCAGUCCGGAUAGUGGGUAGCCCUAAUUCUAUAGGAAGGAAUGCGUCUAUACCAUAUGCGAGGGCGAAGGGAGUGUUUCUUGUUGGUCGUCCGGGUAUGGUUCGAUAAGCCCACAGGACGCCGGGUAGCUCCUCCACCCAUUUCCCUUUGGCUUGCUCGAGCCUCUUUUUUAAGGCAGUUAUUAGGGUCUUGUUUGUAGUCUCUGCUUGUCCAUUGCUUUGAGGAUAACGCGGUGUGGAGUAUGAAUUCCAGAUGUUUAGUUUCGAAUAGAAAUUCCAGAAAGCUAUGCUAUCAAACUGUGGACCAUUGUCAGCUAUAAUGGUUUAGGGGAUUCCAAAGCGGCAGAUGAUGUUCUUCCAUACGAACUUGGUGACAUCUUUCUCUUUGAUGCUAGCAUAUGCUUUAGCUUCCACCCAUUUACUGAAGUAAUUUGUGGCGACGAGCAGGAAUUUUUUCUGGGCGGCUGUGACUGGUAGGGGACCUACUAUGUCCAUGCCCCACUGCGCGAAGGGCCAGGGGCCUGAAAUUGGUUUCAACGUCUCUGACAGCAUAUGUGGUAUGGGGGCAUGCCUUUGACACUUGUCACAUUUUUUGACAUAAGCUGCCGCAUCCUUUUUCAUCGUGGGCCAGUAAUACCCUUGCGAAUGGACCCUGUGCCCCAGAGAUCGACCUCCGGAAUGGUUCCCACAUACUUCCUCAUGCAACUCAGCUAAUACAUACAGGGCCUCUGAGUGGUUUAGGCACUUGAGAUAGGGACCUGUAAAGGACUGUUUGUACAAGUGCCCCCCGAUCAGGGUGAAAUGGGCGGCUUGCAUCCGGAUCUUGUGUGCCUGCUUGGGCUCUUCGGGCAAAAUUCUUGUCUGGAGGUACCUUAUAAUGUCUUCCGUCCACUCUUGGUCGUCUGCUUGGUUUGCCUCAAUAGUAUUGCAAGUGGAGGUUUCCGCGACGGAAAGGUUGGCUUGCACAUGUAUAGACAAUAAUAUGGCUUCUUUGAUGGAGAGAGAAGCAGUUAUGCCUGCUAGGGCGUCAGCACGUCCAUUUUCAGUCCGUUUAAUUUUUUCGAUCGUCCAUUUGGUGAACCGUUGUAAGGUGUUCCUUACUUUAGCCAGGUAUCGCGCCAUGCGCUCAUCCUUAGCUUUGUAUUCCUUCUGGACGUGCUUUACCACAAGUUGAGAAUCACUAUAGACUCGGAGCCUGGAAACGAAUAGAGCCAGGGCGAGGUCCAAUCCGGCUAGGAUGGUCUCAUACUCUGCUUCAUUGUUAAAGGGGGGGAACCCCAGUCGGAUGGCUUGUUCCAGAUGUUCUCCUGUUAGGGAUUACAGCAGAAGCCCUACUCCGGAUCCUUAUGACCGGGAGGCUCCAUCAACCCACAAAGUCCACCACUCUUUUUCACUUGGUUCCUUGCGCUAGAUAGGCCUUCGGGAGUAUUCCAGCACGAAGUCAGCCAUCACUUGGCCUUUCAUGGAUAACCUGGGUUGGAACUCGAUUCCAAAUUCGCUCAACUCUAUGGCCCAUUGAAGCAUUCUUCCGGUUAAGUCCGGCUUGUGCAGGAUGUUGCGAAGGGGCUGGUCAGUUAGCACGACCACCGGGUGAGCUUGGAAGUAAGGGCGGAGUUUCUGGGCGACACUUCGAAGAGCCAAGGCCGUUAGCUCCAUCUUUGAAUACCUUGUUUCUACGUCCGCCAACACUCUGCUGACGUAGUAAAUAGGUUUCUGCUCCUUGGGCGAGGGGCAGCGGAAUAGAACAGCGCUGAUUGCCCACUCUGAUACAGCCAGGUACAUAUACAAUUUUUCUCUAGGGAGGGUAGAAUGGGCGGUUGCAUGAGGCAAUGUUUAAUUUUUUCGAAAGCGCUUUGACAGCUGUCCGUCCAUCCGCUCGUUCCAGCUUUUCGUAUUGCCAAAAAGAAGGGUCGCAGCUUAUCAGUGAAACGGGCUAUAAAGCAUCCUAGCGCGACGAGCUUGUCUGUGAGGCGCUGUAAUUCUUUUUUGCUCCUAGGGGGUGGCGUUUCCAUGACUGCCUUAACUUGAUCCGGGCUAACCUCUAUCCCCCUUUGGCUUACCAUAAAUCCCAGGAAUUUGCCAGCACUUACGCCAAAGGCGCAUUUAGAAGGAUUCAGCUUCAUGCCAUAGUUCCUUAAGAGGUGGAAGACUUCUUGCAAGUGGAAGGUAUGUUCCUCUCGGGUUUUGCUUUUCACCACGAUAUCGUCAAUAUAUACCUCCACUGUGCGUCCGACCAGAGGUUUGAAGAUCUUCGUCAUCAGUCUCUGAUAAGUGGCGCCAGCGUUUUUAAGUCUGAACGACAUGACUUUGUAGCAAUAAAGACCGUGUGGCGUUAUGAAGGCUGUCUUCUCUUCGUCGGCUGGGGACAUGGGGAUUUGGUGGUAUUUGGAGAAGGCGUCUAAGAAGGAGAGCAUCCCUUGCCCAGCAGUAGAGUCCAUAAUUUGGUCUAUCCGUGGCAGAGGGAAAUUGUCUUUUGGGCAUGCAUUAUUGAGGUUGGUGUAAUCGACGCAUACAUUUGCCUUCCUUUUUGGGUACCACUACUACAUUUGCCAACCAGUCCGGAUACUCCACUUCUCUAAUGAAUCCGGCUGCCAGCAAUUUGUCAAUCUCAUCCCUGAUAAAUUUUUGCCUGUCCGGGUGAAAGCGUCUAACUCUCUGCCAGACGAGUCUUGAUGUUGGCAAGACGUUAAGUCUAUGAGAGACGAUGGAAGGGUGAAUUCCCUUCAUAUCAGUAUGCGUCCAUGCGAAGACGUCAUGGCUUUGUCAGAGGGCGUCUUGGAUGUUCCGAGUCUCUUCAGGCGCCAAGAGGGAACUGAUAUAUGUAAGGUGAGUACCUUCUUCUGAAAUUUGGAUCGUCUGCAAGGGAUCUGCUGCCGGGGGAUCUUUGUCCAUCAGGCUUAGUAAUUGUUAUUGGUCAAGUACAUGGGUGGACUCAAGGAGGGGUUUAUCCUCUUGACUAGUUCCUAUCUCUCGUGCUAUCUGGUAGCACUGGCGAGUGGCUAGCUAGCUGCCAUAUAGAUCGAUUUGACCAUCCUUAGUAAGAAAGCUUACCACUUGAUGAUAUGUAGAGGGAAUGACUUUCAUGUAGUGCGGUCAUGUGCGCCCCAAGAUGACAUUGAAGGGUGAUAAAUCUUGUACCACCGAAAAUUGUACGUUGAGAGUGACUGGGCCAGCUUGGACCGGCAGCACAAUAUCUCCCAAGGAGGUAGUUGACGCUCUGUUGAAUCCGGACAAAAUUCACCCAGGGUUUUCGAGGCCUGUUAGAUUGCGCCCUAUGUGGCUAAUGACCGAUGCUUGUACAAGAUCGGCCGAGCUGCCCAGAUCAACUAGGAUGUGUCUUACGUCGAAGUCUCCUAUCCCUAGGGACAGGAUGAGGGCGUCGCGGUGCGGCUGCAAUAUCCGUGUGGGGUCUACUGGUGGGAAAAUGAUUGUCCCAUCUAUGGGGCUAGGGCCCCCCCCAGUUAUCCCAGGCCAUAUGGAGUUGAUGCGCUCACGCACCGAUGUAGCCUGCAACAGCCUCUGUUUCUUUCGUUUGGAGUCGUACUCCUCGUCCAUUGGUCAUCCGUUGAUAUAGUUUAUAAUGGAUUUGGGGGCGAUUGGAACCCUAGGGACUCCAGAGUUGGGAUUUCAGGAAGCGUCCCUACCUCUGACAUCCGAGCGAAGGUAUUGCUUCAAAUGUCCCGCCCUUAUGAGCCUCUCGACCAAAUAAUGGAGGCUUCUGCACAUCUUCGUUGUGUGACCAUGCUCCUUAUGAUAGGCGCAUUUUUUACUAUGAUCCCUUUUGGAUGGGUCCGCUGUGAGGGGUCUGGAUCACCUGAAGUCGGACAUGUCUUGGAUCAUAGGGAGAAGUUUCUCAUAGGAUAUGGAAAGGGGUGUGAGGGGCGGCUGUUCUGGGCGGCGUUGUUCUUCCUGCCUUCGACCAGACGGCCUUAGCCGGUCCGGAAUUUUGGCACUUCUCUCCGCACCACUCCUGGAUGCCUGUCCGACAACCAAGACUUGCUGAGUGGCUGCUCGCACGUCAUCUUCAAGCAUUGAGUAUUUGCUUGCGCGUCGGAACAAGUCGUCCAUCGUCAUAGGAGGCUUUUUAGCCAGCGAUUCGAAGAAUGGGGUGCCUGGACGAUGCUUCGCUUGAAGAUCUGUAGGACAACAUCUAUGCUGUAAGCUUCUACUUGUAAGACGGCCUAACCAAACUGCUUCACGAAUUCUCUCAACGACUCGUUCUCCUGCAUUUUUAUGUUUUGCAGAGUGCUGAUGUUCUGUUUUUGCCAAGCGGAGCAUAAGUAUUGUCCCAUGAAAGCCUCCGACAGGUCCCUCAAAUUAUCAACAGAAUUGAGAGGUAGGCGGUGAAACCAUGAGAGGGCCUGCCCUUGUAGGCUGGCGGGGAAUACUUUGCAUAGCAGCUCGUCAUUUCCUCUAUCUAGAGUCAUGAGUUGUCGAUAAUGCAUGAUAUGGUCGAAGGGGUCGCUAGACCCAUCGUACGUAGAGAAUUUAGGUACGAGAAAUCCCCUUGGGGGAUCGUAAUGAAUAAUAUGAGAGCAAAAAGGUAUGGAGAGCAUGUCGUCCAGCCUUUUGCUGAUGGAGCCACUGGGUGGCUCGUUUGGGAGGUUUCUCCCAGCUUGUCGUACCGCUUGGUGCGGGGGAACGUUUUGCACCAUAGGGGUGACCAUGGGGUCAGGGCGUGCUCUGUGCCAGUCAGGGGCAUCACAGAGUGGCCUCCCAGGCUCCUGUGGGCCUAGUCUCGCGUGCAUGGUGCCAGACAACUGGGAUCUUUUGUCACGUCGUCUCUUUGAUGAGAGAUGAGUAGAGUUCGAGCUUUCCUCUUGGGGAGUUUGGUGUAGGGGCAUGUGUUGCUCUUGUGGCUUAACGUUGCUUGUUUUUGGGAUGGCUCCUGUUGUCCCAGGGUAUAUUGACUCUAGGUCAGGCCUUGAGUUUGCUACCUGGCCUCUCGAGCGCUGACCACGAGGAGGCCUCGCCGAUGAAGCCUAGAUGCGCAACACAACGUUUUCUUCUCUCAAUCUCGCUGUCUCCUGGAGGAGAGCCUGCAUUUGUCGCUCGCUUGCCAACUGUCUUCUCUCGAUGGCUCGACGCCAUUCGAUAUUAUCUUCCUCUUCCCUAGCAGACAAGCGGCUUCUGGAAGGUGCAGACAUCUUUACCGGCGACUGAAUCAGCGAUUUUCCCACAGACGGCGCCAAUGUUGAGGCCUUGCGUCCCGAUGAUCCACGUAGCUACCAAAUGGACGUACGCUUUCAACCAAGAUAGAUUUCUAGUUCAGUCAUCCCUGCAAAAGAUGUCCGAACAAGGUGUCCGGACACACCCUCCGAUGGUUUUGUCAGCCAUGUCUAGAGAGAUUAAGCAGUUGGCCUUUUACUAGGUAUAACAAACUUACCUUCUUCCUUGUGUGAAGGUUCCUUUAUAUAGUGUCAGAAGCUCGUCCUCCCUCUUUAAUGAUGGGAGGACUUUUUGGCUCAUCAUGAUGACUCCAAGGUGGUGGCAGGGCCAUCAUCACCCUGUGGGCGGCUGUCAGAGAUCGUGGGAGGUGACUUGCCAUCAUUCCUGUCCUUUCGCUCGGCAGGCGGAGGAUCGUGGGAGGUGACCUGCCACCACUCCUGUCCUUUUACUCUGCAGGCGGCGGAACGUGGGUUAUGGCAGACUGUCGGAAUGAUGUAGCAAGACUUGCUCACCUCAGUCAAUGAUCAGGAUAGGAUAUGUUACCGUCCAGUGUGACAUUUGCGAGUGAUGUGUGCUUCUCCCUGAGGGAGUCCGGAUAGGGGAACGCGCCACAUGUCCUCUUGGAGAGUCUAGAUGGAGUUUGAUCCGGAUAGCAAUGCAUGCCACAUGUCCCACUUUGGGGAGUCAGGAUGGAGUUGCUCCGGAUAGCGAAGCGCGCCAUGUGUCAUCAAGGGGAGGGGUCCCUACAGGUAGGUUAGAAAACUUAUCAAACCCAUGUGCCUGCAGGGCCAAUAAUCUCACUCUCUUGUGAAAUAUAGUGAGCACUGAGCAGUACAAAAAGUCAAUUUCAUGAGUCUUUUAACUCUUUAUGCCCCAUGUGUAUUCAUUUUUAUAUGUUUAGAGUUUUGUCGAAAUGCUUUGGAGGGUUUUGGCCUUUGAAAUAAUCUAAUUUCUCCUUCCCUAAUUAUUAUUGAUAUUCAAAUUUUCUGGUGGCAAAACUAAUGCUUUUAUAAAUAACAAAUGAGCACUCACUCGGUUCAAUAAAAGAAUUAUAUAUCAUCAUUAAAUAAUACACAUGAUAGGAUAAAUAUGGACAGACAUCAUAUUAUAACCAUUGUUCAGGAUUUAGUUAUCUAUUUAUAUACGAUUUCUAUUUGAUCUAGAGUAUGGACCAUCUAAUGUGUAGAGUCCAAUGCCAUCACGAGCCUUAGAUGAUGGGCCUAAAACUCGUGAGGCCCAAUAGCCAAUGGGUAUGGUCCCUAAGGUAAGAGGGUAUAAAAUAAGGUGAGGCUUUUGUUUGUUCCAUUAUGUUAUCACACCUUUUGAAAUAAAGAGGAACCUGUUCUCUCCCGCUCCCAUCGUCAGAGAGAAUUCAGAAAGAGGUGGUGCCCUCCAAAGUCUUAGAAGAUCCAUAUAUCUUCAACAAAACAAAAGGAAAAUGGACUCAGGUAUGUUCCAAAAUCAAAAGCAAAAGGCAUGUUUGAAUGAUAGAUAUAAAUUUAUCCUACUUGUGUUUGGUGCUAACGGAGAAUAUAGAAACUUUAACAAUUGGUUUCAGAGCCUAUAUACCCAUUUUCACCAUAACCCGCAUUCUGUUUCUUCCUUUUCUCAUUGGGAAUCAAACUAAUUAUAUAUAUAUAUAUAUUUGUAAAACGAAUGGGUAUUAAUACCUGCAAUCAGAUUUGGGAAUUAAUGGAGGAAGGCCAUUCGACGCCGGUGAGAGGUGCCGUUUCAGGCGCGCUUCAGGCUCCAUUUUAGGUGUCGUUUCAGGCGCGCUUUAGGUGCCAUUUCAGGCGCAUUCCAAGUGCCAUUUUUCAAGAGCUCCAGAAGCGCCAUUUCAGGCAAUCCAGACGGCGUGCAGACGCUGUUCCUCAGGCGUUUCAGAAGCCAGUGAGAAGCGCUAAUUUGGGCGCUGUUGCAGGCGUUUUAGAUGCCAUCUAGGCGCCGUUUUUGGAGCCAUAGGUGGGGCUGCUUCCUAGUGACGCCGUUACAGCAUCAUUCCGGUGGUGGCGCCGUCGUUUGGCGAUGGGAAAUCACUAUUCCGAUGAUGGCGGCGGCGUUUUGCCGCCGGUUACCAUUGAUGAUGCCACUGCAGGAGAUGGUUGCUUUGGGAUGCAGUGAACAAAAUAAAUAAAACAAUUUGGUAUCUAGAUACUUGAUUGUGCCAAAUAGAUUGUUAUAUGCAUACUAGAUACUUGAUUGGCUGAGACACUAUUGGUAAUAUCAUGACCACCUUGUACAGUUGUACUUAGUUACCAAAGAUGUUGGAUUUUGGUUAUUUUAUGAUUUGUUUUUUAUGAUUAUACUUGUUUUAAAAUAAAUAAAUAAAUAAAAUAAAAUAAAAAAAUGAAGGAAAUGGUUUUGUCAUAUAGCCUAAACCAUUAGACCAAAGCUUUUAUAUAUGUUUUAUGCUUCAAUUGUUAUAUAUACAUGAGAUUAUGCAUAAAUAAAUAAAUAAAUAAAUAAUUUUGAUUGAAUUAUUUCUUGUUGUAUUUAUGUUUAAUGUUUUAAAAUAAAUGAAUUAUAUAUAUUUGUUGCCAAAGUAACAUAUGGUAUAUAAUUUAUUUAUUUUAUAAUAUGUAAACAUGUUAUUUUUAUUAUUAUUUAAAAUAAUCAGCCCAAAGGAAGAUUAUUUUAAUAUGAUAAUAAAUAAAGUAAUCAUAAAUAUGUGACAUGUAAAGUUUAUCUUGUAUUCGAUAUGUUAGUCCAAAGAUAGGCAUAUUGUUUUCGGUUUUAUUGUCAAUAUUUAUGAAUUAAUUUUGUAUAAGGAUGCCAAUUACAACUUGAUAUUUUCAUCCAAAGACUGAAUAUUGAUGUUUGUGCUAGGUAUCUUGUUAUAUGUCCACAUGCAUAUAUAUAUAUAUAUGUUAAAUUUUUAUUUAUUCAUGUAUGUGUGAUGAUUAUAUGACUGAUUGUGAGCUUUAUUAUUAUAAAUUCAGCCUCUUCUAUAUCUGCAAAUGUCAAUAACAUUCCUAUGUUUAAUGGCACAAACUUCAAGAAAUGGAAAGAGCAUAUUAUAAUCGUGCUCGGGUGCAUGGAUUUAGACUAUGCAUUAAGAGAUGAUCGCCCUCUAAAUCUUACUAAUGCCAACAUUGUUGAGCAAAGGUCUACUAUGGAAAAAUGGGAGCGAUCCAAUCGCAUGAGUCUAAUAAUAAUGAAGCACUCAAUUCCAAAAGCUAUAAGGGGUGCAAUACCUAAGGAAACCAGAGCCAAGGCAUUCUCGGACUAGAUAGCAAACCGAUUCGCUGCAAACGAAACGGUUGAGACAAACACUAUUCUUAGUAAGCUUGUCUCCAUGCGGUACAAAGGGAAAGAGAAUAUAAGGGAGUACAUUAUGGAAAUGUCUAAUCUUGUGACUAGACUCAAGGUACUAAAGUUAGAGUUGUCAGAAGACAUACUCGUGCACUUGGUCUUGAUCUCUCUGCCUACACAAUUCAGUCCAUUCAAAAUUAGUUACAAUACACAAAAGGAAAAAUGGGUUUUGAAUGGGCUUAUUAAUACCCGAGUGGUCAUACCAUAUUUCCGGAUAUAAUUGUUAAUAUUUAAAGAAAUGUCUCUAACUUUUUAACUCACAACACAAUCAAGCAAAUUUUGUUGAUUUUCUUAACUUCAUAAUUAUGUAUGUUAUAAUUUUUCUUUUUUAACUUGAUGAGAGCAUUUGCAACCACACAUCACCAUAAGCAUCUCACUUAAUCCAACCUUCUCUAAUUAUAAAUUUAUAAUUAUACACCCGCAUACUCUUCAUUAUCAAGAAACACUCGAUCAAACACAAUAAGAAUGCGUUUGGUAAUGAUUUUAAAAAGUAUUUGUAGUUUUUCUCAUAUUUGAAAGAUAAAAAUUUUUAAGUAUUAAAAAUGUUAAAAAUAUUUUUUAAAAUCAUUAUCAAACAUACUCUAAGAAUGCGUUUAAAAGUGAUUCUAUAAAGCGUUUAUAACAUUUCUAAUAUUUAAAUGAUAAAAAUUUUCAAGUAUUUAAAAUAUUAAAAAUGCUUUCUAAAAUCACUAUUAAACGGACUCUAAUAAAUUUCCUUACACUUUCACCAUUCCCAUAAUCUCAACCCUCUCUAGUUACAUUGAAAUUACACCCUCAAACCUCCGUAUAUUCUCUCAAUUAUCUUCUCAACCAAACAUUUACUAUGAUUGAUCCUUGACAAAUUUCAAAAGAAAUGUGCAACGACAUAAUUGAGUCUCGCAUCGCUAAAUGAAGGCUUAGUGGUUCAGCUUAUACAUACUUAAACACUCUCCCUUCAUUAUCUGGUUUUCAAGGGUGAGUUCCACCCAUUACGUACAUAAUAAUUGGUAUUAGAGGAGACACCUAGUGAGAAGACCCUCAUCACGAAAAGGGCUACUACCUAAUUGUGUGUGGAAUUCGCAAAGUCGCCUAGCCACCCAUAUAAAAGCAUUGUUGAUGUUGGUUUCGAAAAGCACGGUGAAUUGUAACAACCUAGUUCAAUUCCGCAUUGCUAAGUUACAACUUGGUGAUUAAGCUUUUAAGCACUUGGACACCCACCCCUUAAUAGCCAAUUUUCAAAACUGAAUUCCAUACUAUUCAUGCAUAACAAAAUGCAAGGAAAAGAAACUAAAAAGAAAAAAAAAAGAUUUAUAAUAAAUAAAUUAUUUUUAUAUAAUAUUUUAAACUCAUUUCACUUUUUUUUUUCCUUUUUAUGUAAAGAUUAAAUAAUUUAAUCCAAUUGGAAUGUUUGUUACUUUGUACAUAAACAAAGUAUUCAAAAUUGUGCAAACUUUUUAUAUUUCCACACAUCCAUUCCAAUAAAAUUAUUUCAAUAAAUAGCAUGAUCAUGGAUAGGGAACUAUACUAGCGACCCACCUAAUUUAUUAUAGAAAUUUUCGAGAUCAAUGAUCGGAUCAUGCAAACUAGAAAUAUCUUUUAUUGGAUAAAAGAACAGAUUGUUCAAUCCAUUUCCAUACUGCUUAUGAUGUAUAUAAUAAUUCGGACAUAACUUUCUAACUAAUUUUAAUUAUAUUUGAUUUUCUAUUGUAUUUUCUAGAAUGAUACUAAACAUGAGAAAAUCAUUUUUAUUAAAUUUUUUUUUUCUUUCCUUAAUAUUUUUGGGAAUCAAACUUAGCCUUAAUCUUCCGAUCUCAACAACACCAGACCAGCAAAACAAAAAUAAUUCCUAUCAAGUGACAAUUCAGAGCUAAAAUAAAUGUAAGAUAUAUCAUGAAUCCCUAUUAUCCCUUAGGAUUGAUCUUUUGCUUGUUUCAUUUCCUCUCUAAAUUCUUAUUAACUUGCUCAAUGAUUACUACUCAAAAAGUGCUAUUUCAUAGCUUGUAAUUAACCCUUUUAAACACUUUUGAGUAGUAGUUAUUGCCUUUUAACCCAAUUAACAUGUUAAGGACCCUUGCAAUCAUUUCUAAUCAAAUUGUGUAAGUUUUGGUGUUUUUGUUAGUAAUUUGAUCACCAAAACAAUCCAAGAUUGAGGAGAGUUAUUUGGAAUCCAUGGAAAAGCAAUGAACAGCUCAAAUUCAUGAAGAACCAAGCUUUGGAGCUCCAUAGCCCUUUGCCAAAGUCGUUCAAAGUAUGCAAGGAGAGAAACACGGAGAGAGGAAAAACAGAGUGAAGAAAACAAGGGACAGCAGCUGCAGUCUUCUUGUGCACUUUUGGAGCACUUUCCGAAGUCAAUUUUAUACAUGAUAUAUACCAUUUCAAAGCUCAGGAAGUCAAGAAUCCAACGCUUCAAACCGUGUACGAUUUGGAGCUGAAAUGAGGAAGUUACAGCCUUUGGAAGAUGACUGCUCCAAGCUGAAGGAAGGAUUCAGCAAAGUGUUGCGAAAUCACCCUUUUGUUGCGGAAUGAUUUCGCAGCCUUUUUGCACAGUGCUUUGGAUUUCCCUUGAAGUUUCACGCCGUGAUGGAAGCCAAACACCACAAGAUGAAAGCCAACUUCGCAGCCCUGCGAGAAUAACUUGUUGUUGCGAAUUGAUUUCGCAGCCCUUCUUGAGUGCCUGCGAAAUCUCGCAGACACCAUUUUCUCUUGCGAAAUGGUUCCUGAAGCCUCCCGAUAUUUGCGACCGACACUUUUGGAUAUUUUUCUUCAGAUAUUUUUGUAUAAAUUUCCAUUUUCUCCUUGUAUUCAGCCACUCAUGUAAUUCCUUAGCUAGGAAGUAUCCAAGGAAGGGUAAAUUACCUUCCUAUAUAAACUCUCUGUAAACACUAAAAAGAGGACUCUCAGAGAGAAAUGUAAUCCAUCGAUCAAUAUAUAGAUAUAUCAUAUAUAGAAUCAGAGAACAGAGCACUUGCUCUGUUUUUCAUAUAUAUUCUUGUUUUCUCGUUAGUUUUCUUUUUAGUCAACCAAACUCUGAGGAUUUUUCCUCAGAGGAUGAGAGGCUAGGCUCUUUGUCUCUUGGAGUAAGGAAAGCCGGGUAAGUUUCCGUAUGCAUAAAUUGGAAGUUUUGUUGUUUUAGUUUUUAAUGAAGAGAAAGUGUGACCCGUUAAUGGUUUUUAUCUUUUUAGUUAACUUAAAACGCCUUUAAAUCACCUGGGCCAACACUUGGUAAGGCAAGUGAUCUCCGUCCAUGGAGAUGCACUAGUUUACCCCUUGCGAGCCUUUGGGAGGUGACUUGAAGGUAAGAUUUUCUAGAAUAGCCAACACAUGGUAAGCUUUUGGACUCCAAGGAGACAUCCAUUAGUUAUCUCUUGCGAGCUUUUGACGGGUAAUCCAAGGUUAAAGAUCACCUUGAAUGGCAAGUGCUAGGUGAGAGGUAUGAGCCAUUGCAAGGUGCAUCAAUGAGAGGGAUUUAGUGUCUAAACCCAUUAAUGGGAAGCAUCUGUACAACACCGGUUGGAAAAGGAACUAUAUGUUAAUUCUCUAAUGCGAGGAAAAGAAACAAGUGACCGGAACUCCCUUUUUGUAUGAGGAAUCUGAGCCUAGUGAUCUGAACUCCAAGAAACACUUUUCUUUGUAAGUAAAAUCAGUUACUAUUUGUGGUUAGUUUAAAACCAAACCUUUUUCAUUCAAACAUGUUUAUGUUUUCUUUUAAAGCUAACCUUGAAAUGAAAAUGCACCAAUUCAACUUUGAAUUAAUAUCAUUUGUGAAGUGAAAACCCAUCCCAGUGAACGAUCCUAGAGCCACUAUGCUAUAGUAGCUUUGUCUUUGCUACCCUAGUAUAUGGUGUAAUAGGUUAUAAAUUUUGUUGAUUACUCCCUCAAUCAAGGAGCACCAGCUGGACACGAAUCAGCUGAGACACCAAUUGGGCACGAAUCACUCAAAUUCAAAGACUAGGAUAAAUAAUUGGUGUAUGCAUCAUGGUGACCUCCAAAAGACUACAAUGCAAUUCAACAAUGAAUUAAGAACACCACAAAAAAGGAACCAGAAGAUAUCCUUUCCUUAUGGUUCAAAACAAUCAUAAUUAAUCACUCUUUUCGCUCUUUUCAUUAUACCUUCAACAUCGUUCUCUCAAUUAAUAGUUGGUAAAACACAAUAAUAGAUUCAAACAAAUAAAUGCCAAAAAACUAUGAGGAAGAUAGAGUAGUAAAGGGUUAGAAAGCCCAUGAGAAUUGAAUGGUUGGUUGGUAGACUUUCAAAUAGAUCGGUAUAAUAACAAGGAGGAUUGUGUUCUAUAGUCUAUGGAUAUUAGCUAACAAAAUAAACUUGGUUCAAAUGCCAUUGAUAACAUUUCCGUGGGGCAAAAUGUAACAAAAUCAAAUAAUAUUCUUGUUUUAGACGAUAUCAGUCAAUCAUAUGCUUAGAUAGUCAAAAUCCUUGCAGCAAAAUGCCCUCCAUACCUAAGGAAAACUGGGUCUGAGGAGUUGCUGACAGGAUGGAAGCACAUGCUGCUUCUGAACUCUAUUGUGACUACUGUUAACAAAUUUUCCAGUGCUUUCUCUUGUGCCCUUUCUUGCAGCAAUGUCAGCUUUUGUUGCUGAUAAGAAUGAAGUGGAAAGGAGGCCCAGCUAGAUUUCCAGAUCCUAAGGGGCUGAAAAUGUUCUAGUUGCUGCAAUCUCUGCUGCCGCUUCUGCACACUUGCAUUUUUUCAACUCUGGGAGAGUUAGUUCAUGAAUGAAAAUAAGACCUGAAGAUGAGUUUUACAUCAAUUAUAUAUGCAUAUAAGGAGAAUUGCAAGUUUCAUUUCAAAUAAUACCAGUAUUAUCAUGCUCUAAAUACAAAAAUGGUGAAUUUUUUCAAGAAACAUUUCUUGGAUCAACACUGAACACAACCUGAAUGAAAAUGUAUACUAUGUUGGAAAGAAAGCAAAAGAAUUUUCCAUUCUUAUGCCUUCACAGUGGAAAUGGUACAACCUUACGAGUACAAGGGGUACUCAAUAGACUAAAGAGAACUUGUUACUAGAAAAUUAAUAUAUAACUCAUGACAUUGAAUGAUUUGAACCAAUGAUAGGUGUUGAAAGAGGAUAUAUUUCAUUGAUUAAAAAAAAAGACGUGUUACAACUAGUAUAUAUAAAGAAAAUAGUGAAUCUCAGAAAUCUCAUAGAAACUAAUUUAAGAAACAUAAUCAGUAUCAAGACUAAUCUACCCUUCUAUAGUAGAGAUGCUAAAUACUAAUUUCAACAAUAGGAAACCCCAUAAAUUUCCAGAACCCCCCUUUACUAAAAUCAUGAGUGACUCAUUAGGCAAUGGCACAUGCAGAAUGGCCUUCUGGUUUGAAAUGCCAUCCUAUGAGACAACAAAUGAGCAUGCCCUUAUGCUAAAUUUGAGCUUUCAAAGAGUGUUUACACAUUCUUAUUAUGAGACAAAUAGAACAUUUAAAAUGCUGUUUAGUCUUUAUUUAACGACAGCCCAUGCAUGGCUAGGUAGCUACAAAAUUCAAUAACUGUGUUCUUAAUUUGAAAUAAGUAUCACAUAAUGCAGCUCAUAAUUCAAUACACCAUGCAAAAUCCCUGAAAACCCCAAAAUCCAUGCAUAACAUGUAAAGUGUGAUACAUGUACUUCAAGGAGAACCAAAAUGCAGAGAGGUGAAACAUGGCACUUGCAGUCAGUGGUGGAGCUAGGAAUGUGCUCUAGGAGGGGCACAAAUAGAACAAUUAUUUCAAGGGGGACGAUAAAUGGAGAGAGUGGUAUUUAGUGUAAUGGAAAGCAUACUUUUCCCAUAAGCAUGAGGUCAAGGGGUCAAAGCCCCUGCUAUGGUUUUUUUUUCUUUUU